AACUAUUUUUUAUCUAAUCCUUCAGACUUCAUACACCUCAAAUGACACAUUAUAACAUAAAAUAAACUUUUUAUUGCAAAUCAAAGAAUAAAAUCAACGAUGAACAAGAAUAAAAACAAUUAGACCUGACUUCAUCUUCUUCUAAUUAUGAAGGAUUUGGUAAGAAAGAAGGACAGCCCCAGAAAUUCCAGCAUCAAACAUUCAUCGAAGUGGGGCAUGUUCAUCAUAGCCACUGCUGCUGCUGCUGCCCGUCAUUGCCUACUCUGUCGGCCUUAUGGACAGUUGCGACCUCCCAGAGACUCCUGAAUGGCCGGCCUUCAAAGUCCAAGGCAAGUUUUGUCAAUAAUCAAAGGUGGUUGAAGGAUUUGGUGGGAAACGAUAUUGGCAAAUGAAGGAUUUCACACAAAUUGUAUAUUUAUUUCAUGAAUACUAAAAAUUUAGAGAGAUAUGACAAGGAAGAAUAUGGCGAGAUGUUUUACUUAUUUUUGUUUUUAAUUUAAUUAAGUUAAAAAUAGUAAAGUAGUCAUUUUGUUUAGAUCCUUAUAAGUACUCUAGCAAAGUUAAUAUUUUGGUGGACGGUUGAUAUAAAUUGAAAACAAUGAGUGUAAAAUCGAACAAAUUCAAACUUUUUUAGUAUUUUUGAUAACAAAAUAUUGUUUGGAUGGAUGAUUGAUAAUUUUCCAAAAAAGAAUAUAUGUGUUAUGUGUCCUAAAAUAAGUUUAUAUGACUAUUUCUUAAAAUUUGAGGAAGUGUAUGCUAAAUCUUUUAAUUUUGCCAGACCACGAAAUGUCACAGUUCUUUUCCAUAAUAAACAAAAUAUUUAUUUUAAAAAAUAUCAAUUAAAUAUAUACACGUACUAUAUGAGAUACAAACCUAAGACCUAGGUCUUGGUAAGGUUGCCUACUAACCAGAGGAGCCAGACCUUAGUGUGCAAUAAUGAAAACAUGUUAAUUGAAUCUGAAUAUGGGGAAAUGGCAAAAAAUUGCGUCCAAUAGGAUUUGAACCUAUACCAAAGGUUUAGAAGACCUCUGUCCUAUCCAUUAGACAAUGGACGCCUUUCAUUCCCAUUCCUAAUUUUUUUUUUUUUUCGCAUUUUUCUUUCCUAUCUCUUCUUCGGAAAGCAUAAAGAAUAUGUGAUAUAAUUUCAAGACUUUCAUAUUCAACUUGGCGAUGCAUUAAGUAAACUUUAAUUAAUGCAUCGCCGAGUUGAUCACACACACACACUUUCUUGUUAAAAAAGCAACAAAAUAACAACACAAUAAAAUUAUACCCAUCAUGCCAUCCCGGGUUGGCUUUAAGGGAUUCGGGGCCUUAGCGAAUUUCGCUUUAGGUCUUUGUACAUUGAACAACAUCAACUUUUGAAGGAUAUAUAAAAUAACUUAAAAUUUAAAUUCUUUUGGAUUACACAAGCCGUAUAUCAAUAUAAAAUUAAAAAUAAAUUAAAUUUGUAAAAAAAAAGAAUAAUAAUAAUUUAAAAUAAAUAAUGAAUAAUAGCACAUAGAAGUUGUCUAGUGGAGAUGAAUAUGAUGAUUAAUUGAUAGCAAUAUAUUUCUUAGAGAAUAAUUUUCUUUGCAGAGAAGAGAGAAAGAAAUAUUUUAGUUGAGAUUAUUGUUGAUUCAAUGUCUAUUAGUUUUGAGAUUCUUAAUACAGUUUGAAGGAAUACUAAAAGUCAGUUCUUAUGCUAGUAAUUUUAAUAGAGUAUUCUUUUUGAAAAUGAAAGUAUUUAUUUAAUUUUUUCCUUGGAAACAUUAAUAAAUAAAGAAUUAACUAUAAAACUAUUAAUCCUACCAUAUGUGAAGAUUAUCAAAUAUAGAUUUUUUAUAAAAAAAUAAAUCUUAUUUUUAAGGUGAAGAUUAUGAAAUAUACAAUUUUUAUUGAGAAAACAAAUCUUAUUUUUGGAUAAUUAUAAAUGGGUGUAAUAAUAGGGACAUAUCUAAAAGUUAGGCUUUCUAAUAUACAUAACUUAAAUAAAAUCUUUGAAAUCUUAGAAGAAUAAUUAUUUAUUAGCGUAUUAAUUAAACAAAUGUCAAAUAUUGGGCCUCUCUAAAAUUUGGGGCCUUAGGAGACCACCUAGUUUGCUUAGUACUAAAGCUGUCUCCAAUGCAUGCCCUAAAAGAGUCAAGAGUACAAACAAAACCAAUAAAACCAACAAAACUUGAUGAUGAAAUUAAUAAUUUUCCACAACUUAUGAUAGGAAACUUAGAGCAGAUGUUCAUAUAUAUUUAAAUUCAAUCAUAUAAACUGAUAUGAGAUAUAAACAGUGAAAUUUAAAAAAAAAUAGAAAUUGGAAAUUAAUAACACGCAGUAAGAUAACAAUGUCACAUAUGUUUGUGAGAAUUUAUAAUUUAUGUGCUGCAUACAUGCCUCUUCUGAUAAACACAAAUUCUUGAUGAUUUGUUGUGUCUAUGCCAUUUAUAUUCUUUUAAAUAAGAAUUUGUUAUGAAUUUACAUGCUCAUUUGCAUAUUUAUAUAAAUGAUUUAUAACGAAAGAAAAAAGCAUGCAACAACGAAACGAGAUAAGAAUAUGGUAAAUAGCCGAGAGAAGCUUUAGGCUUCUUAUUUUUCAUUCCUUUUUCUUUCUUGAGUAUUACACAUACACAAUUUGUGGGGGUGUUAUAGUAAUUUCAUAAAAUGGCAUAAUGGUGAAUCCACUAUUCACAAUACCCCCCUUGGAUUCACCAUUUAUUUUACAUAUAAUGUAAAGGUAAUAUUAAAGGUGCUUAAUACUGUCUUGUUAAAACCUUGCCAAUAAAACUUAGUGGACCAAAAUCUAGUCAAAGAAAAAAGAGUACAGUGCACAUCUAUCUAAUAGAGCUGCAGAAACUCUUAUCGUCAAAAAUAUGCUCCUUGAUAAAAUAUCUUCUCAAUUAUUCAUGUGGAAAAUCUUAUAUCAGUAAGAACGUAUCUACUUGACAUCAAUUUUCUUGUUCUAUUUCCUUUAAUCAUUGGAGAUACGUGGUCACAAAUGAUCAUAUCAAAUUAUCUGCUUAAAUGAAUCUCACCAAAGGCCAAAAUAUAUGAUUAGUCUAAAGUAAAAUCAAGACAUGGUAUCAAUCGCACCUGCAUAUGGCGUAAUCACCAUGCAGUUAUCAAAGAUUACCCGAUUAAGAAAAUCUGCGCUUUUUUAGACAACUUCGGUCUCUUACAAAUAUCGCGUUCAAAGACUGCAGAUCAGACAUUUAAAGCUUCUACAGAAAUAAUGGAUGAAUCCCUAGUUUGACAGCUUAAAAAAAUUUGUGUAUUUUGCGAGAAUAGUUCUGAAAAUAUUUCAGAUUUUGUGAAUGGUACAAGGGAUCUGGGAAAGGUAUUAGGCAAACGAAAAAUACGUUCAAUAUUUGGGAAUAGUGAUGUUGGGUUUAUGGGGAGUAUUGCAGAAAUUAUUCCCACAACUGGAUAUGCGACUAUCUAUAAUACAUAUGAAUGACUUCUUGAUUUGAGCAACUGUGUUGAUGCUUUUAUUGUUCUACCUCCUGGAUUUAAAACCCUGGAAGAAAUGUUUACUAUUGCCACAAGUCACAACGAAACAGAUAUCAGAAAGCUUUUGGUUUUCUCAACGUAAAUAAUUGUAGUGUUUUAAUCUGCUAUAUAACAUGCAAGACAAAUAAAACACGUCCCAGGAUCUUUGAUAAAGAACUAUACAAGAUGCACAGAUUGAAGAAUGAAUCCAGCCAAGUGAAAACAAUGUACCCAAGAACUAGAAAGAACAGAGAAUCAAGAAACAAAAAAAUCACAGACAACAGAAGAAUCAAUUACGUGGUUCAGUUGCACCAAAUUGGUACAACCUACAUCCACGGGAAAAGUUUUCUGCAGAGCUUUUAUUACUCAACAAUGGAGGAUCUUUCUUACAGAGAAUGGUUUACAAGAUUUCAGAGAACUCUUAACCCUUUCACUGAAAUCUCUCUCUCUCUGAUAUGAAUUCACAAGCUUAACCCAAAUCGUUUCAUCAGCCUGCUCUUAUAGCUAACAGAGCAACUAACCAGCUAAACCCAGAUCGAACUGAUUGCUUACACGUAGCGUAACAAACUUAACGAACUAAGAUGAGCUGCUUCACACAUCUGUCACGUGCAUCACUUAUAAGCUUCCUUUAAACGACAUGGUUGAACUGCCGUUUCAAGCUUUAAUCUUAAGUGACAACACACGUGCUUUUCACGCGUCUUUUAAGUGCUCCUUCAAUUGCCAAAACGUCAUCGCUUGGUUCUGAUGAGUUUGAUUCACCAGCAAACCUCACAAAUAAUUUAUAUGGUAUGUUGUUUUUCUUGGAUGGCGCUGUGAUGUAGGGCUUUCUCUCUUUAUCGGCACGAAAAAUCUUUAUUCAUGUCAAUAGCGCCAACGAAUUGAUCGAUUUGUUUCAGGCAUAUGGGCUUGAAGUCCGCCCAAUCAAUCUGAACUUAGGCCAGAUGAUAAUAAGGAAAAAAAAGAUGAUGACGGUAAAAGGAGUGGCAAUAAAGACAAGAAAAAUGAUGGAGAUAAUAGUAAGAAGCGAAAAAUAUUAGACUUAAGUCUUCACUUAUGACUUUAAAUUCUUUUUCCUUUUUGUCUCAUCGAUGAUAUACUUAUGAAAUUUAAUAAAAUGAGCAUUAUUCAUAUUGAAAUGUUUUAGGUUUUUUUUUUUAAACAUAAGCUGAUUGAUGGAUAAUCAAUCCAUUUAUUUUAUGCUCGAUCUGUAUGUAGAGAUACUAAUUUAUUUUCAAGAAAAGCUUGCAUUUCAAAUUUUCUCUUUCAAUAUUCAGCAGUUUUAGGAGCUCUUCUGGAGUUCCAAUUAACUUCAUAUUACCAACAUAAACUGCUACAAUUACAAAUUCAGAUAAAAGCACAUAGAUAGAUAUGAUCACUAACAUGUCAUUCGUUAGGAGUUUUAUACAAAUACCAUUACAAGGGAACAGAGGAUUGUAAGGUAAUGUUUACGGUUUUCAACCUCCCAAAGACUUUGUAAUUCAGAAACAAGUCUUCAAAAAGGAAUGGUAUUAGUAAUGUUUCCCAUAAUUAAUUCACUACAAGAAAAAGUGCCUACUAUGACAGGCAAAAACUGUCAUAGUAGGAGGUGGAUGACGGUUGUUCAUAUAGUCAUUGUAGCCACCGUCAAGAAUUGAUGACAGAACAAUACCAGUCAUAAUCUGUGAUAGAUAUUACCAGUCACAUAACUGUCAUAACUUUACUUAGAGGGGAAUAUAAUAAAUUUGAAUUUGGCUCUUUUUUUUUAAAUUUGUGCGCCAUAUUUUGAAUUUUUGGCGGGAAAAUUAAAUUUGGUGCGAAAUGCAAAUUAUAAUUAAAUGAAUUUUUUCAAUUAAAUCAAAAAUUGAAAUUAUAAUUAAUAAAAAAUGGGUAUUUUUUUUGCACCAUGAAAUUAUUAUCAUUUUAAUAACAAUCCUGCAAUUGAUUUAUUAGAAAUUAAUAUUUCAUAAAUUAGCUAAUUAAUUAGAUUAUUAAAAUUAAUAUUGCAAUUAAAAAUUCACUAACAAAGAAAAUGAAAUGGAUAACAUUGACUAAGAUUUCAUAAUUGUCAACAAACAUAAUUUAAUCAAAUUCGAGAGUGACAAGUCCAACAUAAAUAGAAGAAGAGUAUUGUAACAACCUAAGAACUAAAUUCCAGCAACAUGUACAACACAAAUGAACCAUGAUCAGUUCAAUUCUAGUAGCAUAAGGAAGCCAACACAGAGUCAUUUCUACCAACAUGAACAAAGGCAACAACAUAGUUCAUUUCCAGCAACAUUUCCAGCAACACUUCCAGCAACACAAGAGGAGCCAAAAAUACUGAUCAGACAAGGCCAGCAGUUCCCAAACGUGAAAAUCCAACCUAAGAACAACCGAAAUGUGUAAAAUUGCAUCAAUAUCCCCAAACAAAGAAAAAAACUAGCCAACUCCAGCAGUACCCACCAUCUUCAUCAUAAUCCAACAUAGAAGUAUAAUAAGCUAGAUAACUGCCCAAGUAAAAUAUAGGUAGUAAAUUAAUUUAUUUCAUCAAUGAACUCACAAUAACAACAUAAUAGGUAAGGGUUAUCUCACAUAACAGCAAGUACUCCAGAAAAAAUGGUUUGCCCACUCAAUACGGACUUCAUCUAAUUCAGCAUUGGAAUAUAUUGUCUUUCUGUUGAACUAUUUAUGAAAAUUAAAUAUUUAGUGAAACUUUAAAACAUGACAUGUUCUUUUUUAUGAAGCAAAUUAUGAUCAAGGAACUCACAUUGUUCAUUAGUAAAGAGAAGUUAUUAAUUAAGUCUUUCAUGAAUCUCAUGACGUAAAAUCCACACACGACUGAACUUGCUGGUUGUUGUGGGACCUGUUCACAAUUAGCAAUUGCACAGUUCAUUUUAAUAACAAUUAAGCAUGGUAAUAUAUAAUUAUAGUUAAGGCAAUAGUUCAAACCUUUACGGAUCUGACCAUCUUAUUAUAAUUCCAUUUCUCCUUACUCUCUUAUGCUAUAAACAUUGUCAUAGAGCUGUAUACAAAAAAAAAAAUUGUAACAAAGUAUCUAUAAAGUAUGUAAAAGUAAUUUUAUAUUGACAAUGGUAAUAAAGAAAAUUGGACAUACACUUUAAUGAGCUCUUUUAAAUAAUCAUCAAGAUCUCCUCCAUAAGAAUUGAGAUAAUAAACUUCAUUUUUCAACACAUCAAAGAUGACCAGCACCCAAUGAUAACUAUAAUAAAUGAAAGAACAUUUAGGUAGCAAUUUUAGUAAAUUAAGGCAAGAAAGGAAAUUAAUAUGAGUUGAAAAGUAUUAAAGGAGCAUUCUAGGGAUUAUAAGGCAUAAAGAUGAAUUGUCCCUUCUUCGCUUUUUUCAAUCGAUCACAAACUCCACGUGCCCUAAGGUCAAAUGAUGCAGUAGGAUUACGUUCUUUGCCUAGCGAAACCAGACCUGGACGAAUGAAUCCAAAUGGUUUCACUCCUCUUUUCCCAAGGAGAAUGGAAGCAUACAACAUCCUGAUAAACAAUAGACAAACAAUGUUAAAGUCCAUUAAUUGGGACUCCCAUAAAAAGUACACAUAAAACUAGAAUGAUUAUGAAUCACUUACGCAAUAUAGACUUCGAUUACGUUUACUCCUAUAACAUCCAUUGACAGAACUGCACUGCAGUCACACCUUCCAAUAUGAGCUCUAAUCCCUUCCAAUUGGAAAACACCAUCAUCCAGUAGAUAUGGAAUCCAUUCUUGGUCUAACAUCUUAGCUUCACACAUUCUUGGUCUGACAUCUUAGCUUCACACAUAGCUUAACAAUCAAGGAGUGCUCUUGAUAUUAACUUUUUUGAAGCUAAAAUUGCAUAUGAAGAAAUCAUCAGAGCGAAAAAUAAUUUUGAUGCUAAGCAAUGCAUUGACUGUUGGAAAUUUUUCAAAAUAAAUGGUGUCUUAUGGUAAAGACAUGUCUAAUUAAUUGUGCCUUAUAGAAAAGAUACUUUUCACUGAAGACAUGUCUAAUUGAAUGAUGUCUUGUUGUAAGGACAUGUCCAUUUAAUUGUGUCUUAUGGAAAUGUAUCUUUUUACUAAAUGAUACAAUUUUUCAUGGUAACAUUUCACUUAGAGAUGCAUCAUUUCAUGGGACAUUUCAUUUGAAAUGGUGAUGGUUCAAUUUGAACCAUUGAUUAAAAUUAAAUAUAGAUCUAAUGGCCAUGAAUGAAGGGGUAUCAUGCAAGAUGACAACUCAAAUGAGGGGGCACAAGUAUAUCUAUAAAUAGGGGUCAUGUUUAAGCCAUUUAGACAUGAAAUUAAUGAUCCUACACUACUAUUUUCUUAGCCUUCCUUUCUAGAACGAAUUUCAACACAAAACAUCCAUUUCUUUUGUGCAUUAAAAAUCCAAUAUAUUGUUUUAUGUAGGAACAAUAUAUUGUUUCUUGGUAGACUUGCUUCAAUCAAGAGUAUUCUGGUUUUCUUUCAUCGAUGCACGAUGCAAACAAACAAACAAGUGCUUCAUUGUAUCCUGGAGGCAUAUUUGCUUAACCCAUGUGCAUCACUCAAUUGGUGGGGGCAAAUAACGUCUUAAGGAAAGCGACAUUUAUAACGUGCCUUGAAGUACACAAAUUUUUCUACAGUUUACUUAUUACUAUUAUUUUUCUUCCUACAUACAGAUUUAGUUGUAAACACAUUAUUUUACACAAUAAAGUUCCACCAUUAUUGUUGUAUUUCUCCACAUUUUCCAUUCCCUACAGACUUCAACGACCAACAAUCUUAAGACGUUAUUUCUACAACAAUGGCACCAAAUUCAUCUCUUCGAAAAUUCGCAAUAGAUUUUGUCAAAUUAGAGUGUUUCGAUGGUGGCAAUUUUAUUCGUUGGCAGAAAAAGUUGCAUUUCGUGUUGACAAGCCUCAAUGUGGUCUAUGUUCUCACAACACCAAAGCCUCAAGAACGUGACGAUGAGACAUUAGCGAAAACCAAAGUGCGGCAGAAGUGGGAGCAAGAUGACUAUGUGUGCAAGGGACAUAUUUGCAAUGCCAUGUUUGAUACUUUGUUUGAUCAAUAUCACAACAAACCUACAACAAAAGAAAUAUGGGACUCAUUAGAGACUAAGUACAUGAUGGAAGAUGCCACAAGUAAGAAAUUCUUGGCUUUUAAAUUUUUUAAUUAUAAAAUGGUUGAUAAUAGACUUGUGGUUGAACAAUAUAAUGAGAUUUUGUAUAUUCUUGAUCAAUUCAACCAACAUAACAUGAAUAUGGAUGAGUCUAUUAUUGUCUUUUCAAUUUUUGGUAAACUUCCUCUCUCUUGGAAAGGCUAUAAGAAAAGUCUUAAAUAUAGCAAACAUGAAAUUAGUCUGGAUGGCUUAGGCCAAAGUCUUCGUAUUGAAAAGGAACUCAAGUUUAAUAAUCUUGAGGAUCAAGCUGCUAUGUCCUUUAAAAUUAAUGUUGUGGAGGAAAGGAAGAAGUUUAAGCAUUCUAAUCACCACAAGAAUAACCAAAAGAGAAAGUUUGAUUCUAAAGAGAAUCAAAACAAGAAGAAGAAAAAAAAGGGUGCAUGCCACCACUGCGGAAAAUUUGGCCACUUCAAAAGAGAUUGUCAACUUUUAAAGAAAUAAAAGGAAGUUUCAAACACAAAUUUUGUGGCCAUGAUAUCUGAGAUCAAUGUUCUUGAAGAUGGUAAUGCAUGGCGGAUAUAUUCUGGUGCAACCAAGCAUGUAUGCAAGGAUCGUAGCCUCUUCAAAUCUUAUAAAGCAAUGGAUGAUGGAAGUGUUCCUUACAUGGGAAAUUCCUCCAGUGCAGUAGUUAAAGGAAAAGCCAAUGUGCAACUAGAGUUUACUUCUGGAAACACUUUAACUCUUACUGAUGUUUAUCAUGUUCCUAAAGUUAGGAAAAACCUUGUAUCUAGUAGCCUUCUUAAAGUUUGGCUUCAAACUUGUUUUUGAAUCAAACAAAUUUAUAUUCUCUAAGGUAGGUACCUUUAUUGGGAAAGGAUACAUGUAUGAAGGAAUGUUUAAACUCAAUAUCAAUAAUAGGAAUAUUUCUUCUGCUUAUAUGGUUGAUUUAUUAUCUUUGUGGCAUAAUCGUUUAUGACAUGUGAAUAUUAGAAGAUUGCAUGAUAUGGCCAAUUUAGAGUUAAUUCCUAAGCAUGAAAAUGAUAUGCAUGAAAAAUGUAAAGUAUGUGCACAGACUAAAAUCACAAGAUCUCCUUUUCCAAAAAUUGAAAAAAACAUCUUUUUUAUUGCAUUUAAUUCAUAGUGAUGUGCGUGAUAUGCCUAGUAAUCCUACUAAAGGUGGUAAAAAAUAUUUUGUAACAUUUAUUGAUGAUUUUUCAAAAUAUUGCUAUAUGUAUUUAUUACAUUCUAAAGAUCAAGUCUUAGAGAAAUUUAAAACUUAUAAAAAUGAAGUUGAGAAUUUUUGUGACACUAAAAUUAAAUGCCUUACAAGUGAUAAAAGAGGUGAAUAUGUUGGCAUUGUGCAUAAAACUAGCACUGCAUAUACUCCACAACAAAAUGGCGUAGCUGAAAGGAAAAAUAGGACAUUAAUACAAAAUGGUUUAUGUUAUGCUUUUUAAUAAUGGGCUUGGUAAAGGUUUUUGGGGUAAAGCUAUUUUAACUGCAUGUCAUAUCUUAAAUCGAGUGCCAAAUAAGAAAACAAAGGUGACCCCAUAUGAAUUAUGGAAAAAGAGAAAGCCUAAUCUUUCUUAUCUAAGAGUUUGGGGUUGUCGAACCAUUGUAAGACUAGCUGAACCUAAGAUAAAGAAAUUAGGAGAAAGGGGCAUUGAAUGCAUAUUCUUGGGAUAUGCUGAGCUUAGUAAAACUUAUAGGUUUCUUGUAACAGAACCUAAUAGCUUCGUUGAGAUCAAUACUAUAGUGGAAUCUAGAGAUGCAAUAUUCUAUGAAAAUAGAUUUUCUACUAAGUAUUGAUUCUCAAGAGAAUGAUAAACAAAUAGAAAUUGAUCAAAAGCGUGAUGCUAAUAAUGAGCAAAAUCAUUUGAGAAGAUGUAAAAGAAUAAGGACUAUAAAAUCCUUUAGACAAGAUUUUAUAGUCUAUUUAGUUGAAGGGACAAGAGACUCACAAUCAAAACAAACCAUGAUCACACCUACUAUAGAUUCUGAUCCCCUCACCUAUGAAGAGGCAAUGAAGUCUCAAGAUGCUGCUUUUUAAAAAGUGGCCAUUAAUGAUGAAAUGGACUCUAUUAUAGGUAAUAAGACUUGGAAAUUAGUUGAUUUACCACCUGGUUCUAAUCCUAUAGAUUGUAAAUGGAUUUUCAAAAAGAAGAAGAAAGUUUAUGGAACAAUUGAAAGAUUUAAAGCAAGACUAGUAGCGAAAAGCUUUACACAAAAAGAAGGCCUUGAUUAUUUUGAUACUUAUGCAUAUGUUGCAAGAAUUAUUACUAUUAGAGUCUUGAUUGCUUUGGCUUCAAUUUAUCAUUUUGAAAUCCAUCAAAUAGAUGUAAAAGCAGCUUUCUUAAAUUAAGAAUUAGGUGAGGAAAUUUACAUGAAACAACCAGAAGGGUUUGUUAUGCCAGGACAACACUACUAGAAAAAUGGUCUUUACUGACAUUAGAAUAGUGUGAGUAAUUACUUUUAGUGACACUUGUUAAUUGUGUCAGUAAUCUGGGAGUCAGAAAAAUAGUGACACUUGUAAGUGGUGUCAGUAUUUACUAUUACUAUAGUAUCACUAAAAUCAUAACACCAUGUUAUCAAAAUAUUACAAUACUAUAUUAGUAUUUGUGAUUACUAUUACUAUAAUAUCACUACUUUAUUUAUUAUUUAAAAAAAUAAUUAUAUAAAAUGACAUGUUGCCCAUUGAUUUGUUGAUAGAAUUAAAAGGUUGUGAGAAAUAAGAACAAAAAUCAAUUUAUAUUGCAAAACCUUUCAUAACAUUUAAAUAUUAUCAAUAUAUAUUACACAAUCCAAAUACUUUAAUAUACAAGAUAUCUUAUUACAAGACAUCUUAUUCUUAUAAUUGAAUAAUCUUAACUGCUAUUAUCCAAUCAAAUUCCUUCUACUCGUAGCUGAAUUUAAGGGCUAAAUUUACCAAAUCUAAAAGCUAAAUUUAGAAGGAUUAUUAUUUUUCACUCCAUGAACAUAAGUACUGCGAUCAUGCAUUAUCACGGACAACUUCUUCAUUCGAUUAAUUUGAUGGGUUAGGGAUAUAAGUUGAAGAAGAAACACUUUAAACAUAUUAAUCAUAUCUGCAAACAAAUAAAAGAAAAAGGAAAAGAAAUUGGUUGCCAAAUUCUAACAGUUGCAAAAUAAAUUAACAAGCAAUACAGAGACAAAAGUUAAUAGAAAUAAACAUAUUUUGCUCGAAAACAAAAAUAUUCAUAAGCUAUGAACAUAUCAACUCAAUUAUCUUAAAGGAAAAUUAGAGAAUAAGAAUGUUGUAGCUCAUUUGAUUAUAAAUAAGGUAGAAUAUAUUUAACUAUAGAUAUAAAUUAAAAAAAAAGGUGAAUUCAUUCUCUUAUAUAUAUGAAUAAGAGAGAGUGAGAGAGCAAAUUAUAGCAUUCAAGUUUUUAGUAUAACAUCUAGUUUCAAGAAAUUGUGUUUAUUUCUCAUUAUAUAAAAAACAAUGAUUUUCCAGCUAAAAAAAAUUCAUAAUAAAAUUUAAUAUCUAAUACAACAUAGUAUGUUUUUUUUUUAAAAAAAGGCUUGCAACUAUGUCUUUUAGCCACCAAGCCUAAGUGUGAGAGUAAAGCAUUUAACUCUUGAUAAUUACACACUUUCUGCAUAAUACAAUUAGUGUCAACUCAUUCCAAAUUACUCUACUAGAAUAAUAAAAUAUUUCAGCCAUUAUAUUGAUGGAGGUACUAAUCCAAAAUAUUCACAAUAAAUAUAGAGUUCAAGGCAAUUAAUAGAUGUACCUCUUAAAGCUCUGCAUAUUCUCUAUCUUUCUAAGGCAAUCUUUAAUUCAUAUAGUUCCACCCCCUUUGAAUUCACAAACCUAUACUUUACAAACAAAUGCCUUAUAUCAUUAAUCUUGAUACCGUUUUAACACAAAUAUCACUAUAUUCAUAAAUAAAAAUCACAAGUUAACGCUUUAACCUCGUGUUGGGCUGUCUUAGUCUGCAAAUGGCAGAGGAAUCUACGAUAAUGUGUAUGUUUUCCUGAGAAGAAAAAGGAACAAAAAAUACUUUUGAUUAUUCCAACAAACACCAUAGUCCAUAAUCACACCAAAAAAAAAAAAAAAAUCUUUCGCCAUUUGCCUGCACUCUGCAGCAUCUUUAAAUAUCUUGUAUUCAUUUUAAGUAAUUAAAAUGGUGUAAUAAUGUUUGAAGGAUAGAAAGAAAGCAUACACUAGGCUAUCAACUUGCAUGGAAUUGGCCAAAUAUGGCAUCUGAACUCAAAGAAAAAAAAAGAACAAAAUUAAAUAUCAUCACAACACACAAUGUGUCUGUCCAUUAAUUAAAAACCUAGUAAAAAAUUAACUCCAAGCAAAAAUAAAUAUUUUAUAUUAGGCUCUACUCAAGCUUCAUAGAAAACUAAUUGAAAGUACCAUUGCCAAAGUAGUAAAGCUGGGAAGGCACUGAAGAAAGAAGGGAAUUUCUCAUUUUUAAUUUAUUAGACCAGCAGCCUGCGAUGACAUAAUGUAAAGAAAAUAAAUAACUGAAAUGAAAUAAUUUCAUAAUGAAACUUGGACCCAUUGAAGCAUCAUCUACAAAGUUCCUCACCUCUGAUGAGAGCAAAUGAAAAAGCACUUGUGCAAAAACCAACUUUAAAGAGAAGAACUUUUAUAGGAAAAAGGAAAGGAAAGAGGGCUAAUAAUGGGACUGGAACUUGAAGCUGAAGUGGUUUCUUGCAGCAAAGGCUUUUUAACAUCUAUAGAAACUGUGGCUAUUUAUUGCAUGAAUAUGAAACGUCCAGGUGACUCAUCAAAAGAUAGAAACCCAAUUGCUUUAUAUAAUCACUAAGCUAUGGUCGACUCCUUGGCUAUUUAGCUAAUUAAUAAUUUAUCUGUUUGAUUUUGCUUUCAUUUAAGUUUGACUUGUGUUUCAAUUUGUAUUCGGUAUAGUAAAAAAUUGUAUAAUGGGAUUAAAUUAAUACGAACCUAGCUAGUCAAAACUUAACGUACAUCAAAACUUGUGCAAAAAGCAAAUUCAAAUGCUGAUUGGGAAAAUAAAAAGCGAAAAAAAAAAUUCACAAUUCAUACCUGGCACCAGUAGUCUUGAUAGUAGCUGCAAGAGAGCCAGCCACAUGCAUGGAUACUUCCUUGCCUUUACUCUUCCUUUUAGCAACAGUACUUCUUCUACCAUAAACAGAAGAAGGCUCCAUAACUUCAUGCUUAUCACUGGUGCCUAAACUCCGUACACAACACACGCGUUGGCACUCAGAAGACAAAUAAUUUAACAUAAACCACAAAAUAAAUAAAAAGGAAAAAUACUCAUAACGGGAAUUGUGACUUAAACUUGAUAUUAUCAUUGUCUUUGAACUCCAUCAUCAUUAAACAAACUAUUGAGAAACCCUUCAAAUAAUUUAAGGUUGUCCAUAGGGCAUACUCAUGCAUUCAAAGAAUACGAAUAAUUUCGACAAGUAUAGAACAAACCCAUCUAUAGAAUCAAUAGUUCAAGCUCAAAAUUGACAUCAAUUUCAAUUUCACCAAAUCACAACCUCAUUCAAGUUCGCAAACCCUAGAACACCCAAAUCCAAACACACCCACAAAACUUCCUGAUUACAAAAUCACUAAAUUCUCUAACAAAAUAAAAUAUCUAAGAUAACCAAUACAACUCAAACAAGCUCAAUUCAUAAGCAAAUUACAAAAUGAAGAAUGAACCAACUGAUAACAAACAUAUCACAAAAAGUCAUCUUAGUUUCAAAAUCACUCAUAAUUUAAAAAAAAAAAUUCUUGCCUGAUUAAUUCGAUCGAGAACCUUUUUUCUCUUUGUUGCUUCUUCUUUGCUUUUAUAAAGCCCAGCUUCAACCAAAAACAUCAACCCCAAAGGAAAUCAAAAUCAGGGUUUCAUAUAUAUAUAAAAGUAAUUAUAGAUAAAGAUAAAACAAAACCUUUUCUAAGUCACAGGUUCUUUGUAUAUCAGCCUCUGUGGAUUCUAUAACUGAUAUUGGUUUCGUCGACGGUGACAAACUCAUUCUCUCCGAUCUCAACAUUAAAAACAAUAAAAUAUCCUGAACAAAAAAAGCUCUAUUUUUUUUAAUCUGACUUUCGAACCCUAACUUUGGCCAAGUUCUUCACAACACUUUCUAGGCGUCUUUCUGGGGGUAUUUUAGCUCAAGGAUGGCGGCUUUGAAGGUUUACAGUAGCGGCUUGUGAGGUAAAUCGUUAUUAGAGAGAGAGGUAGAGAGAGAGAGAGGGGAAGAGAGAGAGAGAAGAGAGCUUCGGUUCAAAGAAGAAAAUGGCGGUGGGGACAAAUUUUUUGCUCGUCAAAAUUUUUAGAUUUUAGGUUUCCAUGUACACCUCAUUAAGACAUAGUUUCUAGAUAAUUUAAUUUAAUUUUUAAAAAUUAAAUGCAACUUGUGGUCUAGUGGUUUAAUGUUUAAAAUUAGAAAGCUAAGGUUCAGAAGUCUGCGGUUCGACUCUAGUGAGACAAAAUUAAAAUUUUAUUUUUUUAAUUACUGAUACCUUAAUGUCACAUAUCUUGAUACUUAAUUUACAGAUGCUAUAGUAUUAGAAAUUUGUGAUACUUAUCUGUUAAACACGGAAAAUGCCCCAAUCUCAUGUAAUUAUAGAUACUUGUUAAUAAAGUGUCACAAGACAAGUGUUAGUAAAAACCAUUUUCUAGUAGUGCAAGAACAUAAAGUUUGUAAACUAGUCAAGUCUUUAUAUGGUCUUAAACAAGCUCCAAAGCAGUGGCACAAAAAGUUUGACAAAGUGAUUGUCUCAAAUGGAUUUAAUAUUCAUGAAUAUGAUAAAUGUGUCUAUAGCAUAUUCAAUGGAAAUAAAGGUGCGAUUAUUUGUUUAUAUAUAGAUGACAUUUUAAUUUUUGGUACUGAGAGUGAGAGCAUUGAACUCACUAAAUCAUUACUGUCAUCUAAUUUUGAUAUGAAAGACAUGGGACUUGCUGAUGUGAUUUUGGGGAUUAAAAUUAUAAAAAAUGAGAAUGGGCUAGUAUUGACCCAAUCACAUUAUAUUGAGAAAAUUUUAAAGAAAUUUGAUUAUUAUAAUUGUAAGCUUGUGUCAACACCUUUUGAUUCAACAUAAGACUGUAUCCUAACACUGGCAGAUCAGUAUCCCAAUUAGAAUAUGCAUGUGUUAUUAUGUGUCUUACGUAUGCGAUGACUUGUACUAGGCCUGAUAUUGCUUUCGUUGUUGGAAAGCUGGGUAGAUAUACUAAUAAUCCAAUCCAAGCACAUUGGCAAGCAGUGUACAGAAUUCUAAAAUAUUUAAAAUAUACAAUGGAUUAUGGUAUAUACCAUAUUGGAUAUCCUUCAGUUUUAGAAGGAUUUUCGGAUGCUAGUUGGAUUACUGAUCGAGAUGAUCAUACAUCCACAAGUGAUUGUACUUAUACAUAAUCAUAUGACAUAACUCCACACUGAAUAUCAUACAUCAACAGACAUGGAAUUCAUACAUACAUACAUGACAAACUACACCAAACAUGAAACGAUCCGUCCCGAAUCCCCCCGAGCGAGUCAAUCUAGUCUCAUCAAAACAGACUUGAUAAUAAUCUAAUUAGUAAAUAUUCUGCCGAAAAUUCGACAGAGUCUCUUCUAUAAAUAUAACACUCCCAAUGUAAUUCAAUAUACAACAAACUCCAGUGAUCAAUAUCUUCAACUAAAAUGCUGAGUUUUACUCAAAAUAUCUUCAGAAUCUCAAAAGAUAAUAUUAUAACUAAUAGUAAUAUCUCAAUUUAUUCUUAAUCCCAAAAAAAUAAUAUAACAAAAUUAUACAAUCCCAACAUGAUGAGAUAACCAAAAUGUCCUGACAAAAACAUCUAUAUCUUCUAACACCAUCAUGUGGCCAAGACUCAAAAUAUAUUUACAGUCGCUGGGUCGGUCAGGUGUACCUGCAAUCUCCUGGUGAGGGGGGAAAAUAUAAUAAAAAUGGGGUGAGUGGAUAGUAGUUUUUGAAAAUUCAUUCUUACUUUAAAAGAAAUAAUCAUAUCAUUUCCAGAUACGAUUUCAUCAAACCAUAUGCGAGAAACCAGUAAUAAAUCAUUUAACAUUUAAAUCCGAUUACUAACCAUGAAAAACAUAUAUAAUAUCGUACCCAAUAACCAUAGAAAUCAUAUCACAAUAUCAAAUAGAAUACACAAAUCUGAAAAUCAUCACCAAACAAGUACCCAGGGAAAUAAUCUCGUCAUAUCCGGACCUCAACGGACGGGCAAUGACGUACUAUCUAGGUACCAUAACACCCCGGAGCUACACUGAUAUACAGGGAAAUACCAUCCCAUAUCUCAUCAUAUUUGUGCAUGCAUAAUCUAGUCCCCAAAGGACAAAAGCGCCCAAGCACACGACCCAAAGCCUCUGUGUGUACUCAGACGAGCCCCAAAGGCCUGUAUCUCAUUUGUAUCAUCUGUAUCUCUGUAAUCAUCAUACCACAUACAUAUGCCCCCAAAAGGCAUAAACGCCCAAACACACAGUCCAAAGCCUCUAUGUGUGUUCAGACGGGCCCCAAAGGCCUCUCAUAUCAUUUGUAUCACUGUAUCUGGAGGGAAGGGUACUGUCUAAUGAUUUCAAAAAUAAUCAUUACACUCAUAUUCACAUACCGUUUAACCAUACUUUAAAUCAAUACCACAUUUGAAUCCACUUUUCUUAUCUUUAAAAUAUUAUCAUGCUUACUCAAAGUCGAUACGCAAAAUCAUUAACUAAACAUUUUAAUAAAAUCUCAAUGCAUGAAUAAAAUCCAUUUCGAGGAAAUCAUUAAAUCAGAACAUUUAAAAUACUUAUUUCACAAACAUACUUUACUAUCAUAAUUAACUAUGAAAAUAGGUUUUAUAUAUUCCACUCACAGUGACGGUGUUCAUGCUCGGUUAUCGUCUACGUCCGCGGAUCGGUUCUCGCUCGCGAAUCCUCCUAAAUCAAGGAAAUGGCAUAAUUAUUUUCCAUAAAUCAGAAUUACGACUAAAUUUAUGCAAUAAACUCGAAACGAACAUCUAUUCAUAAUUUACAACUCCUGUGUCGGUAAAAUUACUAAAAUGCCCUAGAGUCCGUAAAUCAUUAAAAUACUCUGAAAUUGUAAAUCACUGAAUUACCCUCGGAAUUGUAAUUACAUCCAAUCCUCAAUUUCAUGUAUUACUAAAAUAUCCACAGGCUCAGAAAUUACAAAAUUGCCCUUAUAAUGUGAAAUUACUGAAAUGCCCUUGUCGGUCAACGAUCACCGAAAUUUAGUCAACGCUGGCCGGGAAGCACGGGUUAGACACUUUUGGCCAAGCUGAGUUCAAUGGUACCGGCGGUGAGCUCCAACGCGCGGUAACGACGCCAGAAUCUAGCUCGGCAGCCGUGAAUUCCAACAAUUGACCGGCGGAAAAAUAGUGACUCCCGGUGGCUAUGGAUGGUCAGAAAUGGAAGAGGGAAUCGUGGGGAAAAAAAUCCAACCGGUGGUGUCACCCAAAACCAGUGAAAAUCCUGGCGGAGCAAAGCAAAACAGUUGCGGGUUUUCAAGCUUCAAUCGCCGGUGUUCCGGUUAGUUUUCGGCGGCGAGGAUGGCAGGGGAACGACGACUAGCUUCUAAGCUUCAGAUUGGUACCAAGCUCGGCCGAAAAGGUGGCCGGAAAUGGGAGAUAUGGCCGGGUCACGUUUGCGGGUUCUAGGUCGGGUUUUCGAGUCGGGUUGAUGGCUUCUCUCUCUCACCUCUCACACACGUGUGGCUUCUGUGUUUGCUCUGUUUUUUCCAGCUUUUUUUUAUUAAUAAAAUCCUUAACCGCCUCAUUUUUAUUUUAAAUUCUACAUAUGUUACAAAACAAUACCAGGAGAAAUAACUCUAAUAAGUAGCAUACUAGUACUUAGUACUUAUACAUAAUAUCAUGUGACAUAACUCCACACUGAAUAUCAUACAUCAACAGACAUGGAAUUCAUACAUACAUACAUGACAAACUGCACCAAACAGUAUUAGGGGAAAUAACUCUUAAUACUCGCCGGGAUCAUCAUCGCACGAGUAGAGCGAGGGAAAAACCUCUCAAUACCUAGCGUAAUUAAACUAUAUCGCACGGGUAAGUAACCUAACUCUCAAUACGCAAGCACAUAGUCUAUGGGGAAAGGUACAUAUAUGGUGACUAGUAAUCACAUCUCAUGACUCAAUCAAACAUACGAUAUGCGUACAUGUAACCAUAACAUGAUAUUAAAUCAUAAUAUCAAACAUAAAUGCUUCACGGAAUACAUAAUAGUAAUAAUAGUAUCCACUCACAAAUCUUGUUUCACUCCGGGGUUCGUUGGGUCUCUUGUGGGUUCCCGGAUUAUAGAGUUCCUCCUAAAAUAUAGGAUUUGUAAUUACCGGUUAGAACUGAUAUAAAAACUUAUGCAUAUCAUGUAAACAGUAACAUAACUGCUCAAACUUCAUAAAUCUAUUACCCACGAGUUUACUAGAUAUUAAUCUAAAUAUCCAAUUCUAUUUUCUGUAACGUUUCCUCUCAAUUUCUCUUUUCCCACCUUCAGCUUCUUUCUUUUCUUUUCUUUCUCUUUUUCACUUUUCUCUCUCUUUUUCACUUUUCUCUCUCUUUUUCUUCUUUUGUUUUGCUCUCGGUUCUCCAAUUUGGUAAAUGAAGCAAUUAUCAAAAUGUUGCAUUUUAUAAAGCCACCGAAUGAGCCACCAAAUGCAAGCAAGUAGCUGACUGUUGCUUUUGUAGAUUGUCAUGUUUGGCUUUUUUUUUUUUUCCAAGUAGUGCAUGAAAGUAAUACACUCUUUGCUAUCAUCCCGCCUCAAAUUGGCAACAUCUCCAAUCUUAAAUUCCUUGACAUGGGAAAUAAUCAAUUGUCUGGAGUAAUACCACAAGAAAUCGACCCUCUAACUCAUCUAAAACACCUUUACAUUAAUGUGAAUAAGUUACGCGGCUCAGUUCCACGAGAAGUAGGUCAAUUAAGCUCUCUUAAACAACUAGUCUUAUAUGCAACGGUUUGUCUGGUUGGCUCCCUUCUUCUUUCGGUAACUUAAACAACUUGGCUAUGUUGAAUCUCAAUAAUAAUUAACUUUUUUGGCUCUAUUCCUUCAUCUAUGGGAAACUUGAAGUUUCUUUCCACUUUAGACUUGAGUAUAAAUAAAUUUAGUGGUUCAAUGCCAAAUUCUUUGAGUAACUUAACCAGCUUGGUUAUUUUGUAUCUUUAUGAAAACUCAUUUCUUCUGUUCCUUCACUUAUUGGAAACUUGAAGUCUCUCUUUCAUCUAGAUUUGUCUGAAAAUCAGCUUAGUGGUUCGAUCCCCCAUUUUUUGGGCCAUUUGAGCAACUUGGCUGUAUUGCAUCUUGGUGAUAAUUCACUUUUCGGUUCUAUCCCCCCAAUUCUAGGAAAAGUCCAAUCUCUUUUGAGUUUAGGAUUUGAUCUUAAUCUACUCAAUGGUGUCCUUCCUCCUUCAAUUAGCAAUCUGAGCAAUUUAGAAGGUUUAUACCUAUACUCUAGUUUGGUUUCAGCAGAAAUAGGAAAUCUCUUGCAAUUAAUUGAGCUAGAGAUAGACAACAAGCAGCUUUUUGGUCAAAUUCCUAAAAGCCCGAGAAAUUUCACAAGCUUAAACAUAGUACAUCUUGAACAAAAUCAUCUCACGGGAAACAUAUAUGAAGUUUUCGGCAUAUACCCAAACCUGACGUUCUUAGAUCUUAGUCAAAACAAUUUUUAUGGUGAAAUCUCAUCUAAUUGGGGGAAAUGUCAGUAAUUAGGCUCUUUAAAUUUUUCAAUGAAUAACAUCACUCGGAGCAUACCUCCUAAGAUUGGAAAGUUAUACCAACUUCAUAAACUUGAUUUUUCAUUGAAUCACAUAGUUGGAGAGCUUCCAAUUGAACUUGGAAAUUUAAAGUCCUUAAACUACCGUGCUUUGAAUGGUAAUAAAGUUUAUGGGAGCUUACCUCGAGUACUUGGCUCAAUUAGUGAUCUAGAGUAUCUUGACUUGUCUACAAAUUAGUUGGGCAACUCUAUCCCAGAAACUCUUGGAAACUUGUUGAAAUUGCACUACUUGAGCAACAAUGAGUUUCGAAAAGAAUUUCCAGUUGAAUUGGAGAAGUUGGUUCAGCUUACAGAGCUAGAUUUAGUCAUAACUUUCUGGGAGGAGAGAUACCGCCCCAAAUCUGUAAUCUGGAAAGCUUGGAGAAGCUUAAUCUCUCGUACAAUAACCUUUCUGGUUUAAUUCCAGGUUAAUUUGAAGGAAUGCAUGGCUUGUCAUGCAUAGACAUAUCAUACAAUGAGUUGCGAGGUCUAAUUCGUAACAGCACAGGAAUCCAUUAUAAUCUUGUGGAUGCAUUACAAGGGAACAAAGGAUUGUGCGGUGAUGUUGACGGUUUUCAGCAUUGCAAAGACUAUGUAACUCACAAACAUGUCUUCAAAAAGAAAUGGUUUUUAAAUAUGUUUCCACUUUUUGGAAUACUUGAGCUUUUGUUCUUUGUGGUUAGAAUGAUUUCUGGAAGAAUGAAGAAGGCUUCAAGAGAAAACAAAGUAAGUUGUUUGAAUAAUCAAGGACUAUUUUCGAUAUUAACUUUUGAAGGUAAAAUUAUUUUCGAUAUUAACUUUUGAAGGUAAAAUUUUGUAUGAAGAAGUCAUUAGAGCGACGAACAAUUUUGACGCUAAGUAUUGCAUCGGCACAGGUGGACAGGCCAGUGUUUACAAAGCUGAGCUACCAUCUUGGGAGAUCGUAGCCGUUAAGAAAUUUCACUCACCACAUCCUGAUAUGGUAGUGCAACAAGCAUUCUCGAAUGAGAUCAAGGCAUUGACAGAGUUGCGACAUCGAAAUGUUGUGAAAUUUUAUGGUUUCAGUUUCCAUCCCCGACAAUCAUUUUUACUUUACGAAUAUCUUGGAAGGGGUAGUUUGGCCAUAAUUCUGAGCAAUGAUGCAGCGAUAGACCAAUUCAGCUGAACUGUGAGAAUGAAUGUGAUUAAAAGUGUAGGUAAUACCUUGUCUUACAUGUCAAAAUUGGCUGCAUCUAGAAGCUUUGACAAGAAUGGUUGGCAUGGCUGCAUCUAGAAGCUUUGACAAGAAUGGNNNNNNNNNNNNNNNNNNNNNNNNNNNNNNNNNNNNNNNNNNNNNNNNNNNNNNNNNNNNNNNNNNNNNNNNNNNNNNNNNNNNNNNNNNNNNNNNNNNNAUUCUAGAUGCCGUAUGUUUGGUAUUAGAAAAGAAAAAUUCAAAGUUUGAAAUUUGUAAGUUGUACGGCUUGAGGUUUUGGCCACGUGUUUGACAUUUGAGGCAAAGUUUUGCCUAUAAAUACAAGCUCUCAAUCUAAAGCUUGUAUCCAAUUCCAUCGAGAGAGAAGCAUUGCUUUCUUGAGUGUUGAGAGUUUUAAGAGUUUAAUAAACUCUUGAGUGUCUAGUGAGUGAGAGAUUGGGUGUAUUGGGGUUUUGGGUAGUGAGCUAAAAUAUUACAAUACUUGUAAUCCUUAUCUCACUAGUGAAAUAUUUUCCUUCUGUUUUUCGCCCGUGGAUGUAAGCUAAAAGCCGAACCACGUACUUUUUGGUGUCCUCUUUUGUGCUUGUUCUUUAUUUUCUUACAAUUUCAACUUAGCUGCGUGUCUGCUUCUCCCACCAAUUUUCCUAACAUUACAUGCAUCAUGAUUACUUCCCACCAAUUGUCCAUCAAGACAUAUCAAGCAAGAAUGUGUUGCUGGGUUUAGAUUAUGAUGCUCAUGUUUCUGAUUUUGGGAUCUCAAAAUUUCUCAAGCCAGACUCGUCAAAUUGGUCUAAAUUUGUAGGCACAUUUGGAUAUGUUGCUCUGGCAUAAAUUCUUAAAUUAAUUAUAUGACACCACUUGUUUCAUUAAUGAGCGUCAUAUCUAAACGAUCAUUCUUAUUGUUCACUUUGCAGAGCUUGCUUACACAAUGAAGGUUAACGAAAAAUGUCAUGCGUACAGCUUUGGAAUAUUAACAUUGGAAGUGAUACAGUGGAGUCAUCCAAUAAAUUUUAUUUCCUCAAUUUCAUCUUCAUCUACCAACAAUAACAUUUCACUUAAUGAACUUUUGGACCCUCGACUUAAAAAAAAAGAAGCAAAAUACAAUAAAAGAAGAUUAGAUAAUCAGAGGCGUAGUGAACCCCAAAAGAUAGUUAGCAUAGAACUCACUAAUUAAUAAAGUAAUAAAUGGGAUAAAAAAUGAUCGACUAAUAGGCUAUAUAUAUGUGUGUGUGUGUGUGUGUGUGUGUAUCUAGUCCAGAAUUUUAAAGUGUUGGAAAGUCCGAAAAAGCUUUAAAACCAUGUAGUUUUAAAACUUUCUCGUACUUUUCACACUUUAAAACCCUGGAUUAGAAUACACAUAUAUAUAUAUAUAUAUAUGCACACACACACACACAAACACACACACACACACAUACAUACAUUUAUUAGAAAUGUUCAAACCCGGAAUUUUAAAGUGCAAGAAAGUUCCUAAAAGCUUUAAAACCGCAUGGUUUUUAAGUUUUCCCAAACUUUUCCGUACUUUAAAAUUCUGGACCAGAAAACUACUCUAUAUAUAGAACCUCUAAAUAUGAGUACUCUAUAUAGGAAUAACCUCAUAGAAAUAAAAAAUUGUGAUCCCAACUUGGGACCAGUUAUAAUUAAGAAUAAACUCCACAUUGUAAUAAGUUAUAUUUUUUGUAUGUCCUAUCUUAAUAAACUUACUUCCAUAUAGUAAUAAUAUUUCAAAAAUAUAUGCCAUGUUACAUUAAAUAAUUAAGAUGGAACAAAAUAUCUUUCUAAAGUUACUUGUGACAAUGAUUUGUUCUUUAAAGUUGCAACCAUAUCUUUCAACUUGCAGGUAUGUAUUAAUUGGUCAGCAUAGGCACUUAAUAAUUGGUCAACAAAAUAAUUAAUUUAUUAAUGUCUAUACAUUGAAUUUGACUCACUUAUUAAUUUAUUAAUACAUGACAUAAUUUACCUUUAUAUCACUUGCAUUAGGGAUAAUUAAGCAAAGACAAUAAUUUUGUACUAUACCUCUAUUAAGCUAUAACCUCUUUAUAAGAAUAAAUUUCUCCAGUCCCAAUAAUAUGACUAUAUAGAGGUUUUACUAUAUAUAUAUAUAGGGCAAAAGCUCGUUUAGUCCCUAUAUUUUGAAGUUAGUGCCCGUUUAGUCCCUAUAUUUUUAAAAAUACCUCAAAUCAUCCCUACCAUUAAAUUAUUGACACUUUUGCCAUUAUCUUUUGUUCCUUUUAACUUAUUUUUAUAAUAUUGCCCUAUUAUAAUAAUUUUUUAGACAUUAUUAAAAAGAAAAAAAAUAACCCUAUUAUAAUAAUUUUUUUAGACAUUAUUAAAAAGAAAAAAAUAUAUUACCAAUUUAACACCAAAAAAUAAAAUAAAAUAAAAUAAAAAAUAUAUAUUAAUUUUUGUGGAACACACUCUUGAGUUAAAAUAUUAAUUUUUCUAAAAAAAUUGAUAAUGUAAUUUUUUACGAUAUUAAAUUUUUAGACAUACGUGAGCUUCCACAAAAAUUAAUAUAUACCUUUUUUGUUUUUAUUUUAUUUUUGAGUUUAAUUUGAUAAUUUAAUUUUUUAUUAAUAUCCAAAAAAGAAAUAUUAUUGUAAAAAUAUAAUAUUGUAAAAACAAGUUAAAAAUAAUGGCAUAAGUGUCAAUAUUUAGUAGCAGGGACGUUUUAAGGUGUUUUUAAAAAUACAGGGACUAAAUGGACACUAACCUCAUAAUAUAGGGACUAAACAAGCUUUUACCCUAUAUAUAUAUAUAUGCCACCUUGUAGUAUCGUAUGCCAUGUUUUAUAUAUAAACUUUUUCUUAAAAUAAUUAGAAAGGGAAUGAGAAAUCUCACUCAUUAAAUUAAAUGCUAAUCAAUAAGCACUAUCAUUACUUGAAGUCGACUAAUCAGAGGUGCAAGCAUUUAAAGUCAGUCGAGCUACCCCAAAAGGGAGCUUUACAUUUUUUUUUCACAUAAUAAUCAAAGAUGUCACGGUAAUGGUCCUUUCGAAAUAUCUAAUUUAAUUUUGAUAAAUUUAAUUAGUUGAAUUUGUUCAGUUGUUGAAAAAUUGUUUAAUUUUUUAAUACACAAAAUAAUAUCCUUUCGAAAAUUUAAUUAAGGUAUAUAUAGGUAAUCUUCAGAGUUCAACAAAUCACAUCUAUUUUUAAAUUAAAAAAGAGAGAGAAAGAGAAAAAAAAACUGAAAAAAGGAUAGGAUGUUGAAGGGGGAGAUAGUAGAUGUAUUUUGAAGUAUUGAGAAUGUUGAGAAUAUGUUUCGAAGUGUUUGUGUUGAGAAUACAUUUAGUAGAUGUAUUUUGAAUUAUUGAGAAUGUUCAGAAUAUGUUUUAUGUGUUUGUGUCGAGAAUACAUGGAUGUAGACGCACACACGCAAGGGGAGUUUUAAAAUUUGAAAUCAAAUUAAUGAAUAUGAUUUGAAGUGUUUGUGUUGAGAAUACAUUUUGGAUACACACGCACACACACAAGGGGAGUUUUAAAAUUUGAAAUUUGUUAAUCCGUUUGAUUUCUAACACAUGCAUACAUUCAGGGAAGUUCUUAUAAAAGUUCAAAAUACAUAACGUGUUUUGUCAUCAUCAAAAAGGGGGAGAUUGUUAACCUCUAUGGUUAUAUAGCAUUUUGAUUUUGAUAAUAAUAAACCACGAGUCAUGGGUAAAAUAGGAAAUACACAUAUUCUUUAUUUUGUUUUAAAACAAAAAAAUGAAUGUUGAGUAUUUUAAGAUGUCCUCAAAAUUGUUUUCUUUGUAUUUUCUAAAGGAAAAAUUUUAUUAUGUGAAUAUUAUUUCAAAUUCUAAGUAUAAAGCGCGUUUUCGCAUAAGUUUUUCAGACAAAACUUUUAUUAUGUGCUUAAACGUUAAAUCUUUAUAAUCCAAAUGGUAAGCUCACUAAAGUAAAACUAGCUGCUAGACACAAAUUGCAUACGUUACAAGGAAAGCGGCAAACCGAUUGCAUCAAAUUAGCUCUCUAGAAUCAAACGAUAAACUGGUAGAGCUGAAGCAGCAAACCGAUUGCAUCAAAUUAGCUCUUUGGAAUCAAACAAUAAACCAAUAGAGUUGAAGCAGCAAACUGAUUGCAUCAAAUUAGCUCUCUUGAAUCAAAUGGUAAACCGAUAAAGCUGAAGUGACAAACUAAUUCCAUCAAGAUGACUUACUAGACUCAAAGAACAAACUGCUAUUUGCAAGCGGCCAACCAAUUCCAUCAAGAUGACUUACUGGACUCAGACAACAAACUGUUAUUUGCAACUGACAAACCAAAUCCAUCAAGAUGACUCUCUGGAAUCAAGUGGCAAACUACUUUCUUGAAGCAGAAAAUCGUGAAGCAAAAAUUUCAAAUUACAACCAUAAGGAUAAGUGCCAUAUAAGCAAACUAUACACUGUUUUCUUGAAAGGGCAAAUCGAUUAUGCCUAGAAAGUCAACAACAGCUAAUUUUAUCGUUCAAUCUAUAAAUAGCUAAGAGAAACACUUUUGAAAUACGAAUUUUUUGGCCAUUUUUUAAAGAGUAUUGAGCUUUUACUUGCUUGUACACAUUCAUUGAAUUUAUAAUUGAGCUAUCAUUUGUAACAUACACUUGUGAGAGUGCAUUCUUUGUAAUUUCUAUUUCACUAUCAAAAUUGAGUGAUUGUAAGUGUGGGGAAACACUUGGUGAAGGAGGUGUGGGAUCAUCUCAAGUUGUAAAUGUUUAUUGACACCCUAAAAGUCAAUUGCAAACUUCCUGAAGCCUUGGAUUGUAAUGCUUGAAUAGUGGAACAAUCAAGUUCGGUUUGCUUGGAGGCAUGGAUAUAAGCGGGUUUUGCCGAACCAUGUAAAAAUUUCGUGUUUGCUUUCUUCUCCCAUAUCUCUUUAAACUUAUUCAUUGUUAUAUUUACUGUGAUUGAAUCUCUUAAGGCAUUAGUUUAAAUUAUUUUGUAAUUUAAUUUGUUUAAUUUUUAAAAACCCAAUUCACCCCUCUCUUGGGUUACUUAGCUAGAAUUUCAGCAUAGCUUGUCAUGUGUCAUACCGUACAAUGAGUUACGAGGUCCAAUUCCUAACAACACAAGAUUCUAGUAUGAUCAUGGAGGCAUUAUGAGGGAACAAGGAUUGUGAGGUGACGCUUACAGUUUUCAACCUUGCAAAGCCUUUGUAACUCACAAACAUGUCUUCAAAAAGAAAUGGCUUUUAAUAAUGUUUCCUAUGUUAGGAAUACUCGCUCUUUUAUUCUUUAUGAUUGGAAUGAUUUUUAGAAGAAUGAAGAGGACUUCUAGAGAAAACAAAGAAAGUUCUGAGGGCGAUCAAGGAGUGCUUUCGAUAUUAAUUUUUAAAACGUAAGUGGCGUAUUAAAAAAUCAUCAGUGCAGCGAAUAAAUUUGAUGCUGAGCAAUGCAUUUGGCAACCUAUCAUCUGGGAGAUCGUAGCGAUUGGCAAAUUUCAUCACCACUUCCAAGUGAAAUUUUAGUCCUACAAGAAUUCCUGAAUGAAAUCAAGGCAUUGCCAGAAUUAUGGUAUCAAAAUAUUGUGAAAUUUUAUAGCUUCUGUUAACAUCCUGGUACUCUUUUUCAGUCUAUGAAUAUCUUGAAAAGGGUAGUUUGGCUACAAUUCCAAGCAAUGAUGCAACAAUAGAAGAAUUCAUGAGCUGGACUCUGAGAAUGUAUAUGAUAUAAACUGUAGCUAAGGCCAUGAGUUAUAUGCAUCAUGAUUACUUCCCACCAAUUGACAAUCGAGACUUAUCAAGCAAGAAUGUGUUGCUGGGUUUAGAUUAUGAAGCUCAUGUUUCAGAUUCCGGAAUCGCAAAAUUUCUCAAGCCAGACUUGUCCUAUUGGACUGAUUUUGCAGGCGCAUUUGGAUAUGUUGCUCCACAUAUGCAUUCUUAAAUUAACCCAUUGAUCACUUUUUACAUUAAUAAACGUCAUAUCUAACUGAUCAUUUUAAUCUUUCAGUUUUGUAGAGCUUGUUUACACGAUGAAGAUUAUCGAAAAAUGCAACGGGUAUAGCUUUCCGAGAAUUAGCAUUAGAAGUGAUAAAGGGGAAUUAUCCAAGAGAUUUUAUGUCCUUCCAUCGGGGACAUAUCGCUGAAUGAAAUUUCGGACACUCGGCUUUCAACAUCAUCAUGAAAUGUUCAAGACACGCUGAUAUCAAUCAUGGAGGUUGUCUUAUUCGAUGUGGGCCCAGAAUCAAGACCCACGAUGUACACAAUGUGUCGUUUAAAAAAAAAAAAAAAAAGAACUCCAGAAAGUCAAAUGUUUCUUUUUUCUUUUGUAUUUUUUUCAUUUUUCGUUUUUGUUGGAUUAAAUAUGACUUUUGAAACUUAUGAUGGUUGUAAAAGAUUUUACACUUUAAUUAAGUACGUGAAUUACACAUUUCAAGCAUUAUUUGACUUUACCCCCAAUGUCUGCCGUAAUGUCAUUUGGCUUUUCUGUGCCUUACUUUGGAUAUGCAUAUUUUGUCAAAGGACAAAAAACUGAAAUUGAAAAAUAGAAGUUGUCAUAAAGUAAAUUAAUAUAUUCCAUAACAUUAUGAACAUCUACGUGCGAAAGCGACAGCGAUACUCUCAACACAUUGUAGGAACUGCCUCUAAGUAAGCCCAACGGGCGUAGUUUUACAGAUCACCGAAAAACCUUAGUUCAAAGUAUAAUGAUCGGCUUCCUAUGAUUUUUUUCUGUUUUUAAUGGCUACCUAUCACAAAUUUAGUAACUUCAGCAAAAUUCUAUUGCUUAUAUCUUUUUACUUUAAUAUUAUAAUCACGAUCGGCUUCUUAUCCCUUCUUUUUUUUCAACUCAAAUAAUUUUCACAACUUCAAGUCUUCAAGCAACUAUUUGGAAGAACAAAUCCAGAGGCCGAUCCAUCAGCGUUGGUACAGGAAGCUUCAGCUGGUUGAUUCUUGUAAAUGAGCUUCACAUCCUCCAAGCUAAUUCCAGUGCAUGGAUUCUUCGAACUGCAAUCGAGCUUUACUCCAACUUCCGUUGCCGAUGUUCCAUGAAUAUCUUGAUAUAUCACAUCACUGAUUUUAAUCCCCGAAGCCUAUUGAAAAAGAAUAAAAUAACAUUUAUUGAGUUGAAUUUUAAUCUCAUCAACAUUUACGUAAUUACAUCGACAGACUUGUGAUAAAUAAAUAUCGUACCUGUCCAGGGCAAUUCUCAUUGUCAGGGCAGUAAUUUUGAUCAAUUAUGAUAGGAUUAUCGACAUUGUUCAUAAGAGCAUGUUGGAAAAGAAUGUUCCUGGCAAAUCCACUGCUUGUUCUCCCCCAUGACUUAAUCCUCACUCCAUUUUGAGUGCCUGUAAAUGUCACAGAUGUUACUGUCACAUUUUGCACUCCAGCCUCUUGUUGCUCUUUGCCUAAGCUGCCAAUGCUGCAACAAAAUCACAAUAUUCAAUUUAAUUAGCACUAAAUAUUUAUACGUACCACCAAAAAUAAAGAGAAAAACAAAUUAUCAUGUUUUUUAAUUUUACCUGAUCCCAUGGCCAGGGCCACAAGCAACAUUUUCAAUCCAUAAGUUGGUGGCGCCAGGCCCAACUGAUACACAGUCAUCACCAGUCCCAAUUUUGCUGUCCAAAAUUGAAACACCACUUGAUGAUUGAACGUGAAUGCCAUCGGUGUUUGGGCUGUCACCGGCGGCCGAAACUUUGACCCCCUGUACUUUCACAUCGUUGCAUCCAUUGAUGACAAUAUGAAACAUCUGGCUAUCUACGGAUGCUAAUCCGUUAAUCACAACGUUGUUUGAGUUGCUAAAGCGAAGUGUCUGCUCAUGUAUGUACAAAAGAGGGAACAUUAAUUAUUAUAACUAAAGCAGGAAGCCAAACAAUAUGGAAAGCAAAAAGCCACUAAAUUUACGACUAUACAGAUAUAUAAAGGAUAUUUCAACUUAAUUACCGUAGCGCCACUGGGGCAAUUACUAUUGUCCGACUUUUUACAAGCCCACAAGCCAGCACCUUGGCCAUCAAGAACGCCACCAUUAAUAGAAACCCCGCUAACAUGCUCAAAUAAAAUCCAGUUUUCGGCAUUUCCGAUAACAUGAUAAUCAGCUGGAGCCACCAGAGUCCCGUCAAUACGUAUGGUAAUAUCAUUGUUCUUGCAUUGGCCUUGAAACACAACAUUGCUUAGUAAGUACCUCCCGGGUGGCACGUAAAUGGUUGCGGCCUCGGCCGAGCCACAGGCUUGAGCCCAUGCAGCAAGAAAGGAUUUUACUGAGUCAGUCUGGCCAUCGGGUCUGGCUCCGAAGCUCAGCACGUUGUAACUCAAAGGAAUUGCUAAAGAUGAACUAAAGAAGAGAAUCAAAAGAAACGGUAAAAAUUUAAUAGGCAAAGACAUUGAUGUUGACACUGUUUCAAAGUUUUACUUUACUGAUGGAUAUGAGAGAAAUAGAUUUGAGACGUUGAGUAGUUGGGGUGAAGUUGAAAAGAUUUAAAUGGGUAUUUAUAGGAUUUGAAUGAACUGUAGAAAUAUAAAUCACACUAGUAUUGAAUGCAAUCUGCGCAGAAUUACGGGAGUGAUUUUUGCCUUAACUGAUACGAUCUUAAUUUACUAAAAUACCCUUUAACUGAAAUUUGGAUGAUAUUUGAUGACAGAAGCAACAAAUACAUACAUAAGACAAGGGCACGUCCACAUAUGGUUUCGUAAGAUGAGAGAUUUCAAAGGUAGUUAAUAAAUUAACAGAUAAAAAGUGCUUAUCCAUUUUCUGCUUUUCUGGUGCCAUGUAAAAUUAUGCCCCUUUGUUUGCCUUGAGCACAAGACCAAUGCCUCCUCAAUUCCCACGGAACGAUAUGUUCAUUUCUGUGAACUAUCUCUCCUUGUUGCUUGAAGUUACAGCAAAAUAAAACGGUCUAAAAAUCAUUCGGACUAAGUUUUUGGGUAACCUGUAAAUACUGCAUGAAUUAACGUUGGAUAAACGAAAAGUACACAGCUAAUAAUUUUGUCAAAUGCUACAACCACUAAAAGGCCUGCAAACUCAUUCAGAUUGUUCAUUUGUUGGUUAAUAUAUAUUUCCAUUAUCCCUUUGGGCUAUCAAGUCAAUUAUAUGGAUAAGCCUCAGUAUCUAACUUCUAAUCUUACAGGUCAUUGAUUAAAUCGAACGGUUCAUGCUUAUGCAACUAUUAAUAUUGUAACUUUUAUAGCAGCAUCAUAGAAUGACCCUUGUAUUAUCUUGACUGCCAAUUUCUUUAUUUAUUUUUCAGAUAAAAAAUUGUUUUACAAAACAAAAAAAGAAUAUGUUAUUAAGGAAGCUCACAUCAGUAGCAUAGACUGUAAAGCAGAGGAUAGCAGCAGCUCCAGCUUACGGUUGAGAGUUUAUGACAUGGCAUGCCAGCUGGCACCUGGUGGUUAUGUAAUCACUUGUACAGGUGAUAAUCAGCUGAAGUUGUUAUAGUUAGUUAGAAUUAGCAGUAGUUUGUAACAGUCAAAAUGAUGUUGAUAUCUGCCACCUGGAAUAUCAUAUCAUACCAUUUUUUUUAUAUUUUUUUUCAGAAAAAUAAAAGUCUAUAAGGGAAUUAGAAAUCUCACCCAUGAAACUCCAACCAUCACCCACUAUUAUUACUAGUACUCGACUAACCUAAUGCAUGUGUAAUAUAAAAUUUAGUUUAGAUGAAUUAAAUUACGUUGGAUUUCUUUAGGUGUUGAAAACUUGUUUAAUUUUUUUCUGUACAUACAAUAAUAUCCUUUCGAAAAUUUAAUUAAGAGUAAUUGCCAGAAUUCAACAAAUCACAUCUAUCUUUAAUUUUUUUUUUAAAAAAAGAGAAAAAUAAACUAAAAAAAAAGAAAGAAAAGAAAAUGCCCGUAACAAGCCCCAAAACAUGGAAUGUAGCAGUCGCAAACCAAAAAGCUCAAUACACAUUUGUCUGCGCAUGUGAGUGUUCAAGACAUGAAUUAAUGGACUCUUGAAGUAAUUUAUAUUUACUGUCUCUGCUGUUAAUCUAAAACCAAAAACUAAAUAUUGCCAUGAAUUUAGGGUUUAAAUAAUUAUUGCUGUUUUUAAAGAAUAUGAAGGAAUCAAUAUUUAUAUAACCUACAGAGCAUGUGAGCUUAGCAAAAAUGGAGGAACGGUGCGAUAUGAAACGAUGUUUUCAUUAAAACAUCAUGCAAUGCUUUAAAUGGAGAUGCAUGUUUGAAAUAAAAAAUAAAAAUAACAUAAAGAAGGAGGAGGGUUGACUGUAUGGGGAUUUGUGCUUAUAAUUUAGGCUCACAUAGCUUCCUUUGAUUGAAGAACAUACGUGCAAGCAAACUCACAAAUGGUAUUGUGCCACUUAGAAGUAAGAGAAGCACAUCAAUCAUUGAACCUCUUUUUUUUUUUUCUGAAUCAAUUGUAUUAAGGAAGCACAUCUCAGCUGCUUAGUCAAAGAUCAGUCAAUGCAAAGUGUGGCCAAUGAAGCCAAGUGAGCAGAGUGAUUAAGAGUGUGCCAGAUCAUUGACAGCUCAGCUUAUUAGUUACACAUAUCUAUUGUGCUCUGUAUCUUUCAUUUUUGUUAUUUUCUGUUUUUAGUGUUAGCAGUUAGUUACAGUUUAUAGUUAAGCUCACGAGCUUGAUAUAAAUACUUUGUUUUACUAUUUUUGAUAUUAAGUGAAAUAAACAAUAAACAUUCAUUUCCAGAAUAUUCUUUUCCUCUGUAAAUUUUUUUUCUUCCAAACACAAUACGAUUUUCCUUUAUGGUAUCAGAGCCAGAUCAAUAUGGCUAGCUCCAGCAAUCCAAUCGUAAACACAAACACUAAUUCAAUAAGCUCAACAAAUUUUUCAUUCAUCGCUCCUGUGAAGUUAGAUCGAAUCAAUUACUUAAUUUGGCGAUCUCAAGUAUUAGCUUCCAUAAGAGGCAACAGACUUGAAGGUUUUAUUAAUGGAACAAAAUUUGAACCAGAGCAGUGCAUUACUCGAAGAACAGCUGAGGGAUCUACACAGCUGAUUGAGAAUCCAGAGUUUAUCACCUGGAAAUCACAAGAUCAAACACUUCUUGGCUGGCUCUUAUCUUCAAUAAGUGAAGGUACACUUGGUCUUGUUAUUAAUCUUGAUAGUUCAUAUAUUGUAUGCAAAACACUUGAGAAGAAAUUUGGAGUACAAUAUGAAGCUAAGGUACUUCAAAUCAAGUAUGAAAUAAACACUUUAAAGAAAGAAUCAAUGAAUGUUGAAGAUUAUUGCAUGAAAAUGAAAGCAUUAGUUGAUAAGCUUGCUUGUGCUGGGAGUCCUUUGAAUGAUAGAGAAUUAUUGUUGCACAUUCUAAAUGGUCUUGGACUAGGCAAUCUAGAUUUAACUUCUUUUAUCACUGCUUGUAGAAUGGAUUUUGAUGAUGCAUAUGCAUUGUUGCUCACUCAUGAACCUAGGCUUGAGCAACAAGAGCAAGAUGCUAAAACUGUUUUCAAUGCUAAUUUUGCACAAGGCAUGUUCAAUGGUAAUUUUGUACAAACAAGGGGAAACUUUAGAAGAGGUGGUUAUACAGGAGGUUUUCAAGGCAAUUAUCAUGGUGGAAGAGGAUCAGGCACUGGUAGAAGUUUUCCUUUAAGAAAUUUUUCUGGAUUUAAUGGUUUCAAUGGAGGAUACUCUAGCUUUGGUGGUUAUAGUAUAGGUCAAAACAUGCAUCAGAUGAAAGGAAAAGUCUUCAAUGGAAUGUCUCCUGUAUGCAUGCCUGGUUUUCAUACUCCAUAUUCCCCUGGAACUGCUUAUAUGGCCAAUUUUGAAGGGCUUGCUAAUGAAAGUUGGUAUUUCGAUAGUGGAGCUACACAUCAUCUACCAAACAACAUGACCAAUAUGCAUAUCAGAGAGGAAUUCAAAGGUAAUGAUCAACUCAUCAUAGGAAAUGGUCAAGGCCUAACUAUCACUCAUGUUGGUAAUGCUUCUCUUCGUUUGUCUGGUUCUAAAACUACCUGCAUUCUGCUAAAGGAUAUAUUGCUUGUACCUUCUAUAACUAAAAAUCUUUUAAGCAUAUCUAAACUAACCUCAAAUAAUAACAUUUCUGUUGAAUUUUGUGCUAAUGUUUGUUUUGUGAAGGACAAAAUGAAAGGACAAGUUCUUCUGUAGGGACUUUCUGAGAAAGGACUGUACAAGCUGCAACUUAAACCCAGUUCACCCAAUACUCAAUCUCAUGAGUCACAUAUGUCAGUUGUUCAUUCAAAUAAACCUUUGUCUAUGUUGUCUUUUGUCAAUAGAAACAAUCAGACCUCAAAUAAAUGUGAUUCUUUUGCUAAGGCUUGUUUCAAUUCUGUUUCAUCAAAUUGUACUCAAACAGUUGAUCAAUUAACCUUGUUACAUAGAAAGUUUGGUAAUCCAAAUUUGAAUGUUCUAAUACACUUGCUGAAGUUUUAUAAUUGUUCUAAAGUCUCUCUGCAGUCACUCAAAAAUUCUAGUCAUAAUGUGUGUGAAGCCUGUCAAUUGGGAAAAUCUCAUAGGCUACAUUUUGCAACUACAGAUACCAAAACUACUCAUGUUUUGGAGCUUAUACACACAGACCUUUGGGGGCCUUCACCAUUUCUGUCUAGGAAUGGAUAUAAGUACUACAUUAGCUUUGUUGAUGAUUAUAGCAGAUAUACAUGGAUUUAUCCCCUUAAGCUUAAGUAAGAAGCUUUAGUAGUCUUUAAGUUGUUCAAACUUCAGGUUGAAAAUCAGUUCAGCACAUCUAUCAAGAUGUUGCAAUCUGAUUGGGGGGGGGGGGAGAAUAUAGAGUGUUUACAGAUUUUCUAAAUCAAAAUGGUAUUAUUUUUAGACACUCAUAUCCUUAUACACAUCAUUAAAAUAGAUCAGUGGAAAGAAAACAUAGACAUAUAGUUGAACUUGGUUUAACUCUACUAGCUCAAGCAAAUUUAUCUUUUCAAUACUGGUGGGAUGCCUUUCAUACUGCAGUAUUUCACAUCAAUAGGUUACCCACUUCAGUGCUCAAGAAUCAAACACCAUACGAGAAUUUGUUUAAACACAAAGCAGAUUAUAGUUUUCUUAAGUGUUUCGGCUAUUUAUGUUAUCCAUUCUUGAGAGACUAUAAUAAGCACAAGUUUGAUUUUCAUUCCAACAAGUGUAUAUUCAUUGGGUAUAGUCCAUCACACAAGGGUUAUAAAUGUCUUCAUCCUUCAGGUCAAGUGGAUAUUGUCAGACAUAUCACAUUUGAUGAAACCUAUUUUCCUUCAACUCUCCUUGAUGAUAAAACCAAUAUUUCACCUUGUGUCUCUGAGUCUGUCAAAUCACUUAACCAACAACAAGUUUUUCACUUGUCUACCUUGCCAUAUAUUCCUGAUAGCAGAUUUGAAGAACCUUUCUCAGCAGGAACCAGCAGUAACAGAACUCAAUCUUUAUCAAGUUCUAAUCAUACAAUUAUUGCUCAACAAAAUCAACAAUAUGAUUUACUUGGAUCUCGAGAUUACACACAAACACCAAUUACAAACAAUUCACCUGUAUCAGCUCAAAUUUUUCAACCAGAACCUCAAAAUCCAAUUUUAUCACAUGACAUAUCAACCAACACAUCUUCACAAAACCAGAAAACUAUUCAUCAACCAACACACAAAAUGAUCACUAGAGCUAAAUCAGGCAUAAUCAAACCAAAGGUGUAUUGUGCUACUCUAUCAAAUAGGGAACCAGAUACAGUUGAAGAAGUAUUAGAAGAUCCAAGGUGGUAUCAGGCAAUGAAAGAUGAGUAUGAUGCAUUAAUGAAGAACAAUACUUGGAUUCUAGUACCUAAAUUCUCUGACCAGAAAGUUGUUGACAAUAAAUGGAUAUUUAGAGUCAAGUAUAAUACUGAUGGUAGUGUUGCUAAGUUUAAAGCCAGAAUUGUUCCAAAGGGAUUUCAACAAGUAGCAGGAGUUGAUUACUUUGAGACUUUCAGUCCAGUAGUUAAACCAGCUACAGUUCGAGUGNNNNNNNNNNNNNNNNNNNNNNNNNNNNNNNNNNNNNNNNNNNNNNNNNNNNNNNNNNNNNNNNNNNNNNNNNNNNNNNNNNNNNNNNNNNNNNNNNNNNUUGAUUAAGGAUGUCUUUAUGAAGCAACCUGAGGGUUUUAUCAAUGUUUAUAAACCUGGUCAUAUUUGCAAAUUGAACAAAGCACUUUAUGGACUGAAGUAGGCUCCUAGAGCAUGGUUUGAUAACCUCAAGGAAACUUUGAUUAAGUGGGGAUUUCAGAACUCAAGAGCAGAUACAUCAUUGUUCUUGAAGAAAGAAAAAGGAUCUAUGAUUAUGGUACUAAUCUAUGUGGAUGAUUUAUUAAUUACAGGUCCUAACAGCAAAGCUCUUGAAGAUUUUAUUUCUCAUUUCAGUUUAGUUUUUGCCUUAAAAGAUCUAGGGAUUUGUCUUAUUUCCUGGGGAUUGAAGUCUCUUACUACAAGGGAAGUAUUUUCUUGUCUCAAAGGAAAUAUAUUAGAGACUUAUUGGCAGAAGCAGAGCUUCUAAACUGUAAAGGUUGUGACACACCAAUGACUACAAGAACAAAGCUUCAUAAACAAGCUUAUGGUUCACUUGGUCAAUUCAUUGAAGAUCCUACAGCAUAUAGAAGUUUGGUUGGAGGCUUACAAUAUGUAAUACUUACAAGGCCUGAGAUAGCUUUUGCAGUACAUAAGCUUAGUCAAUAUAUUGCUAUGCUAACUUUACAGCAUCUAAUGGCGUGCAAGAGAGUGUUAAGAUACUUAAAGGAAACUCAGGAUUAUGGACCGAAAUUUGGAACUGAAGGAGAGCUGAGACUGACUGGAUACACAGAUGCAGAUUGGGCUUGUGACAUUAAUGACAGGAAUUUAGUUGGUGCAUAUUGCAUAUACUUGGGAAAUAAUAUAACUCAUGGUCUUCUAAGAAACAAUCAGUUGUGACAAGAUCUAGUGUUGAAAGUGAAUAUAGAUCUCUUGCUUCAACUUAUGCAGAAAUUACUUGGCUUCAAUCAUUAUUCAGUGAAAUGAAUCUGUAGUGCACUUCAACUCCAGUGAUAUGGUGUGAUAAUAAGAGUGCCACUGAGCUUGCAAAGAACCCAGUUUAUCAUUCAAGAACCAAACAUAUUGAAUUGGAUAUGCACUUCAUUAGAGACAAAAUUGUUGCCAAAGAAUUGCAGAUCAAUUAUAUACCCAGUGAAGAACAAAUUGCAGAUGCUUUAACCAAACCCUUAACCUUCAAUCAUUUUAAUUUUUUCAGAAGCAAACUCAAUGUGCAACCUUGCCCAUUGAGUUUGAGGGGGGCUAUUAAGGAAGCACAUCUCAGCUGCUUAGUCAAAGAUCAGUUAAUGCAAAGAGUGACCAAUGAAGCCAAGUCAGCAGAGUGAUUAAGAGUGUGCCAGAUCAUUGACAGCUCAGCUUAUUAGUUACACAUGUCUAUUGUGCUCUGUAUCUUUCAUUUUUGUUAUUUUUUAUUUUCAGUGUUAGCAGUUAGUUACAGUUUAUAGUUAAGCUCACGAGCUUGAUAUAAAUACUUUGUUUGACUAUUUUUGAUAUUAAGUGAAAUAAACAAUAAACAUUCAUUUCCAGAAUAUUCUUUUCCUCUGUAAAUUUGUUUUCUUCCAAACACAAUACGAUUUUCCUUUAAAUUGUGACGGUGGCUUAGUUUGGCCAUGUUUAUUAUAUCAGGAUAGGGGCCAAAUCCUUUUGCUUGUUUCUAAUUUUCGAUGUAUAAUGUGUCGCCUUUACCUUUCCCAAGAUACAUAGUUCUACUUUUGGGUCGAUCAGGACCUUUUUCUUUUCUCAUUCCUAACUUUUAAGCACUUUAACCCUAGCUCACUUUAUGCACAUGUGGAAAUUAACCUCUUUGAAAUUGUGGGUGAGAGAGAUGAUAAUUUUAUUUUUCGAAAUUAAAAUUUUGAUUCGACAAAGGUUAUAAAGGAGAAAUAACAAACUUAAAGAGACUGUAACAAAAAAUGACAAAGUGAUACAAACUCUUAAAAUAAUUUAAAUUAUUUAAUUUAUUUAUUCAAUUUUAUGGUAUUAGUUAAUUUUGAACUAAUCAAAAGUAGUUACACUUAUUUUGUGGAACUAAAUGUAAGUAGUGGAGCAUUAUGUGAGAACAUCUUAGUGUUACUAAUUUUUAAGUUGUAAUCUUAAAUAAGCUUUAUUCUACAAAGUUUGAUAUUAUUCAACAAAAAGCAUCAUGAGUUUAUUAUUUUGGCAACAUAAAAGUUGUAAUUGAGAGUUUAUUGGUUACUCGAAUAACCAAUACUUAUUUGGAGGCUUGGGUUUCCUUGAAUUAACCCCAUUUCGUUGGUAAAUUUGGUGGGUGAAGCAGACACACAACUAAAGUGAAAUUGAGAAAUAAUGAUCACAUAGGGACACCAAAAUUUAUGUGGUUUGACUUUUAGCCUACGUUCACAGGCGAAGAUAGAAGGAAAAUUACAAGUAUUGUAAUGUUUUGUCUCACAACCCAGAACACAAUUACACCCAAACUAUCAAAAACACUAGAACUAGAGCUCAAAGCUCUCAACACUCUUAAUUUACACCUCUUAUCACUCUCACUUGAAUUGGAGAAAAUGGGAUGAAUGAAGAGGACAAAUGAAGCUGAUAAUUAUAGGCCAGGAAAUGCCCAAAAAUCAACAAUGGCGGGCACUAAAGUAAUAUAAAUUUCUCUCAAAUUUCCACUUUGGUGCUGAAGUCAAAGGUUGCAUGUGAAAUAUAAGUGUGCAACCCAAGAGGGGGGUGAAUUGGUAUUUUAAAAAUUAUCCUAGCAAAUCCACACAACAAACAAUCUAACUUCUUAAUAAAAUUGAAAACAAUAAGUUCAAUAAAAGCACAAUAACAAAUGAGUAAGGGAGAAGAGAAACAAACACACGAAUAUUUACGUGGUUCGGCAAUCCCCACCUACGUCCACGCCUCCAAGAGAUCCAAGCUUGAGGAUUUCACUAUCUGAGCCUUUCUAAGGCUUCAACCAUUUACAAUUGACUUCAAGGUGUCAAUGGACAUUUACAACAAAGAAAUUAUCUCUCAAUCUCUUCACUCAAGUGUCUCACACACUCAAACACUUACAAUUAAGAUGAAGAAAUGAAAGUUACAACAAAACUCACUCAAAGAGUAGAUAUUCAAAAAUGAAGAUCAAGAGAUGAUUCAAUGUGUUUUGUGAUUUGCAAAUUGAAAGCUCAAGAUAUCUCGUGUGCUUUUUGAUUAUGCUUGCUGGAGAGAUUGAAAAUGAAUUGGAUUUGAGUUUAUAUAGUUUGAGCUCAAAAACUAGUCGUUAUGCACAUUUUGGUUGUAACCGGCUUACCGUUUAUAGAAUUCGAUUAGCCGCUUUUAUGUUACCAUUAAGGCAAAAAUUUGAAUUUCAGAAUAUUCGGUAUGCCGCUUUUCAUAUCCGAUUAGCUGCUUUUGAAAUUCAGAUUACCGCUUGCGAAAUCUGGACAGCCGUUAUACUCCAGAAGCUUAUUGCCCAAAAUUUGGAUUGCCAUUUACCAUAUCUGGCUAGCUGCUUGCUACAGUAACCGCUACAGUGAAAUAUUUUCUAAAUUUAUAAUUUGACCCCAAAACUUUAUAAAAACUAUAUUAUAGCCCAAAACGUUAUGAAAACUUUUAAAUAGGUCCAAUUUCAAAAUUUCUAAAUAAUGCUUUGUCAAUCCCAAAACUUUCUGAAAUUAUGAUUUCACCCAAACUAGGUGAAAUUAUAGAAUGACCCAAAAUAUUUAAAUAGUUUCAAAUAAGUCCAAAUCUGAAAUUUUAAAACAAUUUCAAAGAUUUUAAAAUACUUUCAUUUUAGUCCAAAACACUUUAAUUCUAUAACAUCAUUUUCUUAUUAUAAAAGCACAAUUCAUAGAUCUUUGUUUAAUCAAUACAUGUGGUUUGUUAUCAUCAAAAUCAAUAUCUAUAGCCAUAUAGGCUAACAACAUGCCUCCUACUCACUCAACAAAUUUAUGCCAAGAGUCAAAAGUUGCAUGCUAGUCACAUGCAAUUGUUUGCCACAUGCAUGCACACGUUCAACACAUUUGUCGUCUAAUUUUUCUAUUUCAUUUGAUUUCUCCUUAUAAACAUUAGUGUUCGUAUCAUUUGGUGUUAGAGAUUGGUAAUGAAAAAGGAGUAAAUCCUUACAGUGGAGCAGAGAAUUGAGAGCAUUCAGAAGAUGAUGGAGGGUAUAAUUCUUAAGUAGAAGGACCUUACCAAGAAAUUAUUGUGCAAAAUGGAUGAAAUUUCAAGAACAUGGGAUGCAAGGUUGAACUUAGGUAGCCCUCAUAUCAAACUUGUGAAAGAAAAUUCUACGUCUUUGGUUGAAGUUCAACGUCUCCAACAAAGUGACAAUUUGGCAACUGCAACGCAUGAUGGAGGUGUUAAACAAUGCAGCAAAGUAGUGGCAUCAUUGAAGAAAAUUCCACAAAUCAACAUUCAAAAGGUUUGAGUUUCUCUACAAGUCAAAGNNNNNNNNNNNNNNNNNNNNNNNNNNNNNNNNNNNNNNNNNNNNNNNNNNNNNNNNNNNNNNNNNNNNNNNNNNNNNNNNNNNNNNNNNNNNNNNNNNNNNNNNNNNNNNNNNNNNNNNNNNNNNNNNNNNNNNNNNNNNNNNNNNNNNNNNNNNNNNNNNNNNNNNNNNNNNNNNNNNNNNNNNNNNNNNNNNNNNNNNNNNNNNNNNNNNNNNNNNNNNNNNNNNNNNNNNNNNNNNNNNNNNNNNNNNNNNNNNNNNNNNNNNNNNNNNNNNNNNNNNNNNNNNNNNNNNNNNNNNNNNNNNNNNNNNNNNNNNNNNNNNNNNNNNNNNNNNNNNNNNNNNNNNNNNNNNNNNNNNNNNNNNNNNNNNNNNNNNNNNNNNNNNNNNNNNNNNNNNNNNNNNNNNNNNNNNNNNNNNNNNNNNNNNNNNNNNNNNNNNNNNNNNNNNNNNNNNNNNNNNNNNNNNNNNNNNNNNNNNNNNNNNNNNNNNNNNNNNNNNNNNNNNNNNNNNNNNNNNNNNNNNNNNNNNNNNNNNNNNNNNNNNNNNNNNNNNNNNNNNNNNNNNNNNNNNNNNNNNNNNNNNNNNNNNNNNNNNNNNNNNNNNNNNNNNNNNNNNNNNNNNNNNNNNNNNNNNNNNNNNNNNNNNNNNNNNNNNNNNNNNNNNNNNNNNNNNNNNNNNNNNNNNNNNNNNNNNNNNNNNNNNNNNNNNNNNNNNNNNNNNNNNNNNNNNNNNNNNNNNNNNNNNNNNNNNNNNNNNNNNNNNNNNNNNNNNNNNNNNNNNNNNNNNNNNNNNNNNNNNNNNNNNNNNNNNNNNNNNNNNNNNNNNNNNNNNNNNNNNNNNNNNNNNNNNNNNNNNNNNNNNNNNNNNNNNNNNNNNNNNNNNNNNNNNNNNNNNNNNNNNNNNNNNNNNNNNNNNNNNNNNNNNNNNNNNNNNNNNNNNNNNNNNNNNNNNNNNNNNNNNNNNNNNNNNNNNNNNNNNNNNNNNNNNNNNNNNNNNNNNNNNNNNNNNNNNNNNNNNNNNNNNNNNNNNNNNNNNNNNNNNNNNNNNNNNNNNNNNNNNNNNNNNNNNNNNNNNNNNNNNNNNNNNNNNNNNNNNNNNNNNNNNNNNNNNNNNNNNNNNNNNNNNNNNNNNNNNNNNNNNNNNNNNNNNNNNNNNNNNNNNNNNNNNNNNNNNNNNNNNNNNNNNNNNNNNNNNNNNNNNNNNNNNNNNNNNNNNNNNNNNNNNNNNNNNNNNNNNNNNNNNNNNNNNNNNNNNNNNNNNNNNNNNNNNNNNNNNNNNNNNNNNNNNNNNNNNNNNNNNNUAAUUAUGAAUUGGAAACGGAAGAGAAAGCAAAUUAUUUCAAAAAAAUCUACCCUUGAGGACAACAGUAUUUUCAAGGGGGAAGGAAUGAUACAAACUCUUAAAAUAAUUAAAAUUAUUUAUUUUACUUAUUUAAUUUUAUGGUAUUAGUUAAUUUUGAACUAGUUAAAAGUAGUUGCACUUAUUUUGUGGAACUACAUGAAAGUAGUGGAGCAUUAUGUGAGAAAAUUACCUAUUAAUAAACCAUAGGUAAUUUUCUAUUUGUAGGUAAUAUAUAUGCUUGUGGAUAGAAUUUUAUUUUAAUUAAAUGAUAAAUAUUGUCUUAAUCACUAACAAAUAAAAAUAUUAAACAUGCAAAUAUACAUAUUAAUUUAGAUUUAUGCAUAAUAAAUAUUGAAAUAUUAUUUAACCUUCACCAACACAUAUUAACAGUGAUCUCUUUUUAUUAUUUAUAAUUUGGAACAAUACAAUUUUAAUUUCUUGGUGUUAUAUUUAUUAAUCUACUAAAUUUUUGGUGAGAAAGAAAGAAAGAAUAUUAUUAAAAAUAAUUUUCAAUUAUGUUAGUAUUAAACAAUAGUUUAAAAAAUAUAUAAUUUUAGAUAGAUUGUAACUUUUUUUAAAUCUUUAAAUAGAUUGGUCUGAUAGCCUGUUAAUUUUAAAUUAUUAAAAUUAAAAUAUUGGACUAACUGGCUUCUAAUUUUAUAAGCCAUUGAUUAAAUCCAACGGUUCAUAUUUAUGCAACUAUUAAUACUUAACAGCAUCAUAGCAUGACCCUUGUAUUGUAAUUCUUUUUCUUUGUUCGGAAAGUAACUGAAUUAUUGUUUGACCCACAAUUUUAGAAAAUGCCUAAUAAGAAUAUUGAAAUUCCUGAAUUCUUAAUGGCCAUAUCUUAAAAACACAGAUAGUUGUUUUGGGUCGGAAGGCUAAAUUCAUAAAUAAAGUUCCCCUUGUUUCCGAAAAUUUCAAAGUUCAGCUCUAGUUACAUAUGGAAAAUGAAUCCGGAGCGCAGUUCCAUCAACAUCAACUAUUGAUUUUUUAAGAAAAAAAAUUUGAAAAGCCAUGUGAAAAAAUGAUUCAAUGAAAGUGGAUAAAAUGCGUUAUGUAGCAAGAUACAUCAGUGCUGACGAUUUUUUGCUUUUACUAAAUUGAUGGAAAUAUCAUAAAGUUUCAAAGAAAACAAAUAUGUUUUCUCAUUUUAUCAAAGAUUAUUCAGAUGGGAAGAAGUUUCCUAGCCGCAAUUUUCCUACUUUCGAAAUGGAUGUUUGAGAUGAGUUCAACCCCCUUUCUUUUUUUUUUUAUUACAAUUUUUAUGCAUAUUACUGUUUUCCUUGUUUCAAUUACUCAGAUUAAGCAAACAAUCAAGCCACAUUACUAGGUUAUCAAGAAAGCGUAGUCACCAAUUAGGUCCUUCUUCAUGCCAAAUUCUGCACCGAAAGGACAAAGCUUAGGUCUCAAGUCAAAGACGACGUGACUUAGUUUAGUCAUUUGCUUUUUGUUAAACAGAAUUUAGCAGAAGUUAAUUAACCGAUUACAAGGUCACCACAUGGGGAUUUCUUCUUCAACUGCCCAACUGAAAAAAAGUUUACGACUGUUGACCAAAUGAUUUUUUUAUACAUUACUGGUUAUUUAAGGAAUUUACUUUCGCAUAGUACCAUUAAUUGUUAAGAGUUAUUAGCUAACCCACCGGUAACUUCUAUUGAUGGUAUCACCACAAAGUUUGUUUUAUAAUUAAUUAAAUAGGUUUACGAUGAGCUCGUCAGCAAUUUUUUUUUUUAAAGAAAAGAUUGUUUUACUAAAAAAAAAAUGUAAUAUAGAACAAAAGAAGAUUAGGCAAUCAGGGGUGUAAUGAACCCCAAUUAAAGAUAGUUACCAUAGAAUUAGCUAAUUAAUGAAGUGAUAAAGGAGAUAAAAACUAAUCGACUAACAGUCAAAAUCAUGUUGAUAUAUGCUACCAUCAUUAUAAAAGAAAUGGUAUUUAAUACCAUAUCCUACCAUUUCUUAUAUAAAUUUAAAAAAAAAUAAAAGUCUUUAAGUGAAUUAGAAAUCUCACCCAUGAAAUUCCAACUAUCACUAGGGAUGGCAAUGGGGAGGGGAGGGGAGGGGACCAAUCUCCCCGUAUCCAUCCCCGAUAUUUUGCGUAUGUCCCCAUCCCCGUCAGAAUUACUUGAGAGAAUCCCCAUCCCCUCCCCGAAUAAUAACAGGGGAUCCCCGAGGGUCCCCGAUCCCCGAAUAACUAAUACAUUUUUUUUUGUUUUCGAUUUUGAGUUAAUCAUAUUAAAAUAAAAAAUUCAAAUAAAAGUAAAGUUCGAAAUAUAUCUUACAUUAAUAUCUAUUACAAAAGUCACAUACAUUAAAUUAGUAAGUAACGCAGCAUGCAAGGGAGACAAACUUCUUUUACAAACUAUCAUGAACAAAUUAAUAGUCUAAUACAAAAUUGUUACAAAUAAAAUCGAAUUUAGAUUCAAAAUUAACUUGUUCAAUCGUGGCGUGGGCACUUUAUAAAUGUGGACUAUUCCCUUUACAAUACAAUAGUUAAAUCGAAGCAAAUCAAGAGCAAAUAUUAUAUUACAUUAGAUUAUAUAUUAAAAUUGUGAUUUGCUGUGGGCAAUUAUAACAUCUAAAAAUAAAUAAAAAAUAGAUUUAAGUUUAAAAUAUUUAAAGAAUAUUAAAAUUAAAAAAAAUUUUGGGCUAAUAGAAUCUACUUGGUCUUUUUAAUGUCUUAAAUAAAAAUUUAGGACUUUAAUUAGUUAAUUAGACCCAAAAGUUUAAUAAUAUAAAUAUUUUGAUAUUUUUUAUUUUUACCAAUAUUUAUAAUUUUAUAAUUUAAAUUUUAUUAUUUAUUUACUAGUAAUUUUAAAAAAUUAAAAUAAAAUUAAAAAUUAAAAUAGGGAAAUGGGUAGGGGAUGGGGAUUCCACCUCAUCCCGUCCCCUCCCCGAAUAAGAAAUUGGGUAAAAAAAAAAUUCCGUCCCUUCCCCGAAUAAGAAAUUGGGUAUGAAAUUAUCCCCAUACCCUCCUCGAAUGGGGAAAAUCCCCGAGGGUACCUGUCCCCGUGGGGAUUUUUGCCAUCCCUAACUAUCACCUAGUAUUAUUACUUGUACUCGACUAACCACAGUUGCAAACAUUCAAAGUCAAUGGAGUUGUGCCAAGGGAGCCAAACAAUUCCUCCCACCCCCCACCUUUUUGUACAUUAUAAUGAAAGAUCUCACCUUAAUGGUACAUGUGGAAUAUAAAAUUUAGUUUAGAUGAAUUUAAUAAAGUUGGAUUUCUUUAGUUGUUGAAAAAUUGCAUGGAGAUAUAUAAUUUGUGUUUAUAAUUUAGGCUCGCAUAGCUUCCUCUAAUUGAAGAACAUUCUUAUAGAAGUAGAUCCAUAUCCAAUUCACUGAUUGCGAAUUAUCAAAUUUACAAUCCACUCCACGGAUCGGAUUUGUACGGAUCAGAUAGAUUGAGCGAAUCGGAUUGGAUUCUGAACACCCCUAGUAUCAAGUCACUUUCAUUCGCAUGGUAUACUUUAUGUUAAUAAAUUGUUUUAAAGCGUGGAAAGAAAAAUUCAACAUUAAUCAAGUAAUUAAUGAUUAGAAAAGAAAGGAAUUUAAAAGGUCAACUUUCAUAUAUAGGCCUUUCAUUAAUUCUUAUUCAAUAUGUACUCUUUUUUUGGAAAGUUAUUCUAAUUACCCAUUUACAAUUAUGUACGUUCUUCUGCAGUCAAUAGGCUUUUCCAAUUCUAACAACAUUGCAAUCAACGGAUUAACAUCUCUAAAUAGCCAAAUGUACCACAUUGUUGUCAAUGGCUGCAACAAUGUGAAAUUGCAAGGCGUCAAGGUUUUAGCUUCUGGCAACAGCCCCAGCACCGACGGUAUUCAUUUUCAAUUAUCAAGUGGUGUCACAAUCUUGAACACUAGGAUCUCCACAGGCGAUGACUCUCUGUUGGCCCUGGAACCAACAAUUUAUGGAUCGAAAAUGUUGCAUGUGGUCCUGGCCAUGGAAUCAGGUGAGAAAUAAAAUAAUAAUAAUAAUAAUAAUUGAAAAAUCUCCUAAUAUUAUAAUGUCAUUUUAAUAUUCUUAUUGUUUUAAAUAUUUAUAAAAUCGAUUUUUGGGAAUAUUUUUCAGCAUUGGGAGUUUGGGGAAAGAUUUGAUUGAAGCUGGAGUGCAAAAUGUCACAGUUAAAAACUGUGACAUUUAUAGGCACUCAAAAUGGGCUAAGAAUAAAGUCAUGGGGGAGACCAAGCAAUGGUUUUGCCAGAAAAAUUUCCUUUUCCAGCAUGCAGUCAUGAAGAAUGUCCAAAAUCCAAUCAUAAUUGAUCAAAAUUACUGCCCUGAUAACGAAGGAUGCCCUGGCAAGGUGAGAUAUCAAAAGGAUAUUUAAUAUAAGUUAAGUAACAUAUUGUAUUAUUAAUAUAUAUACCAAUUAGUGAUGUAAUUGGUGAUGUAACAAGUUUCAAGGGUUAAAAUUAGUGAUGUAACAUAUCAGGAUAUUCAUGGAACAUCAGCAACAAAAGCAGCGGUAAAUUUUGAUUGUAGUUCAAAGAAUCCAUGCUCAAGGAUAAGAUUAGAAGUAUAAUUAUACCAUAUGAUACAAAUAAAAUAUUAUAAUAAGUAUAAUUAUCAAAAUAACAUGUAUAAUGAAAUUAUUUUUAAUAUUAAGUUAUUAUUAGUCUAUCCCAAAAGAUUUUAUUAAUUAAAAUAUAUUAAUCCAAAAAUUGACUUUAAGAUUUAUAGUAAUAUGGACAUAGUUAAAAACUAUAUUGUAAAUAAAAUAAUAUAAAUUUUAUAAAUUACUGUGAAUGUUAGUAUAAUUAUUUUAAUAUUAUUAUAAUGUCAAAUAUAUUUAUUAUUAUUAAAAGAAUAUGACAGAUUAAUAAUGUUAGAAUAACUUUUCUAACAUUCAAAAUAUUUUAAAAAAUUUAUCUUAUUUAUAUAUUAUAUGAUUUUACGUUUAAUUUAUAUUUAUCAUACAUGUCUAUUUAAAGUCAAUUAUUGAUUUAUCGUAAUUAAGUGUAUAAUAGUUAAAAAAGAGUCUAUGUAACAAUUUAUGAUAUUAAGGGGAUCCAUUUUAUCAUUUAAGCAAACCUUAGGGGUGUGGAUGCCUUUCCGCUUAAUUUUUGACUUGUUAAAUUUUUUAUUUUUUUUAAAGCAACCUUGGUAAAGUGAGAAAUCUAUUAAAUUAAGAAGAAAGAGAAAAAUAGUUUAGAGGAUAUAGUGAGCCUUACCUCUUAAAAAGUACUAUCGUUCUAGAAUAAGAAAAUAUACAUAAAAUAUAAUAGAAAAAAAUACAUUAAUGUAAAAUAACCAUCCUAAAUGAGACAAGCCAAUUAACUGAAUCUAUAGUUGGAGAAGCCAUCAGUCUAUAAAGAAAGAAACUUUCGAAUGACCAUAGGAGGAUCUCCCAAAUUCGCAAGACAAUCAGUAACACUGUAAUUCUUCCUAAAAGUGUGAUAACAUUGGGAGGACAUGGGAGAAUAAAUUAAGUUUUGCAGUUGAUCCCACAUAUUCCGAAGAGACCAAGGGGCAGGCGAAGACAGUGAACAACAACGAAAUAGCUACAUUCUAACCAAAGCCAAAAACAAAUUAAUUAUAUAAUCGCUCCCCCCGAUUGGUAUGUAGAGGCUUAUAUACCUUGUGGUUUUAGCUCGACGCUUUAUCUUUAUUGAGUCCGAGCGUUUAGAUCAACCCCAUGCGUGUUAUGGGCGUAGAAUUUGUCAUCAUUGUAAGUAGAUCGUUUCUUCCAUGAGGAAAUUAAAUUUUUCAGAUGGAUAGCCGUAAGCUUUCAGAUGGGCACUAACAAAGCAAGUCUUUGACGGACUUCUACUUGUGCAAAUAUGAAUAGAUUUCUAUUUGGCCGUUCAACAUAAUCAACAAUUACAGUAAACCCCUGCCCAUAAUGUAAGGUUUUAAAAGAGCAGUGUAAUAAUUUAUAAUUACAUCAACAUUGGGGAAAAAUAAGUAAUGAGGUAGGUUAAACCUAAAUUAAUUUUUAGCCCCCUACCAGUACAACAUUCGAGUUAAAGUGGCCAGUUAAGUAAAAUUGUGUUGGGUUUAAACAAUUAAAGAAAGGUUGAGGGGCUACAUGAAAUUUUACAAAAAAAAAAUUAGGUUUUAAAAAACGUGGCUUUAGAAGAGUAAGUGUGAUGCAAAGCUUUCUAUAUCUUUAUGGGUGGAGACUAUGCGUACUGUAGUUAACUUGAUUAACAUUUCUCCUUCAACUGGGUAAAAUUUUUAAUCUUUGAUUAGAUAAUCAUAAAGUUAAAUUAACUUCGUUUUCUCCCAAAUUUUGAUGGUAAGUUUCUGUUCACCCUCUACAAUCUUACUGGUCUUGAUUUUUAUUUUAUCCUCUCGUUGGCUAUUAUUUGAGAUACCCACUUGUUAGAGAGACAAAUAUUAGGCUAUUACUAGACGCCAAGAAUAUUGAGAUUCUCGAAGUUGUUAGUCUCCAAUAUUAUCUAGAGAAGAAUUUGUGUUGUAAUCCCAUUAAUAUAGUGGAAGAUUAUAUCAGACUACAACCCCGUAGUUUUUCUCGCCUUGGGCUUUCCACGUAAAAAUUUGUCUCGUGGUUGAUUUAUUGUUUUGGAUUUUGUUGGUUUAUUUUUCUGCCUAUUUAUUUGUGGUCCGUAUCCUAUUUUAAUAACACAAAGAGGAAAAGAAUUUUAUUUUCGCUUAGUUUGAGAUUACUUGUGUGAGUCCCUUUCCCAACAAAUUGUUUAAGAAUUGAACUACUCAGUUCAGUUUCUGAUUGAGGUAGGACGGUUGAGUAGGAUAAGCAGGGUCCUUUCUGGAGGUCAUAACUUGGGAUACAAUAGUCCUUUUUUGUGUAUAAUAUAUCAUUUUGAAACUUGUGACAAGAUGCUGUUGAACCAGUAAUUCUAUUUCUUUCCUAGUCUUUUUUCAAUUUUAAAAUAUUUUCCUAUUUUUUCUAUUACUUUCAAGAUUUUUAUCUUUUUUCAGUUAAGAGAAUUUUAUUAUAAAAUAAUAUUUCAAAUUUGCCAAUUUCGAUAAAUUAGCAAUAUUUAGGAUUAUUAUAAAAGGAUCCAAAAAAACUAAUUUUCUUCAUUCAGACUUUUCCUAAUAAAAUUUUGUUAUUCAAAAAUCUAGUUUCUCUUAUCUUUCAAUCUUUAUAUUUUUACAUCGUCAGAGGCCUAUUAAACAAAGACUUUCCUUUAGAGGUAACUCCAUUAUUUUAUGGUAAACUAUAAGCCUCACAAUAUACUUGCAAUUUCUCGAAUUCCAUUGUGUGUGCUAGUCAAUAUUCGACCAAUCACUUGCUAUCCGUACUAAACAAAAAUUGCAUUAAAUAGGGGAGCCCCAGGAACUUGGCAAUGCGCCCAUGUAUGUAGCCCUCGGUACAUCAAUAAAAGCACGAAUAAUUGCAGCCGUUAUCUUUGUGAUGAGUGUACGUUGCUGACAUUAACUCGUGCUAAAAGUAAUUCUAAGCACGUCAGUGUCCAUUACCCAUGAAUUGAGCUCAUUAUAUAUUAAUAUUAAUUCCUUUAUAUCCUUGUGGGAAUUGAGAACCCUCAUAUAUAUUGAAAUGAGCGACAUGGCAGCAGUGUCGUGAUUAAAUCCUGAAGAUCAAUUCGCAUUAUUUGUUUUCUUUUUUCCAUCAGGAAAUCUUCCUAGAGGAGCGGAAACUGGUCUAAAAGAUAGUACUUCGUGCACGCCUUGAUGAAUUUUGUAGUUGCUGGUGGAUGAACAGUGCUGUAAAUAGUAUCUGAUAAACAGUAUCUGUGAAUAGUGACGUAAAUAGUGUCAACAGCUACUACUUAUGGAGUUCUUUUGUAUGUUGAAAUUGAUGUUUCGGCAGGUUUUGAAAUUCAAAAAAACAAUAUUAACUCGUAUUUCCAACACCAAAAACUUGGCAAUGCACCCACGCAUGUUGCCCUCGGGACAUCAAUUAAAGCACAAAUAAUUGCAGCAUUCGUCUGUGCAAUCAGUGUACAUUGAUGACAUUAGCUCGUGCUAAAAGCACUUCCAAAUAUGUCUGUGGGCAGUGCCCAUGAAUUGGCUCGUUAUAUAUUAAUAUUGAUUCCUUUAUAUCCUUGUGAGAACAUGAGAACUAUCAUAUAUUAAAAUGAGCGAUGUGGCAACAUAGCUAACCCAACAAAAUAUGAUAUAAUUAUUUCCUCAAUUUUCUGUUAAAUAGUAAAAACGAACGAACAAUCAUUGAAAUUGAAAUUAAUUGAGGUAAUUACUAUGUUAUUGUGCUAUUCAAAAUAAAAAUGUCUUACAUACCUUAUUACCAUGAGGAUUUUAGAAUACGUCUCUUGCUGUAGUAAAACAAUGUCUAAAACAUAUAUUAUUGCAACAAUUAAACUUUCUAUUUUAUCAUUACACGACCAUUUUCAGAAUACAUAAAAAUUGCUUUCUAUCAUUGAGCUCACAUGGCUUGCUGUGCUAUGGCUGAUUAACUUGUAAGCUAACUCGCAAAUGAUAUUUUGCCACAUGGAAGCAACCCCCCAACCCCCUCUCAUUCUUGCCAUAUAUCAAGCAAGUAGGUCUAUAAUACGUAAUCGUAUGGGGUCGGGGUGGCGAACCUCUUUUCUUAAAAGUUUAUUGAUUUUUUAUACUAAUCCAUUAGAAGCAACAAUUAUGACGGCGAUGUAAUUGAUUAAUUAAUAUGGAAUGCUUUUAGCAGAAAUGAUUAAAAUUUUAUUCAUUUUUCUUCUUCUUCGUCCUUUUUUUUUCUUGCUAAAAAGACCAAAAUAACAAUACAAUAAAAUUGCAUCCAUCACGCCAUGCCCUGAAAGAGUCAGUAGUGAGACAAAACCCAUAAAACUAGCAUAUAACAGGGAACUUACAGGAUAUGCUUAUACAGAUUCAAAUCCAAUCAUAUAAACUAGCAUGAGAUAUAAAUAACGAAAAAGUUUUAAAAAAUUAGAAAAUUAACAAUAAUAACAUGACAGUAAUAUAACAAUGCUACGUAUGUUUGUGAGAAUUUAUACUGGUGGUCUUACUCAGUUAAUAAGAUAUUUAACGAACUAAUAUAUAACUCUUUUAAUAAUUACAGCUUUUUUAUGAUUUGUUGUGUAUAUGCUACAUUCUUUGAUAUAGGAAUUUGAAAUUUAGCUCCGUUAACUAUGUGUGCUAUAUUUUGGCUAGCUGUUGCCACAAAAUGUUAAUCUCUAGUAAAUUUUUGGCAUGAUGGACAAAAACAAAAUUAUGCAAAGGCUGCAAUUUGAAGCAACGAUCACAAAUAGUUCACAAAUGAAUAGAUUGAUCCACAUGAAUUGAGGAAACAAAAUGUCAAAACGAAGCAUAGGUUGCCAUUUCAAGCUACAAGGGCAAAUAGUUCAGAAAUGUGUUCCACGGGAAUUGCCUGAUCUUGUGCUUAAAGCAAACAUAAGGGCAUAAUUUUAUAUAGCAACCGACAAGCUGAAAAUAGAUAAAUACUUUUCCGUUUUUCUGUUAAUUUAAUAGAACUGCCUUUGAAAUCUCCCAUUAUCAUACAAAGUUACAAACCAUUUAUGCGCACUUGUCCUUUGUUUGCUUCUGUAGCCUUCUGUCAUCAAAUAUAUAUUAUCUAAUUAUCCAAGUCUCAAGUAAGGGCAUUUAAGUAAAUAAAGUUUGUAUUAGUUAAUUUUACAAAUUAAGUUUUCAAGAAAAUGACAUAAUCAAUGUCUUUGCAUAUUCUUUUAGUACUAUUAUUCUUGAUUCUCUUCUUUAGUGAUUAGUAUUAAAAAUUGUUUAAUUAUCAAGCGAUAAUAUGUUAUUUUAUGCUUAUGUUAUAAUUUAUAUUUGUGUUUAUGUAAUAUAUUAUGAAUUAUUAAUUAUGUUUUAAAUAUAUUUAAUUUUGUGUAUUUUUAUGUGUUUAUUAGGAAAAAUAUUAAUUUCACGUACUUCGAGGCUCCAAACAGAUAAACGGAGGUCAAAUUUGGAUUCCGGAGGUCCGAAAACCUUAAGAUCAGUCAAGAUCGGCUUAAAAUUGGGCUUGUGUAAAAAAGUUGACUUUUCCUGUUGACCGAGCACUGAUUGGAUGAUGAAAUGAGCGUACAAUAGAUAUGAGUGCAUGGGAUAACUGGCAAUCUUGACCAAAUCUCAACCGUUCAUGAUUCAAUGGCCAUGAUUGUGCCACGUGGCAAUGGUUGGUGAAGCAAGUUGGAGGAUCCGAAUCUUUGUACUCGAGUCGACCCGAUCCACCCAUUAACCCGCCAAAUCUCAACCGUUCUUUGGGUAAAUCGGACGAGUCAAAUGAUGCCAUGUGUGAUGUUGACUUUUAAAGUUUGACUAGCCAUUGGAUCUUGAUCUAAGGGUUGUGAGGAGUACAUGCAUGAAGCCUAUGAUGGACCGCAAAGCACUGGAUUAUGAAUUUAUUUUUCUAUAAAUAGGGCCUCAUUUUUAUGUUUUAAUCAUCUCUCUACAACUCUCUUCUUCUCAAAUUCUCUCCAUCUCCUUGUAAUCUUGAUUUCCAGGUGUGUUUUUAAUAUUUUGUAUAAUUAUUUUCAUUAAUAAAAUUAGUUUUAUUUCUAAUUUUAGUUGUUUUAUUUCUUUUAAUUAUAAGUAAUUCAAUUAUACUACUUCUUUUUAUUUUAAUUAUGCUUAACUAAAUAAUAUUAGUUAGGGGAAGGUGAAACUCUUAGGAAAUAAAUAUGAUUUAAUCAAAUUCUAUUUUUAAUUUUAUAAAUUAAAUUAUUUUCUAUUUAAUUUUAUACAUGUUUUAUAUUUUGAAAUUUUGAUUUAUUGUAGACAAACAAAUGAAUUUGGCACAAUAAAUUCUUAAGAUCUUAAUAUAAGGCAUGGUGAAAUGGUAUUUUGACUUAUUGUAGACAAAUUAAAUUUUGGCACAAUAAAUACUUAAUCCAUCAUAAAAUUUGGCCUAGUGUAUGCUUUCUUUCUAUCCUUCAAACAUUAUUACACCAUUUUAAUUACUUAAAAUGAAUACAAGAUAUUUAAAGAUGCUGCAGAGUGCAGGCAAAUGGCGAAAGAAAUUUUUUUUUUUUUUUUGGUGUGAUUAUGGACAAUGGUUUGCUGGAAUAAUCAAAAGUAUUUUUUGUUCUUUUUUCUUCUCAGGAAAACAUACACAUUAUCGUAGAUUCCUCUGCCAUUUGCAGACUAAGACAGCCCAACACAAGGUUAAAGCGUUAACUUGUGAUUUUUAUUUAUGAAUAUAGUGAUAUUUUUGUUAAAACGGUAUCAAGAUUAAUGAUAUAAGGCAUUUGUUUGUAAAGUCUAGGUUUGUGAAUUCAAAGAGGGUGGAACUAUAUGAAUUAAAGAUUGCCUUAGAAAGAUAGAGAAUAUGCAGAGCUUUAAGAGGUACAUCUAUUAAUUGCCUUGAACUCUAUAUUUAUUGUGAAUAUUUUGGAUUAGUACCUCCAUCAAUAUAAUGGCUGAAAUAUUUUAUUAUUCUAGUAGAGUAAUUUGGAAUGAGUUGACACUAAUUGUAUUAUGCAGAAAGUGUGUAAUUAUCAAGAGUUAAAUGCUUUACUCUCACACUUAGGCUUGGUGGCUAAAAGACAUAAUUGCAAGCCUUUUUUUUUUAAAAAAAAUACUAUGUUGUAUUAGAUAUUAAAUUUUAUUAUGAAUUUUUUUUAGCUGGAAAAUCAUUGUUUUUUAUAUAAUGAGAAAUAAACACAAUUUCUUGAAACUAGAUGUUAUACUAAAAACUUCAAUGCUAUAAUUUGCUCUCUCACUCUCUCUUAUUCAUAUAUAUAAGAGAAUGAAUUCACCUUUUUUUUUAAUUUAUAUCUAUAGUUAAAUAUAUUGCACCUUAUUUCUAAUCAAAUGAGCUACAACAUUCUUAUUCUCUAAUUUUCCUUCAAGAUAAUUGAGUUGAUAUGUUCAUAGCUUAUGAAUAUUUUUGUUUUCGAGCAAAAUAUGUUUAUUUCUAUUAACUUUUGUCUCUGCAUUGCUUGUUAAUUUAUUUUGCAACUGUUAGAAUUUGGAAACCAAUUUCUUUUCCUUUUUCCUUUAUUUGUUUGCAGAUAUGAUUAAUAUGUUUAAAGUGUUUCUUCUUCAACUUAUAUCCCUAACCCAUCAACUUAAUCGAAUGAAGAAGUUGUCCGUGAUAAUGCAUGAUCGCAGUACUUAUGUUCAUGGAGUGAAAAAUAAUAAUCCUUCUAAAUUUAGCUUUUAGAUUUGGUAAAUUUAGCCCUUAAAUUCAGCUACGAGUAGAAGGAAUUUGAUUGGAUAAUAGCAGUUAAGAUUAUUCAAUUAUAAGAAUAAGAUGUCUUGUAAUAAGAUAUCUUGUAUAUUGAAGUAUUUGGAUUGUGUAAUAUAUAUUGAUAAUAUUUAAAUGUUAUGAAAGGUUUUGCAAUAUAAAUUGAUUUUUGUUCUUAUUUCUCACAACCUUUUAAUUCUAUCAACAAAUCAAUGGGCAACAUGUCAUUUUAUAUAAUUAUUUUUUUAAAUAAUAAAUAAAGUAGUGAUAUUAUAGUAAUAGUAAUCACAAAUACUAAUAUAGUAUUGUAAUAUUUUGAUAACAUGGUGUUAUGAUUUUAGUGAUACUAUAAUAAUAGUAAACACUGACACCACUUACAAGUGUCACUAUUUUUCUGACUCCCAGAUUACUGACACAAUUAACAAGUGUCACUAAAAGUAAUUACUCACACUAUUCUAAUGUCAGUAAAGACCAUUUUUCUAGUAGUGUUGUCCUGGCAUAACAAACCCUUCUGGUUGUUUCAUGUAAAUUUCCUCACCUAAUUCUUAAUUUAAGAAAGCUGCUUUUACAUCCAUUUGAUGGAUUUCAAAAUGAUAAAUUGAAGCCAAAGAAAUCAAGACUCUAACAGUAAUAAUUCUUGCAAAAUGUGCAUAAGUAUCAAAAUAAUCAAGGCCUUCUUUUUGUGUAAAUCCUUUCACUACUAGUCUUGCUUUAAAUCUUUCAAUUGUUCCAUAAACUUUCUUCUUCUUUUUGAAAAUCCAUUUACAAUCUAUAGGAUUAGAACCAAGUGGUAAAUCAACUAAUUUCCAAGUCUUAUUACCUAUAAUAGAGUCCAUUUCAUCAUUAAUGGCCACUUUUCAAAAAGCAGCAUCUUGAGACUUCAUUGCCUCUUCAUAGGUGAGGGGAUCAGAAUCUAUAAUAGGUGUGAUCAUGGUUUGUUUUGAUUGCGAGUCUCUUGUCCCAUCAACUAAAUAGACUAUAAAAUCUUGUCUAAAGGAUUUUAUAGUCCUUAUUCUUUUACAUUUUCUCAAAUGAUUUUGCUCAUUAUUAGCAUCACGCUUUUGACCAAUUUCUAUUUGUUUAUCAUUCUCUUGAGAAUCAAUACUUAGUAGAAAAUCUAUUUUCAUAGAAUAUUGCAUCUCUAGAUUCCACUAUAGUAUUGAUCUCAACGAAGCUAUUAGGUUCUGUUACAAGUGAUUAGUAUUAAAAAUUGUUUAAUUAUCAAGCGAUAAUAUGUUAUUUUAUACUUAUGUUAUAAUUUAUAUUUGUGUUUAUGUAAUUUAUUAUGAAUUAUGAAUUAUGUUUUAAAUAUAUUUAAUUUUUUGUAUUUUUAUGUGUUUAUUAGGAAAAAUAUUAAUUUCACGUACUUCGAGGCUCCAAACAGAUAAACGGAGGUCAAAUUUGGAUUCCGGAGGUCCGAAAACCUUAAGAUCAGUCAAGAUCGGCUUAAAAUUGGGCUUGUGUAAAAAAGUUGACUUUUCCUGUUGACCGAGCACUGAUUGGAUGAUGAAAUGAGCGUACAAUAGAUAUGAGUGCAUGGGAUAACUGGCAAUCUUGACCAAAUCUCAACCGUUCAUGAUUCAAUGGCCAUGAUUGUGCCACGUGGCAAUGGUUGGUGAAGCAAGUUGGAGGAUCCGAAUCUUUGUACUCGAGUCGACCCGAUCCACCCAUUAACCCGCCAAAUCUCAACCGUUCUUUGGGUAAAUCGGACGAGUCAAAUGAUGCCAUGUGUGAUGUUGACUUUUAAAGUUUGACUAGCCAUUGGAUCUUGAUCUAAGGGUUGUGAGGAGUACAUGCAUGAAGCCUAUGAUGGACCGCAAAGCACUGGAUUAUGAAUUUAUUUUUCUAUAAAUAGGGCCUCAUUUUUAUGUUUUAAUCAUCUCUCUACAACUCUCUUCUUCUCAAAUUCUCUCCAUCUCCUUGUAAUCUUGAUUUCCAGGUGUGUUUUUAAUAUUUUGUAUAAUUAUUUUCAUUAAUAAAAUUAGUUUUAUUUCUAAUUUUAGUUGUUUUAUUUCUUUUAAUUAUAAGUAAUUCAAUUAUACUACUUCUUUUUAUUUUAAUUAUGCUUAACUAAAUAAUAUUAGUUAGGGGAAGGUGAAACUCUUAGGAAAUAAAUAUGAUUUAAUCAAAUUCUAUUUUUAAUUUUAUAAAUUAAAUUAUUUUCUAUUUAAUUUUAUACAUGUUUUAUAUUUUGAAAUUUUGAUUUAUUGUAGACAAACAAAUGAAUUUGGCACAAUAAAUUCUUAAGAUCUUAAUAUAAGGCAUGGUGAAAUGGUAUUUUGACUUAUUGUAGACAAAUUAAAUUUUGGCACAAUAAAUACUUAAUCCAUCAUAAAAUUAAAGGGAAAAUAAUAAUAAUUUGUAUAAUUAAUCUUUUGGGUAAUAAAUCUAAAACAAUUAGCAAAAAGAAUUUAUUAAGUUUUAUUUACUUCUAAGAGUGGAUUCAUAACCCUAACUAGUUCAAUUUCAUAGUUUCAUUUAAAUUAAGUUGUUUAUAUUUAAGUUUUAAUUUCAAUUUUUAGUUAAAAUAAAAUAAACUAAUUAAAUCUUUUCUCUGUGGAUCGACCUCGGACUAGGGAUGGCAAUGGGCACCGCCCGCAGCGGGUUUGCCAUUACCAAACCCAAACCCGCACAAAAUUUAAAUUACCAAACCCACCCGCAACCCGCAGCGGGUUUUAAUUUUUUUAAGAAAACCCACCCGCAGCGGGUUUUGACAAUUACCAAACCCGCAAUGGUACCCGGCGGAUUUUUUGCGGGUUUUACAUUUAAAAUCACCAAUAUUUAAUAUAUAAAUUUGAAGCUUUCUGAACUUCUGUUCUUGUUGUAAGCGAGUUAUUGUCGCUGAGAUCAAAUGCUUGCUCCAUUUUUUACCUGAAAAAUUUCAACAAAGUUUAAAUCAAUAUACAAGAAUUAGCAAGCGAAUUCAGCAAAGAUAAGAUGAAUAAUUAGCAAGCGAAUUCAACAAUUUACACUAGCCUGACUAUUUACAUUAUCAACUCGAAAGCAACAAAAUUAAUAGAUUGUUGACGUUCUGAGUUUCAAUUUUUUUAACUAAAUUAAUGGAGUUAAAUAAAAUACUACAUCAUGCAUCAUCUCAUUUAAUUCAAUAAACGUUUUUAAGUCUGAAUAUCUACUUAAAAUUAAAAUUUACAAAGAGAUGAAAAUUAAAAUUAAAAUUAAAAUUUACAAAGAGACGAAAAUUAAAAUUAAAAAAUUAUUGUUCUAAAAUCAUCUACGUUCGCACUAUAGAUAAAUACUCAAAAUUUUGUUACUUAAACCACACGACAUCAGCAAUCACGGGAUCAAAAACUGGCACUUGGCACUAUUACUAGUCAAGAUAGAAAAAUAAUUGAAAUUAAAUUCCCGGGGCCCUCAGUCACAACUUGAUGAAAGCCCCCUGUUUUAGAAUCCAUUGGCUAUUGCGUGUACUUUCCAGGACUUUCCCUUAAUAAUUCUUGGCUUUAUCCCACAAAAAAACCAAUCUAAAUUCGUACCUUUCACGACUGGAAAAUUGGCUGCAACAGCACGACGCGUCUUUGUUGGCAGUGAAGAGAGCUGGCGGCAAGGGGCUAGCUCACUGUCACAACUCACACGAUCGGGUUGAAGAAGAAAAGAAUGUUGAAUGAAGAAUUGAAGAUAGAGAUGACGAAGAUGGUCAGCUCAUUUGCGGCUAAGUCAAAGACUCAAAAGGGAAAAUGCCUUUAUUUGCUUUAGGUUUUCAGUUUAUCACUUUAGAAUGGCUGAACGGGAGAUGGGCGGAUGGGCCACACACACUGCACACACACAAAAUUUUGGCUUCGGCUUUUGGGCCUUUGACCAAUUUCCUUUAUACAUUUUGAAUAAUUGUAUAAUUUUCUUUAUACAUGUUUUAAAUUAAAAUUAAAUUAAAAAUAUUUAGAAAAAAAUAUUGCGGGUUUGACGGAUAUCCAUGCGGGUAUCCAUCGGAUUUAAGGUCAAUACCAAACCCACCCGCAUUCAUGUGCGGGUUUUAAUUUAUAAUAUUAAACCCACCCGCAACGGGUAAAAUUACCCGCAGCGGGCGGGUUUUAGCGGGCGGGUUUGGGCGGGUUUGCGGGUUUGCGGGUACAAUUGCCAUCCCUACCUCGGACUCACCGAAUUAUAAUACAACAAGACACUCUUAUACUUGGGAGUUAAAAAUUACUUUUAAGUUGUGUCAAGUUUUUGGCGCCGUUGCCGGGGAAAAGUUUUUUUUUUAUUUGGUUUGUUUUUCUGUUUUUUAUUUUUCUCUUAUAUGUAAAAUUUCGUUUGCCCCCUUUUCCUUUUCUUAAAUUCUCUUUUGUCCCCAUAUCUUUCAUAAUUCUUGUUUCACCCCAACAAUUUUCGUUUCUAGCCCAAUCUUCUAGUAAUUACAUUCGGACCCCGACAUCUUUCAACUGUUUCACUUUCAUCCCAAAUUGCUAAUUCUAAACUUCUAAAAAUUACAGUUUGACCAUAAAAUUGAAAAUAAUUUGCAAUAGAAUCCCUAGACGAAAUUCCUCAAAAUAAUCAAGACUUGAAUAUACUUUGGACAUAUUUUGGACAUACUUUGGACAUAUUUUGGACUUAUUUUGGACAUAACUAACUUUAACUACUAACUCUAAUUACUAACUCUUAACUUACUAACUGCUAACUCCUAACUUUUAUUUAAUUUCAGUUAUUUAAUUUUCUGCAUUUAUUUAAUUUCGUAUUUUUUUUAUUUUUGCUUUAUUGGUGGGUUUAACCACCAAACUAACUACUAACUCUUAACUUUUAUUUUCAGUUAUUUAAUUUUCAAAAUUUAUUUAAUUUUGUAUUUUUUUUAUUGGUGGGUUCAACCACCAUUUUUUUUUCUUUUUGCAUUUAUUUUUUUUACUUUAUUGGUGGGUUCAACCACCAAAAUUGUUAUUUAAUUUUCUUUUGUACACUUAUAUUAUUUGCUUAUUUAUUUUUUUAUUUUAUUUUGUUAUCAAUUUGUGUAAAUAUUAUCUUUAUAACAUAACCAUUGCAUGAGACGUUGGUCUCGAUCUUCAAGUGGCAGGUUAAUUCGUAGAUCUCAAUCUCCACCACCAAUCAUGGAUGAGAAUCAAGGCGAAAACGUUUUGGGCGAACUUAACCCUCAAAUUGAUCAGGGAGACAACCAAUCUCAACAUGGGCAUGAUCAGAAUCAACCAAGAACUCUGAGAGACUACAUGAAUCCAACCAGAACCGGAGCACCGUCGUGUAUAGUAUUUCCUCCAGAAGCAUCUCGAUUCAACUUUAAACCAGGUAUUAUCCAACUUUUACCAACAUUUCAUGGUUUAGAAUCUGAGAAUCCGUACUUGCAUAAAAGAGAUUUUGAGGAAGUUUGUAAUACAUACACGGACCAAAAUUGUAGCAUGAACAUAAUUAGAUUAAAGCUUUUUCCUUUUUCAUUAAAAGAUAAAGCUAAAACUUGGCUACAAAACCUUAGAUCUGGAUCAGUAAGAACUUGGAAUAACAUGUAAGAACAGUUUUUGAAAAAAUUCUUUCCACCUCAUAGAACAAAUUCUUUUAAAAGACAAAUCACUUCUUUCACUCAAAAAAUGGAGAAACAUUAUACCAAUGUUGGGAUAGGUUUAAAGAGUUGCUUAACAUAUGCCCACAUCAUGGUUUUGAAACUUGGCGAUUGGUCACUUACUGCUAUGAGGGCUUAAUACCCCAAAGUAGACAGGUUGUUGAAAUGAUGUGUAAUGGUGAAUUUAGGGAUAAAAAUCCUGAAGAUGCACUAGAUUACCUUGACCAAUUAGCUGAAAAUGCACAACAUUGGGAUACUGUUGGAACUUUUGAAUUGACAAAUAAGCAACAAUCAUCUCCAUCUAGCGGAGGAAUCCAUAACCUUAGGGAAGAUCAUGAUUUACAAGCAAAAUUUGCAUCCCUAGUUAGGAAAGUUGAAGCUUUGGAGCAUAAAGAGAGUGAUCAAGUAAAAUCUGUUCAAGAAAUUGCAUGUAACAUAUGUAAUUCGAAUGAUCAUUUCACUCAAGAGUGUCCCACUUUGCCUGCACUUAAAGAAUGUCUAAAUGAUCAAGCUAAUGUCAUUAACACUUUCAAUAAACCAAACCCAUAUUCACAGACUUAUAAUCCUGGUUGGAGAAAUCAUCCGAAUUUCAGUUGGAGGAAUAAUAAUAAUGCACAAUCUUCACAAGCACCACCUCCACAAAAUUUUCAAAAUCCUCAGCCUUAUGCACCAUAUGUUCCACCACCCUGGAAAAAUCUGGAAGACACAAUGCAUUCAUUCAUCAGAAAGCAAGAUGCUAUUAACAAUCAAAAUGCACAAACUUUUUCUGAUUUGAAAGAUACGCUUGCUAAAAUUGCUUCUGCACUCACCAUUCAAGAAAAAGGAAAAUUUCCAGCCCAACCACAACUAAAUCCUAAAAUUCAACAAAAUCCACCCACAGACCAAGUCAAGUCAGUUAUAACUCUUCGUAGUGGUAAGGUUGUUGAUAGACCUAUGCCUGAACCUUAUGAAAAUGAUGAAAAUUCAAAAGGUAAGGAAGGACUGAAUGAACUUACACCUAGUGAAGAAAUAACUAGUGUUCCACCCGAACCACCAUUUCCGCAUGCAUUGAAUAAACCAAAGAAAUCAAACCACUCUUCUGAAAUUUAUGAAAUCUUUAAGCAAGUGAAAGUUAACAUUCCUCUAUUAGAUGCAAUCAAGCAGGUUCCUUCAUAUGCCAAAUUUUUAAAGGACUUGUGCACUGUUAAGAGGAAACUGAAGGUAAGAAAGAGUGCUUUCAUGGCCGAACAGGUAAGUACAAUUCUGUCUACUAAUAAUAAGUUGAAAUAUAAAGAUCCUAGUUGUCCUACCAUUUCUUGUAUUAUUGGUAGCCACAAAAUUGAGCAUGCUUUACUAGAUCUUGGUGCUAGUGUUAAUUUUCUUCCAUAUUCAGUUUAUCUUCAACUUAAUCUUGGUGAGUUAAAAUCAACUUCAACUACACUUUUGCUUGCCGAUAGAUCAGUUAAAGUACCAAAAGGAAUAGUGGAAGAUGUUUUAGUACAAGUUGAUAAAUUUAUUUAUCCUGUGGAUUUUAUUGUCUUGGAAACUGAACCUGUUGUGAAUAAUUACAAACCAAUUCCUGUAAUUUUAGGUCGACCAUUUUUAGCAACUGCUAAUGCUUUGAUUAAUUGUAGGAAUGGUUUAAUGAAUUUAUCCUUUGGGAAUAUGACUUUGGAAUUGAAUGUUUUCAACAUGUGCAGGCAACCUAAUGAUGAAAAUGAGAAUAAAGAUGAUACUGAUGAACAAAAGGAAUUGUUUGAAUCUUGUAUCAAGGAAAAUAUUCAAAAAGGGGAUUUUUCUGAACUUUCUAAUGUUUGUUUAGUUAAUUCAAUUGAGUCAAAUAAGCAAUUUGAACUUGAUAUUUCUAAUAUAAAUUCGUUGCUUGAUUCUGUGCAGACUUCACAAAAUUAUGAUGACGAGCCAAAAUUUGAGGAGCUUGGAAGUAUUGAAAGAUAGAACAACAAGAAGCGCCUAAAUGAAUUGAAACCUUUGCCUGAAGGAUUGAAAUAUGCUUUUCUUGGAGAAGACAACUUAAUCCUGUUGUGAUUUCUUCUACUUUANNNNNNNNNNNNNNNNNNNNNNNNNNNNNNNNNNNNNNNNNNNNNNNNNNNNNNNNNNNNNNNNNNNNNNNNNNNNNNNNNNNNNNNNNNNNNNNNNNNNNNNNNNNNNNNNNNNNNNNNNNNNNNNNNNNNNNNNNNNNNNNNNNNNNNNNNNNNNNNNNNNNNNNNNNNNNNNNNNNNNNNNNNNNNNNNNNNNNNNNNNNNNNNNNNNNNNNNNNNNNNNNNNNNNNNNNNNNNNNNNNNNNNNNNNNNNNNNNNNNNNNNNNNNNNNNNNNNNNNNNNNNNNNNNNNNNNNNNNNNNNNNNNNNNNNNNNNNNNNNNNNNNNNNNNNNNNNNNNNNNNNNNNNNNNNNNNNNNNNNNNNNNNNNNNNNNNNNNNNNNNNNNNNNNNNNNNNNNNNNNNNNNNNNNNNNNNNNNNNNNNNNNNNNNNNNNNNNNNNNNNNNNNNNNNNNNNNNNNNNNNNNNNNNNNNNNNNNNNNNNNNNNNNNNNNNNNNNNNNNNNNNNNNNNNNNNNNNNNNNNNNNNNNNNNNNNNNNNNNNNNNNNNNNNNNNNNNNNNNNNNNNNNNNNNNNNNNNNNNNNNNNNNNNNNNNNNNNNNNNNNNNNNNNNNNNNNNNNNNNNNNNNNNNNNNNNNNNNNNNNNNNNNNNNNNNNNNNNNNNNNGACUGUGUUUGGGAAUUCUUUUGAUGAUUGCCUUGAUAAUUUGGAGAAAGUUUUAAAAAGAUGUAUUGAAAAAGAACUCGUGUUGAAUUGGGAAAAAUGUCACUACAUGGUUACUUCUGGAAUUGUUUUGGGUCAUGUUGUUUCUAUUAAAGGAAUUGAAGUUGACAAAGCAAAAAUCGAAGUCAUAUCUAAAUUGCCACAACCAAAAACAGUUAGAGAUGUGCGAUCCUUUUUAGGACAUGCAGGAUUUUAUAGGAGGUUUAUAAAAAACUUUAGUGCCAUAUCUAAACCACUUUGUAACCUCUUAUUAAAAGAUGCACCGUUUGAAUGGAAUGAUGAUUGCCAAAAAUCUUUUGAAAAAAUAAUUUGUCUUUUAACAUCUGCACCUAUUAUGCAAUCUCCUGAUUGGUCUUUGCCAUUUGAAUUAAUAUGUGAUGCAAGUGAUUUUGCUGUUGGUGCUGUUUUAGGAUAAAAAAGGGAUGGUAAGCCUAUUGUGAUUUAUUAUGCGAGUAAGACUUUGGAUAGUGCUCAAAUGAAUUAUUCUACAACUGAAAAAGAAUUACUUGCUGUGGUAUUUGCAUUAAACAAAUUCCGUUCAUAUUUGCUUGGCUCUAAAUCUGUUGUGUUUACUGACCAUGCUGCUGUGAGAUAUUUGAUGAGUAAACAGGAUGCCAAACCGAGACUAAUUCGUUGGAUUUUGUUACUACAAGAAUUUGACCUUACCAUCAAAGAUAAAAAGGGUGCUGAAAAUGUUGUUGCUGAUCAUCUAUCAAGACUCACAUCCGAAUUCUGCAAUGAUAUAACACCCAUAAAUGAUUCUUUCCCUGAUGAAUUUUUAUUUUCUGUUACUUCAAUGCCAUGGUAUGCUAAUAUUGUUAAUUUUCUUGUUACAGGUAAAAUGCCUUUGCAAUGGAAUGCUCAAGAGAAGAAGAAAUUUUUUGUUGAAGUAAAGAAAUUUUAUUGGGAUGAUCCUUAUUUGUUCAAAUAUUGCCCAGAUCAAAUUUUUCGGCGAUGUAUUCCUGAUAAUGAGGUAAGUAGUGUCAUUAAUUUUUGUCAUUCUGAAGCAUGUGGUGGUCACUUUUCUUCAAGAAAAACUACUGCUAAAAUUUUACAGUGUGGAUUUUAUUGGCCUACCAUGUUUAAAGACACAUAUGAAUUCUGCAAAAGUUGUGAAAAAUGUCAAAAAUUGGGAUCAAUUACAAAAAGAAACAUGAUGCCCUUAAAUCCCAUACUUGAAAUUGAAAUAUUUGACUGUUGGGGAAUUGAUUUCAUGGGUCCAUUUCCAUCAUCUUUUGGAUUUGUGUAUAUAUUAGUUGCAGUUGAUUAUGUCUCAAAAUGGAUUGAAGCAAUUUCUUGUCGAAAUAAUGAUAGUAAAACUGUGGUUAAAUUUUUAAGAGAAAACAUUUUAAGUCGAUUUGGAAUCCCCCGAGCCAUUAUCAGUGAUGGAGGUAAGCAUUUUUGUAAUAAGUCAUUUGAGUCUUUAAUGAAGAAAUAUGGAAUUACACAUAAAAUUGCUACCCCUUAUCAUCCUCAAACAAAUGGUCAAGUUGAAUUAGCAAAUAGGGAGAUAAAACAAAUUUUGGAAAAAACGGUUAACCCAAACCGAAAAGAUUGGUCUCUUAGACUUAAUGAUGCACUUUGGGCUUACCGUACUGCAUUUAAAACAUUAUUAGGAAUGUCACCCUAUCGGUUAAUUUAUGGUAAACCUUGUCAUUUACCUGUUGAACUUGAACAUAAAUCACUUUGGGCUAUUAAAGCUUUUAAUUCAAAUUUGGAUGAUGCUGGUAAUGUGCGAAAAUUACAAUUGAAUGAACUUGAGGAAUUAAGGAAUGAUGCAUAUGAAAAUUCAAGAAUUAUUAAGGCAAGAACAAAAGCAUUUCAUGAUAAAAGAAUUUUUCGAAAAACAUUUGAGAUUGGUCAAAAAGUGUUGCUUUAUAAUUCUCGUCUUCAUUUAUUUCCAGGGAAGUUAAAGUCAAAAUGGAGUGGCCCAUUUGUUGUAAAAAAUGUAUAUUCACAUGGGGCCAUAGAAAUUGAGAAUCCAAAAAACGGUGUCACAUUUAAAGUUAAUGGUCAAAGAUUAAAACCAUAUCUGGAACAUCACCCACGUGACGAGGACACCGAAAUUAAUUUGGAUGACCCAACAGUUCUUGAUUAAGUCUUUAAUGAUUUUUUUUUUGUUUUACUAUUAUUUUACCGUUUCAUUGUUUGAUUUUUUUUAGAUUGAUGCACUGUACAUAGUUUUUUUUUUUAACAUUGUUUUUCUUGUGUAAGCGUGUUUGUUUGACAGUUGUACAUUCUUUCAUCAAUUUUCAUUUUACAUCAUGAGCACCUCAAUGAGAAAAUACAUGUUCGCACAUCUUAAAAGAUUUCGGCGUAUAAAAUUUCACUUAAGAGGCCUGAUACAAAGCUGUAAAUCACAUCCACUUUGGGAUCUGCAACCACCAGAAUUCGUGUCCUAUGUUGAGGAUCUAGAGAGACAACUCAUAAUAGUAGAGAGUGGCAUAUAUGACUUUCAAAUGGAGCUUGAGGUUAACUCAAUGAGAGGACGAAUGUAAGUUCAUUUUCCUUUUAUAUUGUGUGCUUCUUUUUGCUCGCUUUCACGCUUGAUUUGAUUUUGCAAAUUUGAUUUUGGUGUGUUUUGAUUUAUUUUCCCGUAUAAAUGGCGGAUAACGGUACUCCGUGACUUCUUAAGUCGGUAUCUUCAGUUUCCCACAAUAACUGAAACCCCAAAAUUAAACAUGGAAGAAAUACAACAUAAACUCCAUAAGCAUUUUCCCUCUCUCCCUCAGAAUGCCCUCAGGAAAAUUUACAAAGCUCGUUGUGAACGACUGCGUUUGUUAAUGAUCAAUGGCAUUCCUUCUGACAUUCGUUGGUUAAUUGAAGCAAAGGUCCGAUUAGCAGGUGAGUUUUCUGGUCAAUUUGUUUCUUACAUGCCUGGUUUUGGUAAAAGUACGUUUGCUAAGAAAAGGAGAGCUAAAUGACUUGGCUCAAAAUGUCAUAACUGUGUAAGACUUGGUUGCAAACGACUAGAUUGUAAAUCUUUAGGAAUGGUUUCUGAUACUCAUGAAGAUAAAAUUAAAUUCGUUAAAGAUGGCAUGAGUAAAGAAUCGUUGGAUGAUAUCUUACGAUCUCUUGAGACGAAUCGAAGCGGAUUUGUGCAACGUGAGAUUUACAAUUUGUGGAUACUAUUCCAAAAACAAAGUGCACAGUUUAGUCUUGGGAAUCUGACUCAAAAAGACUCUGUUUGUCAGUUUAUAAGAAAACUGGAUGGGAAGCCGAUCCUCGACCCAUAGAGGGCAUUCAAGCCGUUACUGGACGUAAAACCAGAGGAAGAUGUGAGCCACAAUCACAACUACCAGUAAAUAUCCUUUCACUUCACUGUUAUUUUACUUUACUAUUAUUUUAUCAUUUGCAUUAUUGCAAUUAGCGGUGUGAUUUUGUAUUUAAUAAAUAUUUGUUUUCUUUUAUUGUUUGCUUUUUCUAAUCAUUAUUUUCUUUUUACUAUUUGUUUUUGAAUUAUUGAGCCACGAGCUUUACUCGUCAUUUGACAAAUAUGCCAACCCAUUUACAACUGUUUCUCAUUAUUUAUGUCACCAAGAUCUUUAAAUAUGAGCUUGUUUUUCAAACACUCACAACUUGUUUUUGAAAAAUUAGUCCAAUGGCAUCAUCUUCGAGUAAACAAUUCAAAAACAUUUGAGUGCUUUUUGGGUUUCACUAUGGAAAGUACAAAGAGUUCGUUCAGGCAGCUGUAGAUCUUGGUCGUGUCAUAGCAGAGAGGAAACUGCAUCUUGUAUAUGGAGGAGGUGAACGAGGGUUAUCAAGACUUGUCUCAGAAGCUGUUUUUACCAGAGGAAGCCAAGUACUCGGCAUUAUCCCAAAACCCAUGAAACCGCUAGUGUGCAUGUCUGGCCCACCAAUUGGAGAAGAAUUAGUGGUAUCAAGUAUGCAAGAGAGAAUAUCUGAAAUGAUGAAUCAUGCUGAUGCUUUUAUUUUCUUGCCAGGAGAUCUUGCAACUUUUGAGGCACUGAUUACAUUUGCAUCUUGGGCCCACUUGAACAUUCAUCAAAAACCCAUCGGUUUGUUAAAUGUUAAUAAUUUUUAUGAUGGCUUGCUAACUUUUAUUAACCAUGCAAUAAAGAAUCAUUUUGUUCCACAUUCUGUAAAAAAACUCUUUAUCUCUGCUUCUACUGCUAAUGAGUUACUUGAUCUUUUACAAGCUUAUACACCAGAGCCAGAUCCACAGACUUUUUCACUGAAUUGGUCAACUGAUGAUGGUAGCGGUAACAGUAGCAGUAAUAAGAAGUGCGAUUUAGAUUUAACUCUCCGUCUGUAAAUAUUUUCUAUUGUAGUGUUCAUGUGCUGUCUUCUAAACUCUUUCUCUUUCCUUUUAAAACAUUGAGGACAAUGUCUUUUUCAGGUUGGGGGGAGGGAAUAGUUGAUAAUUGUGGAAUGUCUUAGUCCUGGUUAUGUGUUUACAAAAAAAAAAAAAAAAUUUCUUUCUGUAAAGACUAACUUAGGACAAAUUUGAGUCGAAGAUGGUAGGAUAUAGAGAAUGUAGUCUCUCUAGAAACGCAUCUUCUUAAUCUUAAGGGUGUUGUUAAAAAAAAAAACAAAAAAGAUUGACUUUUUCUUCAUCUUUGUUAUCUACUUUUAAGCUUCUGCAUCAAGUUCAGGUGAGAUCUCCUCUUCUUCUUCUUUUAUUAUUCUCUUUUAUUUUUAUUUAUUUAUUAUUAUUAUUAUUUUUUUUUUGCAUAUCUGUAAAAUUAUAAAAUGUUAAGAUAAUGUUUAGAUUAGGUUGUGGGGUGGGGAUAAUUGAUGUAUGUUUUAAAUAUGUGUGUUGUUUUUUUUUUCUCUUUUCUCUUUUCUUUUCUUUGUUAAAAAAAACAAAAAAAAAAUUUGUUUUUUGUCUAGGAUGGCCGUGUAAAGAGUCACGACUUUUGAGACGCAUCCUAAUAGUCUUGUUGUAUUAUAUUUUGAUUUUGAGAUUCAUAGUAAGUUGUUUUUGUUCCCUUUUCUUUGAAUGACUCAAAUUUGUGAACUCUCCACUUGGUUAUUAAGUUAUUUAAUUGUUUACUCAUUUAACAGGUAUUAUUGAAUCAUUCUUCACACACACAUUAUGACACAUACUAGUGGGUUGUAAGUUAAAAUUUUACAGCAUUUAGUUCUUUUGAUUUAUUAGGAAAAGUAUCUAAGGUAGUAGAAAGUGUAUAUUUCCAAAAAUAAAAAAUAAAAAAAAAGUAGAAAAAAAAUGUUUUUAAUUUUUCUAUAUCUAGAACCCGAGUAAUUAAGUCCGUAGGGGUGUUUUAACACCUAGUGCCCUAAGGUCAACUGGUUUGGGAGUCGCUGGCCUAAAUCUCGCUACAUGGGUAAUAGAUAUAUUGUUUGUUUAUUAGAAACCCGAGUAAUUAAGUCUGUAGGGGUGCUUCAACACCUAGUGCCAACUGGUCUGGGAGUCACUGACCUAAAGCUCGCUACACGGGUUAGAAAUGUAAUAUAUAAAAAAAAAUGUGUGAAUAAUCUAUUGCCUAAAGAUAUAAUUUCUAAUGAAUUUUAGAACGAAAAUGUUGUUUUUCUUUUAAUGAAGCCCCAUAAGUAUUGUGUUAAUUACUUGAGCACAAAAGAAGGUUUGAUGAUAUUCUGGAUAAUGAGUGAACAUCAAUGUGGUAAAGGAAUUUGGGAGAGUUCAUUUAUUUGGUAAUUUAGAGGAUAGAUGAACAACUAUUAACUUGCAUGUGAAUUUUAUAAAUCUUAAUUUAAUAUAACGCUUUAAUUGCUAGAGGGCUAGCAAUAAGCUGGUUGGGGGGUGUGAUUAGUAUUAAAAAUUGUUUAAUUAUCAAGCGAUAAUAUGUUAUUUUAUGCUAUGUUAUAAUUUAUAUUUGUGUUUAUGUAAUAUAUUAUGAAUUAUGUUUUAAAUAUAUUUAAUUUUGUGUAUUUUUAUGUGUUUAUUAGGAAAAAUAUUAAUUUCACGUACUUCGAGGCUCCAAACAGAUAAACGGAGGUCAAAUUUGGAUUCCGGAGGUCCGAAAACCUUAAGAUCAGUCAAAAUUGGCUUAAAAUUGGGCUUGUGUAAAAAAAAAUUGACUGUUCCUGUUGACCGAGCACUGAUUGGAUGAUGAAAUGAGCUUACAAUAGAUAUGAGUGCAUGGGAUAGCUGGCAAUCUUGACCAAAUCUCAACCGUUCAUGAUUCAAUGGCCAUGAUUGUGCCACGUGGCAAUGGUUGGUGAAGUAAGUUGGAGGAUCCGAAUCUUUGUAUUCGGGUCGACCCGAUACACCCAUUAACCCGCCAAAUCUCAACCGUUCUUUGGGCAAAUCGGACGAGUCAAAUGAUGCCAUGUGUGAUGUUGACUUUUGAAGUUUGACAGCCAUUGGAUCUUGAUCUAAGGGUUGUGAGGAGCACAUGCAUGAAGCCUAUGAUGAAACGCAAAGCACUGGAUUAUGAAUUUAUUUUUCUAUAAAUAGAGCCUCAUUUUUAUGUUUUAAUCAUCUCUCUACAACUCUCUUCUUCUCAAAUUCUCUCCAUCUCCUUGUAAUCUUGAUUUCCAGGUGUGUUUUUAAUAUUUUGUAUAAUUAUUUUCAUUAACAAAAUUAGUUUUAUUUCUAAUUUUAGUUGUUUUUAUUUCUUUUAAUUAUAAGUAAUUCAAUUUUACUACUUCUUUUUAUUUUAAUUAUGCUUAACUAAAUAAUAUUAGUUAGGGGAAGGUGAAACUCUUAAGAAAUAAAUAUGAUUUAAUCAAAUUCUAUGUUUAAUUUUAUAAAUUAAAUUAUUUUCUCUUUAAUUUUAUACAUGUUUUAUAUUUUGAAAAUUUGAUUUAUUGUAGACAAACAAAUGAAUUUGGCACAAUAAAUUCUUAAGAUCUUAAUAUAAGGCAUGGUGAAAUGGUAUUUUGACUUAUUGUAGACAAAUUAAAUUUUGGCACAAUAAAUACUUAAUCCAUCAUAAAUUUAAAGGGAAAAUAAUAAUAAUUUUUAUAAUUAAUCGUUUGGGUAAUAAAUCUAAAACAAAUUGGCAAAAAGAAUUUAUUAAGUUUUAUUUAUUUCUAAGAGUGGAUCCAUAACCCUAACUAGUUCAAUUCCAUAGUUUCAUUUAAAUUAAAUUGUUUAUAUUCAAGUUUUAAUUUCAAUUUUUAGAUAAAAUAAAAUAAACUAAUUAAAUCUUUUCUCUGUGGAUCGACAUCGGACUCACCGAGUUAUAAUAAAACAAGACACUCUUAUACUUGGGAGUUAAAAUUUACUUUUAAGUUGUGUCAUUUAGUUCAUCUUUAGCAAUUCCACUAGCCACUUACAGUAUGAUCAGUUUGGGAGCCAAAUCUGAUGGUCGGACUGACUCAACGAAAGCCUUUCUAGCUGCAUGGGCUAAACCUUGUGUCUCAACCGCGACCUCAACCAUUUACGUGCCACCUGGGAGGUACCUGUUGGGAAAAAUACAGUUUUUUUAAUUUUUAUAAAACCUUUUAAGAUCGCUCUCAUACAAUAUAUAAGAAUUUGUAAUCUAGAAAUCGUACCUUGAAAAUCCGAUUUGGCUUUUUCCGCUGAAAUGAUUUAGGCUCCCAGAUCACGAUCCGUCACCACCACUCCUGUUAGAUCACGAUUACCACGCUUGUUAGAACACGAACUGACACCAAUGAUCUUCUAGGUUAUAACUCAGGUUUGAUCUGCACUUGACGUGUGGGCGCCUUUAUCACUACCAAAGCAACAAGCACGAGAAAAUUUUUCUUUCAACAAUAGAGAGAAAAAUCUUUUUCUCUGAUCUGUAUAAAAUGGCUGCCCCCUCUUUCUUUAGAGAAAAUAAGCUUUUUUAUAUCUCCCUUUAGUGAAAACCCUAGGCUCCAAAUAAUGAAAAUCAAAACUCACGUUACUUGCUUUUCCUAUAGGGGACCCACCUUGUAAAAUAAGAUAAGGCCCCUUACACACAAGCUAAUUAAAUAGAGCCUCCCACUAAAUGAUAUAUUUAGGCUUUUGACCCAAAUAGCUAGUUAUCUUGCUUAUUAAUCCAGUAGUGGUGCAGUCAAUUAAAUGAGCUAACCCGGGGAGCAUUUGGGAACAUACAAUAGUAGCUAUAACAAUUAGGCCUGUAAUUAAAUUAGUCUAAUUAUUUAAUUCCAAAUCUACUCCACUAAAAGAUUGGAAUUGACCUCCAUAAUUGUAUGCUGGAAUAAUAAUUCGUCCCAAGCCACAUUGAUUUCUUUACUGCACAAUCCUUUGUACCACAUCAUUAAUUAAAUCGAUAUCUCAACUGUCCAAUCGAUUUAAUUACAUCUUAUUCCUUGAUACUUACUGGUUUUCUCUAAUGAUCAUUUUCAACAUACUAAAUAUGUUGAUACACUCUGGCCAGAUAAUUCUAUGAUCAAGUGCCGAAAACCCAUCAAGAGAUGUGUUGUACAAAUUCUAUAUUGUUAAUCUAUAACUUCAAUACUCAUAAAUGCUCCCACCAAGAUACCGGGUAAUCUAGACUACAAGUAUGUGUCAUGCCCAUUGGUAACUCAAAUGGAAUAACAAUUACAAUCAUGAAAUCAUAAUUAACUCAAGAUUAAGAUUACAGUAAAAUCAAUGCCUAUGAGAUUUAAUAAGUCUGAUAGUUAUUACAAAGUUAAUUAAAUCUCAUAUGUGAUCAUGUUCAAUGUAGUCGUACUACAUCAAUAAAUUCAUACAUGAUUAAGACAAAUCAUUCAAUGAAUUUAUUACAGUCUAUACCUAAAUAAAGUGCCCAACUUUAUUUAUCAACUGCGAACUAAAUUUAUUUAAUCAUAAGAUAACUUGUAUUUAUGUCUUCUGUGAAUCCACAUGGUGAUCACAUAAAUACAUAUAAUAUAAUUAAAUGGACUUUAAUAAAAAUAUUAAUGCAAUUAAGAUAUUUGAAUAAAAUAUCUCAUUAAUUUUAUUAAUCAGAAAAAAUAUUUAUUACAAUUAAAUAAACACAUAUGCUUUUAAAAAGCAUAUUUUCCCAACAGUACCUGCUACACAAUGUUGUGUUUCAAGGCCAAUGCAGGAACAAUGACAUUACCAUACGUAUCGAGGGGACUCUAGUGGCUCCAUCCGAUUAUAAUGUCAUUGGAGAUGGGGAAAACUGGAUUUUAUUUGAGCAUGUUAAUGGCGUUUAUAUUUAUGGUGGCAUCCUUGAUGGCCAAGGUGCUGGCUUGUGGGCUUGUAAACGAUCAGGCAAUAAUAAUUGCCCUAGCGGUGCCACGGUAAGUUGGAAGAUCGUUACUUUUAAUUAUAGCCAUAAAUUAAGUGGCUUUUGGUUUCGUUAUUCUCCUCAGAUUAAAAUAAUUGAUAACGUUCCUUCUUGUGUAAAUGAGCAGACACUGGGCUUUAGCAACUCAAACAACAUUCUGAUUAACGGACUAACAUCCCAAAAUAGCCAGAUGUUUCAUGUUGUCAUCAAUGGAUGUCACAAUGUGAAAGUACAAGGGGUGAGAGUCUCGGCCUCAGGAAACAGCCCUAACACCGAUGGCAUUCAUGUUCAAUCAUCAAGUGAUGUCACAAUUUUGAACGCUAGAAUUGGGACUGGAGACGAUUGUGUAUCAGUUGGCCCUGGCACCACCAAUUUAUGGAUUGAAAACGUUGCUUGUGGUCCUGGCCAUGGCAUCAGGUAGAAAAUAAAGAACAUGCACGAUGAUUUAUUUAUAUCAUUUUUUUUUUAUAUGUCAUAAUAUUUAGUGCUACUAUUGUGAAUUCGUUGCAGCAUUGGUAGCUUAGGCAAAGAGCUACAUGAGGCUGGAGUGCAAAAUGUGACAGUAAAAACAGUGACAUUUUUACAGGAACUGAAAAUGGAUUGAGGAUUAAGUCCUGGGGAAGACCAAGCACUGGAUUUGCUCAGAACAUUCUUUUCCAACAUGCUCUUAUGAAGAAUGUCGAUAAUCCCAUCGCAAUUGAUCAAAAUUACUGCCCCGACAACAAGAAUUGCCCUGGAAAGGUUUUUAUUUAUCACAAGUUUGUAUGUGAGAAUGUUAGACGUUGAUGUGAAUAAAAUUAAACUUAAUAAUUAUAUUUUCUAUAUUCAACAGCCAUCAGGAGUUAAAAUCAGUGAUAUGACAUACCAAGAUAUUCAUGGAUCAUCUGCAACAGAAGUUGUUGUAAAGUUUGAUUGUAGUCCAAUGUAUCCAUGCUUUGGAAUAAACUUGGAGGAUGUGAAGCUCAUUUACAAGAAUCAACCAGCUGAAGCAUCGUGUAGGAAUGCUGAUGGAUCGGCCUCUGGUUUUGUUCAGCCAAAUAGUUGCUUGAAAUUGUGAAAAAUAAAAUUAAUUCUUGCGUUAAAUUGCCUAUUUUUAUUUUUCAUUUCCUUUUUAGUGAGCCUAGGAAUGUUCCAUGGGCCUGUCUAAGAAAACCCAUUGGGCUUCUUGGAGGAUGCUUAUACUAAUUGCCGUAUAAGACAAAAUCAAAACUUCACUCCUUUGUACUCAAAGAAAUGCAGUCCUAUGUUUUGGGUAACAUUAUCUUAUUGCAGUACUAAUGUUUGAUCCGAAAUUCUGCCUAUUGAAACUAUUAAAAUUAACAUUUCCUAUUAAAAUCAAAUUUGAAAUCGGGAGACGGCCUUUCACCCACCCACUCUGUUUGGGCGAUAGCCCAUUGCCCGGAUUGAGAGAUGGCUAUCGUCCAACCAUCGCUCAAAAAAAAUAAAAAAUUAAUGAAUUCGAUUUAAUGGAGUUUAUGGUAAAAAUUGGUUUUCAUCUUAUUGUCUAGUCUAAUAUAUAAUUUUACUUUUGUAUGUUAAUUUUUUUUUAAUCGUAAAGUUAAAUGAUUAAAUAAUAAGUAACGUCGUGGUGAAUAUGAAAAGUAUUAAAGAUCAAAAGAAAUUCUCCUUUCCAAUCAAUAUCCUUUUUCUUUUAUCUUAGUAAUAUAUCAUUCAUUCAUCAUAUACAUGGGUAUGAUCGAAUAAGAAAUUAACAUGAAACAACUGUCCAAAAUGAUAGGUAGCAUAUAAUUUAAACUGCAAGAUAUUUGAGAAGUGUAGUAAAUAUCUAAGAAUUAUGUAUCCUUCAGUGGCACAUAAUUUAAUUACUUAUUUAAGAAUUUAGAAGUAAUGUAUGUUUGGUAAAAUGGUAUUUAAAAAAUAAGCACAAUUAAAAUCAGCGUACUGGAUUUAAAUGUCAUGCAAACAGAGAAAUCUAAGAUCUAUGUAAGAAAUUUUUUUUAACUAAAGUUACUAAUUAACUAAACCAACAAUUGUUUUAUUUUUAAUACAUAGUUUAAUAAUUAUUAAAGUAAAUAAUAUGUUUUCUUAAUCUAAUUUCUCCACCAUUUCUCAUUUUCUCCGGACUCUUCAAUUCGCCCUCUUUUGCUUCAGUGUGAAAAAAUGCGGUCAUACUUUAGUCAAGAUUAGGUGGCAAGCUAGCAGUUAUCAAGCACAAGUAAAACAACGUACUCUACUAGACCAUGAAAAAUGAAACAGAAACAACAACAACAACAAUAAUAAUAAAAAAGGAAUAAAAUGAAACAAAAUAUUAAAUAUAACAACUACGUAAACAUAAAGACCAACUCGAGCCACAAUAAAAUUUUUGUUUGAUAAUUACACGAUCAUUUUCAACAUACAUAAAAGCUUAGCCAUCCACUAAAAAUAUUUCGUUAUUAAAAAUACUACAAAAGUUUGAAUUUAUUUGAUUUAAUUCUUCUUGUUUUUAGUUUGUAUCCGUUAUCCACUAAAAUGUUAAGUUAUUAUAAUUGAUGGCAUCACAACAAUAAUUUAAAGAUUUAACAUACUAAAUUCAUAAAUUAAAUAAUAUUUUAAGAUAUAAAAAUUAAAAUAAAACUAUUUUUUAUCUAAUCCUUCAGACUUCAUACACCUCAAAUGACACAUUAUAACAUAAAAUUAACUUUUUAUUGCAAAUCAAAGAAUAAAAUCAACGAUGAACAAGAAUAAAAACAAUUAGACCUAAAUUCAUCUUCUUCUAAUUAUGAAGGAUUUGGUAAGAAAGAAGGACAGCCCCAGAAAUUCCAGCAUCAAACAUUCAUCGAAGUGGGGCAUGUUCAUCAUAGCCACUGCUGCUGCUGCUGCCCGUCAUUGCCUACUCUGUCGGCCUUAUGGACAAUUGCGACCUCCCAGAGACUCCUGAAUGGGCGGCCUUCAAAGUCCAAGGCAAGUUUUGUCAAUAAUCAAAGGUGGUUGAAGGAUUUGGUGGGAAACGAUAUUGGCAAAUGAAGGAUUUCACACAAAUUGUAUAUUUAUUUCAUGAAUACUAAAAAUUUAGAGAGAUAUGACAAGGAAGAAUAUGGCGAGAUGUUUUACUUAUUUUUGUUUUUAAUUUAAUUAAGUUAAAAAUAGUAAAGUAGUCAUUUUGUUUAGAUCCUUAUAAGUACUCUAGCAAAGUUAAUAUUUUGGUGGACGGUUGAUAUAAAUUGAAAACAAUGAGUGUAAAAUCGAACAAAUUCAAACUUUUUUAGUAUUUUUGAUAACAAAAUAUUGUUUGGAUGGAUGAUUGAUAAUUUUCCAAAAAAGAAUAUAUGUGUUAUGUGUCCUAAAAUAAGUUUAUAUGACUAUUUCUUAAAAUUUGAGGAAGUGUAUGCUAAAUCUUUUAAUUUCGCCAAACCACGAAAUGUCACAGUUCUUUUCCAUAAUAAACAAAAUAUUUAUUUUAAAAAAUAUCAAUUAAAUAUAUACACGUACUAUAUGAGAUACAAACCUAAGACCUAGGUCUUGGUAAGGUUGCCUACUAACCAGAGGAGCCAGACCUUAGUGUGCAAUAAUGAAAACAUGUUAAUUGAAUCUGUCACACACACACACACACACUUUCUUGUUAAAAAAGCAACAAAAUAACAACACAAUAAAAUUAUACCCAUCAUGCCAUCCCGGGUUGGCUUUAAGGGAUUCGGGGCCUUAGCGAAUUUCGCUUUAGGUCUUUGUACAUUGAACAACAUCAACUUUUGAAGGAUAUAUAAAAUAACUUAAAAUUUAAAUUCUUUUGGAUUACACAAGCCGUAUAUCAAUAUAAAAUUAAAAAUAAAUUAAAUUUGUAAAAAAAAAGAAUAAUAAUAAUUUAAAAUAAAUAAUGAAUAAUAGCACAUAGAAGUUGUCUAGUGGAGAUGAAUAUGAUGAUUAAUUGAUAGCAAUAUAUUUCUUAGAGAAUAAUUUUCUUUGCAGAGAAGAGAGAAAGAAAUAUUUUAGUUGAGAUUAUUGUUGAUUCAAUGUCUAUUAGUUUUGAGAUUCUUAAUAUAGUUUGAAGGAAUACUAAAAGUCAGUUCUUAUGCUAGUAAUUUUAAUAGAGUAUUCUUUUUGAAAAUGAAAGUAUUUAUUUAAUUUUUUCCUUGGAAACAUUAAUAAAUAAAGAAUUAACUAUAAAACUAUUAAUCCUACCAUAUGUGAAGAUUAUCAAAUAUAGAUUUUUUAUAAAAAAAUAAAUCUUAUUUUUAAGGUGAAGAUUAUGAAAUAUACAAUUUUUAUUGAGAAAACAAAUCGUAUUUUGGAUAAUUAUAAAUGGGUGUAAUAAUAGGGACAUAUCUAAAAGUUAGGCUUUCUAAUAUACAUAACUUAAAUAAAAUCUUUGAAAUCUUAGAAGAAUAAUUAUUUAUUAGCGUAUUAAUUAAACAAAUGUCAAAUAUUGGGCUUCUCUAAAAUUUGGGGCCUUAGGAGACCACCUAGUUUGCUUAGUACUAAAGCCGUCUCCAAUGCAUGUCCUAAAAGAGUCAAGAGUACAAACAAAACCAAUAAAACCAACAAAACUUGAUGAUGAAAUUAAUAAUUUUCCACAACUUAUGAUAGGAAACUUAGAGCAGAUGUUCAUAUAUAUUUAAAUUCAAUCAUAUAAACUGAUAUGAGAUAUAAACAGUGAAAUUUAAAAAAAAAAUAGAAAUUGGAAAUUAAUAACACGCAGUAAGAUAACAAUGUCACAUAUGUUUGUGAGAAUUUAUAAUUUAUGUGCUGCAUACAUGCCUCUUCUGAUAAACACAAAUUCUUGAUGAUUUGUUGUGUCUAUGCCAUUUAUAUUCUUUUAAAUAAGAAUUUGGUAUGAAUUUACAUGCUCAUUUGCAUAUUUAUAUAAAUGAUUUAUAACGAAAGAAAAAAGCAUGCAACAACGAAACGAGAUAAGAAUAUGGUAAAUAGCCGAGAGUAGCUUUAGGCUUCUUAUUUUUCAUUCCUUUUUCUUUCUUGAGUAUUACACACAUAUACACAAUUAGUGGGGGUGUUAUAGUAAUUUCAUAAAAUGGCAUAAUGGUGAAUCCACUAUUCACAAUACCCCCCUUGGAUUCACCAUUUAUUUUACAUAUAAUGUAAAGGUAAUAUUAAAUGUGCUUAAUACUGUCUUGUUAAAACCUUGCCAAUAAAACUUAGUGGACCAAAACCUAGUCACAGAAAAAAGAGUACAGUGCACAUCUAUCUAAUAGAGCUGCAGAAACUCUUAUCGUCAAAAAUAUGCUCCUUGAUAAAAUAUCUUCUCAAUUAUUCAUGUGGAAAAUCUUAUAUCAGUAAGAACGUAUCUACUUGACAUCAAUUUUCUUGUUCUAUUUCCUUUAAUCAUUGGAGAUACGUGGUCACAAAUGAUCAUAUCAAAUUAUCUGCUUAAAUGAAUCUCACCAAAGGCCAAAAUAUAUGAUUAGUCUAAAGUAAAAUCAAGACAUGGUAUCAAUCGCACCUGCAUAUGGCGUAAUCACCAUGCAGUUAUCAAAGAUUAUCUGAUUAAGAAAAUCUGCGCUUUUUUAGACAACUUCGGUCUCUUACAAAUAUCGCGUUCAAAGACUGCAGAUCAGACAUUUAAAGCUUCUACAGAAAUAAUGGAUGAAUCCCUAGUUUGACAGCUUAAAAAAAUUUGUGUAUUUUGCGAGAAUAGUUCUGAAAAUAUUUCAGAUUUUGUGAAUGCUACAAAGGAUCUGGGAAAGGUAUUAGGCAAACGAAAAAUACGUUCAAUAUUUGGGAAUAGUGAUGUUGGGUUUAUGGGGAGUAUUGCAGAAAUUAUUCCCACAACUGGAUAUGCGACUAUCUAUAAUACAUAUGAAUGACUUCUUGAUUUGAGCAACUGUGUUGAUGCUUUUAUUGUUCUACCUCCUGGAUUUAAAACCCUGGAAGAAAUGUUUACUAUUGCCACAAGUCACAACGAAACAGAUAUCAGAAAGCUUUUGGUUUUCUCAACGUAAAUAAUUGUAGUGUUUUAAUCUGCUAUAUAACAUGCAAGACAAAUAAAACACUUCCCAGGACCUUUGAUAAAGAACUAUACAAGAUGCACAGAUUGAAGAAUGAAUCCAGCCAAGUGAAAACAAUGUACCCAAGAACUAGAAAGAAUAGAGAAUCAAGAAACAAAAAAAUCACAGACAACACAAGAAUCAAUUACGUGGUUCAGUUGCACCAAAUUGGUACAACCUACAUCCACGGGAAAAGUUUUCUGCAGAGCUUUUAUUACUCAACAAUGGAGGAUCUUUCUUACAGAGAAUGGUUUACAAGAUUUCAGAGAACUCUUAACCCUUUCACUGAAAUCUCUCUCUCUCUGAUAUGAAUUCACAAGCUUAACCCAAAUCGUUUCAUCAGCCUGCUCUUAUAGCUAACAGAGCAACUAACCAGCUAAACCCAGAUCGAACUGAUUGCUUACACGUAGCGUAACAAACUUAACGAACUAAGAUGAGCUGCUUCACACAUCUGUCACGUGCAUCACUUAUAAGCUUCCUUUAAACGACAUGGUUGAACUGCCGUUUCAAGCUUUAAUCUUAAGUGACAACACACGUGCUUUUCUCGUGUCUUUUAAGUGCUCCUUCAAUUGCCAAAACGUCAUCGUUUGGUUCUGAUGAGUUUGAUUCACCAGCAAACCUCCCAAAUAAGUUAUAUGGUAUAUUGUUGUUUUUCUUGGAUGGCGCUGUGAUGUAGGGCUUUCUCUCUUUAUCGGCACGAAAAAUCUUUAUUCAUGUCAAUAGCGCCAACGAAUUGAUCGAUUUGUUUCAGGCAUAUGGGCUUGAAGUCCGCCCAAUCAAUCUGAACUUAGGCCAGAUGAUAAUAAGGAAAAAAAAGAUGAUGACGGUAAAAGGAGUGGCAAUAAAGACAAGAAAAAUGAUGGAGAUAAUAGUAAGAAGCGAAAAAUAUUAGACUUAAGUCUUCACUUAUGACUUUAAAUUCUUUUUCCUUUUUGUCUCAUCGAUGAUAUACUUAUGAAAUUUAAUAAAAUGAGCAUUAUUCAUAUUGAAAUGUUUUAGGUUUUUUUUUUAAAACAUAAGCUGAUUGAUGGAUAAUCAAUCCAUUUAUUUUAUGCUCGAUCUGUAUGUAGAGAUACUAAUUUAUUUUCAAGAAAAGCUUGCAUUUCAAAUUUUUCUCUUUCAAUAUUCAGCAGUUUUAGGAGCUCUUCUGGAGUUCCAAUUAACUUCAUAUUACCAACAUAAACUGCUACAAUUACAAAUUCAGAUAAAAGCACAUAGAUAGAUAUGAUUAUUAACAUGUCAUUCGUUAGCAUUACAAGGGAACAAAGGAUUGUAAGGUAAUGUUUACGGUUUUCAACCUCCCAAAGACUUUGUAAUUCAGAAACAAGUCUUCAAAAAGGAAUGGUAUUAGUAAUGUUUCCCAUCACUACAAGAAAAAGUGCCUACUAUGACAGGCAAAAACUGUCAUAGUAGGGGGUGGAUGACGGUUGUUCAUACCGUCAUUGUAGCCACCGUCAAGAAUUGAUGACAGAACAAUACCAGUCAUAAUCUGUGAUAGAUAUUACCAUUCACAUAACUGUCAUAACUUUACUUAGAGGGGAAUAUAAUAAAUUUGAAUUUGGCUCCUUUUUUAAAAAAAUUUGUGCGCCAUAUUUUGAAUUUUUGGCGGGAAAAUUAAAUUUGGUGCGAAAUGCAAAUUAUAAUUAAAUGAAUUUUUUCAAUUAAAUCAAAAAUUGAAAUUAUAAUUAAUAAAAAAUGGGUAUUUUUUUUGCACCAUGAAAUUAUUAUCAUUUUAAUAACAAUCCUGCAAUUGAUUUAUUAGAAAUUAAUAUUUCAUAAAUUAGCUAAUUAAUUAGAUUAUUAAAAUUAAUAUUGCAAUUAAAAAUUCACUGACAAAGAAAAUGAAAUGGAUAACAUUGACUAAAGAUUUCAUAAUUGUCAACAAACAUAAUUUAAUCAAAUUCGAGAGUGACAAGUCCAACAUAAAUAGAAGAAGAGUAUUGUAACAACCUAAGAACUAAAUUCCAGCAACAUGUACAACACAAAUGAACCAUGAUCAGUUCAAUUCCAGUAGCAUAAGGAAGCCAACAUAGAGUAAUUUCUGCCAACAUGAACAAAGGCAACAACAUAGUUCAUUUCCAGCAACAUUUCCAGCAACACAAGAGGAGCCAAAAAUACUGAUCAGACAAGGCCAGCAGUUCCCAAACGUGAAAAUCCAACCUAAGAACAACCGAAAUGUGUAAAAUUGCAUCAAUAUCCCCAAACAAAGAAAAAAACUAGCCAACUAGUACCCACCAUCUUCAUCAUAAUCCAACAUAGAAGUAUAAUAAGCUAGAUAACUGCCGAAGUAAAAUAUAGGUAGUAAAUUAAUUUAUUUCAUCAAUGAACUCACAAUAACAACAUAAUAGGUAAGGGUUACCUCACAUAACAGCAAGUACUCCAGAAAAAAUGGUUUGUCCACUCAAUACGGACUUCAUCUAAUUCAACAUUGGAAUAUAUUGUCUUUCUGUUGAACUAUUUAUGAAAAUUAAAUAUUUAGUGAAACUUUAAAACAUGACAUGUUCUUUUUUAUGAAGCAAAUUAUGAUCAAGGAACUCAUAUUGUUCAUUAGUAAAGAGAAGUUAUUAAUUAAGUCUUUCAUGAAUCUCAUGACAUAAAAUCCACACACGACUGAACUUGCUGGUUGUUGUGGGACCUGUUCACAAUUAGCAAUUGCACAGUUCAUUUUAAUAACAAUUAAGCAUGGUAAUAUAUAAUUAUAGUUAAGGUAAUAGUUCAAACCUUUACGGAUCUGACCAUCUUAUUAUAAUUCUAUUUCUCCUUACCCUCUUGUGCUAUAAACAUUGUCAUAGAGCUGUAUACAAAAAAAAAAAAUUGUAACAAAGUAUCUAUAAAGUAUGUAAAAGUAAUUUUAUAUUGACAAUGGUAAUAAAAAAAUUGGACAUACACUUUAAUGAGCUCUUUUAAAUCAUCAUCAGGAUCUCCUCCAUAAGAAUUGAGAUAAUAAACUUCAUUUUUCAACACAUCAAAGACGACCAACACCCAAUGAUAACUAUAAUAAAUGAAAGAACAUUUAGGUAGCAAUUUCAGUAAAUUAAGGCAAGAAAGGAAAUUAAUAUGAGUUGAAAAGUAUUAAAGGAGCAUACUAGGGAUUAUAAGGCAUAAAGAUGAAUUGUCCCUUCUUCGCUUUUUUCAAUCGAUCACAAACUCCACGUGCCCUAAGGUCAAAUGAUGCAGUAGGAUUACGUUCUACGCCUAGCAAAACUAGACCUGGACGAAUGAAUCCAAAUGGUUUCACUCCUCUUUUCCCAAGGAGAAUGGAAGCAUACAACAUCCUGAUAAACAAUAGACAAACAAUGUUAAAGUCCAUUAAUUGGGACUCCCAUAAAAAGUACACAUAAAACUAGAAUGAUUAUGAAUCACUUACGCAAUAUAGACUUCAAUUAUGUUUACUCCUAUAACAUCCAUUGACAGAACUGCACUGCAGUCACGCCUUCCAAUAUGAGCUCUAAUCCCUUCCAAUUGGAAAACACCAUCAUCCAGUAGAUAUGGAAUCCAUUCUUGGUCUAACAUCUUAGCUUCACACAUUCUUGGUCUGACAUCUUAGCUUUACACAUAGCUUAACAAUCAAGGAGUGCUCUUGAUAUUAACUUUUUUUAAGCUAAAACUGCAUAUAAAGAAAUCAUCAGAGCGACAAAUAAUUUUGAUGCUAAGCAAUGCAUUGACUGUUGGAAAUUUUUCAAAAUAAAUGGUGUCUUAUGGUAAAGACAUGUCUAAUUAAUUGUGCCUUAUAGAAAAGAUACCUUUCACUGAAGACAUGUCUAAUUGAAUGAUGUCUUGUUGUAAGGACAUGUCCAUUUAAUUGUGUCUUAUGGAAAUGUAUCUUUUUACUAAAUGAUACAAUUUUUCAUGGUAACAUUUCACUUAGAGAUGCAUCAUUUCAUGGGACAUUUCAUUUGAAAUGGUGAUGGUUCAAUUUGAACCAUUGAUUAAAAUUAAAUAUAGAUCUAAUGGCCAUGAAUGAAUGGGUAUCAUGCAAGAUGACAACUCAAAUGAGGGGGCACAAGUAUAUCUAUAAAUAGGGGUCAUGUUUAAGCCAUUUAGACAUGAAAUUAAUGAUCCUACACUACUAUUUUCUUAGCCUUCCUUUCUAGAACGAAUUUCAACACAAAACAUCCAUUUCUUUUGUGCAUUAAAAAUCCAAUAUAUUGUUUUCUGUAGGAACAAUAUAUUGUUUCUUGGUAGACUUGCUUCAAUCAAGAGUAUUCUGGUUUUCUUUCAUCAAUGCACGAUGCAAACAAACAAACAAGUGCUUCAUUGUAUCCUGGAGGCAUAUUUGCUUAACCCAUGUGCAUCACUCAAUUGGUGGGGGCAAAUAACGUCUUAAGGAAAGCGACAUUUGUAACGUGCCUUGAAGUAUACAAAUUUUUUUACAGUUUACUUAUUACUAUUAUUUUUCUUCCUACAUACAGAUUUAGUUGUAAACACAUUACUUUACACAAUAAAGUUCCACCAUUAUUGUUGUAUUUCUCCACAUUUGCCAUUCCCUACAGACUUCAACAACCAACAAUCUUAAGACGUUAUUUCUGCAACAAUGGCACCAAAUUCAUCUCUUCGACAAUUUGCAAUAGAUUUUGUCAAAUUAGAGCGUUUCGAUGGUGGCAAUUUUAUUCGUUGGCAGAAAAAGUUGCAUUUCUUGUUGACAAGCCUCAAUGUGGUCUAUGUUCUCACAACACCAAAGCCUCAAGAACGUGACGAUGAGACAUUAGCGAAAACCAAAGUGCGGCAGAAGUGGGAGCAAGAUGACUAUGUGUGCAAGGGACAUAUUUGCAAUGCCAUGUUUGAUACUUUGUUUGAUCAAUAUCACAACAAACCUACAACAAAAGAAAUAUGGGACUCAUUAGAGACUAAGUACAUGAUGGAAGAUGCCACAAGUAAGAAAUUCUUGGCUUUUAAAUUUUUUAAUUAUAAAAUAGUUGAUAAUAGACUUGUGGUUGAACAAUAUAAUGAGAUUUUGUAUAUUCUUGAUCAAUUCAACCAACAUAACAUGAAUAUGGAUGAGUCUAUUAUUGUCUUUUCAAUUUUUGGUAAACUUCCUCUCUCUUGGAAAGAUUAUAAGAAAAGUCUUAAAUAUAGCAAACAUGAAAUUAGUCUGGAUGGCCUAGGCCAAAGUCUUCGUAUUGAAGAGGAACUCAAGUUUAAUAAUCUUGAGGAUCAAGCUGCUAUGUCCUUUAAAAUUAAUGUCGUGGAGGAAAGAAAGAAGUUUAAGCAUUCUAAUCACCCUAAGAAUAACCAAAAGAGAAAAUUUGAUUCUAAGAGAAUCAAAACAAGAAGAAGAAAAAAAAGGGUGCAUGCCACCACUACGGAAAAUUUGGCCACUUCAAAAGAGAUUGUCAACUUUUAAAGAAAUAAAAGGAAGUUUCAAACACAAAUUUUUUGGCCAUGAUAUCUCAGACCAAUGUUCUUGAAGAUGGUAAUGCAUGGUGGAUAGAUUCUGGUGCAACCAAGCAUGUAUGCAAGGAUCGUAGCCUUUUCAAAUCUUAUAAAGCAAUGGAUGAUGGAAGUGUUCCUUACAUGGGAAAUUCCUCCAGUGCAGUAGUUAAAGGAAAAGGCAAUGUGCAACUAGAGUUUACUUCUGGAAACACUUUAAUUCUUACUGAUGUUUAUCAUGUUCCUGAAGUUAGGAAAAACCUUGUAUCUAGUAAUCUUCUUAAAGUUUGGCUUCAAACUUGUUUUUGAGUCAAACAAAUUUAUAUUCUCUAAGGGAGGUACCUUUAUUGGGAAAUGAUACAUGUAUGAAGGAAUGUUUAAACUCAAUAUCAAUAAUAGAAAUAUUUCUUCUGCUUAUAUGGUUGAUUUAUUAUCUUUGUGGCAUAAUCGUUUAUGACAUGUGAAUAUUAGAAGAUUGCAUGAUAUGGCCAAUUUAGAGUUAAUUCCUAAGCAUGAAAAUGAUAUGCAUGAAAAAUGUAAAGUAUGUGCACAGACAAAAAUCACAAGAUCUCCUUUUCCAAAAAUUGAAAAAAAAAACAUCUUUUUUAUUACAUUUAAUUCAUAGUGAUGUGCGUGAUAUGCAUAGUAAUCCUACUAAAGGUGGUAAAAAAUAUUUUGUAACAUUUAUUGAUAAUUUUUCAAAAUAUUGCUAUAUGUAUUUAUUACAUUCUAAAGAUCAAGUCUUAGAGAAAUUUAAAACUUAUAAAAAUGAAGUUGAGAAUUUUUGUGACACUAAAAUUAAAUGCCUUACAAGUGAUAAAGGAGGUGAAUAUGUUUUUUUUUCUGAAUUUUGUGAAUAUGUUGGCAUUGUACAUAAAACUAGCACUGCAUAUACUCUACAACAAAAUGGCGUAGCUAAAAGGAAAAAUAGGACAUUAAUACAAAAUGGUUUAUGUUAUGCUUUUUAAUAAUGGGCUUGGCAAAGGUUUUUGGGGUAAAGCUAUUUUAACUGCAUGUCAUAUCUUAAAUCGAGUGCCAAAUAAGAAAACAAAGGUAACCCCAUAUGAAUUAUGGAAAAAGAGAACGCCUCAUCUUUCUUAUCUAAGAGUUUGGGGUUGUCGAACCAUUGUAAGACUAGCUGAACCUAAGAUAAAGAAAUUAGGAAAAAAGGGCAUUGAAUGCAUAUUCUUGGGAUAUGCGGAGCUUAGUAAAGCUUAUAGGUUUCUUGUUGACACAACUUAAAAGUAAUUUUUAACUCCCAAGUAUAAGAGUGUCUUGUUGUAUUAUAACUCGGUGAGUCCGAGGUCGAUCCACAGAGAAAAGAUUUAAUUAGUUUAUUUUAUUUUAACUAAAAAUUGAAAUUAAAACUUAAAUAUAAACAACUUAAUUUAAAUGAAACUAUGAAAUUGAACUAGUUAGGGUUAUGGAUCCACUCUUAGAAGUAAAUAAAACUUAAUAAAUUCGUUUUGCUAAUUUUUUUAGAUUUAUUACCCAAAAGAUUAAUUACACAAAUUAUUAUUAUUUUCCCUUUAAUUUUAUGAUGGAUUAAGUAUUUAUUGUGCCAAAAUUUAAUUUGUCUACAAUAAGUCAAAAUACCAUUUCACCAUGCCUUAUAUUAAGAUCUUAAGAAUUUAUUGUGCCAAAUUCAUUUGUUUGUCUACAAUAAAUCAAAAUUUCAAAAUAUAAAACAUGUAUAAAAUUAAAUAGAAAAUAAUUUAAUUUAUAAAAUUAAAAAUAGAAUUUGAUUAAAUCAUAUUUAUUUCCUAAGAGUUUCACCUUCCCCUAACUAAUAUUAUUUAGUUAAGCAUAAUUAAAAUAAAAAGAAGUAGUAUAAUUGAAUUACUUAUAAUUAAAAGAAAUAAAACAACUAAAAUUAGAAAUAAAACUAAUUUUAUUAAUGAAAAUAAUUAUACAAAAUAUUAAAAACACACCUGGAAAUCAAGAUUACAAGGAGAUGGAGAGAAUUUGAGAAGAAGAGAGUUGUAGAAAGAUGAUUAAAACAUAAAAAUGAGGCCCUAUUUAUAGAAAAAUAAAUUCAUAAUCCAGUGCUUUGCGGUCCAUCAUAGGCUUCAUGCAUGUGCUCCUCACAUCCCUUAGAUCAAGAUCCAAUGGCUGGUCAAACUUCAAAAGUCAACAUCACACAUGGCAUCAUUUGACUCGUCCGAUUUACCCAAAGAACGGUUGAGAUUUGGCGGGUUAAUGGGUGGAUCAGGUCGACCCGAGUACAAAGAUUCGGAUCCUCCAACUUGCUUCACCAACCAUUGCCACGUGGCACAAUCAUGGCCAUUGAAUCAUGAACGGUUGAGAUUUGGUCAAGAUUGCCAGUUAUCCCAUGCACUCAUAUCUAUUGUAAGCUCAUUUCAUCAUCCAAUCAGUGCUCGGUCAACAGGAAAAGUCAACUUUUUUACACAAGCCCAAUUUUAAGCCGAUCUUGACUGAUCUUAAGGUUUUCGGACCUCCGAAAUCCAAAUUUGACCUCUGUUUAUCUGUUUGGAGUCUCGAAGUAUGUGAAAUUAAUAUUUUUCCUAAUAAACACAUAAAAAUACAAAAAAUUAAAUAUAUUUAAAACAUAAUUAAUAAUUCAUAAUAAAUUACAUAAACACAAAUAUAAAUUAUAACAUAAGUAUAAAAUAACAUAUUAUCGCUUGAUAAUUAAACAAUUUUUAAUACUAAUCACACUCCCCAACCAGCUUAUUGCUAGCCCUCUAGCAAUUAAAGCGUUAUAUUAAAUUAAGAUUUAUAAAAUUCACAUGCAAGUUAAUAGUUGUUCAUCUACCCUCUAAAUUACCAAAUAAAUGAACUCUCCCAAAUUCCUUUACCACAUUGAUGUUCACUCAUUAUCCAGAAUAUCAUCAAACAUUCUUUUGUGCUCAAGUAAUUAACACAAUACUUAUGGGACUUCAUUAAAAGAAAAACAACAUUUUCGUUCUAAAAUUCAUUAGAAAUUAUAUCUUUAGGCAAUAGAUUAUUCACACAUUUUUUUUUUAUAUUACAUUUCUAACCCGUGUAGCGAGCUUUAGGUCAGUGACUCCCAGACCAGUUGGCCUUAGGGCACUAGGUGUUGAAGCACCCCUACAGACUUAAUUACUUGGGUUUCUAAUAAACAAACAAUAUAUCUAUUACCCAUGUAGCGAGCUUUAGGGCAGUGACUCCCAGACCAGUUGACCUUAGGGCACUAGGUGUUGAAACACCCCUACGGACUUAAUUACUCGGGUUUCUAGAUAUAACAAAAUUAAUUUUUUUUUCUUUUUUUUUUAUUUUGUUUUUUGAAAUAUACACUUUCUACUACCUUAGAUACGUUUCCUAAGAAAUCAAAAGAACUAAAUGCUGUAAAAUUUGAACUUACAACCCACUAGUAUGUGUCAUAAUGUGUGUGUGAAGAAUGAUUCAAUAAUACCUGUUAAAUGAGUAAACAAUUAAAUAACUUAAUAACCAAGUGGAGAGUUCACAAAUUUGAGUAAUUCAAAGAAAAGGGAACAAAAACAACUUACUAUGAAUCUCAAAAUCAAAAUAUAAUACAACAAGACUAUUAGGAUGCGUCUCAAAAGUCAUGACUCUUUACACAGCCAUCCUAGACAAAAAACAAAUUUUUUUUGGUUUUUUUUUGUUUUUUUUAUUAAAGACUUAAUCAAGAACUGGUGGGUCACCCAAAUUAAUUUCGGUGUCUUUGUCACGUGGGUGAUGUUUCAGAUAUGGUUUUAAUCUUUGACCAUUAACUUUAAAUGUGACACCGUUCUUUGGAUUCUCAAUUUCUAUGACCCCAUAUGAAUAUACAUUUUUUAUAACAAAUGGGCCACUCCAUUUUGACUUUAACUUUCCUGGAAAUAAAUGAAGACGAGAAUUAUAAAGCAACACUUUUUGACCAAUCUCAAAUGUUUUUCGAAAAUUUUUUUUAUCAUGAAAUGCUUUUGUUCUUGCCUUAAUAAUUCUUGAAUUUUCAUAUGCAUCAUUCCUUAAUUUCUCAAGUUCAUUCAAUUGCAAUUUUCGCACAUUACCAGCAUCAUCCAAAUUUGAAUUAAUUUCGGUGUCUUUGUCACGUGGGUGAUGUUCCAGAUAUGGUUUUAAUCUUUGACCAUUAACUUUAAAUGUGACACCGUUCUUUGGAUUCUCAAUUUCUAUGGCCCCAUAUGAAUAUACAUUUUUUAUAACAAAUGGGCCACUCCAUUUUGACUUUAACUUUCCUGGAAAUAAAUGAAGACGAGAAUUAUAAAGCAACACUUUUUGACCAAUCUCAAAUGUUUUUCGAAAAUUUUUUUUAUCAUGAAAUGCUUUUGUUCUUGCCUUAAUAAUUCUUGAAUUUUCAUAUGCAUCAUUCCUUAAUUCCUCAAGUUCAUUCAAUUGCAAUUUUCGAACAUUACCAGCAUCAUCCAAAUUUGAAUUAAAAGCUUUAAUAGCCCAAAGUGAUUUAUGUUCAAGUUCAACAGGUAAAUGACAAGGUUUACCAUAAAUUAACCGAUAGGGUGACAUUCCUAAUGAUGUUUUAAAUGCAGUGCGGUAAGCCCAAAGUGCAUCAUUAAGUCUAAGAGACCAAUCUUUUCGGUUUGGGUUAACCGUUUUUUCCAAAAUUUGUUUUAUCUCCCUAUUUGCUAAUUCAACUUGGCCAUUUGUUUGAGGAUGAUAAGGGGUAGCAAUUUUAUGUGUAAUUCCAUAUUUCUUCAUUAAAUACUCAAAUGACUUAUUACAAAAAUGCUUACCUCCAUCACUGAUAAUGGCUCGAGGGAUUCCAAAUCGACUUAAAAUGUUUUCUCUUAAAAAUUUAAUCACAGUUUUACUAUCAUUAUUUCGACAAGAAAUUGCUUCAAUCCAUUUUGAGACAUAAUCAAUUGCAACUAAUAUAUACACAAAUCCAAAAGAUGAUGGAAAUGGACCCAUGAAAUCAAUUCCCCAACAGUCAAAUAUUUCAAUUUCAAGUAUGGGAUUUAAAGGCAUCAUGUUUCUUUUUGUAAUUGAUCCCAAUUUUUGACAUUUUUCACAACUUUUGCAGAAUUCAUAUGUGUCUUUAAACAUGGUAGGCCAAUAAAAUCCACACUGCAAAAUUUUAGCAGUAGUUUUUCUUGAAGAAAAGUGACCACCACAUGCUUCAGAAUGACAAAAAUUAAUGACACUACUUACCUCAUUAUCAGGAAUACAUCGCCGAAAAAUUUGAUCUGGGCAAUAUUUGAACAAAUAAGGAUCAUCCCAAUAAAAUUUCUUUACUUCAACAAAAAAUUUCUUCUUCUCUUGAGCAUUCCAUUGCAAAGGCAUUUUAUCUGUAACAAGAAAAUUAACAAUAUUAGCAUACCAUGGCAUUGAAGUAACAGAAAAUAAAAAUUCAUCAGGGAAAGAAUCAUUUAUGGGUGUUAUAUCAUUGCAGAAUUCAGAUGUGAGUCUUGAUAGAUGAUUAGCAACAACAUUUUCAGCACCCUUUUUAUCUUUGAUGGUAAGGUCAAAUUCUUGUAGUAACAAAAUCCAGCGAAUUAGUCUCGGUUUGGCAUCCUGUUUACUUAUCAAAUAUCUCACAGCAGCAUGGUCAGUAAACACAACAGAUUUAGAGCCAAGCAAAUAUGAACGGAAUUUGUUUAAUGCAAAUACCACAGCAAGUAAUUCUUUUUCAGUUGUAGAAUAAUUCAUUUGAGCACUAUCCAAAGUCUUACUCGCAUAAUAAAUCACAAUAGGCUUACUAUCCCUUCUUUGUCCUAAAACAACACCAACAGCAAAAUCACUUGCAUCACACAUUAAUUCAAAUGGCAAAGACCAAUCAGGAGAUUGCAUAAUAGGUGCCGAUGUUAAAAGACAAAUUAUUUUUUCAAAAGAUUUUUGGCAAUCAUCAUUCCAUUCAAACGGUGCAUCUUUUAAUAAGAGGUUACAAAGUGGUUUAGAUAUGGCACUAAAGUUUUUUAUAAACCUCCUAUAAAAUCCUGCAUGUCCUAAAAAGGAUCGCACAUCUCUAAUUGUUUUUGGUUGUGGCAAUUUAGAUAUGACUUCGAUUUUUUCUUUGUCAACUUCAAUUCCUUUAAUAGAAACAACAUGACCCAAAACAAUUCCAGAAGUAACCAUGUAGUGACAUUUUUCCCAAUUCAACAUGAGUUCUUUUUCAACACAUCUUUUUAAAACUUUCUCCAAAUUAUCAAGGCAAUCAUCAAAAGAAUUCCCAAACACAGUCAAAUCAUCCAUAAAGACCUCUAAACAAUGUUCAACCAUAUCACAAAAGAUGCUUAACAUACAUCUUUGAAAUGUUGCAGGAGCAUUACAAAGCCCGAAUGACAUUCGUUUAAAUGCAAAUGUUCCAAAUGGACAUGUAAAUGUGGUCUUUUCUUGAUCAUCAAGUGCUAUAGGAAUUUGAUAAUAGCCUGAAUAUCCAUCUAAAAAACAGUAGUAGGGAUGUCCUGCUACUCUUUCUAAGAUUUGGUCAAGGAAUGGUAAUGGAAAAUGAUCUUUUCUAGUGGCUUCAUUUAAUUUUCUAUAAUCAAUGCACAUGCGCCAACUAGAUGUAAUUCGUGUGGGAAUGAAUUCACCUUUUUCAUUUUUAACAACAGUGAUUCCAAAUUUUUUAGGCACUACUUGUGUAGGACUUACCCACUUACUAUCAGAAAUAGGGUAGAUAAUUCCCACAUCAAGUAAUUUAAGGACUUCUGUUUUGACUACCUCUUUCAUGUGUGGGUUUAAUCUUCUUUGAGGUUGUUGACAUAUUUUAGCAUUUUCUUCCAAAUUAAUUCUAUGUGUGCAGAUUAAGGGAUUAAUGCCUUUAAUGUCAUUUAAAGUCCAUCCUAUUGCAUUUUUAUGCUUUUUAAGAACAGUAAGUAACUUACCUUCUUGGUCGCUUGUUAAAGUAGAAGAAAUCACAACAGGAUAAGUUUGUUCUUCUCCAAGAAAAGCAUAUUUCAAUCCUUCAGGCUAAGGUUUCAAUUCCAUUUUAGGCGCUUCUUGUUGUUCUGUCUUUUCAAUGCUUCCAAGCUCCUCAAAUUUUGGCUCGUCAUCAUAAUUUUGUGAAGUCUGCACAAAAUCAAGCAACUAAUUUAUAUUAGAAAUUGAUUUUAACUCACCAAGAUUAAGUUGAAGAUAAACUGAAUAUGGAAGCAAAUUAACACUAGCACCAAGAUCUAGUAAAGCAUGCUCAAUUCUGUGGUUAGCAAUAAUACAAGAAAUGGUAGGACAACCAGGAUCUUUAUAUUUCAACUUAUUAUUAGUAGACAGAAUUGUACUUACCUGUUCGGCCAUGAAAGCACUCUUUCUUACCUUCAGUUUCCUCUUAACAGUGCACAAGUCCUUUAAAAAUUUGGCAUAUGAAGGAACCUGCUUGAUUGCAUCUAAUAGAGGAAUGUUAACUUUCACUUGCUUAAAGAUUUCAUAAAUUUCAGAAGAGUGGUUUGAUUUCUUUGGUUUAUUCAAUGCAUGCGGAAAUGGUGGUUCAGGUGGAACACUAGUUAUUUCUUCACUAGGUGUAAGUUCAUUUAGUCCUUCCUUACCUUUUAAAUUUUCAUCAUUUUCAUAAGGUUCAGGCAUAGGUCUAUCAACAACCUUACCACUACGAAGAGUUAUAACUGACUUGACUUGGUCUGUGGGUAGAUUUUGUUGAAUUUUAGGAUUUGGUUGUGGUUGGGCUGAAAAUUUUCCUUUUUCUUGAAUGGUGAGUGCAGAAGCAAUUUUAGCAAGAGUAUCUUUCAAAUCAGAAAAAGUUUGUGCAUUUUGAUUGUUAAUAACAUCUUGCUUUCUGAUGAAUGAAUGCAUUGUGUCUUCCAGAUUUUUCCAGGGUGGUGGAACACAUGGUGCAUAAGGCUGAGGAUUUUGAAAAUUUUGUGGAGGUGGUGCUUGUGAAGAUUGUGCAUUAUUAUUAUUCCUCCAACUGAAAUUUGGAUGAUUUCUCCAACCAGGAUUAUAAGUUUGUGAAUAUGGGUUUGGUUUAUUGAAAGUGUUAAUGACAUUAGCUUGAUCAUUUAGACAUUCUUUAAGUGCAGGCAAAGUGGGACACUCUUGAGUGAAAUGAUCAUUCGAAUUACAUAUGUUACAUGUAAUUUCUUGAACAGAUUUUACUUGAUCACUCUCUUUAUGCUCCAAAGCUUCAACUUUCCUAACUAGGGAUGCAAAUUUUGCUUGUAAAUCAUGAUCUUCCCUAAGGUUAUGGAUUCCUACAUUAGAUGGAGAUGAUUGUUGCUUAUUUGUCAAUUCAAAAGUUCCAACAGUAUCCCAAUGUUGUGCAUUUUCAGCUAAUUGGUCAAGGUAAUCUAGUGCAUCUUCAGGAUUUUUAUCCCUAAAUUCACCAUUACACAUCAUUUCAACAACCUGUCUACUUUGGGGUAUUAAGCCCUCAUAGAAGUAAGUGACCAAUCGCCAAGUUUCAAAACCAUGAUGUGGGCAUAUGUUAAGCAACUCUUUAAACCUAUCCCAACAUUGGUAUAAUGUUUCUCCAUUUUUUUGAGUGAAAGAAGUGAUUUGCCUUUUAAAAGAAUUUGUUCUAUGAGGUGGAAAGAAUUUUUUCAAAAACUGUUCUUGCAUGUUAUUCCAAGUUCUUACUGAUCCAGAUCUAAGGUUUUGUAGCCAAGUUUUAGCUUUAUCUUUUAAUGAAAAAGGAAAAAGCUUUAAUCUAAUUAUGUUCAUGCUACAAUUUUGGUCCGUGUAUGUAUUACAAACUUCCUCAAAAUCUCUUAGAUGCAAGUACGGAUUCUCAGAUUCUAAACCAUGAAAUGUUGGUAAAAGUUGGAUAAUACCUGGUUUAAAGUUGAAUCGAGAUGCUUCUGGAGGAAAUACUAUACACGACGGUGCUCCGGUUCUGGUUGGAUUCAUGUAGUCUCUCAGAGUCCUUGGUUGAUUCUGAUCAUGCCCAUGUUGAGAUUGGUUAUCUCCCUGAUCAAUUUGAGGAUUAAGUUCGCCCAAAACGUUUUCGCCUUCAUUCUCAUCCAUGAUUGGUGGUGGAGAUUGAGAUCUACGAACUAACCUGCCACUUGAAGAUCAAGACCAACGUCUCAUGCAAGGGUUAUGUUAUAAAGAUAAUAUUUACACAAAUUGAUAACAAAAUAAAAUAAAAAAAUAAAUAAGCAAAUAAUAUAAGUGUACAAAAGAAAAUUAAAUAACAAUUUUGGUGGUUGAACCCACCAAUAAAGUAAAAAAAAUAAAUGCAAAAUUAAAAAAAAAUGGUGGUUGAACCCACCAAUUAACAAUAAAUUAAGUAAAAAAAUAAAUGCAAAAGAAAAAAAAGAAAAAAAAUGGUGGUUGAACCCAUCAAUAAAAAAAAUACAAAAUUAAAUAAAUUUUGAAAAUAAAAGUUAAGAGUUAGUAGUUAGUUUGGUGGUUAAACCCACCAAUAAAGCAAAAAUAAAAAAAUACGAAAUUAAAUAAAUGCAGAAAAUUAAAUAACUGAAAUUAAAUAAAAGUUAGGAGUUAGCAGUUAGUAAGUUAAGAGUUAGUAAUUAGAGUUAGUAGUUAAAGUUAGUUAUGUCCAAAAUAAGUCCAAAAUAUGUCCAAAGUAUGUCCAAAAUAUGUCCAAAGUAUAUUCAAGUCUUGAUUAUUUUGAGGAAUUUCGUCUAGGGAUUCUAUUGCAAAUUAUUUUCAAUUUUAUGGUCAAACUGUAAUUUUUAGAAGUUUAGAAUUAGCAAUUUGGGAUGAAAGUGAAACAGUUGAAAGAUGUCGGGGUCCGAAUGUAAUUACUAGAAGAUUGGGCUAGAAACGAAAAUUGUUGGGGUGAAACAAGAAUUAUGAAAGAUAUGGGGACAAAAGAGAAUUUAAGAAAAGGAAAAGGGGGCAAACGAAAUUUUACAUAUAAGAGAAAAAAAAAAACAGAAAAACAAACCAAAUAAAAAAAAAACUUUUCCCCGGCAACGGCGCCAAAAACUUGACACAACUUAAAAGUAAUUUUUAACUCCCAAGUAUAAGAGUGUCUUGUUGUAUUAUAAUUCGGUGAGUCCGAGGUAGGGAUGGCAAUUGUACCCGCAAACCCGCAAACCCGCCCAAACCCGCCCGCUAAAACCCACCCGCUGCGGGUAAUUUUACCCGUUGCGGGUGGGUUUAAUAUUAUAAAUUAAAACCCGCACAUGAAUGCGGGUGGGUUUGGUAUUGACCUUAAAUCCGAUGGAUACCCGCAUGGAUAUCCGUCAAACCCGCAAUAUUUUUUUCUAAAUAUUUUUAAUUUAAUUUUAAUUUAAAACAUGUAUAAAGAAAAUUAUACAAUUAUUCAAAAUGUAUAAAGGAAAUUGGUCAAAGGCCCAAAAGCCGAAGCCAAAAUUUUGUGUGUGUGCAGUGUGUGUGGCCCAUCCGCCCAUCUCCCGUUCAGCCAUUCUAAAGUGAUAAACUGAAAACCUAAAGCAAAUAAAGGCAUUUUCCCUUUUGAGUCUUUGACUUAGCCUCAAAUGAGCUGACCAUCUUCGUCAUCUCUAUCUUCAAUUCUUCAUUCAACAUUCUUUUCUUCUUCAACCCGAUCGUGUGAGUUGUGACAGUGAGCUAGCCCCUUGCCGCCAGCUCUCUUCACUGCCAACAAAGACGCGUCGUGCUGUUGCAGCCAAUUUUGCAGUCGUGAAAGGUACGAAUUUAGAUUGGUUUUUUUGUGGGAUAAAGCCAAGAAUUAUUAAGGGAAAGUCCUGGAAAGUACACGCAAUAGCCAAUGGAUUCUAAAACAGGGGGCUUUCAUCAAGUUGUGACUGAGGGCCCCGGGAAUUUAAUUUCAAUUAUUUUUCUAUCUUGACUAGUAAUAGUGCCAAGUGCCAGUUUUUGAUCCCGUGAUUGCUGAUGUCGUGUGGUUUAAGUAACAAAAUUUUGAGUAUUUAUCUAUAGUGCGAACGUAGAUGAUUUUAGAACAAUAAUUUUUUAAUUUUAAUUUUCGUCUCUUUGUAAAUUUUAAUUUUAAUUUUAAUUUUCAUCUCUUUGUAAAUUUUAAUUUUAAGUAGAUAUUCAGACUUAAAAACGUUUAUUGAAUUAAAUGAGAUGAUGCAUGAUGUAGUAUUUUAUUUAACUCCAUUAAUUUAGUUAAAAAAAUUGAAACUCAGAACGUCAACAAUCUAUUAAUUUUGUUGCUUUCGAGUUGAUAAUGUAAAUAGUCAGGCUAGUGUAAAUUGUUGAAUUCGCUUGCUAAUUAUUCAUCUUAUCUUUGCUGAAUUCGCUUGCUAAUUCUUGUAUAUUGAUUUAAACUUUGUUGAAAUUUUUCAGGUAAAAAAUGGAGCAAGCAUUUGAUCUCAGCGACAAUAACUCGCUUACAACAAGAACAGAAGUUCAGAAAGCUUCAAAUUUAUAUAUUAAAUAUUGGUGAUUUUAAAUGUAAAACCCGCAAAAAAUCCGCCGGGUACCAUUGCGGGUUUGGUAAUUGUCAAAACCCGCUGCGGGUGGGUUUUCUUAAAAAAAUUAAAACCCGCUGCGGGUUGCGGGUGGGUUUGGUAAUUUAAAUUUUGUGCGGGUUUGGGUUUGGUAAUGGCAAACCCGCUGCGGGCGGUGCCCAUUGCCAUCCCUAGUCCGAGGUCGAUCCACAGAGAAAAGAUUUAAUUAGUUUAUUUUAUUUUAACUAAAAAUUGAAAUUAAAACUUAAAUAUAAACAACUUAAUUUAAAUGAAACUAUGAAAUUGAACUAGUUAGGGUUAUGAAUCCACUCUUAGAAGUAAAUAAAACUUAAUAAAUUCUUUUUGCUAAUUGUUUUAGAUUUAUUACCCAAAAGAUUAAUUAUACAAAUUAUUAUUAUUUUCCCUUUAAUUUUAUGAUGGAUUAAGUAUUUAUUGUGCCAAAAUUUAAUUUGUCUACAAUAAGUCAAAAUACCAUUUCACCAUGCCUUAUAUUAAGAUCUUAAGAAUUUAUUGUGCCAAAUUCAUUUGUUUGUCUACAAUAAAUCAAAAUUUCAAAAUAUAAAACAUGUAUAAAAUUAAAUAGAAAAUAAUUUAAUUUAUAAAAUUAAAAAUAGAAUUUGAUUAAAUCAUAUUUAUUUCCUAAGAGUUUCACCUUCCCCUAACUAAUAUUAUUUAGUUAAGCAUAAUUAAAAUAAAAAGAAGUAGUAUAAUUGAAUUACUUAUAAUUAAAAGAAAUAAAACAACUAAAAUUAGAAAUAAAACUAAUUUUAUUAAUGAAAAUAAUUAUACAAAAUAUUAAAAACACACCUGGAAAUCAAGAUUACAAGGAGAUGGAGAGAAUUUGAGAAGAAGAGAGUUGUAGAGAGAUGAUUAAAACAUAAAAAUGAGGCCCUAUUUAUAGAAAAAUAAAUUCAUAAUCCAGUGCUUUGCGGUCCAUCAUAGGCUUCAUGCAUGUACUCCUCACAACCCUUAGAUCAAGAUCCAAUGGCUAGUCAAACUUUAAAAGUCAACAUCACACAUGGCAUCAUUUGACUCGUCCGAUUUACCCAAAGAACGGUUGAGAUUUGGCGGGUUAAUGGGUGGAUCGGGUCGACUCGAGUACAAAGAUUCGGAUCCUCCAACUUGCUUCACCAACCAUUGCCACGUGGCACAAUCAUGGCCAUUGAAUCAUGAACGGUUGAGAUUUGGUCAAGAUUGCCAGUUAUCCCAUGCACUCAUAUCUAUUGUACGCUCAUUUCAUCAUCCAAUCAGUGCUCGGUCAACAGGAAAAGUCAACUUUUUUACACAAGCCCAAUUUUAAGCCGAUCUUGACUGAUCUUAAGGUUUUCGGACCUCCGGAAUCCAAAUUUGACCUCCGUUUAUCUGUUUGGAGCCUCGAAGUACGUGAAAUUAAUAUUUUUCCUAAUAAACACAUAAAAAUACAAAAAAUUAAAUAUAUUUAAAACAUAAUUCAUAAUUCAUAAUAAAUUACAUAAACACAAAUAUAAAUUAUAACAUAAGUAUAAAAUAACAUAUUAUCGCUUGAUAAUUAAACAAUUUUUAAUACUAAUCACUUGUAACAGAACCUAAUAGCUUCGUUGAGAUCAAUACUAUAGUGGAAUCUAGAGAUGCAAUAUUCUAUGAAAAUAGAUUUUCUACUAAGUAUUGAUUCUCAAGAGAAUGAUAAACAAAUAGAAAUUGGUCAAAAGCGUGAUGCUAAUAAUGAGCAAAAUCAUUUGAGAAAAUGUAAAAGAAUAAGGACUAUAAAAUCCUUUAGACAAGAUUUUAUAGUCUAUUUAGUUGAUGGGACAAGAGACUCGCAAUCAAAACAAACCAUGAUCACACCUAUUAUAGAUUCUGAUCCCCUCACCUAUGAAGAGGCAAUGAAGUCUCAAGAUGCUGCUUUUUGAAAAGUGGCCAUUAAUGAUGAAAUGGACUCUAUUAUAGGUAAUAAGACUUGGAAAUUAGUUGAUUUACCACUUGGUUCUAAUCCUAUAGAUUGUAAAUGGAUUUUCAAAAAGAAGAAGAAAGUUUAUGGAACAAUUGAAAGAUUUAAAGCAAGACUAGUAGUGAAAGGAUUUACACAAAAAGAAGGCCUUGAUUAUUUUGAUACUUAUGCACAUUUUGCAAGAAUUAUUACUGUUAGAGUCUUGAUUUCUUUGGCUUCAAUUUAUCAUUUUGAAAUCCAUCAAAUGGAUGUAAAAGCAGCUUUCUUAAAUUAAGAAUUAGGUGAGGAAAUUUACAUGAAACAACCAGAAGGGUUUGUUAUGCCAGGACAACACUACUAGAAAAAUGGUCUUUACUGACACUAGAAUAGUGUGAGUAAUUACUUUUAGUGACACUUGUUAAUUGUGUCAGUAAUCUGGGAGUCAGAAAAAUAGUGACACUUGUAAGUGGUGUCAGUGUUUACUAUUAUUAUAGUAUCACUAAAAUCAUAACACCAUGUUAUCAAAAUAUUACAAUACUAUAUUAGUAUUUGUGAUUACUAUUACUAUAAUAUCACUACUUUAUUUAUUAUUUAAAAAAAUAAUUAUAUAAAAUGACAUGUUGCCCAUUGAUUUGUUGAUAGAAUUAAAAGGUUGUGAGAAAUAAGAACAAAAAUCAAUUUAUAUUGCAAAACCUUUCAUAACAUUUAAAUAUUAUCAAUAUAUAUUACACAAUCCAAAUACUUCAAUAUACAAGAUAUCUUAUUACAAGACAUCUUAUUCUUAUAAUUGAAUAAUCUUAACUGCUAUUAUCCAAUCAAAUUCCUUCUACUCGUAGCUGAAUUUAAGGGCUAAAUUUACCAAAUCUAAAAGCUAAAUUUAGAAGGAUUAUUAUUUUUCACUCCAUGAACAUAAGUACUGCGAUCAUGCAUUAUCACGGACAACUUCUUCAUUCGAUUAAGUUGAUGGGUUAGGGAUAUAAGUUGAAGAAGAAACACUUUAAACAUAUUAAUCAUAUCUGCAAACAAAUAAAGGAAAAAGGAAAAGAAAUUGGUUUCCAAAUUCUAACAGUUGCAAAAUAAAUUAACAAGCAAUGCAGAGACAAAAGUUAAUAGAAAUAAACAUAUUUUGCUCGAAAACAAAAAUAUUCAUAAGCUAUGAACAUAUCAACUCAAUUAUCUUGAAGGAAAAUUAGAGAAUAAGAAUGUUGUAGCUCAUUUGAUUAGAAAUAAGGUGCAAUAUAUUUAACUAUAGAUAUAAAUUAAAAAAAAAGGUGAAUUCAUUCUCUUAUAUAUAUGAAUAAGAGAGAGUGAGAGAGCAAAUUAUAGCAUUGAAGUUUUUAGUAUAACAUCUAGUUUCAAGAAAUUGUGUUUAUUUCUCAUUAUAUAAAAAACAAUGAUUUUCCAGCUAAAAAAAAUUCAUAAUAAAAUUUAAUAUCUAAUACAACAUAGUAUUUUUUUUUAAAAAAAAAGGCUUGCAAUUAUGUCUUUUAGCCACCAAGCCUAAGUGUGAGAGUAAAGCAUUUAACUCUUGAUAAUUACACACUUUCUGCAUAAUACAAUUAGUGUCAACUCAUUCCAAAUUACUCUACUAGAAUAAUAAAAUAUUUCAGCCAUUAUAUUGAUGGAGGUACUAAUCCAAAAUAUUCACAAUAAAUAUAGAGUUCAAGGCAAUUAAUAGAUGUACCUCUUAAAGCUCUGCAUAUUCUCUAUCUUUCUAAGGCAAUCUUUAAUUCAUAUAGUUCCACCCUCUUUNNNNNNNNNNNNNNNNNNNNNNNNNNNNNNNNNNNNNNNNNNNNNNNNNNNNNNNNNNNNNNNNNNNNNNNNNNNNNNNNNNNNNNNNNNNNNNNNNNNNUUACAAACAAAUGCCUUAUAUCAUUAAUCUUGAUACCGUUUUAACAAAAAUAUCACUAUAUUCAUAAAUAAAAAUCACAAGUUAACGCUUUAACCUUGUGUUGGGCUGUCUUAGUCUGCAAAUGGCAGAGGAAUCUACGAUAAUGUGUAUGUUUUCCUGAGAAGAAAAAAGAACAAAAAAUACUUUUGAUUAUUCCAGCAAACCAUUGUCCAUAAUCACACCAAAAAAAAAAAAAAAAUUUCUUUCGCCAUUUGCCUGCACUCUGCAGCAUCUUUAAAUAUCUUGUAUUCAUUUUAAGUAAUUAAAAUGGUGUAAUAAUGUUUGAAGGAUAGAAAGAAAGCAUACACUAGGCUAUCAACUUGCAUGGAAUUGGCCAAAUAUGGCAUCUGAACUCAAAGAAAAAAAAAGAACAAAAUUAAAUAUCAUCACAACACACAAUGUGUCUGUCCAUUAAUUAAAAACCUAGUAAAAAAUUAACUCCAAGCAAAAAUAAUAUUAGGCUCUACUCAAGCUUCAUAGAAAACUAAUUGAAAGUACCAUUGCCAAAGUAGUAAAGUUGGGAAGGCACUGAAGAAAGAAGGGAAUUUCUCAUUUUUAAUUUAUUAGACCAGCAGCCUGCGAUGACAUAAUGUAAAGAAAAUAAAUAACUGAAAUGAAAUAAUUUCAUAAUGAAACUUGGACCCAUUGAAGCAUCAUCUACAAAGUUCCUCACCUCUGAUGAGAGCAAAUGAAAAAGCACUUGUGCAAAAACCAACUUUAAAGAGAAGAACUUUUAUAGGAAAAAGGAAAGGAAAGAGGCUAAUAAUGGGACUGGAACUUGAAGCUGAAGUGGUUUCUUGUAGCAAAGGCUUUUUAACAUCUAUAGAAACUGUGGCUCUUUAUUGCAUGAAUAUGAAACGUCCAGGUGACUCAUCAAAAGAUAGAAACCCAAUUGCUUUAUAUAAUCACUAAGCUAUGGUCGGCUCCUUGGCUAUUUAGCUAAUUAAUAAUUUAUCUGUUUGAUUUUGCUUUCAUUUAAGUUUGACUUGUGUUUCAAUUUGUAUUCGGUAUAGUAAAAAAUUGUAUAAUGGGAUUAAAUUAAUACGAACCUAGCUAGUCAAAACUUAACGUACGUCAAAACUUGUGCAAAAAGCAAAUUCAAAUGCUGAUUGGGAAAAUAAAAAGCGAAAAAAAAAAUUCACAAUUCAUACCUGGCACCAGCAGUCUUGAUAGUAGCUGCAAGAGAGCCAGCCACAUGCAUGGAUACUUCCUUGCCUUUACUCUUCCUUUUAGCAGCAGUACUUCUUCUACCAUAAACAGAAGAAGGCUCCAUAACUUCAUGCUUAUCACCGAUGCCUAAACUCCGUACACAACACAUGCGUUGGCACUCAGAAGACAAAUAAUUUAACAUAAACCACAAAAUAAAUAAAAAGGAAAAAUAGUCAUUACGGGAAUUGUGACUUAAACUUGAUAUUAUCAUUGUUUUUGAACUCCAUCAUCAUUAAACAAACUAUUGAGAAACCCUUCAAAUAAUUUAAGGUUGUCCAUAGGGCAUACUCAUGCAUUCAAAGAAUACGAAUAAUUUCGACAAGUAUAGAACAAACCCAUCUAUAGAAUCAAUAGUUCAAGCUCAAAAUUGACAUCAAUUUCAAUUUCACCAAAUCACAACCUCAUUCAAGUUCGCAAACCCUAGAACACCCAAAUCCAAACACACCCACAAAACUUCCUGAUUACAAAAUCACUAAAUUCUCUAACAAAAUAAAAUAUCUAAGAUAACCAAUACAACUCAAACAAGCUCAAUUCGUAACCAAAUUACAAAAUGAAGAAUGAACCAACUGAUAACAAACAUAUCACAAGAAGUCAUCUUAGUUUCAAAAUCACUCAUAAUUUAAAAAAAAAAUUCUUGCCUGAUUAAUUCGAUCGAGAACCUCUUUUCUCUUUGCUGCUUCUUCUUUGCUUUCAUAAAGCCCAGCUUCAACCAAAACCAUCAACCCCAAAGGAAAUCAAAAUCAGGGUUUCAUAUAUAUAUAUAUAUAUAUAUAUAUAUAUAAGUAAUUAUAGAUAAAGAUAAAACAAAACCUUUUCUAAGUCACAGGUUCUUUGUAUAUCAGCCUAUGUGGAUUCUAUAACUGAUAUUGGUUUCGUCGACAGUGACAAACUCAUUCUCUCUGAUCUCAACAUUAAAAACAAUAAAAUAUCCUGAACAAAAAAAGCCUUAUUUUUUUUAAUCUGACUUUCGAACCCUAACUUUGGCCAAGUUCUUCACAACACUUUCUAGGCGUCUUUCUGGGGGUAUUUUAGCUCAAGGAUGGCGGCUUUGAAGGUUUACAGUAGCGGCUUGUGAGGUAAAUCGUUAGUAGAGAGAGAGAGAGGUAGAGAGAGAGAGGGGGGGGGGGGGGAAAAAAAAAAAAAAAAAAAACUUCGGUUCAAAAAAAAAAAUGGGGGGGGGGAUAAAUUUUUUGUUCAUCAAAAUUUUUAGAUUUUAGGUUUCCACUACACCUCAUUAAGACAUAGUUUCUAGAUAAUUUAAUUUAAUUUUUAAAAAUUAAAUGCAACUUGUGGUCUAGUGGUUUAACGUUUAAAAUUAGAAAGCUAAGGUUCAGAAGUCUGCGGUUCAACUCUAGUGGAGACAAAAUUAAAAUUUUAUUUUUUUAAUUACUGAUACCUUAAUGUCACAUAUCUCUGAUACUUAAUUUACAGACGCUAUAGUAUUAGAAAUUUGUGAUACUUAUCUGUUAAGCACGGAAAAUGCCCCAAUCUCAUGUAAUUACUGAUACUUGUUAAUAAAGUAUCACAAGACAAGUGUCAGUAAAAACCAUUUUCUAGUAGUGCAAGAACAUAAAGUUUGUAAACUAGUCAAGUCUUUAUAUGGUCUUAAACAAGCUACAAAGCAGUGGCACGAAAAGUUUGACAAAGUGAUUGUCUCAAAUGGAUUUAAUAUUCAUGAAUAUGAUAAAUGUGUUUAUAGCAUAUUCAAUGGAAAUAAAGGUGCGAUUACUUGUUUAUAUAUAGAUGACAUUUUAAUUUUUGGUACUGAGAGUGAGAGCAUUGAACUCACUAAGUCAUUACUGUCAUCUAAUUUUGAUAUGAAAGACAUGGGACUUGCUGAUGUGAUUUUGGGGAUUAAAAUUAUAAAAAAUGAGAAUGGCCUAGUAUUGACCCAAUCACAUUAUAUUGAGAAAAUUUUAAAGAAAUUUGAUUAUUAUAAUUGUAAGCUUGUGUCAACACCUUUUGAUUCAACAUAAGACUGUAUCCUAACACUGGCAAAUCAGUAUCCCAAUUAGAAUAUGCACGUGUUAUUAUGUGUCUUACGUAUACUAGGCUUGAUAUUGCUUUCGUUGUUGGAAAGCUGGGUAGAUAUACUAAUAAUCCAAGCCAAGCACAGUGGCAAGCAGUGUACAGAAUUCUAAAAUAUUUAAAAUAUACAAUGGAUUAUGAUAUAUACUAUAUUGGAUAUCCUUCAGUUUUAGAAGGAUUUUCGGAUGCUAGUUGGAUUACUGAUCGAGAUGAUCAUACAUCCACAAGUGAUUGUACUUAUACAUAAUCAUAUGACAUAACUCCACAUUGAAUAUCAUACAUUAAUAGACAUGGAAUUCAUACAUACAUACAUGACAAACUGUACCAAACAUGAAACGACCCGUCCCGAAUCCCCCCGAGCGAGUCAAUCUAGUCUCAUCAAAACAGACUUGAUAAUAAUCUAAUUAGUAAAUAUUCUGCUGAAAAUUCGACAGAGUCUCCUCUAUAAAUAUAACACUCCUAAUUUGCAAAUAUAAAUAUAACACUCCCAAUAUAAUUCAAUAUACAACAAACUCCAGUGAUCAAUAUCAUCAACUAAAAUGCUGAGUUUUACUCAAAAUAUCUUCAGAAUCUCAAAAGAUAAUAUUAUAACUAAUAGUAAUAUCUCAAUUUAUUCUUAAUCCCAAAAAAAAUAAUAUAACAAAAUUAUACAAUCCCAACAUGACGCGAUAACCAAAAUGUCCUGACAAAAACAUCUAUAUCUUCUAACACCAUCAUGUGGCGAAGACUCAAAAUAUAUUUACAGUCGCUGGGUCGGUUAGGUGUACCUGCAACCUCCUGGUGAGGGGGAAAAAUAUAAUAAAAAUGGGGUGAGUUUAAAACUUCGUGAGAUCAGUGAGUGGAUAGUAGUUUUUGAAAAUUCAUUCUUACUUUAAAAGAAAUAAUCAUAUCAUUUUCAAACACGAUUUCAUCAAACCAUAUGCGAGAAACCAGUAAUAAAUCAUUUAACAUUUAAAUCAGAUUACUAACCAUGAAAAACAUAUAUAAUAUCGUACCCAAUAACCAUAGAAAUCAUAUCACAAUAUCAAAUAGAAUACACAAAUCUGAAAAUCUUCACCAAACAAGUACCCAGGAAAAUAAUCUCAUCAUAUCCGGACCUCAACGGACGGGCAAUGACGUACUAUCUAGGUACCAUUACACCCCGGAGCUACACUGAUAUACAGGGAAAUACCAUCUCAUAUCUCAUCGUAUUUGUGCAUGCAUAAUCUAGUCCCCAAAGGACAAAAGCGCCCAAGCACACGACCCAAAGCCUCUGUGUGUACUCAGACGAGCCCGAAAGGCCUGUAUCUCAUUUGUAUCAUCUGUAUCUCAAUAUUUGUCUGUAUCUCUGUAAUCAUCAUACCACAUACAUAUGCCCCCAAAAGGCAUAAACGCCCAAACACACAGCCCAAAGCCUCUAUGUGUGUUCAGACGGGCCCCAAAGGCCUCUCAUAUCAUUUGUAUCACUGUAUCUGGAGGGAAGGGUACUGUCUAAUGAUUUCAAAAAUAAUCAUUACACUUAUAUUCACAUACCUUUUAACCAUACUUUAAAUCAAUACCACAUUUUAAUCCACUUUUCUUAUCUUUAAAAUAUUAUCAUGCUUACUCAAAGUCAAUACACAAAAUCAUUAACUAAACAUUUUAAUAAAAUCUCAAUGCAUGAAUAAAAUCCAUUUCGAGGAAAUCAUUAAAUCAGAACAUUUAAAAUACUUAUUUCACAAACAUACUUUACUAUCAUAAUUAACUAUGAAAAUAGGUUUUGUAUAUUCCACUCAUAGUGACGGUGUUCACGCUCGGUUAUCGUCCACGUCCGCGGAUCGGUUCUCGCUCGCGAAUCCUCCUAAAUCAAGGAAAUGACAUAAUUAUUUUCCAUAAAUCAGAAUUACGACUAAAUUUAUGCAAUAAACUCGAAACAAACAUCUAUUCAUAAUUUACAACUCCCGUGUCAGUAAAAUUACUAAAAUGCCCUAGGGUCCGUAAAUCAUUAAAAUACUCUGAAAUCGGAAAUCACCGAAUUACCCUCGAAAUUGUAAUUACAUCCAAUCCUCAAUUUCAUGUAUUACUAAAAUAUCCACAGGCUCAGAAAUUAUAAAAUUGCCCUUAUAAUGUGAAAUUACUGAAAUGCCCUUGUCGGUCAACGAUCACCGAAAUUUAGUCAACACUGGCCGGGAAGCACGGGUUAGACACUUUUGGCCAAGCUGAGUUCAAUGGUACUGGCGGUGAGCUCCAACGCGCGGUAACGACGCCAGAAUCUAGCUCGGCAGCCGUGAAUUCCAACAAUUGACCGGCGGAAAAACAAUGACUCCCGGUGGCUAUGGAUGGUCAGAAAUGAAAGAGGGAAUCAUGGGGAAAAAAAUCCAACCAGUGGUGUCACCCAAAACCAGUGAAAAUCCUGGCGGAGCAAAGUGAAACAAUUGCGGGUUUUCAAGUUUCAAUCGCCGGUGUUCCGGUUGGUUUUCGGUGGCGAGGAUGGCAGGGGAAUGACGGCUAGCUUCUAAGCUUCAGAUUGGUACCAAGCUCGGCCGAAAAGGUGGCCGGAAAUGGGAGAUAUGGCUGGGUCACGUUUACGGGUUCCAGGUCGGGUUUUCGAGUCGGGUUGACGGCUUCUCUCUCUCACUUCUCACACACGUGUGGCUUCUGUUUUUGCUCUGUUUUUUCCAGCUUUUUUUUUUAUUAAUAAAAUCCUUAACCGCCUCAUUUUUAUUUUAAAUUCUACAUAUGUUACAAAACAGUACCAGGAGAAAUAACUCUAAUAAGUAGCAUACUAGUACUUAGUACUCAUACAUAAUCAUGUGACAUAACUCCACACUGAAUAUCAUACAUCAACAGACAUGGAAUUCAUACAUACAUACAUGACAAACUGCACCAAACAGUAUUAGGGGAAAUAACUCUUAAUAGUCGCCGGGAUCAUCAUCGCACGAGUAGAGCGAGGGAAAAACCUCUCAAUACCUAGCGUAAUUAAACUAUAUCGCACGGGUAAGUAACCUAACUCUCAAUACGCAAGCACAUAGUCUAUGGGGAAAGGUACAUAUAUGGUGACUAGUAAUCACAUCUCAUGACUCAAUCAAACAUACGAUAUGCGUACAUGUAACUAUAACAUGAUAUUAAAUCAUAAUAUCAAACAUAAAUGCUUCACGGAAUACAUAAUAGUAAUAAUAGUAUCCACUCACAAAUCCUUUUUCACUCCGGGGUUCGUUGGGUCUCUUGUGGGUUCCCGGAUUCUAGAGUUCCUCCUAAAAUAUAGGAUUUGUAAUUACCGGUUAGAACUGAUAUAAAAACUUAUGCAUAUCAUGUAAACAGUAACAUAACUGCUCAAACUUCAUAAAUCUAUUACCCACGAGUUUACUAGAUAUUAAUCUAAAUAUCCAAUUCUAUUUUCUGUAACGUUUCCUCUCAAUUUCUCUUUUCCCACCUUCAGCUUCUUUCUUUUCUUUUCUUUCUCUUUUUCACUUUUCUCUCUCUUUUUCUUCUUUUGUUUUGCUCUCGGUUCUCCAAUUUGGUAAAUCAAGCAAUUAUCAAAAUGUUGCAUUUUAUAAAGCCACCGAAUGAGCCACCGAAUGCAAGCAAGUAGCUGACUAUUGCUUUUGUAGAUUGUCAUGUUUGGCUUUUUUUUUUCCAAGUAGUGCAUGACAGUAAUACACUCUUUGCUAUCAUCCCGCCUCAAAUUAGCAACAUCUCCAAUCUUAAAUUCCUUGACAUGGUAAAUAAUCAAUUGUCUGGAGUAAUACCACAAGAAAUCGACCUUCUAACUCAUCUAAAACACCUUUACAUUAAUGUGAAUAAGUUACGCGGCUUAGUUCCACGAGAAGUAGGUCAACAACUAGUCUUAUAUUGCAACGGUUUGUCUGGUUGGUUCCCUUCUUCUUUCGGUAACUUAAACAACUUGGCUAUGUUGAAUCUCAAUAAUAAUUAACUUUUGGGCUCUAUUCCUUCAUCUAUGGGAAACUUGAAGUUUCUUUCCACUUUAGACUUGAGUAUAAAUAAAUUUAGUAGUUCAAUGCCAAAUUCUUUGAGUAACUUAACCAGCUUGGUUAUUUUGUAUCUUUAUGAAAACUCAUUUCUUCUGUUCCUUCACUUAUUGGAAACUUGAAGUCUCUCUUUCAUCUAGAUUUGUAUGAAAAUCAGCUUAGUGGUUCGAUCCCCCAUUUUUUGGGCAAUUUGAGCAACUUGGCUGUAUUGCAUCUUGGUGAUAAUUCACUUUUUGGUUCUAUCCCCCCAAUUCUAGGAAAAGUCCAAUCUCUUUUGAGUUUAGGAUUUGAUCUUAAUCUACUCAAUGGUGUCCUUCCUCCUUCAAUUAGCAAUCUGAGCAAUUUAGAAGGUUUAUACCUAUACUCUAGUUUGGUUUCAACAGAAAUAGGAAAUCUCUUGCAAUUAAUUGAGCUAGAGAUAGACAACAAACAACCUUUUGGUCAAAUUCCUAAAAGCCUGAGAAAUUUCACAAGCUUAAACAUAGUACAUCUUGAACAAAAUCAUCUCACGGGAAACAUAUAUGAAGUUUUCGGCAUAUACCCAAACCUGACGUUCUUAGAUCUUAGUCAAAACAAUUUUUAUGGUGAAAUCUCAUCUAAUUGGGGGAAAUGUCAGUAAUUAGGCUCUUUAAAUUUUUCAAUGAAUAACAUCACUCGGAGCAUACCUCCUAAGAUUGGAAAGUUAUACUAACUUCAUAAACUUGAUUUUUCAUUGAAUCACAUAGUUGGAGAGCUUCCAAUUGAACUUGGAAAUUUAAAGUCCUUAAACUACCGUGCUUUGAAUGGUAAUAAAGUUUAUGGGAGCUUACCUCGAGUACUUGGCUCAAUUAGUGAUCUAGAGUAUCUUGACUUGUCUACAAAUUAGUUGGGCAACUCUAUCCCAGAAACUCUUGGAAACUUGUUGAAAUUACACUACUUGAGCAACAAUGAGUUUCGAAAAGAAUUUCCAGUUGAAUUGGAGAAGUUGGUUCAGCUUACAGAGCUAGAUUUAGUCAUAACUUUCUGGGAGGAGAGAUACCGCCCCAAAUAUGUAAUCUGGAAAGCUUGGAGAAGCUUAAUCUCUCGUACAAUAACCUUUUUGGUUUAAUUCCAGGUUAAUUUGAAGGAAUGCAUGGCUUGUCAUGCAUAGACAUAUCAUACAAUGAGUUGCGAGGUCUAAUUCAUAACAGCACAGGAAUCCAUUAUAAUCUUGUGGAUGCAUUACAAGGGAACAAAGGAUUGUGCGGUGAUGUUGACGGUUUUCAGCAUUGCAAAGACUAUGUAACUCACAAACAUGUCUUCAAAAAGAAAUGGUUUUUAAAUAUGUUUCCACUUUUUGGAAUACUUGAGCUUUUGUUCUUUGUGGUUAGAAUGAUUUCUGGAAGAAUGAAGAAGGCUUCAAGAGAAAACAAAGUAAGUUGUUUGAAUAAUCAAGGACUAUUUUCGAUAUUAACUUUUGAAGGUAAAAUUAUUUUUGAUAUUAACUUUUGAAGGUAAAAUUUUGUAUGAAGAAGUCAUUAGAGCGACGAACAAUUUUGACGCUAAGUAUUGCAUCGGCACAGGUGGACAGGCCAGUGUUUACAAAGCUGAGCUACCAUCUUGGGAGAUCGUAGUAGUUAAGAAAUUUCACUCACCACAUCUUGAUAUGGUAGUGCAACAAGCAUUCUCGAAUGAGAUCAAGGCAUUGACAGAGUUGCGACAUCGAAAUAUUGUGAAAUUUUAUGGCUUCAGUUUCCAUCCCCGACAAUCAUUUUUACUUUACGAAUAUCUUGGAAAGGGUAGUUUGGCCAUAAUUCUGAGCAAUGAUGCAGCGAUAGACGAAUUCAGCUAGACUGUGAGAAUGAAUGUGAUUAAAAGUGUAGCUAAUACCUUGUCUUACAUGUCAAAAUUGGCUGCAUCUAGAAGCUUUGACAAGAAUGGUUGGCAUGGCUGCAUCUAGAAGCUUUGACAAGAAUGGUUGGCACUUGGUUUUGAAUUCUAGAUGCCGUAAUGUUUGGUAUUAGAAAAGAAAAAUUCAAAGUUUGAAAUUUGUAAGUUGUACGGCUUGAGGUUUUGGCCACGUGUUUGACAUUUGAGGCAAAGUUUUGCCUAUAAAUACAAGCUCUCAAUCUAAAGCUUGUAUCCAAUUCCAUCGAGAGAGAAGCAUUGCUUUCUUGAGUGUUGAGAGUUUUAAGAGUUUAAUAAACUCUUGAGUGUCUAGUGAGUGAGAGAUUGGGUGUAUUGGGGUUUUGGUAGUGAGCUAAAUAUUACAUACUUGUAUCCUUAUCUCACUAGUGAAAUAUUUUCCUUCUGUUUUCGCCCGUGGAUGUAGGCUAAAAGCCGAACCACGUACUUUUUGGUGUCCUCUUUUGUGCUUGUUCUUUAUUUUCUUACAAUUUCAACUUAGCUGCGUGUCUGCUUCUCCCACCAAUUUUCCUAACAUUACAUGCAUCAUGAUUACUUCCCACCAAUUGUCCAUCAAGACAUAUCAAGCAAGAAUGUGUUGCUGGGUUUAGAUUAUGAUGCUCAUGUUUCUGAUUUUGGGAUCUCAAAAUUUCUCAAGCCAGACUCGUCAAAUUGGUCUAAAUUUGUAGGCACAUUUGGAUAUGUUGCUCUGGCAUAAAUUCUUAAAUUAAUUAUAUGACACCACUUGUUUCAUUAAUGAGCGUCAUAUCUAAACGAUCAUUCUUAUUGUUCACUUUGCAGAGCUUGCUUACACAAUGAAGGUUAACGAAAAAUGUCAUGCGUACAGCUUUGGAAUAUUAACAUUGGAAGUGAUACAGUGGAGUCAUCCAAUAAAUUUUAUUUCCUCAAUUUCAUCUUCAUCUACCAACAAUAACAUUUCACUUAAUGAACUUUUGGACCCUCGACUUAAAAAAAAAGAAGCAAAAUACAAUAAAAGAAGAUUAGAUAAUCAGAGGCGUAGUGAACCCCAAAAGAUAGUUAGCAUAGAACUCACUAAUUAAUAAAGUAAUAAAUGGGAUAAAAAAUGAUCGACUAAUAGGCUAUAUAUAUGUGUGUGUGUGUGUGUGUGUGUGUAUCUAGUCCAGAAUUUUAAUUUUGUACUAUACCUCUAUUAAGUUAUAACCUCUUUAUAAGAAUAAAUUUCUCCAGUCCCAAUAAUAUGACUAUAUAGAGGUUUUACUAUAUAUAUAUAUAUAUAUAUAUAUGCCACCUUGUAGUAUCGUAUGCCAUGUUUUAUAUAUAAACUUUUUCUUAAAAUAAUUAGAAAGGGAAUGAGAAAUCUCACUCAUUAAAUUAAAUGCUAAUCAAUAAGCACCAUCAUUACUUGAACUCGACUAAUCAGAGGUGCAAGCAUUUAAAGUCAGUCGAGCUACCCCAAAAGGGAGCUUUACAUUUUUUUUUCACAUAAUAAUCAAAGAUGUCACGGUAAUGGUCCUUUCAAAAUAUCUAAUUUAAUUUUGAUAAAUUAAUUAGUUGAAUUUGUUCAGUUGUUGAAAAAUUGUUUAAUUUUUUAAUACACAAAAUAAUAUCCUUUCGAAAAUUUAAUUAAGGUAUAUAUAGGUAAUCUUCAGAGUUCAACGAAUCACAUCUAUUUUUAAAUUAAAAAAGAGAGAGAAAGAGAAAAAAAACUGAAAAAAGGAUAGGAUGUUGAAGGGGGAGAUAGUAGAUGUAUUUUGAAGUAUUGAGAAUGUUGAGAAUAUGUUUCGAAGUGUUUGUGUUGAGAAUACAUUUAGUAGAUGUAUUUUGAAUUAUUGAGAAUGUUCAGAAUAUGUUUUAUGUGUUUGUGUUGAGAAUACAUGGAUGUAGACGCACAAACGCAAGGGGAGUUUUAAAAUUUGAAAUCAAAUUAAUGAAUAUGAUUUGAAGUGUUUGUGUUGAGAAUACAUUUUGGAUACACACGCACACACACAAGGGGAGUUUUAAAAUUUGAAAUUUGUUAAUCCAUUCGAUUUCUAACACAUGCAUACAUUCAGGGAAGUUCUUAUAAAAGUUCAAAAUACAUAAUGUGUUUUGUCAUCAUAAAAAAGGAGGAGAUUGUUAACCUCUAUGGUUAUAUAGCAUUUUGAUUUUGAUAAUAAUAAACCACGAGUCAUGGGUAAAAUAGGAAAUACACAUAUUCUUUAUUUUGUUUUAAAACAAAAAAAUGAAUGUUGAGUAUUUUAAGAUGUCCUCAAAAUUGUUUUCUUUGUAUUUUCUAAAGGAAAAAUUUUAUUAUGUGAAUAUUAUUUCAAAUUCUAACUAUAAAGCGAGUUUUCGCAUAAGUUUUUCACAUAAAACUUUUAUUAUGUGCUUAAACGUUAAAUCUUUAUAAUCCAAAUGGUAAGCUCACUAAAGUAAAACUAGCUGCUAGACACAAAUUGCAUACGUUACAAGGAAAGCGGCAAACUGAUUGCAUCAAAUUAGCUCUCUAGAAUCAAACGAUAAACUGGUAGAGUUGAAGCAGCAAACCGAUUGCAUCAAAUUAGCUCUUUGGAAUCAAACAAUAAACCAAUAGAGUUGAAGCAGCAAACUGAUUGCAUCAAAUUAGCUCUCUUGAAUCAAAUGGUAAACCGAUAAAGCUGAAGUGACAAACUGAUUCCAUCAAGAUGACUUACUAGACUCAAAGAACAAACUGUUAUCUGCAAGCGGCCAACCAAUUCCAUCAAGAUGACUUACUGGACUCAGACAACAAACUGUUAUUUGCAACCGACAAACAAAAUCCAUCAAGAUGACUCUCUGGAAUCAAGUGGCAAACUACUUUCUUGAAGCAGAAAAUCGUGAAGCAAAAAUUUCAAAUUACAACCAUAAGGAUAAGUGCCAUAUAAGCAAACUAUAGACUGUUUUCUUGAAAGGGCAAAUCGAUUAUGCCUAAAAAGUCAACACUUGGUGAAGGAGGUGUGGGAUCAUCUCAAGUUGUAAAUGUUUAUUGACACCCUAAAAGUCAAUUGCAAACUUCCUGAAGCCUUGGAUUGUAAUGCUUGAAUAGUGGAACAAUCAAGUUCGGUUUGCUUGGAGGCAUGGAUAUAAGCGGGUUUUGCCGAACCACGUAAAAAUUUCGUGUUUGCUUUCUUCUCCCAUAUCUCUUUAAACUUAUUCAUUGUUAUAUGUACCGUGAUUGAAUCUCUUAAGGCAUUAGUUUAAAUUAUUUUGUAAUUUAAUUUGUUUAAUUUUUAAAAACCCAAUUCACCCCUCUUGGGUUACUUAGCUAGAAUUUCAGCAUAGCUUGUCAUGUGUCAUACCGUACAAUGAGUUACGAGGUCCAAUUCCUAACAACACAAGAUUCUAGUAUGAUCUGUUAGGAAAUUGGUGGGUGAAGCAGACACGCAGCUAAAGUAAAAUUGAAAGAAAAAUAAAGAACGAACACAAAAACAGGACACCAGAAAUUACGUGGUUCGGCUUUUAGCCUACGUCCACGGGCGAAGACAGAAGGAAAUAUUUUACUAGUGAAAAGGAGUUACAAGUAUUGUAAUACACCCAAACUCUCAAAACACUAAAACAAGAGCUUAUAAUUUCAAGCUCUCUAAACUCUCUCUAAAUACAAGAAAACUCUUCUUAAAAUUGGAUAAGCAAAUGAGGGAAUGAGUCCCUCUAUUUAUAGCCAAAAUCUUGGCUACUAUUCAUGUAUUUUUUUUUAAUUAUUUAUUAUUGUUCAAAAUUUCAAAAUUCAAAGUUUGAUAUUCAAACUUUGAAUAUCUAGAAUUUUGAAUUUGAUAUUCAAAGUUUGAAUAUCUAGAAGUUUGAUUUUGAUAUUCAAACUUUGAAUAUCAAGACACCCAAUCUUGACAUGAUCAUGGAGGCAUUAUGAGGGAACAAGGAUUGUGAGGUGACGCUUACAGUUUUCAACCUUGCAAAGCCUUUGUAACUCACAAACAUGUCUUCAAAAAGAAAUGGCUUUUAAUAAUGUUUCCUAUGUUAGGAAUACUCGCUCUUUUAUUCUUUAUGAUUGGAAUGAUUUUUAGAAGAAUGAAGAGGGCUUCUAGAGAAAACAAAGAAAGUUCUGAGGGCGAUCAAGGAGUGCUUUCGAUAUUAAUUUUUAAAACGUAAGUGGCGUAUUAAAAAAUCAUCAGUGCAGCGAAUAAAUUUGAUGCUGAGCAAUGCAUUUGGCAACCUAUCAUCUGGGAGAUCGUAGCGAUUGGCAAAUUUCAUCACCACUUCCAAGUGAAAUUUUAGUCCUACAAGAAUUCCUGAAUGAAAUCAAGGCAAUGCCAGAAUUAUGGUAUCAAAAUAUUGUGAAAUUUUAUAGCUUCUGUAACAUCCUGGUACUCUUUUUCAGUCUAUGAAUAUCUUGAAAAGGGUAGUUUGGCUACAAUUCCAAGCAAUGAUGCAACAAUAGAAGAAUUCAUGAGCUGGACUCUGAGAAUGUAUAUGAUAUAAAGUGUAGCUAAGGCCAUGAGUUAUAUGCAUCAUGAUUGCUUCCCACCAAUUGACAAUCAAGACUUAUCAAGCAAGAAUGUGUUGCUCGGUUUAGAUUAUGAAGCUCAUGUUUCAGAUUCCGGAAUCGCAAAAUUUCUCAAGCCAGACUUGUCCUCUGAUUUUGCAGGCGCAUUUGGAUAUGUUGCUCCACAUAUGCAUUCUUAAAUUAACCCAUUGAUCACUUUUUACAUUAAUAAACGUCAUAUCUAACUGAUCAUUUUCAUCUUUCAGUUUUUGUAGAGCUUGUUUACACGAUGAAGAUUAUCGAAAAAUGCAACGUGUAUAGCUUUCCGAGAAUUAGCAUUAGAAGUGAUAAAGGGGAAUUAUCCAAGAGAUUUUAUGUCCUUCCAUCGGGGACAUAUCGCUGAAUGAAAUUUCGGACACUCGGCUUUCAACAUCAUCAUGAAAUGUUCAAGACACGCUGAUAUCAAUCAUGGAGGUUGUCUUAUUCGAUGUGGGCCCAGAAUCAAGACCCACGAUGUACACAAUGUGUCAUUUAAAAAAAAAAAAAAGAACUCCAGAAAGUCAAAUGUUUCUUUUUUCUUCUGUAUUUUUUUUCAUUUUUCGUUUUUGUUGGAUUAAAUAUGACUUUUGAAACUUUUGAUGGUUGUAAAAGAUUUUACACUUUAAUUAAGUACGUGAAUUACACAUUUCAAGCAUCAUUUGACUUUACCCCCAAUCUCUGCCGUAAUGUCAUUUGGCUUUUCUGUGCCUUACUUUGGAUAUGCAUAUUCUGUCAAAGGACAAAAAACUGAAAUUGAAAAAUAGAAGUUGUCAUAAAGUAAAUUAAUAUAUUCCAUAACAUUAUGAACAUCUACGUGCGAAAGCAACAGCGAUACUUUCAACACAUUGUAGGAACUGCCUCUAAGUAAGCCCAAUGGGCGUAAAUUUACAGAUCACCGAAAAACCUUAGUUCAAAGUAAAAUGAUCGGCUUCCUAUGAUUUUUUUCUGUUUUUAAUGGCUACCUAUCACAAAUUUAGUAACUUCAGCAAAAUUCUACUGCUUAUAUCUUUUACUUUAAUAUUAUAAUCACGAUCGGCUUCUUAUGCCUACUUUUUUUUCAACUCAAAUAUUUUUCUCAACUUCAAGUCUUCAAGCAACUAUUUGGAAGAACAAAUCCAGAGGCCGAUCCAUCAGCGUUGGUACAGGAAGCUUCAGCUGGUUGAUUCUUGUAAAUGAGCUUCACAUCCUCCAAGCUAAUUCCAGUGCAUGGAUUCUUUGAACUGCAAUCGAGCUUUACUCCAACUUCCGUUGCCGAUGUUCCAUGAAUAUCUUGAUAUAUCACAUCACUGAUUUUAACCCCGGAAGCCUAUUGAAGAAUAAAAAAUAAUAAUUUUUAUUGAGUUGAAUAUUAAUCGCAUCAACAUUUACGUAAUCACAUCUACAGACAUGUGAUAAGUGAGUAUCGUACCUGUCCAGGACAAUUCCCGUUGUCAGGGCAGUAAUUUUGAUCAAUUAUGAUUGGAUUAUCGACAUUGUUCAUAAGAGCAUGUUGGAAAAGAAUGUUCCUGGCAAAUCCACCGCUUGUUCUGCCCCAGGACUUAAUCCUCACUCCAUUUUGAGUGCCUGUAAAUGUCACAGAUGUUACUGUCACAUUUUGCACUCCAGCCUCUUGUUGCUCUUUGCCUAAGCUUCCAAUGCUACAACAAAAUCAGAAUAUUCAAUUUAAUUAGCACUAAAUAUUUAUACGUACCACCAAAAAUAAAGAGAAAAACAAAUCAUCAUGUUUUUAAAUUUUACCUGAUCCCAUGGCCAGGGCCACAAGCAACAUUUUCAAUCCAUAAGUUGGUGGCGCCAGGCCCAACUGAUACACAGUCAUCACCAGUCCCAAUUUUGCUGUCCAAAAUUGUGACACCACUUGAUGAUUGAACGUGAAUGCCAUCGGUGUUUGGGCUGUCACCGGCGGCCGAAACUUUGACCCCCUGUACUUUCACAUCGUUGCAUGCAUUGAUGACAAUAUGAAACAUCUGGCUAUCUACGGAUGCUAAUCCGUUAAUCACAACGUUGUUUGAGCUGCUAAAGCGAAGUGUCUGCUCAUGUAUGUACAAAAGAGGGAACAUUAAUUAUUAUAACUAAAGCAGGAAGCCAAACAAUAUGGAAAGCAAAAAGCCACUAAAUUUACGACUAUACAGAUAUAUAAAGGAUAUUUCAACUUAAUUACCGUAGCGCCACUGGGGCAAUUACUAUUGUCCGACUUUUUACAAGCCCACAAGCCAGCACCUUGGCCAUCAAGAACGCCACCAUUAAUAGAAACCCCGCUAACAUGCUCAAAUAAAAUCCAGUUUUCGGCAUUUCCGAUAACAUGAUAAUCAGCUGGAGCCACCAGAGUCCCGUCAAUACGUAUGGUAAUAUCAUUGUUCUUGCAUUGGCCUUGAAACACAACAUUGCUUAGUAAGUACCUCCCCGGUGGCACGUAAAUGGUUGCGGCCUCGGCCGAGCCACAGGCUUGAGCCCAUGCAGCAAGAAAGGAUUUUACUGAGUCAGUCUGGCCAUCGGGUCUGGCUCCGAAGCUCAGCACGUUGUAACUCAAAGGAAUUGCUAAAGAUGAACUAAAGAAGAGAAUCAAAAGAAAUGGUAAAAAUUUAAUAGGCAAAGACAUUGAUGUUGACAUUGUUUCAAAGCUUAAAUUUACUGAUAGAAAUGAGAGAAAUAAAUUUGCGACGUUGAGGAGUUGGGGUGGAAUUGAGAAGAUUUAAAUGGGUAUUUAUAGGAUUUGAAUGAACUGUAGAAAUGGCAAUAGCACUAACAGUGAAUGCAAUCUGCGCCGAAUUUUGGGAGUGAUUUUUGCCUUAACUGAUACGAUCUUAGUUUACCAAAAUACCCUUUAACUUAAAUUUGGAUAAUAUUUGAUGACAGAAGCAACAUAACUACAUACAAAAGACAACUGCACGUCCAUAUAUGGUUUCGUAAGAUGAGAGAUUUCAAAGGUAGUUAAUAAAUUAACAGAUAAAAAGUGCUUAUCCAUUUUCUGCUUUUCUGGUGCCAUGUAAAAAUUCCCGCGGAACGAUAUGUUCAUUUCUGUGAACUAUCUCUCCUUGUUGCUUGAAGUUACAGCAAAAUAAAACGGUCUAAAAAUCAUUCGGACUAAGUUUUUGGGUAACCUGUAAAUACUGCAUGAAUUAACGUUGGAUAAACGAAAAGUACACAGCUAAUAAUUUUGUCAAAUGCUACAACCACUAAAAGGCCUGCAAACUCAUUCAGAUUGUUCAUUUGUUGGUUAAUAUAUAUUUCCAUUAUCCCUUUGGGCUAUCAAGUCAAUUAUAUGGAUAAGCCUCAGUAUCUAACUUCUAAUCUUACAGGUCAUUGAUUAAAUCGAACGGUUCAUGCUUAUGCAACUAUUAAUAUUGUAAUUUUUAUAGCAGCAUCAUAGAAUGACCCUUGUAUUAUAAUUUUUUUUUUUCUGAAAGUAAUUGAAUUAUUGUUGGCCCACAAUUUUAGCAAGUGCCUAAUAAGAAUAUGGAAAUUUCCCGAAUUUCUGAAUGGCCAUUUCUUCAAAAUACAGAUUGUUGUUUUGGUGUCGGAAGGAUAAAUUCAUAAAUAAAGUUUCCCUUGUUUCACGGCUUCCUUGUUUCCGGAAAUUUUUGUUUUUCACGUGACGUUAAUUUGUUGAUCUUACUUUCGCUUAAGAGAAUAAAUUAGGCACACAAUAAAUGUACAGUAUUCAAAUUUCAGCUCUAGUUAUAUCUGGAAAAUGAAACCAGAGCACAGUUCCAUCAACAUCAACUAUUGAUUUUAAGAAAAAAAUUAAGAAAGCCACGUGAAAAAAGAAAAAAAGAAAAAGAAAAUUUCGUUGAAAGUUGAUAAAAUGUUCGUUAUCAUAGUACGUCUCUUUAUCUAGAUGUUAUUUUUGUAAUUAACAUAAAUAUUUUUUUUUCUCAUUUUAUCAAAAUUAUUCAAGUGGGAAGCAGUUUCAGUCCACCGUGUGCAUUUUCGUUAAUGAAAUUAUUUUCUUCUUAUUUCUUAUAACUAGCCGCAAUUUUGCUAGUUUCGAAAGGGAUGUUUUGACAUAAAGUUCAACUUUUUUCCUUUUCUUUUUAGUGGUUACAAUUUUUGUGCACAUUACUGAUUGACUUGUUUCAAUUACUCAGAUUAAGCAAACAAUCAAGCCACAUUACUAGGUUAUCAAGAAAGAGCAGUUACCAGUUAGGUCCCUCAGGUCAAAGACGUGACUUAUUUUAGUCAAUUGCUUUAUGUUAAUCAAAAUUUGGCAGAAGUUAAUUAACCGACUACAAGUUCACCACAUGCGGAUUUCAACUGCCCAACUGAAAAAAGGUUUAUGAGUGUUGACCAAAUGAUUUUUUAUACAUUACUAGUUGUUUAAGGGAUUUACUUUCACACAGUACCAUUAAUUGUUGGAGUUAGCUAAUCUAACGGUAACUUCUAUUGGUGGUAUCGCCUCAAAUUUUGUUUUAUAAUUAAUUUUAAAUGUAUGUGAAGAGCUUGACUGCCAAUUUCUUUAUUUAUUUUUCAGAUAAAAAAUUGUUUUACAAAACAAAAAAAGAAUAUGUUAUUAAGGAAGCUCACAUCAGUAGCAUAGACUGUAAAGCAGAGGAUAGCAGCAGCUCCAGCUUACGGUUGAGAGUUUAUCACAUGGCAUGCCAGCUGGCACCUGGUGGUUAUGUAAUCACUUGUACAGGUGAUAAUCAGCUGAAGUUGUUAUAGUUAGUUAGAAUUAGCAGUAGUUUGUAACAGUCAAAAUGAUGUUGAUAUCUGCCACCUGGAAUAUCAUAUCAUACCAUUUUUUUUAUAUUUUUUUUCAGAAAAAUAAAAGUCUAUAAGGGAAUUAGAAAUCUCACCCAUGAAACUCCAACCAUCACCCACUAUUAUUACUAGUACUCGACUAACCUAAUGCAUGUGUAAUAUAAAAUUUAGUUUAGAUGAAUUAAAUUACGUUGGAUUUCUUUAGGUGUUGAAAACUUGUUUAAUUUUUUUCUGUACAUACAAUAAUAUCCUUUCGAAAAUUUAAUUAAGAGUAAUUGCCAGAAUUCAACAAAUCACAUCUAUCUUUAAUUUUUUUUUAAAAAAAGAGAAAAAUAAACUAAAAAAAAAGAAAGAAAAGAAAAUGCCCGUAACAAGCCCCAAAACAUGGAAUGUAGCAGUCGCAAACCAAAAAGCUCAAUACACAUUUGUCUGCGCAUGUGAGUGUUCAAGACAUGAAUUAAUGGACUCUUGAAGUAAUUUAUAUUUACUGUCUCUGCUGUUAAUCUAAAACCAAAAACUAAAUAUUGCCAUGAAUUUAGGGUUUAAAUAAUUAUUGCUGUUUUUAAAGAAUAUGAAGGAAUCAAUAUUUAUAUAACCUACAGAGCAUGUGAGCUUAGCAAAAAUGGAGGAACGGUGCGAUAUGAAACGAUUUUUUCAUUAAAACAUCAUGCAAUGCUUUAAAUGGAGAUGCAUGUUUGAAAUAAAAAAUAAAAACAACAUAAAGAAGGAGGAGGGUUGACUGUAUGGGGAUUUGUGCUUAUAAUUUAGGCUCACAUAGCUUCCUUUGAUUGAAGAACAUACGUGCAAGCAAACUCACAAAUGGUAUUGUGCCACUUAGAAGUAAGAGAAGCACAUCAAUCAUUGAACCUCUUUUUUUUUUUUUUCUGAAUCAAUUGUAUUAAGGAAGCACAUCUCAGCUGCAUAGUCAAAGAUCAGUCAAUGCAAAGAGUGGCCAAUGAAGCCAAGUGAGCAGAGUGAUUAAGAGUGUGCCAGAUCAUUGACAGCUCAGCUUAUUAGUUACACAUAUCUAUUGUGCUCUGUAUCUUUCAUUUUUGUUAUUUUCUGUUUUUAGUGUUAGCAGUUAGUUACAGUUUAUAGUUAAGCUCACGAGCUUGAUAUAAAUACUUUGUUUUACUAUUUUUGAUAUUAAGUGAAAUAAACAAUAAACAUUCAUUUCCAGAAUAUUCUUUUCCUCUGUAAAUUUUUUUUCUUCCAAACACAAUACGAUUUUCCUUUAUGGUAUCAGAGCCAGAUCAAUAUGGCUAGCUCCAGCAAUCCAAUCGUAAACACAAACACUAAUUCAAUAAGCUCAACAAAUUUUUCAUUCAUCACUCCUGUGAAGUUAGAUCGAAUCAAUUACUUAAUUUGGCGAUCUCAAGUAUUAGCUUCCAUAAGAGGCAACAGACUUGAAGGGUUUAUUAAUGGAACAAAAUUUGAACCAGAGCAGUGCAUUACUCGAAGAACAGCUGAGGGAUCUACACAGCUGAUUGAGAAUCCAGAGUUUAUCACCUGGAAAUCACAAGAUCAAACACUUCUUGGCUGGCUCUUAUCUUCAAUAAGUGAAGGUACACUUGGUCUUGUUAUUAAUCUUGAUAGUUCAUAUACUCUAUGCAAAACACUUGAGAAGAAAUUUUGUUAGGUCCCAGUCAGAAUUAGCGGAAAUAACAAGUAAUUAAUUUGUUCUUCUUAGGGUGAGAACUACCGCAAUUGCUAAUCAAAUUAGAUAAAAGUCUGAUAUCCUUUUAUUGAAAUAUUUGAGUCUAUUUAUAGACAAAAUUAAUGAAAUAAAGUAGUUAAAAUCAAUUAAACCACUUAGCUAUAAUUUCGAAGUAAAUAAUAAUCCUAAAGGAAACAUGAUUAAAUCUGAAUUCUUCAUCAAUACGGCUUGAUGUAGUAAGCUUUCCGUUGAUUUGAAGAGUCCUUGAAGGAACGUGAUGCCCACCUCAUGCAUGGCUUGCAUGGUUACUUGCAUGUGCCCAUGCAUUUUCGUUAUUGGCUUGCUGUUGGGUUUUGCUUCUCAUUUGAACUUGCGUAUGUUCUUAUCAAAUUUGGAGUACAAUAUGAAGCUAAGGUACUUCAAAUCAAGUAUGAAAUAAACACUUUAAAGAAAGAAUCAAUCAUAGAACUUAUUUUUUUUUUUUUUUUGUGAAUCAAUUGUGACGGUGGCUUAGUUCGGCCGCGUUUGUUAUAUCAGGAUAGGGACCAAAUCCUUUUGUUUGUUUCUAAUUUUCGACGUAUAAUGUGUCUCCUUUACCUUUCCCAAGAUACAUAGUUCUACUUUUGGGUCGAUCUGGACCUUUUUCUUUUCUCAUUCCUAAUUUUUAAGCACUUUAACCCUAGCUCACUUUAUGCACAAGUGGAAAUUAACCUCUUUGAAAUUGUGGGUGAGAGAGAUGAUCAUUUUAUUUUUCGAAAUUAAAAUUUUGAUUCGACAGGUUAUAAAGGAGAAAUAACAAACUUAAAGAGACCGUAACAAAAAAUGACAAAGUGAUACAAACUCUUAAAAUUAUUAAAAUUAUUUAUUUUAUAUAUUCAAUUUUAUGGUAUUAGUUAAUUUUGAACUAGUCAAAAGUAAGUGAGUCAAAAGUAGUUACACUUAUUUUGUGGAACUACAUGUAAGUAGUGGAGCAUUAUGUGAGAACAUUCUUAGUGUUACUAAUUUUUAGGUUGUAAUCUUAAAUAAGCUUUAUUCUACAAAGUUUGAUAUUAUUCAACAAAAAGCAUCAUGAGUUUAUUAUUUUGGCAACAUAAAAGCUGUAAUUGGGAGUUUAUUGGUUUUUCGAAUAAUCAAUACUUAUUUGGAGGCUUGGGUUUCCUCAAAUUAACCCUAUUUUGUUGGUAAAUUCGGUAGGUGAAGCAGACACACAGCUAAAGUGAAAUUGAGAAAUAAUGAUCACACAGGGACACCAAAAUUUACGUGGUUCGGCUUUUAGCCUACGUCCACGGACGAAAAUAGAAGGAAAAUUACAAGUAUUGUAAUGUUUUGUCUCACAACCCAAAACCCAAUUACACCCAAACUCUCAAAAUCACUUGAACUAGAGCUCAAAACUCUAACACUCUUAAUUUACACCUCUUAGCACUCUCACUUGAAUUGGAGAAAAUGGGAUGAAUGGAGAGGACAAAUGAAGCCGCUAAUUAUAGGUCAAGCAAUGCCCAAAAAUCAACAAUGGUGGGCACUAAAAUAAUAUAAAUUUCUCUUAAAUUUCCACUUUGGUGCUUAAGUCAAAAGUUGCAUGCCUCCCACUUACUCAUGUCUCCCACUUACUCAACAAAUUUAUGCCAAGAGUCAAAAGUUGCAUGCUAGCCACAUGCAAUUGUUUGCCACAUGCAUGCACAUGUUCAACACAUUUGUGUCUAAUUUUUCUAUUUCAUUUGAUUUCUUCUUAUAAACAUUAGUGUUUGUAUCAUUUGGUAUAAGAGCUUGGUAAUAAAAAAGGAGUAAAUCCUUACAGUGGAGCAGAGAAUUGAGAGCAUUCAGAAGAUGAUGGAGGGUAUAAUUCUUAAGUAGAAGGAACUUACCAAGAAAUUAUUGUGCAAAAUGGAUGAAAUAUCAAGAACAUGGGAUGCAAGGUUGAACUCAGGUAGCUCUCAUAUCAAACAUGUGAAAGAAAAUUCUACGUCUUUGGUUGAAGUUCAACGUCUCCAACAAAGUGACAAUUUGGCAAAUGCAACGCAUGAUGGAGGUGUUAAACAAUGCAGCAAAGUAGUGGCAUCAUUGAAGAAAAUUCCAUAAAUCAACAUUCAAAAGGUUUGAGUUUUCUCUUACAAGUCAAAGGUGCAGAGUGUUUAUUUUAAGGACAAAGCCAAAUUGCCUAGCCACCAUGAUGAGAAAUUAUUCAUCGGUAAAGUGCCAAAAAUUGAGAUGAAGAACAUGGUGGGAUCAAUGGAGAAUUUUCAAAAGAGCUUCAAGGCAUCAUUAUAUCUAAUUAUGAAUUGGAAACGGAAAAGAAAGCAAAUUAUUUCAAAAAAAUCUACCCUUGAGGACAACGGUAUUUUCAAGGGGGAAGGAAUGAUACAAACUCUUAAAAUUAUUAAAAUUAUUUAUUUUAUUUUAUAGUAUUAAUUAAUUUUGAACUAGGCAAAAGUAGUUGCACUUAUUUUGUGGAACUACAUGAAAGUAGUGGAGCAUUAUGUGAGAAAAUUACCUAUUAAUAAACCAUAGGUAAUUUUCUAUUUCUAGGUAAUAUAUAUGUUUGUGAAUAGAAUUUUAUUUUAAUUAAAUGAUAAAUAUUAUCUUAAUCACUAACAAGUAAAAAUAUUAAACAUGCAAAUAUACAUAUUAAUUUAGAUUUAUGUGUAAUAAAUAUUGAAAUAUUAUUUAACCUUCACCAACACAUAUUAACAGUGAUCUCUUUUUAUUAUUUAUAAUUGGAACAAUACAAUUUUAAUCUCUGUUGCUGCGGGCAGCUUUUAAGGCGGCUUUGCCAAUCCUUUGGGUAUUCGCUCUAGUUAUUUUGCUUCGCUUCAAAGCCAUUCUUCAUGCUAUCCUUUAGAAAAUUAUGAGUGAAAUUGAACAUCCGUCGGGGUUCAAUGCACGUCUUUGAGAGCCCUUUUAUUAAAUUAACUAAACUGGAGUUCAGCCCAACAAAAAUACAUGGACAUUCUAGACUACUCCUUUAUAUAUUUCUUUUUAUCAUGCGUUGUUAGUAUUCUUUUGAUACUUGGAAUAAGGGCAAUAAUCAAUUUCCCCACAUCUAACAAAGAGCAAUAAAAUAUUGUUUUGCUAAGAAACAAUACUGUAUUAUGAAGGGCAAAUUUAAGUCUACAUUCUAUUAGAUGCGAAUUGAACCUCCACAACUUGUAUAAUUUUUAUCUUAUAAUAAUAAUAAGAAUAAAGGUUAGAUCCCACAUAUAUGUUAAUUAUAAGACUUUGACUCAGUCAAUUUAAGUUGACGAAAUCAUAUUAGUUGACGGAUCCCAAGGUAAUUUCGAAGAAAAUGGUGAAAUAUUAUUAAUGGUCUUUGCACGCUCCUGUUAUAGAUUAAUUUAAUCCGUCGGCUCCAUAAUUAACUUUUUUCUUUUACUUAAGUGGCAAAGUUAAUAAUAACGCUUUGACAAUCAAACUCUAAAUGUUGCGACAAAGCACACAUUUUAAUAUGGCCAUCAAACUAAUUACGGAUCCUCAAUUUAAAUUUAUAUAUAAAUGGAAUGACUGCUUUUUUACUUUUAUUCACUAUUAGAAAAAUGGUCUUUACUGACACUUGGUUUGUGAUACGUUAUUAAAAAGUAUCAGUAUUUUCAUACAUAUAGACCAUUUUCCGUGUUUAACAUAAAAAUAUCACAAAUUACUGAUACUAUAGUGUUUGUAACGUAGAAAUCAAAGAUUUCUGGCAUUAAAGUAUUAGUAAUAAAAUAAAGUAAUUCUAAUUAGAUUCCAAAUAGAACUCAAACCGAGGACCCCUAGUCUCAAGCGUUUAAGUUCGAAAAAAAGACCAGGAUGUCCAAAUCUCAAAUUUUCUAGUUCAGAAAACUAACUACUAAACCAAACAUUUUUUAAAAUUUUCCUGUUUAAUUUAGACAAAUUUUUAAUCUUUCUCAUUCCCUCCUAAACUCCCCAAAUCUAAAAAACCCUACCUUCACCAAAUUCACAAAACUCUAAUGUAAUUGCGUCGUCUUAUCAAAUCCAACUCUUCUCUCAGCCACUCCUCUCUUAUCUUUCUCUUACAAUCCAACACAAUCUCGUACUAUCUAACUCAUUUUUUCCCUCUCAAUCUCGCCUCUUUUCAAUCCCUAACCUUAAAUCUUUCUAUUACAAUCCAACAGAAUCUCACACGGCCGUGAAAUUCUAGCCACUUUUUUGCCUAACGCCAAUCUUCGUCAUCAAGAAAAAUGAUUUGAGGAGCGUAAUUUAGCUCCAAGAUCAUGGACAUAUGCCUUGGUCAAAGUUAAAGAGCGUUGUUGGAGGUUGUUUAAAGAAGAAGCAGAAGCACCACUUAGGUGAAGCAGAUGUAGAUCUGGGCAUCGUAAUUAAGUAAGGUGAGCAUUAGCUAAAUAAUUAAUAAUUAUUAAGUAUUCUCUACUUAUAUGUGAAUUUAGUAAGAAAUUAAUUUUGCUCUUUUUUUUUGAAUUUUAAGUAGGUUUAUUAAUUCUUUUAUUUUUAUUCAACUAAUACACGGUUUUGGAAUUUUUUUUUCCGCGUUUUGAUUUGUUGAUAUAUGAAUGGUAAAAGUUGUGUUAGUCGUUCAUAGUUUUUGAAGACUGGUAUGGUGUCCGCAAAGUGUUUGAUGAGAUGCUUGUGAGAAUUGUUUGGUGCAUUUUAAUUAGUUGACAUCGUUAGCAAAUUAUAUGCUAAUAGGGUAGUAUAUGUAAAUAAGAAAUGAGGGUAUUCUUUCUUAAACAUAUUAUUUGAUGCUCCCAAAUGUUCUCUUUGCAGGAGCAACUGCCGAUUGGUGGUCUGUGGGUAUUAUUCUGUUUGAGUUGCUUGUAGGCAUUCCUUCAUUCAAUGCCAAAACCCUUGAGGUAGGCAAUCAAAAUAUAAUUGUCCAUAUGUCCCUAAGUUAAAUGAUUUUAGAUGCUAAUUCCUUUCUUUUGGUUGAACUGUCGCUAACAUAUUCUAAGUGAAUAUUCUUAUCGACCUUUUGAUCGAUAAUGUUGACUUUUCAAUUUUAUAUUAUUUGAUGUUUAUUGGGUAACAUUCUACCAUCAUUGACCAGUGUUCUAUUGUCUGCAAAAAAAUUUGAGAGCAUUAUAAAUAGAGAUAUACGUACCCUAGUCGAACAUGCCAGAGGAGAUGAGCAUUGAGGCUUGUGAUUUAAUUGCAAGUAAGAUUUAUAAAAGAGAUUCGUACAAUAUCUGUCUGUUGAAGUUACAAUGUCAUUUUGAAUCAUGUUAGUCCACGCAACGUUUAUCGAUCCAUAUUAAAAUGAGAAAUAUUUUCUGUUUGGUGGCAUAUGAUGUAAGAAUUAUUAUUGGCAUAACAUACUAGUUAUUUCAUAAUAAAGGCCCCUAUCAAUCAACAAAUGAGAGCUGGCUCGUGUUCAUAUUUACUGACAAUUAAUAUUUCAUUUUAUUUCAGAUUAUUAAUUGAAAAUCCAGUUCAAAAACUAGGAGCCGCCGGAGCUGGAGAGGUAACAAUUGAGAGUUAGUUACUAGCAAAGACUUAAUUGUACUAUGACUUAAGGGACUAAGCAAAAUUUUCUGGCAAUUGAAGCAACAUCCUUUUUAAAAAAAUAUAAACUAGGACACACUUGCAAGAAAAAAGGUCAUCUGAUUAACUUAUUAACUUUUUUGACAUUGUAAUUGACCUAAUUGCAAUACUGAGUAGCUUUUCUUAUUGGUUGUAGGCUAUGUUUAUACCAGCUGCAAAAUCACUAGAUACAAGUUACUUUGUGAGCCGUUAUAUAUGGAAUCUAGAAGAUGAAAAUGCUUAGGUAGUGACUUUGACAACUUGACUGACACAUGCAAUAGCGGUUUUUUCAGUAACACACUAGAUGAAGAUGUUUCAUUUGUUUACCUAUCAAUCUCUAUGCACAGCCACUAGGCUAAAUAACCCAUACCUUACAAUUGUGAGGUCAUGGGUUCGAGCCCCCACAAUGCAUUGUGGAGGUUUAAUUUCCUUCCUCAAUUUGAGUGAAGGUAGUCUUCUCCCUUUCGAAAUGUAAGUGGAGUAGACGUCCCUUGAAUAUUAGAGAGAAUAAAAAUCUGGGCAGUGUUUUAUAAGAAUUGAUAUAAACUAGUCCCAAUAAUAGUCUGAUUUAUAAAUAUCAGUUGUAAUCUCAUAUAAUAUGAGUUGUACUCUUGAGCAAUAGUCUCAUGUAAUAAAAAAAAAUCUCUAUGAACAAAAGCUUUUCAGUGGAUCAGAUUAUAAUGCAAAUAUCUUUUAAUGACGGCUUUAAUCUGAUUAUUCUAAUUUAGAAAAUACCAAGUUUGAAUACAUUUGGAAGCAUGUGUGAAAGAACUUAAAUCAAAAUUUAUGAGUAUGAAUUUUAUGAGGCUUACUACUAUAGGAUCAAUAUUUCAUUUUUCUGACCGUUUUUCAAUUUUUCCUGUUAAAGAAACUGAUGAGUGAGGUUGCUAGGCAGAAUUUAAUGCCUCUGGUCUUGCUAUGCAGGACUCAUUUAGUAAUUUCUCAUUUAAGGUAAAACCUACCACUCCUAGAUUCUUUUAAUGCGGUUAGAGAACUCUUGAAUAUUAGUUGAAAAUGAAUUAAUUAGUUGCAUUUUUACAUAGCCUCAUAAAAACUAGCUUAAUAAAAAUUUAUUUGGAAGUUAUUUGUCAAGUACCUAAUAUUGCUUUUAUGGUUGUUGUUUUUUAAUCCUAUUAUCACUUUGGAAAAGGUAUACUUGGAAAUUGUUUUAGGCCUAAAUUAAAUUCUUCGAGUUUAAAUUGAAUAAAUUUGGCUUUUGGCUAAAUCUCUUAAACAAAUUGAACCAAUUUCAUAAUUUUACUAACAAAAUUAAGUCUAUUUCAAUUCAAAAGAGUAUAAAACAAAAAGAAAACUCUUGAGGACCAAAAUUUUAUCCUAACCAAAAGUUUUUAAAAUCUAUAUGUUGAUAAGCUUCAAAUAUAGCUUAUCAGUUUGUGAACUAUAAUAUAAAUUUUGAAUUUUCUUCUUGUUUUCAGCUGGCUUCUAUCAAUUUUGAUCUGAUAGUGAAGAGUGCCAAGGAAUCAGUAACAGCCUUCAAAUCAUCUAUUCCUUGAUAAAAUUCAUACGGUUACUUUAGCCCACAUAUAUAGUUCCACUUAUGACAUACAUAUCUAUUCAUAUAGCUUCCUGGUUAAUUCUACCUGCACCACAAUCAGAUAGUUUGAAGAAUAUCUUCAACCUUCAGCCUGAUUUGAUAUGAUUUUAGUUGACAAAUAUAGGUUGACAUCUGGUUGCAGGGAUCAUCUUCCUGAACCUAGAUAACCAUAGUAGUAAUAGCCUUAUCCACAUCGUUUGAUCAUCCAUAUAAAAGUGGCAGUCUAUUGCACCUAGUUGUUUUUUUGUUUUUUUGCAUCUUUACUCCUUAUAUCUUUUGAGCACUUUUUCUUCUAUGUAUAUAUUUGCAUAUUCUUUCUAAUAGAUGAAAUUGAGUAUACAUCAUUUCAGGCUAUGUUCGUGGUUUUUUCACCUUCAUAUCUCUAAAUUUUUUCAUAUUGGCCUUUCCUUUUAAUUUCCCUCUCUUUGAAAUAAACUUUAACCAAAUUUGAGUUGCCUUAUAAUAUAAACUUUAGUUCUUUUAAAUUUUCUCAUAUUGACAGCCAAUUUGUUUUCGUUUUCCAUGUACUUGUAUGCAUAUUUGAUGAGUGUUUGAAGUGUUUCUUCCUCGACUUCACUUGUAUCUUAACCCAUCCAGUCUAUUAAAUAGAAAAGCUGCUGGUAUGAUAACACAACUGCACUACUUAUGUUUAAAGAGUGAAAGGCAAUCAUCCUUAUCAAUUUAGCUUCUAAAUUUGUUAAAUGUAGCCGCAAUUAGUAGGCAUUUGAUUAGAUGGUAGAAAUUCUUAAGUAUUUAAUUUAGAUUAUUCAGUUACGAGAAUAGGAUAUCUUGUUUAUUGAAGUAUUAAGGACUUGUAAUAUAUAUUAAUAAUAUUUAAAUAUGAAAUUAAAGAUUGUGUAAUAUAUAUCAAGUUUUUUGUGGUUAUUUUGUGGUGCCUUUUAAUUUUACCAAUAAAUCAACAACCAAUUCAAAUUUUUAUUUUUUAAAAAUAAAUUAAAUAGUGAUGCCAUAGUAACAAUAAUCACAGACACUAAUAAAAUAUCAAUAACUACUAAUAUCAUAUUGUCAUAAAUAUAGUAUUACUAUAGUAAUAGUAAUUACUGACACAACAUUCAUGACACCACAAAGAAGUGUCACUAUUUUUCUAACUGCCAGAUUACUGACACAAUUAACAAGCAUCACUAAAAGUCAUUACUGACACUAUUCUAACGUCAGUAAAGGCCAUUUUUUUAGUAAUGAUUGUUAUAUAUGUAAAAGUCCAUUAAAAUUGCAGUACUUCGAAGACUUUUGUAUCUAAGAGAAAAAGUUUAUUUUGUAGGCAGCGAAAAAGAAUGGAGUAGGGAUGAUCUAAAAGGUGGAUUUGAAUAUUAAAUUUUUCACCACUUUCUCAAAACAACUAGAAAAAAUCUUUUUACAAAUUAGCAACCCUUAGAAUUGGCGAGACUCUGAACCUGUGUACAUGUAUAUAUAUGUUACAAUAUAAUAACAGAAACAUUAAAUAAUGAGAUCCUUAACUCUCAAUUUAGUGAUCCUAUUUCUUUGGUUAAAAUUUUCACAUAAAGUUGUUUUUGACUCUUCUUCAUAAAUGGAAAAUAAGCCUUCAAAAUGAGAACUGCUUUUUGUUGUCCUCAUGGAACCUUUAUCCUAUUAAUGCCACCAAUAUUUCUACCCACUUAGAAACCAAAAUAAGUACGUGUGCUUGGUUUGGAAUUUAUUGCAAUUCUGCCAAAAGAGUCACCAGCAUUAACCUGAACAAUUUAGGUUUAAAAGGUAUGUUUCACGAAUUCUCAUUCUCAUCAUUUCCUCAUCUUGCAUAUCUUAAUCUAAGCUUCAAUGUAUUAUUUGGCAUCAAUCCGCCGUCAUUAGUAACCUCUCCAAGCUUGAGUAUCUUGAUUUAUACAGUAAUUGACACGACUCGCCCUAACCUAUAUGUCAGAUCCCAGUGAAUCAUGCGAACUAAUAACUAAAAUUCAUGGCACAAAUUAAUUCAUAGAAAUGGUCUCUGAAUAUAAACACAUAACAACAUAUGUCUCUCAUCCGAAAAUAUACAUAUAAAAACAUGAGCAACAUAAACAUGCUCAAAAUACAAGAUAUUCAGUUGUGCAUCUCGUGGCCCAACCUCAAUUAAUUAGAACUGAUCUUCACGAAAUCCUGCAGAAUCCUGGGAGGAAAGAGGUAAAUAGGAAAAUAAAGUUUGCGGCUCAGUGAGUUGAUGUAAUUAUAUAUAUUUAAAAUAAUAAUAAUAAUAAGUAGCAUACUAGUAUUUAUGCAUAAUCAUGUGACAUAACUCCACAUUGAAUAUCAUACAUCAACAAACAUGGAAUUCAUACAUACAUACAUGAUAAACUGCACCAAACAGUACCAGAGGAAAUAACUCUUAAUACUCACCGGGAUCACCAUCGCACGAGUAGAGCGGGGGAAAAAACCUCUCAAUACUUAUCGUAAUUAAACUAUAUCGCAUGGGUAGAGUAACCUAACUCUCAAUACGCAAGCGCAGAGUCUAUGGGGAAGGGUAGAUAUAUGGUGACUGGCAAUCACAUCCAUGACUCAAUCAAACAUAUGAUAUGUGUACAUGUAACCAUAGCAUGAUAUUAAAUCAUAAUAUCAAACAUAAAUGCUUCACGGAAUACAUAAUAGUAAUAAUAGUAUCCACUCACAAAUCAUGUUUCACUCUGGGGUUCGUUGGGGCUCUUGUGGGUUCCCGGAUUCUCGAGUUCCUCCUAAAAAAUAAGAUUCGUAAUUAACGGUUAAAGCUGAUAUAAAAACUUAUGCGUACAAUGUAAACAAUAACAUAACUACUCAAACUUCAUAAAUCUAUUACCCACAAGUUUACUGGAUAUUAAUCUAACUAUCCAAUUCUAUUUUCUGUAACUUCGGUUUCUUUCUUUUCUUUCUCUUUUUCUCUUUUCUCUCUAUUUUUCUACUUUCGUUUUGCCCUCGGUUCUCCAAUUUGGUAAAUGAAGCAAUUAUCAAAAUGUUGCAUUUUAUAAAGCCACCGAAUGAGCCACAAAAUGCAAGCAAGCAGCUGACUAUUGCUUUUGUUGAUUGCUAUGUUUGGCUUUCUUUUUUCUUUCUUUUUCCAAGCAGUGCAUGACAGUAAUACACUCUUUGGUAUCAUCUCGCCUCAAAUUAGCAACAUCUCCAAUCUCAAAUUCCUUGACUUGGGAAAUAAUCAAUUGUCUGGAGUAAUACUACCAGAAAUUGGCCUUCUAACUCAUCUAAAGCACCUUUACAUUGAUGUGAAUAAGUUACGCGGCUCAGUUCCACGAGAAGGUGGUCAAUUAAGCUCUCUUAAACAACUAGUCUUAUGUUGUAAUGGUUUGUCUGGUUGGAUCCCUUCUUCUUUCGGUAACUUAAGCAACUUGGCUAUGUUGAAUCUCAAUAUUAUUUAACUUUUUGGCUCUACUCCUUCAUCUAUGGGAAACUUGAAGUUUCUUUCAAUUUUAGACUUGCGUAGAAAUAAAUUCAGUGGUUCAAUGCCAAAUUCUUUGAGUAACUUAACCAGCUAGGUUAUUUUGUAUCUUUAUGAAAACUCACUUUCUUCUUAUGUUCCUUCACUUAUUGGAAACUUGAAGUCUCUCUUUCAUCUAGAUUUGUCUGAAAAUCAGCUUAGUGGUUUGAUCCCCCAAUUUUUGGGCAAUUUGAGCAACUUGGUUGUAUUGCAUCUUGGUGGUAAUUCACUUUUUGGUUAUAUCCCUCCAAUUCUAAGAAAAGUCCAAUCUCUUUUGAGUUUAGGAUUUGAUCUUAAUCGACUCGGCGGUGUUCUUCCUCCUUCAAUUAGCAAUCCAAGCAAUUUAGAAGGAUUAUAUCUAUACUUCAAUAGACUUUCUGGUUCGGUUCCAACAAAAAUAGGAAAUCUCAUGCAAUUAAUUGAGCUAGAGAUAGACAACAAUCAGCUUUUUGGUCAAAUUCCUAGAAGCCUGAGAAAUUUCACUAGCUUAAACAUAGUACAUCUUGAACGAAAUCAUCUCACUGGAAACAUACCUGAAGUUUUCGGCAUAUACCCAAACCUGACGUUUUUAGAUCUUGGUCAAAACAAUUUUUAUGGUGAAAUCUCAUCUAAUUGGGGCAAAUGUCAACAAUUAGGCUCUUUAAAUUUUUCAAUGAAUAACAUCACUCGGAGCAUACCUCCUAAGAUUGGAAAAUUAUACCAACUUUAUAAACUUGAUUUUUCAUUGAAUCACAUAGUUGGAGAGAUUCCAAUUGAACUUGGAAAUUUAAAGUCCUUAAACUAUCGUGGUUUGAAUGGUGAUAAAGUUUAUGGGAGCCUACCUCGAGUACUUGGCUCACUUAGUGAUCUAGAGUAUCUUGACUUGUCUACAAAUUAGUUGGGCAACUCUAUCCCAUAAACUCUUGGAAACUUGUUGAAAUUGCACUACUUGAGCAACAAUUAGUUUUGAAAAGAAUUUCCAGUUGAAUUGGAGAAGUUGGUUAAGCUUACAGAGCUAGAUUUGAGUCAUAACUUUCUGGGAGGAGAGAUAUACCGCCCCAAAUCUGUAAUCUGAAAAGCUUGGAGAAGCUUAAUCUCUCGUACAAUAACCUUUGUGGUUUAAUUCCAGGUUGCUUUGAAGGAAUGCAUGGCUUGUCAUGCAUUGACAUAUCAUACAAUGAGUUGCUAGGUCUAAUUCCUAACAACACAGGAAUCCAUUAUAAUCCUGUGGAUGCAUUACAAGAGAGCAAAGGAUUGUGCGGUGACGUUGACGGUUUUCAGCAUUGUAAAGACUUUGUAACUCACAAACAUGUCUUAAAAAAGAAAUGGUUUGUAAAUAUGUUUCCACUUUUUGGAAUACUUGCGCUUUUGUUCUUUGUGGUUAGAAUGAUUUCUGGAAGAAUGAAGAAGGCUUCGAGAGAAAACAAAGUAAGUUGUUGGAAUAAUCAAGGACUAUUUUCGAUAUUAACUUUUGAAGGUAAAAUUAUGUAUGAAGAAGUCAUUAGAGCGACGAACAAUUUUGACGCUAAGUAUUGCAUCAACACAGGUGGACAUGCCAGUGUUUACAAAGCUGAGCAGCCAUCUUGGGAGAUUGUUGCAGUUAAGAAAUUUCACUUACCACAUCCUGAUAUGGUAGUGCAACAAGCAUUCUUGAAUGAGAUCAAGGCAUCGACAGAGUUGCGACAUCGAAAUAUUGUGAAAUUUUAUGUUUUCUGUUUCCAUCCCCGACAAUCAUUUUUACUUUACGAAUAUCUUGAAAGGGGUAGUUUGGCCACAAUUCUGAGCAAUGAUGCAGCAAUAGAAGAAUUCAGCUGGACUGUGAGAAUGAAUGUGAUAAAAAGUGUAGCUAAUGCCUUGUCUUACAUGCAUCAUGAUUACUUCCCACCAAUUUUCCAUCGAGACAUAUCAAGCAAGAAUGUGUUGCUGGGUUUAGAUUAUGAUGCUCAUGUUUCUGAUUUUGGAUCGCAAAAUUUCUCACGCCAGACUCGUCAAAUUGGUCUGAAUUUGUAGGCGCAUUUGGAUAUGUUGCUCCGGUAUAAAUUCUUAAAUUAAUUAUAUGUCACAACUUGUUUCAUUAAUGAGCAUCAUAUCUAAAUGAUCAUUCUUAUUGUUCACUUUUCAGAGCUUGCUUACACAAUGAAGGUUAACGAAAAAUGUCAUGUGUACAGCUUUGGAAUAUUAACAUUGGAAGUAAUAAAGUGGAGUCAUCCAAUAAAUUAUCAAUACUUUUGGACCCUCGACUUCCAACACCAUCACGAAAUGUUCAAGACAAGCUGACAUCAAUCAUGGAGGUUGUUUAUUAAUGCAUAGAUGAGAGUCCAGAAUCAAGACCCACAGAGUGCACACAGUUUGUCAACUAUUAUGAAAUGAUCCACAAAGUCGAACUUUUCUUUUUUCUUUUGUACUUUUCAUUUUUCGUUUUUGUUGAAUUUUAUAUGACAUUUGAAACUUAUGAUGAUGGUAAAAAAUUUUAUAGUUUAAUUAAGUACAUCAUUUACACAUUUAAAGCAUUAUUUGACUUUACCCCUAAUCUCAGCCCUGAAAUCAUUUGGCUUUUCCGUACCUUACUUCUAAUUAUGCAUAUUUUGUCUGAUGACAAAAAACUGAAAUAAAAAAAUAGAACAAUUCGUAAAGUAAAAUAUUCCUUAACAUUAUGAAUUUCUACGUUCGAAAAGAGACAGCAAUACUUUCAACACAUUGCAAGAGCUGCGUCUAAGCAAAGCCCAAUCGGCGAUGUUUUACAGAACCGAACAACCUUAGUGCUAUAUAAGUAAAUCGGCUUCCUAGGCCAUUUUUCCAAUGGCUUCCUAUGGCAUAUUGUAAUUUCAGUUCAAUUCUAUUACAUAUACAUAUAUAUAUAUUAUUUGAAUACUAUAAUAUAUGUACUACUAACUAUAUCAUCGGGAUCGGUUUCCUAUGCCUUUCCUUUUUCCCUCAACUCAAAUAUUUUUCACAACUUCAAGUCUUCAAGCAACUAUUUGGAAGAACAAAUCCAGAGGCCGAUCCAUCAGCGUUGGUACAGGAAGCUUCAGCUGGUUGAUUCUUGUAAAUGAGCUUCACAUCCUCCAAGCUAAUUCCAGUGCACAGAUUCUUUGAACUGCAAUCGAGCUUUACACCAACUUCCGUUGCCGAUGUUCCAUGAAUAUCUUGAUAUAUCACAUCACUGAUUUUAACCCCGGAAGCCUAUUGAACAAGAAAAAAAAAUAACAUUUACUGAGUUGAAUAUUAAUCGCAUCAACAUUUACGUAAUCACAUCGACAGACAUGUGAUAAGUGAGUAUCGUACCUGUCCAGGACAAUUCUCGUUGUCAGGGCAGUAAUUUUGAUCAAUUAUGAUUGGAUUAUCGACAUUGUUCAUAAGAGCAUGUUGGAAAAGAAUGUUCCUGGCAUAUCCACUGCUUGUUCUCCCCCAGGACUUAAUCCUCACUCCAUUUUGAGUGCCUGUAAAUGUCACAGAUGUUACUGUCACAUUUUGCACUCUAGCCUCUUGUUGCUCUUUGCCUAAGCUGCCAAUGCUGCAACAAAAUCACAGUAUUCAAUUUAAUUAGCACUAAAUAUUUAUACGUACCACCAAAAAUAAAGAGAAAAACAAAUCAUCAUGUUUUUUAAUUUUACCUGAUCCCAUGGCCAGGGCCACAAGCAACAUUUUCAAUCCAUAAGUUGGUGGCGCCAGGGCCAACUGAUACACAAUCAUCACCAGUCCCAAUUUUGCUGUCCAAAAUUGUGACACCACUUGAUGAUUGAACGUGAAUGCCAUCGGUGUUUGGGCUGCACCGGCGGCCGAAACUUUGACCCCCUGUACUUUCACAUCGUUGCAUCCAUUGAUGACAAUAUGAAACAUCUAGCUAUCUACGGAUGCUAAUCCGUUAAUCACAACGUUGUCUGAGUUGCUAAAGCGAAGUGUCUGCUCAUGUUUAAACAAAAGAAGGAACAUUAAUUAUUAUAACUAAAGCAGGAAGCCAAUCAAUAUGAAAAGCAAAAAGCCACUAAAUUUACGACUAUACAGAUAUAAAAAGGAUAUUUCAACUUAAUUACCGUAGCGCCACUGGGGCAAUUACUAUUGUCUGACUUUUUACAAGCCCACAAGCCAGCACCUUGGCCAUCAAGAACGCCACCAUUAAUAGAAACCCCACUAACAUGCUCAAAUAAAAUCCAGUUUUCGGCAUUUCCAAUAACAUGAUAAUCAGCUGGAGCCACCAGAGUCCCGUCAAUACGUAUGGUAAUAUCAUUGUUCUUGCAUUGGCCUUGAAACACAACAUUGCUUAGUAAGUACCUCCCCGGUGGCACGUAAAUGGUUGCGGCCUCGGCCGAGCCACAGGCUUAAGCCCAUGCAGCAAGAAAGGAUUUUACUGAGUCAGUCUGGCCAUCAGGUCUGGCUCCGAAGCUCAGCACAUUGUAACUCAAAGGAAUUGCUAAAGAUGAACUAAAGAAGAGAAUCAAAAGAAAUGGUAAAAAUUUAAUAGGCAAAGACAUUGAUGUUGACAUUGUUUCAAAGCUUAAAUUUACUGAUAGAAAUGAGAGAAAUAAAUUUGCGACGUUGAGGAGUUAGGGUGGAAUUGAGAAGAUUUAAAUGGGUAUUUAUAGGAUUUGAAUGAACUGUAGCAAUGGCAAUAGCACUAACAGUGAAUGCAAUCUGCGCCGAAUUUUGGGAGUGAUUUUUGCCUUAACUGAUACGAUCUUAGUUUACCAAAAUACCCUUUAACUUAAAUUUAGAUGACGUUUGAUGACAGAAGCAACAAAUCUAUAUAUAUAUAUAAAGUUGGGACUUGAGGAGGUGAUGUGGCAUCACCAUUUCUCAUCUUUGUAUAUUCUCUAUUAUCUAAUAAAUAGAGAAAUUUUCUUUUAAAUUUGGCUUUUCAUAUUCUCAGAAUUAAUUUGUUGUUAUUAUAAAAUAACAAUUAUGUAAAGAUUUUAAUGAGGCAUAUUCUUUGUAAUGAACAUCUAAGGGCGAGUGUUAUGAAUUUAUUAAAAUAAAUGUAGAUGUUCAUAACAUAUAUCUCUUAGUCUCCCUACUAUCUCCCAUUAGCAACCUUUAGCUUCCCUAUAACUUCCACUAUCUCACAAGAAAUUAUGAUCCAUAAUUUUUCAUUAAUUUCAUGGAGUGAUUAUGUAACUAUAAAAUGAGAACUCAUCUUUUUAUUUUGUACACACACAAUUGGAAUGAAUAAAAUCAUUCUAUAAUAUAUUCUCUCAUUUUAUUCUUUAUCUUGCGUUGCUUCUUUAUUUGUAUUACUGGCUAAUAGUUUUUUUUAUAUUUUUUAUAAGGCUGCCUCAUCUUAAAAAAAAAAUCAAUUCAUAUUUUUUUUAUCAGUUUCAUCAAGUGUAAAGUAAAAAAAAGGAUAAUACUAAAUUUUUUUUUCAAAGCCGCGUGAAGCGCGGUUCUAUUUUCUAGUCAAUACAUAAGACAAGGGCACGUCCACAUAUGGUUUCGUAAGAUGAGAGAUUUCAAAGGUAGUUAAUAAAUUAACAGAAAAGAUGGGAGUUUUCAAGGGUAGUUAAUAAAUUAAAAGAAAAAGGUGCUCCCCCAUUUUCUGCUUUUCUGGUGCUGUGUAAAAUUAUGCCCGUAUGUUUGCUUUGAGCACAAGAUCAUUGCUUCCUCAAUACCCGUGGAGCGAUAUGUUUAUUUCUCUGAACUAUUUCUCCUUGUUGCUUGAAAUUACAGCGAAAUAAAGCUAUUUAGAAAGUAUUCAACUAAAUUUUUAGGAUAACUUAUAAAUAAUACUAUAUCAAUUAAUAUUGAGUAGACACAAGAUAAUUUUGUCAAAUGCGACAACUAUUAAAAGGCAUGUAAACUCCAUGCAGAUUGUUCAUUUGUUGGUUAAUUUAUUUUUCCAUUUUUCCCUUUUGGCUUUCAAGUCAAUUAUAAGGAUAAGCAUCAAUAUAUAUUCCCUGAUUAAGUGUAACUUAUUUUUUUAUUUUAAUAAGAUUGCUCUUGUUAUGUCAAGGUAUUCCAAAAUUUAUUUAAUUAAUUAAAAAGAAUUUCAAAUACGCUAAUUCAGCUGCAAAUGAAAGCUAUCUACCCGAAAAUAAGGUUUGCCUUGUUUUACGACUUCCUUGUUCCAGGAAAUUAUUGUGUUUCAUGUGACAUUAAUUUGUUGACCUUACUUUCUUUUAGAGAAUAAAUUAGGCAAAUAAUAAAUGUUAUUCAAAGUUCAACUCUAGUUUUAUAAAGAAGAUGAAUCCAGAGGCACAAUUCCAUCAAAAUCAACUAUUGAAUAAUGGGAAGUUGAUAAAAUCAAAGAAAAUUUCAAUAAAAGUUGAUAAAAUGUGUUUGAAUAAUGGUUGUGUAACAAGUUACAUCGCUGUUGGACAUUUUGUUAUGCUAAAAUGGAAAAUAUCAUAAUGUUUCAAAGAAAACAAAUUGCAAAGAGUUCAUUAUUCACAGUAUGUCUCUCUAUCUAGAUGUAAUUAUUUUUUAAUUACAUAUAUAUACUUUUUUCCCAUUUUUUCAGAUUAUUCAAGUGGGAAGCAGUGUGACCCCAUCGUGUGCAAUUUUGUUAAUGAUAUAAUUUUCUUUUUAUUUCUUAUAACUAGCCGCAAUUUUCCUAGUUUCGGAAUGGAUGUUUGACUUGUUUCAUCACUCGGAUUAAGCAAACAAUCAAGCCACAUUACUAGGUUAUCAAGAAAGCAUUGUUACCAGUCAGGUCCCUCUUCAUGCCAAAUUCAGCACCGAAAGGAUCUCACGUCAAAGACGAAAUUUAGCAGAGGUUAAUUAAUCGAUUACAAGUUCACCACAUAGGGAUUUCUUCUUCAACUGCCCAACUGAAUAACGAUUGACUGUUGACCAAGGAAUUAUCUAUACGUUACUAGUUGAUUAAGGAAUUUACUUUCACACAGUACCCUUUCAUGUUUUAACUAGCCCACCGGUAACUUCUUUUAAUGGUAUCACCACAAAUUUUGUUUUAUAAUUAAUUAAACAUGUAUAUAUGUGAGCUAGACUACCAAAUUGUUUAUUUAUUUUUCAAAAACGAUUGUCCGCCCCCCCCCCCCUCCAAAAAAAAGAAGCAAAAUACAAUAAAAGAAGAAUAGAUAAUCGGAGGCGUAGUGAACCCCCAAAGAUAGUUAGCAUAGAACUCACUAAUUAAUAAAGUAAUAAAUGGGAUUAAAAAUGAUCGACUAAUAGGCUAUAUAUAUAUAUAUAUAUCUGUGUGUGUGUGUGUGUGUAUCUAGUCCAAAUUUUAAAGUGUGGGAAAGUCUGAAAAAGAUUUAAAACCAUACGGUUUUAAAGGCUUAUAGUUUUAAGCCUUUAAAACCAUGCAGUUUUAAAACUUUCCCGUACUUUCCACACUUUAAAACCCUGGAUUAGAAUAUAUAUCUAUAUAUAUAUACACACACACACAUAUAUAUAUAUACAUGUACAUACAUUUAUUAGAAAUGUUCUAAUUCGGAAUUUUAAAGUGCUGGAAAGUUCAGAAAAGCUUUAAAACCGCAUGGUUUUAAAGCUUUCCUGGACUUUUAAUGCGGUUUUAAAGCUUUUUUGAACUUUUCCGUACUUUAAAAUUAUGGACCAGAAAACUACUCUAUAUAUAGAACCUCCAAAUAGGAAUACUCUAUAUAGGAAUAACCUCAUAGUAAUAAAAAAUUGUGAUCCCAACUUGAGACCAAUUAUAAUUAGGAAUAAACUCCACAUUGUAAUAAGUUAUAUUUUUUAUAUGUCCCGUCUUAAUAAACUUACUUCCACAUAGUAAUAAUAUUUCAAAAAUAUAUGCCAUGUUACAUUAAAUAAUUAAGAUGGAACAAAAUAUCUUUCUAAAGUUGCUUGUGACAAUGAUUUGUUCUUUAAAGUUGCAACCACAUCUUUCAACUUGCAAGUAUGUAUUAAUUGGUCAGCAUAGGCACUUAAUAAUUGGUCAACAAAAUAAUUAAUUUAUUAAUGUCUAUACAUUGAAUUUGACUCACUUAUUAAUUUAUUAAUACAUGAUAUAAUUUACCUCUAUAUCACUUGCAUUAGGGAUAAUUAAGCAAAGACAAUAAUUUUAUACUAUACCUCUAUUAAGUUAUAACCUCUUUAUAAAAAUAAAUUUCUCCAGUCCCAAUAAUGUGAUUAUAUAGAGGUUUUACUAUAUAUAUAUAUAUGCCACCUUGUAGUAUCAUAUGCCAUGUUUUAUAUAUAAACUUAUUCUUAAAAUAAUUAGAAAGGGAAUGAGAAAUCUCACUCAUUAAAUUAAAUGCUAAUCAAUAUGCACCAUCAUUACUUGAACUCGACUAAUUAGAGAUGCAAGCAUUUAAAGUCAGUCGAGCUACCCCAAAAGGGAGCUUUACAUUUUUUUUUCCACAUAAUAAUCAAAGAUGUCAUGGUAAUGGUCCUUUCGAAAUAUCUAAUUUAAUUUUGAUAAAUUUAAUUGGUUGAAUCUGUUCAGUUGUUGAAAAUUUGUUUAAUUUUUUAAUACACAAAAUAAUAUCCUUUCGAAAAUUUAAUUAAGGUAUAUAUAGGUAAUCUUCAGAGUUCAACAAAUCACAUCUCUUUUUAAAUUAAAAAAGAGAGAGAAAAAGAAAAAAUAAACUGAAAAAAGGAUAGAAUGUUGAAGGGGGAGAUAGUAGAUGUAUUUUGAAGUAUUGAGAAUGUUGAGAAUAUGUUUCGAAGUGUUUGUGUUGAGAAUACAUUUAGUAGAUGUGUUUGGGGGAUGUACUUCGACGAGACCAGCCGUGAUGAGCAGAUAGCUAUUAGCAGGGUUCCCACGAACAGGUAUAUCUUGCAGAAGUUUGGUAGCAGGAGAACAGGAGCAGGAAUAUUCUGCUUGUCCACGAAUGCGCCAUCAGCGAGGCUAGCCUCCUGAUAAUGGUUGAGCCUCCUGCUAUGGUUGAGGCGAGGAGACCCGGUCAACGGCAGUUGGCGAGACGUGCACUCCAACCUAAGAAUCAAGGCACGAAGACCACGCUACCACCCACGAUUACGGAAACGGAGCAUCCACUUCUGAGAGAUGGGAAAGUAAUGGGCGUGGAUUGAGGGAAGGUUUGAACUCAGGAGAAGCCUAUAAAAGGGUGGCCAACGAAGGUAAAAAGGUUAGAACUUUUGAUACUGAAACUAAGAUAAAGAAAGCAUUCAACAAUCGAUACCAAAAAGAAGCCUUAAGAUUAGUGGCUAACGUUCCCAGGAACAUAAAACCUUCAUAUCUGACUUGAGCGUCGGAGGGUUUACGCUGAAAAACAACCGGCGUGCUCUGACUUGUUUCUGUGUACGCAGGAACCUCUAGAGAAGAAGCCUUACGAGGAGAGAUCCUGAUCGUGGUCGAGUUGAUUGAGCAGAGAUCCUAGUCGUGGUCGAGAGGGUAACCAGAAUCUCUCAUUAACAUUUUGGCGCCGUCUGUGGGGAGCUGAUAAAAAAGCUUCUGUUGACAAAAAGAGGAGGAGUAAAGCAAGUGAAGAAGCAAUGGAUGUAGGAGGAAGUAGUGCACAAGGAGGAGAUAUGCGGCUUAACGAAUCCGUGACGUUGAGAGAGAUAGCUAUUGAAGCACGGGAAAAAGCCAUGCAUGACCGAAUGGAACGGAUGGAAAAGUAGAUGGAGACCAUAACAACCAUCCUACAUAAGCUGAGGAGUGAACGAAGGGGAACCCCUGAGGAAAGGAUGAGAGGUGGCGGAGUGGCACCAGGACACGAUGGUAUGAUGAGAGGGCGUACCACUAGGAGAUUUAGUGGUGAGGGAGGUAACUUAUCUCUACGGGGAGAAAUCCAUAGAGUAGAGGACCAGUCCCCAGGAAGGCAGAUUUUUGAUGAUGAUGAUGAUGAGAUGGUGAAUGCAGAGGAAACAGAGCUCAGGCAACACUUACAUGAUGUAGAGCAAGAGCGGGAUCAAGUUGCAGCACGUGACCCUGGUCGUGCAGUACAGCUGAAGGAAGAAGUGCGCAGACUAGCGCAUGUAAUUGAUGACAUGCAAGGAAGGAGCAGAGCACUUGGUUGGAGGAUAAUGCUGGACGGAGAAUCCCCACUCUCGGCGGAGAUCAUGAGAGCAGUCAUUCCGAGGGAUUUUCGCCUCCCAGACCUCAGGUACUCAGGGUGAACCGAUCCGUUGAUAUACAUAGAAUGCUUUAACGACAUGACGGGGGUGCAAGGGUUAUCCCAAGCUCAAAGAUGCAGGGUGUUCCCGCUGUCUCUAGAGGGACGAGCACGUGAGUAGUACCGAAAACUUCCUUGAGGAAGUGUCAAAUCCUUCGAGUAGAUGUGCCUGGAAUUUGCAGAGCAGUUUCGGGGCAAUGGCACCAGAAGAUGACAUGGAGUUGAAAAGCAUGAAGCAGAGGGAGGAGGAAACCCUUCAGGAAUUCAUCAAAAGGUUCCAUCGCGCUGUCCUCGACUUGGGAGCCUUCAACCAUCCUCAGGCAUUAAGGGGAUUGAAAGAAGGGGUGAAGAUAGGAAGGCUGUGGUACAAUUUGAGGAGCCUAGUUAUUCAGACGUAUGCAGCCGCCUACGAGCAAGCUAAGAGGGAUAUAAAAAUUGAGGAGGAAAAUGCAGCACGAAUUAAGAUAGACCAGUUAGAAGGGUUGAGAAGGAAAGAGAAAAGGGCCUUACCAGGAAAUGGGCCGAUGAAGAAGAGGGACCACCAUGCCUCAGGUAGUGGUACAGGAGGUCGGGUCACCGCUUACCAGCCUCAUCAGAGGCCACCACAGUAUCAGCGCAACAGGGCGCAACCUCCUCGUUCACCAGCUAGGGAGCCUUGGAGAAGGCAUGACUCGGCUUAUGGUCAUCCUCAUCCACACCCCCAUGGUGGCAGAGGGAGCAGACCAGAAGCACUGCCACUUCCUCCAGUUCAGAAUGGCACAAACAGGGAAAGGCCAGUGCACAUGAUCUACCAGAAUCAGGACUAUGGGCGGUCACUUCCUUGAAGAUGCCCCUGGACGAGGUGUACGAAGCGAUAAAGGAUCGAAGAUUGCUGUACCUCCCGGCCCCAAUAACAAAGCUACCCGGCCGAAGGGAUAGGGGACGUUACUGUAAGUUCCAUGACACUCAUGGCCAUACCACAACAGAAUGCAGAGACCUCAAGACCCAGGUUGAAGAUUUGGUGAGAAAUUGAUCCCUGGACAAGUUUAUAGAUGGGAUUUUUCCGAUGAUGGCCUCGGCAUGUGAAAGGGAGCAGAGUAACAGGAACUUGAGCCCGAGCAGCCUAUAGUACGAGUGAUUGCUCGGGGUCCAACGUUGGCCGGAGAUUCCAACAGGUCGAGAAAGAACUAUGCUAGAUAUGCCAUGACUAGUAAAGAGGUAUUCUUCAACACCCCAGCAGCCAAACGAGCAAGAGUCAGGCAAGUGCCAAUCAUGUGCACAGAUGAGGAUGAAGAGGGGAUUCUAUACUCACACAAGGAUGCCUUAGUCAUCAAGGCCACCGUUGCUAGCAAGAAGUUUGCCCGGAUACUGGUUGACACAGGAAGCUCAGUUGAUGUGUUGUUUAAGUCAACUCUGGAGGAGAUGGGAAUAGCAGAUUUGAGGUUGGAGCACACCAAUACCUCCUUGAAGGGUUUUGGAGGAGGAAAGCUGGUCCAUCUGGGCGUGGUCGAGCUGCCUAUCACGAUUGGUAGCUCCCUGACAGAAAGGACUAUGAUACUGGAUUUUGUGGUGGUUGAUGAGGAGGGUCCUUACCAGAUGAUCCUGGGUCGGCCAUUUUUGAGGAUGAGCAAAGCGGUGCUGUCCAACCAUUAUCUAGCUCUCAAGUACCGGGUGAAUGGGGUAGUUGGAGUGGUACGAGGAGACCAAAGAAUCGCACAAAGCUGUUACUCCUCGGCAGUAAGGGAAGCAAUGCAGAUAAUAUCCCUUGAUACCCGAGUGGGAGCCAAGAAUGACAGACAGGAACCUGUAGAAGAGCUGGAGACAGUAAGCCUGGGACAAGAGGAUCCAGGAAAACGAUCCAGAUUGGGUCGAGGCUUAAAGAAGAGCAGAAGCAGAAGUUGGUGCAAUGCCUGCGAGCUCAUGCAGAUGUGUUCGCUUUGACACAUGAAGACAUGCUAGGGAUCGACCCAGAGGUCGCAUGUCAUAAUCUGGCAAUAAAAAAAGGUGCUCGGGCAGUAAGACAGAAAAUGAGGCGCUUCAACUAGGAGAGGUAUGAGGCUAUAAACGGCGAGGUGGAGAAACUCUUGAAAGCAGGGUUCAUUCGGGAAGUCAAUUAUCCUGAGUGGAUAUCAAAUGUGGUGCUAGUAAAAAAGGCUAAUGGUAAGUGGAGGAUGUGUGUGGAUUUCACGGACCUCAACAAGGCGUGCCCGAAAGACAGCUUUUCCUUACUAAAGAUCGACCAGCUUGUAGACUCAACAGCUGGAUAUAGCCUGCUCAGUUUCAUGGACGCAUUCUCGGGAUACAACCAAAUCCCCAUGUUCGAGCAGGAUGAGGAGAACACGACAUUUAUUACUAACCAGGGUCUGUUCUGUUACAGGGUAAUGCCGUUCGGUCUUAAAAAUGCGGGGGCCACGUACCAGAGGCUGGUGAACAAAAUCUUUAAGCCACUGAUAGGGAGAACAAUAGAGGUGUAUGUGGACGAUAUGAUAACCAAGUCAAAAAUCCUGAAGGAACAUGUCGAGCACCUUGAGGAGACAUUUGGACUUCUAAGGAAGUAUAAGAUGAAGCUCAACCCGGAGAAGUGUGCUUUUGGGGUCGAGUCGGGCAAAUUCCUCGGGUUCAUGGUGAGUCAUAGGGGGAUCGAGGAGAAUCCCGAGAAGAUUCAGGCGAUCGUGCAGAUGCGAUCUCCUCGUAACCUGAAGGAGACGCAGAGCCUUACGGGGAGGUUGGCGGCGUUAAGCCAAUUCAUAUCCAAGGCUACAGAUAAGUGUCAGCCAUUCUUUCAAGUGAUAAGGAGAGGAAAGAAAAUAGAAUGGACCCCGGAAUGUGAAGAAGCCUUCCAGAACUUGAAGCAAUACUUGCAACAAGUACCUCUGUUGUCCACACUGAGGGAUGGAGAUAGGUUGUUCUUAUAUUUGGCGGUAUCAGAUCAUGCCGCAAGUUCUGUUCUAGUAAGAGAGGAAGAAGGGGUUCAGUAUCCGAUAUACUACACUAGCAAGGCCCUGCUCGACGCCGAGACCAGAUACCCACCGUUGGAGAAAUGGGCACUUGCCCUUGUGGUUGCUGCUCGAAAGCUGAGGCCGUACUUUCAGGCAUUCCCCGUCUCGGUAAUAACAAACUAGCCACUGCGACAAACUCUACACAAGCCGAAUGCUUCUGGUUGGCUCGUGAAGUGGGCUAUAGAGCUGAGCGAGUUCGAUAUAGAUUACAAGCCCCGAGCAACAAUAAAGGCUCAAGCAAUGGCCGAUUUCGUAGCAGAAUUCAUAGAGCCCGAAGCAUGUUUGGACCUGCGGGGUACUACUACAGACAGCAGCGAAGCUCGAGUAUGGCAAAUGUCCGUAGAUGGGUCAUCAGGGGAACAGGGAUCAGGAGCAUGGAUUGUCUUGGAAGGCUCGGAGGGGGAGGAAAUCUCUUAUGCAGCAAAGUUAGAGUUCACAGCCAUAAAUAACCAGGCAGAAUACGAAGCCUUGAUAGCAGGUUUGGAAUUGGCUAAGGCAGUGAAAGCAGAUAGGGUGAAGAUCAGAACUGAUUCCCAGCUGGUUGCAAAUCAUGUCAGUGACAGAUUUCAACCGAGAGAUGAGAAGAUGGAGCAAUACCUGAGGAAAGUCAGGCAGAUGAUGGGGAAGUUCGAAGCGGCUGAGGUGAUACAAAUCCCAAGGGAGCAGAAUAGUCGAGCAGAUAUUCUAGCCAGGAUGGCAGCUGUAGCAGAAUCGAAAAUGCCUAAGUCGGUCCCUUUGGAGGUGAAAACCAGCCCUAGCAUCGAGCAGAAUUUGGAGGUGAUGCAGAUAGAACAAAAAUGGUCAUGGAUGGAUCCGAUAAUUUCAUACAUUAGAGAUGGGGUAUUAUGACCAGAUAUGUUGCGAGCACGGAAUAUCAGAGCCCUGGCCUCAAGGUACAUAAUGAUUGAUGGGGUGCUAUAUCGGCGAGAAUAUACGCUACCGUUCCUUCGGUUCUUGGAUGAGGAUGACGCGGACUACGUACUGAGAGAAGUACAUGAAGAAAUUUGCAGAAACCAUUCUGGUGGGAGGUCCCUUGCCCACAAGGUUCUAAGGCAGGGAUAUUUCUGGCCGACAAUGCACCAGGAUGCGCAGGAGAAGACCAGGAGUUGUGUAAGCUGCCAGAGUUUUGCAAGUUUUUCCAACCAACCACCAGAAAAACUCACCUCUAUGGCCUCCCCUUGGCCAUUUGCUCAAUGGGGAAUUGAUCUGAUCGGGCCGUUGCCGAAGGGACGAGGAGCAGCAACACAUGCAAUAGUAGCAAUAGACUAAUUCACGAAGUGGAUAGAGGUAGAAGCCCUCAGCAGGAUCACAGAGAAGAAGACAACAGACUUCGUAUGGAGAAACUUGGUCUGUCGGUACGAGAUCCCUUAUGCCUUGAUAACGGAUAAUGGCAGGCAGUUUGAUAAUCACAGCUUCAGGGAUUUCUGCCAGAACCUCGGGAUAGAGUUGAAAUAUUGCUCCCCUACUCACCCUCAGUCUAAUGGACAAGUGGAAGCAACCAACAAAACAAUCAAGAGACUUCUGAAAACCAGGCUUGGAGCAAAAAAGGGUGCAUGGGUUGAUGAGUUAUUAGGUGUACUAUGGGCAUACAGAACAACCCACAAAACAACAACUGGGGAAACUCCGUUUGCCUUGGCCUUCGGACACGAAGUGGUUGUACCAGCCGAGAUAGGAACGACCAUGCACCGGAUAGAUCAUUUCGAUGAGCAAGAGAAUGAUGACCAGAUGUGCUUGAAUCUGGAUUUGCUAACUGAUAAGAGGGAGCAAGCAUCGAAGCGAUCAGCCAUUUACCAGCAGAGGGUUGCUCGGUAUUAUAACCAGAAGGUGAAUGUACGGCAGUUCAAGGUCGGAGAUUGGGUGCUAAGGAGAGUGAAUCAGAACACCAGAGACUCGACUCAAGGAGUGCUUGGACCGAAUUGGGAGGGGCCAUAUAGGGUCAAGCAGCUAGUUGGACCCGGAGCUUACAAGCUGGUUCGCACGGAUGGCCACGAGGUGAAACGCCCAUGGAACGCAGCACACCUCAGGAAAUAUUUCCAGUAAGACUUGUUCAUGUUUUAAAGUUAUUUCUAUUCGUGCUCGUUGUUAUUUAUUUUAUGUCAAAGCGAUCUCAUGUAAGCCGAAUUCAUCAAUAAAUGGAUCAAUGAGGAAUUUCAGUCAACUGUACUGAUUACAAAAAUUUUCUAAGGCAUGAUAAGGCUUACCAAGUCUCAAAGCCUGUUUAUGGCGAGACCAGAAGCCAAGCGUACCAGGAUCUGCUCGACCAAGCGAAGGCGAGCAGAAUCCCAAGAAUUGAAAAUUUUUCUAAGGCAUGAGAAGGCUCAUCAAGUCUCAAAGUCUGUUUUAUGGCGAGACCAGAAGCUAAGCGUGCCGGGAUCUGCUCGACCAAGCGAAGGCGAGUAGACGCCCAGGCGUUAUAAACAUUUCGAGGACGGGCAAAAGCCCACCAAGUCUCAAAGCCUAUUUAGGGCGAGACUAGAAGCCAAGCGUUCCGGGAUCUGCUCGACCACUCGAAGGCGAGCAGACUCCCAAGCAUUGAAAAAUUUUCUAAGGCAUGAAAAGACUAAGUCUGACAGCCAAUCUUAUGACGAGACCAGAUGCCAUGCUAGGAUCUGCUCGACCAAGCGAAGGCGAGUAGACCCUCAAACGAAAAAAUAAACUUGCAACUACCACACAAGAAAGCAAUCAAAAACAUUUUUAUUAAUCUGUCAAUAACCUUCACAUACAAUGAUCAUUACAACACAAGAUACAUUCAAGAGGACGGCGGGUCGGUAAGCCGAGCAGCCUUGGUUGGCUGGUCCACCUCAGGUGCAAGGAGGGUAUCACCAGUUGCGUCCGGGCGGGUACUCGCCUCGCCAACAUCAGCAGGGAUUGCACGAGGAGGAGAGUUUUUCUCCUCAACCAUAAUUGGCUCCACCUCUUCGAUAUCCUCUUUCGCCGCCUCCUCAUCCAUGUGUUGAGCAACACCAGCUGCAAGGUCAUCCAUCUUCAGAUCAGGGUGCUGCUUCCCAAGGACAGCCAUGAUGCAAUGAUAGGAAUGCUGAAGUCCCUGGUCGUAUUGGUUGUCAGCUUCCUUCUCCAAGUUCUUGACCUGAACCCGGUGGGAAUCGCAGAGAGAUUCGAGCUGAGCCUCGUACAUAACCUUCUGCCUUUGCAGAUCCUCCUUGACCUUGGUCAGCUUUUCCUCGGGAGUAAUGGCCUUUGCUUGAGCAAGAUAUUCUCGCUCUAUCAACUUUAAAUUCUCGAGAUUCAAGUCUCCUGCUUUCUUCUUGACAACAUCAGCUUUGGUUAUCGCCGAUUGAAUGUCUUCCUUCAUCUUCCGGUCAUAACGGCCAACUUUGGCCUUAUAGUAAGUAGCCAUGCAGCUGAGAUGGAAAGCGCUAUACUGCAUGGCCCCCACCAGCUCACCCAGGGUGCAGCCGUCAAAGUCCUCCAGGUCCUUCUUCCUCACGAGUUUAGAAAGCUCGUUGAUAUAGGGGGCAAAAUAUUCUGCUCGAUUGUCAGGUAAACGAGAUCUCGGCCCGACGGGAGGAGAAGAGGAAGCAGGAUCAGUGGCUGCUCCGCUAGUCUCUCCGACUUUGACAGAAGGAGGUGGUAGAGUCUUCAAGGGGGAAACCUGCUGCACAAUGUUCACCCGCUUCGCAGUGGAAGCAUCUUUAUUCUGGUCCCACUUGGCAGCUUGUGGUCGAGGACAUUUCCGAGUCAGAGCCCCAAUCACAGCAUCCUCCAUCUUAUGGCCGGUGGACACCAAACAAGAUUCGACCAGGUUAUAAGUAGUUAGCAGCUCUCGGCUCGAGCAGGAAUUGGCCAGUAAGGCUUCGACCCGUUUGAGCUGGUCGGGUUUGAGUGGGAAGUGAACACCCCAAGAACCUGCAAUAUGAACAGACAUUUGGUUAGAGACAAACCAGUAAAGUGAGAACAACUAUGGAGACAAGACAUCUAAAGCGAGCAGGCAACCUGGGACUACGAAACGGGGUGGGACGCGAUAAUCCUUCCCGUCAAUCUGUGUAACUUGACCCCAGGGACCCCCAGCAAAAAAGAAUUUUUUCUUCCAAUUCUCACCACCACCACGAGUUGGAAGAUCGGUUAUGGGUUUCCUGGUUUUAGUAGUUGAUUGGAAGUAAUACCAGCCGGCAUCUUUGGGGCUGCUUUUCAGCUGGUACAGGUGCUUCACCUCAUCAACUGUGGGAUUGUUUUGGCAACAUCUGUCCCACAAGAUGAACAGACCAGAGAGUACUCUCCACCUCUUGGGGUUCAGCUGACCAGGAGCUAAAUUUAGCCCGUUAAGUAUUCAGGCAAAGUAGGGUUGAAGGGGACACCUCAGCCCAUAUUUAAAACUCUCCAGAAACAGGGUAACAUAUCCCCUAGGAGGCCGGCUAGGAGUAUCCUUCUUUCCGGGGACCUUAAGAGGUAUUUCAUUAGGAAUAUUAUACCUAACCCGGAGGUUAGUGAGCUCAUCAAAUGUGGUCGUGCAUGUGAUGAAAUCAAUGGCGUAAUCCUGUGAUAGGGCUCUACCUCCUACUGUACUCCGCCCUUCUGGUCGCGAUGUUCCUGGUGGGGACACCUCACCAAAGUCACCUUCUCGAUCCUCACUUAGGGUGUUUUCCGAGCCAGAAGAUCCCUCCUCACCGCUAUUUCCGCUCGAGGAGGUUGUUUGGGGGGACAUCCUCCUAGCGCUAGUCCCAACACUAGAUCUAAUGGGUUCUAAGGGGAUCCCGGGGUCAAAGGCAGGAUCGGCGAGCAGACUAGGCAGGAAGUCUAACUCGUCGUCAUCAACCUCAAUGACUUUCUCUUUACCUUUUGACAUUCCCUAAGCUAUAACCAGAGCAACAUCACCAAAUACUACCCAAGAAAAAUAGAGAGAAAUGAAAUUAUCUACAACUAUCCGAGACCAAGGAAAUAGAAGUAAUACCUGAAGUAGUGGCUCAGUCGGAGAGAGACAGGGAUGAAGGCUUUUGUGCCGGAACUUCUUCACCGGAGAGACAGAGACAGAGAUGGAGUAAAUGACGAAUUUCUCUUUGAAGGGUUUUGGGUUUUCCUAAUGAGGAACAAACUCUUGGGCUGCCAGCAUUUAAUGGCACAAAACCCAAGAAUCUCGUAACCAUCGGUUUGAAAUUCAAAUAGAGGGGGAGAUUUCUGCCAUAUCACCUCGUCUGCAAUUAAAUGCGACACGACUCUUGACAGUUUUUUCCUAUCCCGCGCGAGCAAUAACUGUCGAGUUUCUACUGUCGGCCCACUACGUUACCCAACACUAGAAACUGAGGGACCGGUGUUUGGGGGAUGUACUUCGACGAGACCAGCCGUGAUGAGCAGAUAGCUAUUAGCAGGGUUCCCACGAACAGGUAUAUCUUGCGGAAGUCUGGUAGCAGGAGAACAGGAAUAGGAAUAUUCUACUCGUCCACGAAUGCGCCAUCAGCGAGGCUGGCAUCCUGAUAAUGGUUGAGCCUCCUGCUAUGGUUAAGGCGAGGAGACCCGGUCAACGGCAGUUGGCGAGACGUGCACUCCAACCCGAGAAUUAAGGCACGAACACCACGCGACCACCCACGAUUAUGGAAAUGGAGCAUCCACUUCCGAGAGAUAGGAAAGUAAUGGGCGUGGAUUGAGGGAAGGUCUGAACUCAGGAGAAGCCUAUAAAAGGGUGGCCAACGAAGGUAAAAGGGUUAGAACUUUUGAUACUGAAACUAAGAUAAAGAAAGCAUUCAACAAUCGAUACUAAAAAGAAGCCUUAAGAUUAGUGGCUAACGUUCCCAGGAACAUAAAACCUUUAUAUCUGACUUGAGCGUCGGAGGGUUUACGCCGAAAAAAAACCGGUGUGCUCUGACUUGUUUCUGUGUACACAGGAACCUCUGGAGAAGAAGCCUUAAGAGGAGAGAUCCUGAUCGUGGUCGAGUUGAUUGAGCAGAGAUCCUGGUCGUGGUCGAGAGGGUAACCAGAAUCUCGCAUCAACAAGAUGUAUUUUGAAUUAUUAAGAAUGUUCAGAAUAUGUUUUAUGUGUUUUUGUCUAGAAUAAAUGGAUGUAGACGCACACACGCAAAGGGAGUUUUAAAAUUUGAAAUCAAAUUAAUGAAUAUGAUUUGAAGUGUUUGUGUUGAGAAUACAUUUUGGAUACGCACGCACACACGCAAGAGGAGUUUUACAAGGAGUUUUAAAAUUUGAAAUUUGUUAAUCCAUUUGAUUUCUAACACAUGCAUACAUUCAGGGAAGUUCUUAUAAAAGUUCAAACUACAUAACGUGUUUUGCCAUCGUAAAAAAGGGGAGAUUGUUAACCUCUAUGGUUAUAUAGCAUUUUGAUUUUAAUGAUAACAAACCACGUGUCAUGGGUAAAAUAGGAAAUACGCAUAUUCUUUAUUUUAUUUUAAAACAAAAAAAUGAAUGUUGAGUAUUUUAAGAUGUCCUUAAAAUUGUUUUCUUUGUAUUUUCUAAAGGAAAAUUUUUAUUAUGUGAAUAUUAUUUCAAAUUCUAAGUAUAAAGCGUUUUUCGCAUAAGUUUUUCAGAUAAAACUUUUAUUAUGUGCUUAAAUGUUAAAUCAAUAUAAUCCAAAUGGUAAGCUCACUAAAUAAAACUUGCUGCUAGACACAAAUGGCAUACUGUUACAAGGAAAGCGACAAACCGAUUACAUCAAAUUAGCUCUCUAGAAUCAAACGGUAAACUGAUAGAGCUGAAGCAGCAAACCGAUUACAUCAAAUUAGCUCUUUGGAAUCAAACAGUAAACCAAUAGAGUUGAAGCAGCAAACUGAUUGCAUCAAAUUAGCUCUCUUGAAUCAAAUGGUAAACCGAUAAAGCUAAAGUGACAAGCUGAUUCCAUCAAGAUGACUUACUAGACUCAAAGAACAAACUAUUAUCUGCAAGCGACCAACCAAUUCCAUCAAGAUGACUUACUGGACUCAGACAACAAAUUGUUAUCUGCAAGCGGCAAACCAAAUCCAUCAAGAUGACUCUCUGGAAUCAAGCGGCAAACUACUUUCUUGAAGCAGAAAAUCGUGAAGCAAAAAUUUCAAAUUACAACCAUAAGGAUAAAUGCUAUAUAAGCAAACUAUAGACUGUUUUCUUGAAAGGGAAAAUCGAUUAUGCCUAGAAAGUUAACAACAACUAUUUUUGUCGUUCAAUCUAUAAAUAACCAAGAGAAACACUUUUGAAAUAGGAAUUUUUUGGCCAUUUGUUUAAGAGUCUUGAGCUUUUACUUGCUUAUACACAUUCAUUGAAUUUAUAAUUGAGCUAUCAUUUGUAACAUACACUUGUGAGAGUGCAUUCUUUGUAAUUUCCAUUUCACUAUCAACAUUGAAUGAUUGUAAGUGUAGGGAAACACUUGGUGAAGAAGGUGUGGGAUCAUCUCAAAUUGUAAAUGUUUAUUGACACCCUAAAAGUCAAUUGCAAACUUCCUGAAGCCUUGGAUUGUAAUGCUUGAAUAGUGGAACAAUCAAGUUCGGUUUGCUUGGAGGCAUGGAUGUGAGCGGGUUUUGCCGAACCACGUAAAAAUUUCGUGUUUGCUUUCUGAUAGAGAUACAUCAGAAUCAAUCUCUUGACCAAUUCUCUCCUAAUCUUGUGCUUACCGUUUAUAGAUAAUAUAUGUUGUAAAUGCUCCUUUAUUUACUCCUUCUUUCUCUCCUUGACUUAUUCUCUUUAAUUUAAAUUGUAAUCAAAUCUAGGAUAGUUAUUACCCUUUGUAUUCCAACUACAGUCUGUAUAUAUAUAUACGACUAAUAUCAAUAAUAAUAUAGCUUCAUUUUCAUUCACAAUUGAUAUUAUUUCCCUUUAUAUGGUAUCCAGAGCAUAGAUCCAUUUUUUUUCUUUUCUUUUUCCCACAGUUCUUCACCCUCCCUCUUCAAUGGCAUCCAGUGAUCAAUCUCUUCUACCCAACAAUGCUGAACCGACCAAUCCUUUCAUCAUCAUCUCCCUUUCUCACAUCCUGAAACUCACUCCAACAAAUAAUAUCUCAUGAAAAACUCAACUUGAAGCUACCCUCCUUGGCCAUGAUCUACAUAAAUUCAUAGAUGGUUCUCAUCCUGCCCCAUCUAAAACAAUUACCCAAAAUAACACCACCACUACUAAUCCUGCCUACAUCACAUGGUUCUGUCAAGACAAGCUCAUUCUUGGAGCUCUUGCUGGCACGCUAUCCAACCCACUUUUCCCUCUAAUUUCACAAUGAUCCACUACCCAUGACGCUUGGCAAACUCCUGCUAAGACAUAUGCCAAUCCCUCGAAAGGCCAUCUCAAACAAAUAAAAGAUCACCUUAAAAAUAUUACCAAAGGUCCUCGUUCCAUUUCUGACUACAUGCAGGAAAUCAAGUGUUGUACCGAUCAACUAGCCUCUCUUGGUCGUCCCCUUGAUCCCGAAGAUAUCGUUGACAAAGUCCUUGACCAACUCAACGAUCCCGACUAUGAGAGUGUCAUCAAUGGUGUCCAAAACCGUGAAACUCCUAUCACGUUUGAUGAGUUACAUGAAAAACUCAUCAAUCAUGAACUCUCCCUCAAACACAAAGCCAAAUCCUCCAACAGUUUCCCUGCCACUGUUAACUAUGCGGCCAAACAACAAAACAGAAACUAUCAAUAUCAUCCUCCCUCUUCCAAUGCAGGCCUUCUUCCCACUCCAACUCUCAGCCUCCUACUCGUUCUUCUCAACCUUUCAAAGGACGGUGUCAAUGGUGCUGAAACCAAGGUCAUUAUGUCUCCCAAUGCCCCAUUUUCCGCAACCACUAUCCAAAUGCAAUACUACGUUCCCAACAAUCCAACCCAUCCAUGGUUCUUUCUCAUGCAACACCUCGCCCUGUUGCCAAAGGCUAUCAAUCCUCGUUUUCUCGUGCCUAUGCUGCCACCGCUACCGACCUCUCCUCUAAUGGUUGGCUUCUCGACAGUGGUGCCACUCAUCACAUCACCCAUGAUCUUGAAAAUCUUGCUCUUCACUCCUUGUAUGAUGGUACUGAGGAACUAAUUAUUGGAGAUGGCUCCGGCCUCGCCAUCUCAAACACUUGAUCCACUUCACUUUUUACCCCUACUACUACAUUUAAUCUUAAUCAUAUUCUUCAUGUGCCUUCCGUUUCUCGUAAUAUUAUUUCUACAUGGCCACACGCCUAAUUAUCUUAAACUUCGUAGCUUUGGAUGUCUUUGUUAUCCAUGGCUACGUCCCUAUACCUCAAAUAAACUUGAUCCCCGCUCAUCUCCUUAUGUCUUUGUUGGUUAUUCUGCUACCCAAAGCGCCUAUUACUGCCUUGCUCCUUACGCCAACAAAAUCUAUGUUUCUCGACAUGUCAAAUUCAUUGAGCAUGAAUUCCCUUUUUCUUCCUCUUCCAUGACGGCAUCAUCGCACACGUCCAUCGAAACGGAUGAAUGGUGUGCACUUUCUCUUCCUAUUAUCUCUGCUGCAUCAUCCACACUAGCUAUUCGCCUCCAACCCCCUCCCAGACCUCGGCUACCUCAAACACCCCCACUCCUCCUCCCCCACCACCUCCACCACGCCCUCUCACUCGGCUACAAAAUAAUAUUCAUAAACCCAUUACUAAAAUGAAUCUCCAUGUCUCUCUCUAACCUUCUUCUACCGAACCUACCACAAUCACUCAAGCUAUCAAAAGCUCUGUUUGGCGUGAUGCUAUGCAAACUGAAUACAAUGCCUUGCUCAAAAAUAAAACAUGGGACCUUGUUCCCUCUUCUCCAUCACAAAAUCUCAUUGGUUGUAAGUGGAUCUUUCAGACUAAGUAUAACUCGGACGGCUCCAGGUUCCACCAACGUCCCGGCCUCGACUACACUGAAACUUUCAGCCCCGUAGUUAAACCCGCUACUGUCCACACUGUUCUUUCUCUUGCCAUAAUCUAUGGGUGGUCUCUUCGUUAAAUUGACAUUAAUAAUGCUUUUCUCCAAAGUUCUCUCAUGGAGGACGUGUUUAUGGUCCAACCCCCUGGUUUUAUUAGUCAAUCUCAUCCUACUCAUGUUUGCAAACUUCACCAAGCUCUCUAUGGUCUUAAACAAGCUCCUCGAGCUUGGUAUAAUGAACUCAAAUCCUAUCUUCUUACUCUUGGGUUCAAAAAUUUUGUCUCAGACACAUCCUUAUUUGUUCUACGUAAUACUCAGGGUCUCAUCUACCUCCUUGUGUAUGUUGAUGAUAUUAUUAUCACUGGCUCAAAUUCAUCUUUUCUAAGCACAUUUAUCUCUCAAUUCUCCUCUCGUUUCUCUCUUAAAGAUCUUGGUAACCUCUUCUAUUUUCUUAGCGUUGAGGUGUUACCUCAUCCUCAAGGUCUCUUUCUUAGCCAACAUAAAUAUCUCCAAGACCUUCUAACCUGUGCCCAUAUGUCAAAUGCCAAACCCGUACCCACUCCUAUGGUCACGCAUCCCCUUCUAUCCACACAAACUGGAGCUCCUUUAGCCAACCCAACUGAAUACAGAGCACUUGUGGGAAGCCUUCAAUAUCUCUCUUUAACUAGACUUGACAUCUCCUUUGCUGUAAACAGGAUAUCUCAAUACAUGCACAAACCUACUGAAGAUCAUUGGGCCGCUCUCAAAUGCUUAUUACGCUAUCUCGCAGGAACUACUUCACACGGUUUACUACUUCGCCAAGACUCGCCAACCACUCUUUAUGCUUUUAUAGACGCCGACUAGGCAGGUGAUAAAGACGACUAUAUUUCUACAACUGGUUACAUUGUCUAUUUGGGUCGAAAUCCUAUAUCUUGGAGUUCCCACAAACAACGAACUCUUGCUCGCUCUUCCACCGAAGCCGAGUACCGCGCUGUUGCCGCGACUACUGCCGAGGUCCUAUGGGUUCAAAACUUACUACGUGAGCUAGGAUACCUACCCACCAACAAACCAGUCAUCUACUGUGAUAAUAUGGGAGCUACAUAUGUUGCUGCCAAUCCAAAGUUCCACUAAAAAAUGAAACAUUUAGGACUUGACUAUCAUUUUGUUCGUGAAAAUGUUCAACAUCAAAUCCUACGUGUGUCAUACAUUUUUUGUAACAAUUAACUCGUCGAUGCUUUUACAAAGCCGCUUGCUCGCACCCAGUUCCAUGAACUUAUGUCCAAGAUUGGUCUCACUUACCGAUCGUCCAUCUUGCGUGUGUCAUACAUUUUUGGUAACGAUCAACUCGUCAAUGCUUUUACAAAGCCGCUUUCUCGCACCCGGUUCCAUGAACUUAUGUCCAAGAUUGGUCUCACUUACCGAUCGUCCAUCUUGCGGGGGCAUGAUAGAGAUACAUCAAAAUCAAUCUCUUGACAAAUUCUCUCCUAAUCUUGUGCUUACCGUUUAUAGAUAAUAUCUGUUGUAGAUGCUCCUUUAUUUACUCCUUCUUUCUCUCCUUGACUUAUUCUGUUUAAUUCAAAUUGUAAUCAAAUCUAGGAUAGUUAUUACCCUUUGUAUUCCAACUACAGUCUGUAUAUAUAUAUACGACUAACAUCAAUAAAAAUAUAUAGCUUCAUUUUCAUUCACAAUUGAUAUUAUUUCCCUUUAUACUUUCUUCUCCCAUAUCUCUUUAAACUUAUUCAUUGUUAUAUUUACUGUUAUUGAAUCUCUUAAGGCAUUAGUUUAAAUUAUUUUGUAAUUUAAUUUGUUUAAUUUUUAAAAAACCAAUUCACCCCUCUCUUGGGUUACUUAGCUAGAAUUUCAGCAUAGCUUGUCAUGCGUUCACAUACCGUACAAUGAGUUACGAGGUCCAAUUCCUAACAACACAAGAUUCCAGUAUGAUCAUGGAGGCAUUAUGAGGGAACAAGGAUUGUGAGGUGACGCUUACAGUUUUCAACCUUGCAAAGCCUUUGUAACUCACAAACAGGUCUUCAAAAAGAAAUGGCUUUUAAUAAUGUUUCCUAUGUUAGGAAUACUCGCUCUUUUAUUCUUUGUGAUUGGAAUGAUUUUUAGAAGAAUUAAGAGGGCUUCUAGAGAAAACAAAGAAAGUUCUGUGGGCGAUCAAGGAGUGCUUUCGAUAUUAAUUUUUAAAACGUAAGUGGCGUAUUAAAAAAUCAUCAGUGCAGCGAAUAAAUUUGAUGCUAAGCAAUGCAUUUGGCAACCUAUCAUCUGGGAGAUCGUAGCGAUUGGCAAAUUUCAUCACCACUUCCAAGUGAAAUUUUAGUCCUACAAGAAUUCCUGAAUGAAAUCAAGGCAAUGCCAGAAUUAUGGUAUCAAAAUAUUGUGAAAUUUUAUAGCUUCUGUAACAUCCUGGUACUCUUUUUCAGUCUAUGAAUAUCUUGAAAAGGGUAGUUUGGCUACAAUUCCAAGCAAUGAUGCAACAAUAGAAGAAUUCAUGAGCUGGACUCUGAGAAUGUAUAUGAUAUAAAGUGUAGCUAAGGCCAUGAGUUAUAUGCAUCAUGAUUGCUUCCCAGCAAUUGACAAUCAAGACUUAUCAAGCAAGAAUGUGUUGCUCGGUUUAGAUUAUGAAGCUCAUGUUUCAGAUUCCGGAAUCGCAAAAUUUCUCAAGCCAGACUUGUCCUAUUGGACUGAUUUUGCAGGCGCAUUUGGAUAUGUUGCUCCACAUAUGCAUUCUUAAAUUAACCCAUUGAUCACUUUUUACAUUAAUAAACGUCAUAUCUAACUGAUCAUUUUCAUCUUUCAGUUUUUGUAGAGCUUGUUUACACGAUGAAGAUUAUCAAAAAAUGCAACGUGUAUAGCUUUCCGAGAAUUAGCAUUAGAAGUGAUAAAGGGGAAUUAUCCAAGAGAUUUUAUGUCCUUCCAUCGGGGACAUAUCGCUGAAUGAAAUUUCGGACACUCGGCUUUCAACAUCAUCAUGAAAUGUUCAAGACACGCUGAUAUCAAUCAUGGAGGUUGUCUUAUUCGAUGUGGGCCCAGAAUCAAGACCCACGAUGUACACAAUGUGUCAUUUAAAAAAAAAAAAAAGAACUCCAGAAAGUCAAAUGUUUCUUUUUUCUUCUGUAUUUUUUUUCAUUUUUCGUUUUUGUUGGAUUAAAUAUUACUUUUGAAACUUUUGAUGGUUGUAAAAGAUUUUACACUUUAAUUAAGUACGUGAAUUACACAUUUCAAGCAUCAUUUGACUUUGCCCCCAAUCUCUGCCGUAAUGUCAUUUGGCUUUUCUGUGCCUUACUUUGGAUAUGCAUAUUUUAUCAAAGGACAAAAAACUGAAAUUGAAAAAUAGAAGUUGUCAUAAAGUAAAUUAAUAUAUUCCAUAACAUUAUGAACAUCUACGUGCGAAAGCAACAGCGAUACUUUCAACACAUUGUAGGAACUGCCUCUAAGUAAGCCCAAUGGGCGUAAAUUUACAGAUCACCGAAAAACCUUAGUUCAAAGUAAAAUGAUCGGCUUCCUAUGAUUUUUUUCUGUUUUUAAUGGCUACCUAUCACAAAUUUAGUAACUUCAGCAAAAUUCUACUGCUUAUAUCUUUUACUUUAAUAUUAUAAUCACGAUCGGCUUCUUAUGCCUACUUUUUUUUCAACUCAAAUAUUUUUCUCAACUUCAAGUCUUCAAGCAACUAUUUGGAAGAACAAAUCCAGAGGCCGAUCCAUCAGCGUUGGUACAGGAAGCUUCAGCUGGUUGAUUCUUGUAAAUGAGCUUCACAUCCUCCAAGCUAAUUCCAGUGCAUGGAUUCUUUGAACUGCAAUCGAGCUUUACUCCAACUUCCGUUGCCGAUGUUCCAUGAAUAUCUUGAUAUAUCACAUCACUGAUUUUAACCCCGGAAGCCUAUUGAAGAAUAAAAAAUAAUAAUUUUUAUUGAGUUGAAUAUUAAUCGCAUCAACAUUUACGUAAUCACAUCUACAGACAUGUGAUAAGUGAGUAUCGUACCUGUCCAGGACAAUUCCCGCUGUCAGGGCAGUAAUUUUGAUCAAUUAUGAUUGGAUUAUCGACAUUGUUCAUAAGAGCAUGUUGGAAAAGAAUGUUCCUGGCAAAUCCACCGCUUGUUCUGCCCCAGGACUUAAUCCUCACUCCAUUUUGAGUGCCUGUAAAUGUCACAGAUGUUACUGUCACAUUUUGCACUCCAGCCUCUUGUUGCUCUUUGCCUAAGCUUCCAAUGCUACAACAAAAUCAGAAUAUUCAAUUUAAUUAGCACUAAAUAUUUAUACGUACCACCAAAAAUAAAGAGAAAAACAAAUCAUCAUGUUUUUAAAUUUUACCUGAUCCCAUGGCCAGGGCCACAAGCAACAUUUUCAAUCCAUAAGUUGGUGGCGCCAGGCCCAACGGAUACACAGUCAUCACCAGUCCCAAUUUUGCUGUCCAAAAUUGUGACACCACUUGAUGAUUGAACGUGAAUGCCAUCGGUGUUUGGGCUGUCACCGGCGGCCGAAACUUUGACCCCCUGUACUUUCACAUCGUUGCAUCCAUUGAUGACAAUAUGAAACAUCUGGCUAUCUACGGAUGCUAAUCCGUUAAUCACAACGUUGUCUGAGUUGCUAAAGCGAAGUGUCUGCUCAUGUAUAUACAAAAGAAGGAACAUUAAUUAUUAUAACUAAAGCAGGAAGCCAAUCAAUAUGAAAAACAAAAAGCCACUAAAUUUACGACUAUACAGAUAUAUAUAGGAUAUUUCAACUUAAUUACCGUAGCGCCACCGGGGCAAUUACUAUUGUCCGACUUUUUACAAUCCCACAAGCCAGCACCUUGGCCAUCAAGAACGCCACCAUUAAUAGAAACCCCACUAACAUGCUCAAAUAAAAUCCAGUUUUCGGCAUUUCCGAUAACAUGAUAAUCAGCUGGAGCCACCAGAGUCCCGUCAAUACGUAUGGUAAUAUCAUUGUUCUUGCAUUGGCCUUGAAACACAACAUUGCUUAGUAAGUACCUCCCCGGUGGCACGUAAAUGGUUGCAGCCUCGGCCGAGCCACAGGCUUGAGCCCAUGCAGCAAGAAAGGAUUUUACUGAGUCAGUCUGGCCAUCGGGUCUGGCUCCGAAGCUCAGCACGUUGUAACUCAAAGGAAUUGCUAAAGAUGAACUAAAGAAGAGAAUCAAAAGAAAUGGUAAAAAUUUAAUAGGCAAAGACAUUGAUUUUGACACUGUUUCAAAGUUUUACUUUACUGAUGGAUAUGAGAGAUAGAUUUGAGACGUUGAGUAGUUGGGGUGAAGUUGAAAAGAUUUAAAUGGGUAUUUAUAGGAUUUGAAUGAACUGUAGAAAUAUAAAUCACACUAGUAUUGAAUACAAUCUGCGCAGAAUUACGGGAGUGAUUUUUGCUUUGACUAAUAUGAUCUUAAUUUACUAAAAUAGCCUUUAACUGAAAUUUGGAUGACGUUUGAUGACAGAAGCAACAUAACUACAUACAUAAGACAAGGGCACGUCCACAUAUGGUUUCGUAAGAUGAGAGAUUUCAAAGGUAGUUAAUAAAUUAACAGAUAAAAAGUGCUUAUCCAUUAGAAUAUUAUUAAGAACUAAGAUUCAGUUGGGUUAAUAUUAAAAUACAGUUUAAAAAAUUCAGAAGUUUGGAUAGAUAUAACUGUUUUUUUUUAAAUCUUUAAAUAAACGUUUAAUUUGUUUGAUAACCGGUUAAUUAAAACUUUAAAGUAUUAAAAUCAAAACAUUGUACUAUCUAACUUCUAAUCUUACAGGUCAUUGAUUAAAUCGAACGGUUCAUGCUUAUGCAACUAUUAAUAUUGUAAUUUUUAUAGCAGCAUCAUAGAAUGAGCCUUGUUUUAUAAUUUUUUUUGCUUUUUUCUUAAAGUAAAUAAGAAUAUUGAAAUUUCCUGAAUUCUGAAUGGCCAUUUCUUCUAAAUACAGAUUGUUGUUUUGGUGUCUGUGAAGAUAGCUCAUUAUGCAGAAGUGAAGAAGAAGAAUCAACCUGGUGUUAAGCUUUGUAUCAAGAGCGUCAAGUUACCAGCUGUCAUUAGUGCCACGUCAGAAGAUCCAAGUCAGCAGCAGUGAACAGCCUAACUAACUUCACAAUACACACUCUGUAUUUGGUUGUGUUAGCUGAGUGAGAUUCGUUUUAAUAAUUAGUUAGUGAGCAAUCAGUUAGAGUAUGUAAAGCAUGUAUAAAUAGCUACAUAUUCUAGAUUGUCAUUAUGUACAAAAUCUUAGUUCAUUAACGAAAUAAUAAAAUUUCCUCUGUUUUCUCAGUUGCCAAACAGCAACACUUUAUCAAUUUUACAAAUUCUUCAGUGUCGGAAAGCUAAAUUCAUAAAUAAAGCUUCCCUUGUUUCACGGCUUCCUUGUUUACGGAAAUUUUUGUUUUUCACGUGACGUUAAUUUGUUGAUCUAAAUUAGGCACACAAUAAAUGUACAGUAUUCAAAUUUCAGCUCUAGUCAUAUCUGGAAAAUGAAUCCAGAGCGCAGUUCCAGCAACAUCAACUAUUGAUUUUAAGAAAAAAAUUAAGAAAGCCACGUGAAAGAAAAAAAAAAAAGAAUUUGAUACAUAUUGCUUAUGAAGCCACGUGAAAAUUUCGUUGAAAGUUGAUAAAAUGUGUUUCGCAUAUUGCUUAUAAAGGUUGAUGCAUCGGUGUUGACAUUUUGUUAUACUAAAAUGGAAAUAUCAUAAAGUUUUAAAGAAAACAAAUCAGUGGAGAGUAAACAAAGUUCGUUAUCAAGUGGGAAAAGUUUCAGUCUUAUAACCAGCCGCAAUUACUGAUUGACAUAUUCUUCGAAAGGGAUGUUUUGACAUAAAGCUCAACUCUUUUCCUUUUCUUUUUAGUGGUUACAAUUUUUGUGCAUAUUACUGAUUGACUUGUUUCAAUUACUCAGAUUAAGCAAACAAUCAAGCCACAUUACUAGGUUAUCAAGAAAGAGCAGUUACCAGUUAGGUCCCUCUGCACGCCAAAUUCACCACAUGCGGAUUUCUUCUUCAACCGCCCAACUGAAAAAAGGUUUAUGAGUGUUGACCAAAUGAUUUUUUUAUACAUUACUAGUUGUUUAAGGGAUUUACUUUCACACAGUACCAUUAAUAGUUGGAAGAGCUUGACUGCCAAAUUUGUUUAUUUAUUUUUCAGAAAAAAAUUGUUUUACAAAACAAAAAAAGAAUAUGUCGCUACUAGAAAAAUAGCUUUUACUGAUACUUGUCUUGUGACACUUUUCUAAAAAGUAUCAGUAAUUAUACAUAUUUGGAUUAUUUUCCGUGUUUAACAAACAAGUGUCACUAAUUACUAAUUCUAUGGUGUUUGUAGAUUAAACAUCAGAGAUCGUCGACACUAAGGUAUCAGAAACAACAACAAAAAAAUCUAUUUUUGUUUUAGUUGCGACUCGAACCUAAGACCCAAAACUAAAGUGCUUUAUGUUCAACCAACAAACCACCAGGCCAAAUUCAUAAAUUAGUUUGUGUUGAACAUGUUGAAAUUAUCAAAUUAAAUUAAUAUAGAAAACAACAAUAUAAAAGGAAAAGCAAAAAACCCUAAAUCAACAUAAACAUAAAAUUCCCUAACUCCUAAAUCCAUGGCCAGCCGCCUCAUCUCUCUGGCGAUAUCCUUCUUCUUCUUCAUACCUCUAAAAAUUCUCUUCUUCGAGCCCUAAAAUUCAAGGGUCCAUGCCAUAAGAAAUCCUAACACCACUGCUCAAAUUCUAAGACCCAUACCAUACGAAACCCUAACGAUCUACAUUAUGCAAAACAUCCACCAUGCCGCUAUGCCACAAGCUCACAAGACCCGCUUUACAUCUCCACAUUUUGCUCAUUCGUAUAUGCCAUUUGCUUAGGCUUUGAACUUUUAUCAAUGAUCGUUAGCGAGGUAAUUUUUCACCCUUCACUCGUUUUGAUUUUCUGGUUGGUUAGCGUAGCUUUCCAAUUUUGUUGUGUGUUGCCUUGAAAGAAAACGGGAGAAGAAGAUGCUUGGUGUUGUUUCCACUAAAAGAAAACGGGAUGAGAAGCUUGGUGUUUCCACUAAUGAUGGUGAUCAAUCUUGUCAAAAUUUGACUUCUAAAAGAAGUCAUAUUGCAGAAGAUACUACUAGAAAUCAUGUUGCAGAAAAAGAAGAUUUGGUUUCUAAUAGGACUCGGGUUGCAGAAAAUACUGUUUUGGCCUCUGAAGUUCAAGCAACAGACCAUUCGAUUUCUGAUUCUGGAGAUCAUGUUGCAGAAAAUAUUGUCGACAAUUCUGUUGAGGCAGAAACUCGACAACUUGCAAAAUUCAAUCCACAGGGUGAUGGCUAUAAUGGGCUGAAUGAAGCCUCUGUCUUGGCACUGCAGUCACCAGUUUAUCCAGAACAGGAAUCGUCAUAUUCUAAUGGUUCUAGUUGCGGUAAUAGUUUAUUGAAUUCUGAAUUUGACAGUGAACAGGUAGAUGACCAGUUCAAUUCACAGAGGGAUUUUCAGAAUAAAGACUCUCCUAAUGAAUCUGGGCAGACCACUUCUGACUUCCUCUCAUCAAAGUUAGAUGAAGGAGUUUACUUGGAGGAUGGCAGUGACAUGGACUCUAAAACCUUCAUUGCAUAGGUGACGAUAUUCUUUCAGUAUUAAUAGUACUUCAGUAGCAUCCAAUUUUGUUCAUCUCUUGAUUAAUAUCCUACUGUUCAAUUUCAAUUUGGAUUUUGUAUGCAUAUUAUCCUACUGUUCAANNNNNNNNNNNNNNNNNNNNNNNNNNNNNNNNNNNNNNNNNNNNNNNNNNNNNNNNNNNNNNNNNNNNNNNNNNNNNNNNNNNNNNNNNNNNNNNNNNNNNNNNNNNNNNNNNNNNNNNNNNNNNNNNNNNNNNNNNNNNNNNNNNNNNNNNNNNNNNNNNNNNNNNNNNNNNNNNNNNNNNNNNNNNNNNNNNNNNNNNNNNNNNNNNNNNNNNNNNNNNNNNNNNNNNNNNNNNNNNNNNNNNNNNNNNNNNNNNNNNNNNNNNNNNNNNNNNNNNNNNNNNNNNNNNNNNNNNNNNNNNNNNNNNNNNNNNNNNNNNNNNNNNNNNNNNNNNNNNNNNNNNNNNNNNNNNGAGCCUCUUCACAUCUAACUUUCUCAGCAUGCUUACCAUUUUUUGAUUUUCAAACACUUUGACUCAAUAUUGAUAAUGAAGCUGUACACAAGAUCCAAAAGUUUCUGGAUAGUCUUGUCAUGAGUAAGAAAAAGAUUCCAUGCCGUCUUUAACAUUUUUUGCAGCUUAAUCCAGAUUGUUUUAUUUUCUUCUUGCUAUUAAGCUUCCAGAAUGACACGAUUUCGCAACGUGAUACUUGUGCACAUUUUACAGAUUUCCCCGGAGCUCCUUAAGAAGUUGAGUACGGAUUGCCUGGUUAUGCAAAACCACCAUGUAAGAAAAUUGUGCUUCACGUACGGUUAACUUGCUUUGCAUUUGUGUACCUAGAUUCAAUUUCUUAAAAAUGUGUUAAGCUUUAUGUUCUAAAACAACCAUCUUUUUAUUGUUAGAUUCAAUUCUCUGUUUUAAUUUCCUUCAUCUUCUGUAAUAAUGCUAGUCACUCAUGAAUAUCUAGCUCAAUGAAAGUGUUGGGUCUAAUAAGCGAGCUUUUUUGGAAAUCCUGCUUUGUCGUGAGCCUCUUUGAUUCAUGGAAGAAUUCCAUUUAUAUGGACUUCUUGUACAAUUGAUUCCUUAGAUCAGUGCACUUCAAUUUUGGGAGACAAUGGACUCUAAAAAUGUUUAGAUUUAUUAAAUUAUUAUGGAUGAUUGAGUAAAUAAUUUGGUUGAUCUGAAAUUUUAUGUGUUGUACCAUUACAACAGUAUGGCAUUUCACCUGAAAGAAUGCAAGCAAACCAGGAGCUAGCUAAGUUUUUUAAGAUCUUGACAACAAGCGUGGAUGAAUAUAAUAAGGUACAAAAGUAAAUAUUCCUUUGUUGAAUUUAUUUUAUAUAUAAACACAGACUCAGGAUAUAUGCCUGAAUGCUUGAUAUUUUAAUGGCAAUUUAUCCAGUGUUAUCAAUUCUAACUUCUGUUAUUAAUCAUUAUCAGGUCUAUAUCUCGACAGUGCAAGCUUAUAACUAUCCUGUGACCGCCUUCCAAUGACAUCCAGAGGUAUUAACUUCAAUGCUCUUAACAGUGAUUUUAGCUGCACCCCAUUUACAAAAUUGAUAAGCUUAAUAUGGCAGACUGAUCUGGUUAAUCAAACCUUUUGAGCGACAUUUGUGUGCUAAACUCUAGAUGUGUGUGACCAAAUAUGCUGCAGAAAAAUGCUUUUGAAUGGGGACCAAAAGCAAUUCCACACACAGAGGACGCCAUUCGGGUGACUCAACAAGCUGCAAACUUUUUUAUAAGGUCAGUUCUUAUUACCUGCAUGAUUGUUUAUGUUACGAAUUUCAUUUGUUAAGCAAGUGCUGGAAUUUCAUUGAUAGUUUAUUUUCUUUUCUUAAUGACANNNNNNNNNNNNNNNNNNNNNNNNNNNNNNNNNNNNNNNNNNNNNNNNNNNNNNNNNNNNNNNNNNNNNNNNNNNNNNNNNNNNNNNNNNNNNNNNNNNNUAUAUAUGAAGGAAAAAUAGAAAAUAAAUAAUAAUAUAUUGUCAUUCGCUUUGGUUAUUUAAUAAUCUUGUCUUGUUAACAAAUAUCAUUAACAUACUUACAUAUAUGGACAAUUGAAUAUGCAAACGAAUUUAUAGUAAAUUACAUUAAUAGUUGUGUUCAUAAACUGAUUAAGAACACCAUGUGGUUAAUAAUGGGGUUAUCUCUUCAGUAAAAGAAAUUCAAAUUAGGCCUCUACUUUUGAAUGUACUCAAACAGUAAAAUAAUUAAAAAGACUGAGGCUAAUAAUAUCAAACUCUACAUUUUUUUUGGGGGGUGAUUAUGGACUAUGGUGUUUGCUGGAUCAAAAGCUUUUUUUUUUUUCAAAGAUCAGAGAAGUACUUGCUCGUUUGAUCAAAUUCAACCGGCCAUUUAUCAACAUCAAUACUUAAAAAGAAGGAAAAAAUUUUUUUUGUCUCUGUAUUGCUUGUUAAUUUAUUUUGCAACUGUUGGAAUUUGGCAACCAAUUUCUUUUCCUUUUUCUUUUAUUUGUUUGCAGAUAUGAUUAAUAUGUUUAAAGUGUUUCUUCUUCAACUUAUAUCCCUAACCCAUCAAAUUCAUCGAAUGAAGAAGCUGUCCGUGAAUGAAGAAGCUGUCCGUGAUAAUGCAUGAUCGCAGUACUUAUGUUCAUGGAGUGAAAAAUAAUAAUCCUUCUAAAUUUAGCUUUUAGAUUUGGUAAAUUUAGCCCUUAAAUUCAGCUACGAGUAGAAGGAAUUUGAUUGGAUAAUAGCAGUUAAGAUUAUUCAAUUAUAAGAAUAAGAUGUCUUGUAAUCAGACGUCUUUGUCUAUUGAAGUAUUUGGAUUGUGUAAUAUAUAUUGAUAAUAUUUAAAUGUUAUGAAAGGUUUUGAUAUAUAAAUUGAUUUUUGUUCUUAUUUCUCAUAGCCUUUUAAUUCUAUCAACAAAUCAAUGGGCAACAUGUCAUUUUAUAUAAUUAUUUUUUUAAAUAAUAAAUAAAGUAGUGAUACUAUAGUAACAGUAGUCACAAAUACUAAUAUAGUAUUGUAAUAUUUUGAUACCAUGGUGUUAUUAUUUUAGUGAUACUAUAGUAAUAGUAAUCACUGACACCACUUACAAGUGUCACUAUUUUUCUGACUCCCAGAUUACUGACACAAUUAAUAAGUGUCAGUAAAAGUAAUUUCUGACACUAUUCUAAAGUCAGUAAAGACCAUUUUUCUAGUAGUGUGUUAUUAAGGAAGCUCACAUCAGUAGCAUAGACGGUAAAGCAGAGGAUAGCUGCAGCUCCAGCUUACGGUUGAGAGUUGAUGACAUGGCAUGCCAGCUGGCACCUGGUGGUUAUGUAAUCACUUGUACACGUGAUAAUCAGCUGAAGUUGUUAUAGUUAGUUAGAAUUAGCAGUAGUUUGUAAACCAAUCGAGCUGAGCAUCAGCUGUGUAUAUAAACAAUCUCUGUGUGCAUAUUUCAUUCAAUUUUUUUUGUGAUGAAUAAAAUCGAAUGAUCUAGAUGUUUCCAUUUCUUUAAUUUUCUUUCACUUUCUUAGCUUCCAAACAUCCUUAGAUUGAUUUUCAACUUAUGUAAUGUAGAAUAAAAGAAGAUUAGAUAAUGGGGGGCGUAAUGAACAAUUAAAGAUAAGUUAGCACAACUUAUAAUCUGAUUUGAGUUAUGUGAUUAUGCAGGCCAGAUUUUGAUUAUAAAUCUGAACUUUUGUUCAGAUUUGAGUCAUGGGAUUAUGUAGGCCAUGAUUUUGAUUUGUUACAGUGCCCUUUGCCAUCGCCAAGAGUAUAAACCCAAAGAAAAGAAAAAUAAUAAUAAUAAAUAAAUAAAUAAAAUAAAAUUGCUUGAAGCCUUUAUACUUAAUAAAGUAAAAGGCUUUAAAAGAAUUGUCCAACCAAUGCUUUAAAUAAAGACAUGAAAUGAAUAUGGAGCCCUUGUAUUACUAAUACUGUCUUGACCGUGCUUCCUUGAGCAUGCGUGGUCCAAUAAUCAUAUAUUUGAAGGAAAACUUGAAAAAAAAAAUAAAAAAGAGAAAAUUUUUAUGCUAUUUUAUUUUGAACUAAAAAUAUGUUAAUCAUAUAGAAGUUAUUAGGAGCAGAUGUCCCUAUUUUAUAAAAAUCUAAACCUAAACUAUGAUCGUAGAUGUAUAUCAUAAUAUCGCUACCUUGGAUAAUUUAAAAAUGAUGUCUAAGUAAUGAAGUAAUAACGGAGAUAAAAACUGAUCAACUAUAAAAACAGAUCAACUAACAGUCAAAAUUAUGUUGAUAUAUGCCACCUGGAAUAUCAUAUCAUACCAUUAUAUAUAUAUAUAUAUAUAUAUAUAUAUAUAUAUAUAUAUAUUCAGAAAAAUAAAAGUCUAUAAGGGAAUUAGAAAUCUCAUCCAUGAAACUCCAACCAGCCCACUAUUAUUACCAGUACUCGACUAACCUGAUGCAUGUGGAAUAUAAAAUUUAGUUUAGAUGAAUUAAAUUAUGUUGGAUUUCUUUAGGUGUUGAAAACUUGUUUAAUUUUUUCUGUACAUACAAUAAUAUCCUUUCGAAAAUUUAAUUAAGAGUAAUUGCCAGAAUUCAACAAAUCACAUCUAUCUUUAAAUUUUCUUUUAAAAAUACACCUUUGUCUGCGCAUGUGAGUGUUCAAGACAUGAAUUAAUGGACUCUUGAAGUAAUUUAUAUUUACUGUCUCUGCUGUUAAUCUAAAACCAAAAACAAAAUAUUGCCAUGAAUUUAGGGCUUAAAUAAUUAUUGCUGUUUUUAAAGAAUAUGAAGGAAUCAAUAUUUAUAUAACCUACAGAACAUGUGAGCUUAGCAAAAAUGGAGGAACGGUGCGAGAUGAAACGAUUUUUUCAUUAAAACAUCAUGCAAUGCUUUAAAUGGAGAUGCACGUUUGAAAUAAAAAUAAAAUAAAAACAACAUAAAGAAGGAGGAGGGUUGAUUGUAUGGGGAUUUGUGCUUAUAAUUUAGGCUCGCAUAGCUUCCUUUGAUUGAAGAACACACGUGCAAGCAAACUCACAAAUGGUAUUGUGCCACUUAGAAAGAGAAGCACAUCAAUCAUAGAACUUCUUUUUUUUUCUUUUUUUUUUUGUGAAUCAAUUGUGACGGUGGCUUAGUUCGGCCGCGUUUGUUAUAUCAGGAUAGGGACCAAAUCCUUUUGUUUAUUUCUAAUUUUCGAUGUAUAAUGUGUCGCCUUUACCUUUCCCAAGAGACAUAAUUCUACUUUUGGGUUGAUCCGGACCUUUUUCUUUUCUCAUUCCUAAUUUUUAAGCACUUUAACCCUAGUUCACUUUAUGCACAAGUGGAAAUUAACCUCUUUGAAAUUGUGGGUGAGAGAGAUGAUAAUUUUAUUUUUCGAAAUUAAAAUUUGAUUCGACAAAGGUUAUUAAGGAGAAAUAACAAACUUAAAGAGACCGUAACAAAAAAUGACAAAGUGAUACAAGCUCUUAAAAUAAUUAAAAUUAUUUAUUUUAUUUAUUCAAUUUUAUGGUAUUAGUUAAUUUUGAUCUAGUCAAAAGUAGUUACUUGAACUAGUCAAAAGUAGUUACACUUAUUUUGUGGAACUAUAUGUAAGUAGUGGAGCAUUAUGUGAGAACAUUCUUAGUGUUACUAAUUUUUAGGUUGUAAUCUUAAAUAAGCUUUAUUCUACAAAGUUUGAUAUUAUUCAACAAAAAGCAUCAUGAGUUUAUUAUUUUGGCAACAUAAAAGUUGUAAUUGGGAGUUUAUUGGUUUUUCGAAUAACCAAUACUUAUUUGGAGGCUUGGGUUUCCUCGAUUUAAACCCAUUUUGUUGGUAAAUUCGGUGGGUGAAGCAGACACACAGCUAAAGUGAAAUUGAGAAAUAAUGAUCACACAGGGACACCAAAAUUUACGUGAUUCGACUUUUAGCCUACAUCCAUGGGCAAAAAUAGAAGGAAAAUUACAAGUAUUGUAAUGUUUUGUCUCACAACCCAAAACCCAAUUACACCCAAACUCUCAAAAACACUAGAACUAGAGCUCAAAGCUCUAACACUCUUAAUUUACACCUCUUAGCACUCUCACUUGAAUUGGAGAAAAUGGGAUGAAUGGAGAGGACAAAUGAAGCCGCUAAUUAUAGGUCAGGCAAUGCCCAAAAAUCAACAAUGGUGGGCACUAAAAUAAUAUAAAUUUCUCUUAAAUUUCCACUUUGGUGCUUAAGUCAAAAGUUGCAUGCCUCCCACUUACUCAACAAAUUUAUGCCAAGAGUCAAAAGUUGCAUGUUAGCCACAUGCAAUUGUUUGCCACAUGCAUGCACAUGUUCAACACAUUUGUAUCUAAUUUUUCUAUUUCAUUUGAUUUUUUCUUAUAAACAUUAGUGUUUGUAUCAUUUGGUAUAAGAGCUUGGUAAUAAAAAAGGAGUAAAUCCUUACAGUGGAGCAGAGAAUUGAGAGCAUUCAGAUAAUGAUGGAGGGUAUAAUUCUUUAGCAGAAGGAACUUACCAAGAAAUUAUUGUGCAAAAUGGAUGAAAUAUCAAGAACAUGGGAUGCAAGGUUGAACUCAGGUAGCUCUCAUAUCAAACAUGUGAAAGAAAAUUCUACGUCUUUGGUUGAAGUUCAACGUCUCCAACAAAGUGACAAUUUGGCAAAUGCAACGCAUGAUGGAGGUGUUAAACAAUGCAGCAAAGUAGUGCAUCAUUGAAGAAAAUUCCAUAAAUCAACAUUCAAAAGGUUUGUCUUACAAGUCAAAGGUGCAGAGUGUUUAUUUUAAGGACAAAGCCAAAUUGCCUAGCCACCAUGAUGAGAAAUUAUUCAUCGGUAAAGUGCCAAAAAUUGAGAUGAAGAAUAUGGUUGGAUCAAUGGAGGAUUUUCAAAAGAGCUUCAAGGUAUCAUUAUAUCUAAUUAUGAAUUGGAAACGGAAGAGAAAGCAAAUUAUUUAAAAAAAAUCUACCCUUGAGAACAACGGUAUUUUCAAGGGGGAAGGAAUGAUACAAACUCUUAAAAUAAUUAAAAUUAUUUAUUUUAUUUUAUGGUAUUAAUUAAUUUUGAACUAGUCAAAAGUAGUUGCACUUAUUUUGUGGAACUACAGGAAAGUAGCGGAGCAUUAUGUGAGAAAAUUACCUAUUAAUAAACCAUAGGUAAUUUUCCAUUUCUAGGUAAUAUAAAUGUUUGUGAAUAGAAUUUUAUUUUAAUUAAAUGAUAAAUAUUAUCUUAAUCACUAACAAAAAAAAAUAUUAAACAUGCAAAUAUACAUAUUAAUUUAGAUUUAUGUGUAAUAAAUAUUGAAAUAUUAUUUAAACUUCACCAACACAUAUUAACAGUGAUCUCUUUUUAUUAUUUAUAAUUGGAACAAUACAAUUUUAAUUUCUUGGCGUUAUAUUUAUUAAUCUACUAACUUUUUGGUGAGAAAGAAAGACUAUUAUUAAAAAUAAUAUUCAAUUAUGUUAGUAUUAAACAAUAGUUUAAAAAUAUAUAUAAUUUUAGAUAGAUUGUAACUUUUUUUUUAAUCUUUAAAUAGAUUGGUCUGAUAGCCUGUUAAUUUUAAAUUAUUAAAAUUAAAAUAUUUCACUAACUGGCUUCUAAUUUUAUAAGCCAUUGAUUAAAUCCAACAGUUCAUAUUUAUGCGACUAUUAAUACUUAACAGCAUCAUAGCAUGACCCUUGUAUUGUAAUUCUUUUUCUUUUUUCUGAAAGUAACUGAAUUAUUGUUUGACCCACAAUUUUAGAAAAUGCCUAAUAAGAAUAUUGAAAUUCCUGAAUUCUUAAUGACCAUAUCUUCAAAACACAGAUAGUGGUUUUGGGUCGGAAUAGAGCUGGCAAAAUUUGACACAACCCGAUUACCCAACACGAAGAUGACAUAAAUAAAUGGGUAUGGGUCGUCAAAUUUAACACGAUUAUUAAAUGGGUCGGGUCUAGGUCGACACAAUUUUUUUCCGUGUCGGGUUAGGAUUAAAAUUCUUGACCCAUUUACCCGAUCAAUGACCCAAUUAUAUUUUCUAUUUUAAAAUAAUUUACAAGUUCUUGUCAUCAAAACUCAAAUAUUAGAGAUGAUUUUCUCUUUUAUUUUUAUUCUUUAAAAGGAUGAAUAUAAACAUAGUGUUUUAUUUAUAAAAUUUUAAAUACAUUUAGAGAUUCAAUAGUGUAAAUGCGUAAAAUAUUGGUAGACAUAUAUAUUUUAUCAAAUUGAUAUAUAAUAUUAUUUACAUACAUAUAAUUAAAACUUCAAUAGUGUAAAUAUGUAAUAUUUUGGUAGAUAUGUAUAUUUUAUAAUAUCGAUAAAUUAUGUAUGUAUGUAUGUAUGUAUGUAUGUAUGUAUGUAUGUAUGACAGUGUGUAAAUAUUUGAUGUAACUUUUAUUUAAUAUAUAGAUAUUAAGUGGGUUAUUGGGUAACCCAAUUAUUUUUCUGUGUCGAGUUUGGGUCACAAUAUUUUGACACAAUUAUGAAAUGGGUCGGGUUUGGGUCAAGCUAAAUUUAACACGACCGGAAGCUGACAUGACACGAACACGACCCGAUGACCCAUUUUGCCAGCUCUAGGUCGGAAGGCUAAAUUCAUAAAUAAAGUUUCCCUUGUUUCCGAAAAUUUCAAAGUUCAGCUCUAGUUACAUAUGGAAAAUGAAUCCGGAGCGCAGUUCCAUCAACAUCAACUAUUGAUUUUUAAAGAAAAAAAAAGUUGAAAAGCCAUGUGAAAAAAUGAAAAUUUCAAUGAAAGUGGAUAAAAUGCGUUGCGACUAUGGGUUACAUAGCAAGAUACAUCAGUGCUGACGAUUUUUUGCUUUUACUAAAUUGAUGGAAAUAUCAUAAAGUUUCAAAGAAAACAAAUAUGUUUUCUCAUUUUAUCAAGAUUAUUCAGAUGGGAAGAAGUUUCCUAGCCGCAAUUUUCCUACUUUCGAAAUGGAUGUUUGAGAUGAGUUCAACCCCCUUUCUUUUUCUUUUUUUUUUGUUACAAUUUUUAUGCAUAUUACUGUUUUACUUGUUUCAAUUACUCAGAUUAAGCAAACAAUCAAGCCACAUUACUAGGUUAUCAAGAAAGCGUAGUCACCAGUUAGGUCCUUCUUCAUGCCAAAUUCUGCACCGAAAGGACAAAGCUUAGGUCUCAAGUCAAAGACGUGACUUAUUUUAGUCAUUUGCUUUUUGUUAAACAGAAUUUAGGGGAAGUUAAUUAAUCGAUAACAUGUUCACCACAUGGGGAUUUCUUCUACAACUGCUCAACUGAAAAAGGUUUACGACUGUUGACCAAAUGAUUUUUUUAUGCAUUACUAGUCAUUUAAGGAAUUUAGUUUCGCAUAGUACCAUUAAUUGUUAAGAGUUAUUAGCUAACCCACCGGUAACUUCUAUUGAUGGUAUCACCACAAAGUUUGUUUUAUAAUUAGUUAAAUAGGUAUACGAUGAGCUCGAAAGCAAUUUGUUUUUUUAUUUUUCAGAAAAGAUUGUUUUACUAAAAAAAAUGUAAUAUAGAACAAAAGAAGAUUAGACAAUCGGGGGUGUAAUGAACCCUAAUUAAAGAUAGUUACCAUAGAAUUAACUAAUUAAUGAAGUGAUAAAGGAGAUAAAACUGAUCGACUAACAGUCAAAAUUAUGUUGAUAUAUGCUACCAUCCUUAUAAAAGAAAUGGUAUUUAGUACCAUAUCAUACCAUUUCUUAUAUAAUUUGUUUUUAAAAAUAAAAGUCUAUAAUGAAUUAGAAAUCUCACCCAUGAAACUCCAAUUAUCACCCAGUAUUAUUACUCGUACUCGACUAACCACAGUUGCAAACAUUCAAAGUCAGUGGUGUUGUGCCAAGGGAGCCAAACAAUUCCCCCCACCCCCCACCUUUUUGUACAUUAUAAUCAUAGAUCUCACCUUAAUGGUACAUGUGGAAUAUAAAAUUUAGUUUAGAUGAAUUACGAAUCUCAGCCACACAUGUAAAUUGAUAAAUUACUGUGAAUGUUAGUAUAAUUAUUUUAAUAUUAUUAUAAUGUAAAAUAUAUUCUAUUAUUAUUAAAAGAAUAUGACAGAUUAAUAAUGUUAGAAUAAUUUUUCUAACAUUCAAAAUAUUUUAAAAAUUUUAUCUUAUUUUAUAAAUUAUAUGAUUUUAGGUUUAAUUUAUAUUUAUCAUACAUGUUUAUUUAAAGUCAAUUAUUGAGUUGUUGUAAUUAAGUAUAUAAUAGUUCAAAAAGAGUCUAUGUAACAAUUUAUGAUAUUAAGGGGAUAUGUUUGAUCAUUUAACAAUUUUUAAUUUUUUUUAAAGCAACCUUGCUAAAGUGAGAAAUCCAUUAAAUAAAGAAGAAACAGAAAUAUAUUUUAGAGGAUAUAGUGAGCCUUACCUGUUAAAAAGUACCACAUCGUUCUAGAAUAAGAAAAUAUACAUAAAAUAUAAUAGAAAAAAGUACAUUAAUGUAAAAUUACCAUCCUAAAUGAAACAAGCCAAUUAACAGAAUCUAUAAUUGGAGAAGCCAUCAGUCUAUAAAGAAAGAAACUUCCGAAUGACCAUAGGAGGAUCUCCCAAAUUCGCAAGACAAUCAGUAACACUGUAAUUCUUCCUAGAAGUGUGAUAACAUUGGAACAACAUGGGAGAAUAAAUUAAGUUUUGCAGUUGAUCAAGGGGCAGGCGAAGACAAUGAACAACAACCAAAUAGCUACAUUCUAACCAAAGCCAAAAACAAAUUAAUUAUAUAAUCGCUCCCCCCGAUAGGUAUGUAGAGGCUUAUAUACCUUGUGGUUUUAGCUCCACGCUUUAUCUUUAUUGAGUUCGAGCAUUUGGAUCAACCCCAUGCGUGUUAUGGGAGUAGAAUUUGUCAUUAUUGUGAGUAGAUCUUUUCUUCCAUGAAGAAAUUAAAAUUUUAGGUGGAUAGCCAUAAGCUUUCAGAUGGGCACUAACAAAGCAAGUCUUUGACGGACUUCUACUUGUGCGACUUCGAAUAGAUUUCUAUUUGGCCGUUCAACAUAAUCAACAAUUACAGUAAACCCCUGCCCUUAAUGUAAGGUUUUAAAAGGGCAGUGUAAUAAUUUAUAAUUACAUCAACAUCGGGGAAAAACAAGUAAUGAGGUAGGGUUUAUCUCAUUUGGGUGGCCUAAAUCCAAUUUUCAUUCAUUUAAGUAUUUAAAUAAUUAAAGAAAGAUUGAGGGGCUAAGUGAAGUUUUACAAUAAAAUUCGGUUUGUAGAACGUGGCUUUAGAAGAGUAAGUGGAAGCGGCUGAAAAAAAGAGAAAAAGUACAGAAAGAAGAGAGAAGAAAAGGAGCAAGUGGCUGACUAUUACAAUUUUGGGGUAAGAUUUUUAAUUUUUGAUUAGACGAUCAGAAGGCGAAAUUAACUCCGUUUUCUCCCAAAUUUUAAGGGUAAGUUCCUAGCAUCGCCCUCUAUAAUCUUACUGGUCUUGAUUUUUAUUUUAUUCUCUCAUUGGCUAUUAUUUGAGAUACUCACUUAUUAGAGAGACAUAUAUUAAGAUGUUACUGUAAGCCAACAAUAUUGAGAUUUUUUGAUGUUGUUAGUCUCUAGUAUUAUCUAGAGAAGAAUUUUUAUUGUAAUUCCAUUAAUAUAGUGGAAGACUAUCAGACUACGGUCCCGUGAUUUUUCCCACUUUGGGUUUCCACGUAAAAAUUUGUGUCUCUUGUGAUUGAUUUAUUGCUUUGGAUUUUGUUGGUUUAUUUUUCUGCCUAUUUAUUUGUGAUACACAUCCUAUUUUAAUCACAUAAAGAGGGAAAUAGUUUUAUUUUCACUUAAUUUACAAUUGUUUGUGUGAGUCCCUUUCCUAAUAAAGUGUCUCGGAGUUUCAGGUUUUGUAUUUUUAUUACUUGUGUGGUUUAGAUGGAGAAGUCCUUGGUGUGCAAGAUUAAAUUAAAGUCAUAGAAUUAUAGUAUUUGAAAGUCUUGGAUUGAAGAUUUGUUGUACAUGAAAGGCUUACACGAACCCAUUAAAGGCAAAGAAGCUAGACGCACCGAUUUAGAUUAUAAGAAAUGGGCUCAAUUAAACCAGAAAGGUCAUGAGUACUAUUAGAUCAUGGAUUGAUCAGAGUGUGUACCAUCAUGUCGUGAAGGAAUCCAGGGUUGAUGUUCUUUGGAGAAAAUUAGAGAUGAUUUAUGAGCAGCCGAUAGCAUAGAACAAAGCCAAAUUGAUGAAAAUGUUUGUUAAUUUGAAACACAAGAAACGGGGUAGUAUAACUGAACACACUAGCGAGUUUUAGGGCUUGGUUGAUCAGUUGAUUACUAUGAAAAUUAUGAAAAUUAUAUGAGCUAAUGAGUUACAAGGAUUGUUGUUACUUAGUUCUUUACCUGACAGUUGGAAGAUAUUAGUAAUGUUAGUGAAUAAAUCAAAGCUGAAUAGGAAAUUAACCUUGGAUAUAGUUACAGAUAGGCUGCGGAAUGAAGAAUCUAAAAUAAAUUUAAAAAAAGUGUUGAAUGUUGUGCAAAUUUUAUUGAACUCACAACUGCACGAAUCUAUUGUAGAAUAGAUCAACGGUAAUGAGUGUCGAUCCCACAAGGAGGUGGAUUUUAAUUGCGUGCAGAGUUAAUUUUUUAUGUGGGUGGUUGGAUUUGCAUUGAAAGUGAUUUAGACUGUCCUAAAAUUUAAAUUAGAAAGGCGAGAACAACUUACGAUGAAAACUAUUAAAAUGAAGUGCUUGUGUAACAUAUGUGAAUUAAAAAAUGAAUAAAUAAAAAGAAGCCAUUAAGAAGUUAGUAAAAGCAAAAUAAUAAGCUGGAAACAGGGGAACAUAUGCACGUGUGACAGAGUCAGAGAGAAGCUGUCAAUCCGACCCAAAAACCCAACCCGACCGGCGAACGUGACCCGGCCGUAUCUCCCAUUUUCAGCCACCGUCAUUCCCCUGCCAUUCUCGCCGCCGAAAAGCAGCCAGAACGCCGGCAAUCGAAGCUUGAAAACCUGCGAAUGUUUCGCUUUCUUCCGCCGGGAUUUUCGCCGGUUUUGGGUGACACCACCAGUUGGAUUUUGUUCCUCACGACUCCCUCUUCCAUUUCUGACCAUCCAUAGGCAUCGGGAGUCACUGUUUUUCCGUCGGCCAAUUGUUGGAAUUCACGGCUGUCGAGCUAGAUUCCGGUGUCGUUGCCACGCGUUGGAGCUCACCGCCGGUACCAUUGAACUUAGCGUGAUUGGAACUUUCAGACUUGAGCUUCUUAGCCAGUGUUGACUAAAUUCCGAUGAUCGUUGACAGGCAAGGGCAUUUCGGUAAUUUCACACUAUGAGGGCAAUUUUGUAAUUUAUGAGCUUGUGGAUAUUUUAGUAAUUCCUAGAAUUGAGGAUUGUGUGUAAUUAUGAUUCUGAGGGUAAUUCGGUGAUUUAUAAUUUCAGAAUAUUUUAAUGAUUUACGGACUCGAGGGCAUUUUAGUAAUUUUACCGACACGGGAGUUGUGAAUUAUGGAUAGAUGUUCGUUUCGAGUUUAUUGCAUAAAUUAAGUCCUAAUUCCGAUUUACAGAAAAUAAUUAUGUCGUUUCCUUGAUUUAGGAGGAUCCGCGAGCGAGAACCAAUCCGUGGACGUGGACGAUAACCGAGCGUGAACACCGUCACUGUGAGUGGAAUAUAUAAAACUUAUGUUCAUAGUUGAUUAUAAUAGUAAAGCAUGUUUGCGAAAUAAGUAUUUUAAAUGUUCUGAUUUAAUGAUUUCUUCAAAAUGGAUUUUAUUCACGCAUUGGUGUUUUAUUAAAAUGUUUGGUUAAUGAUUUUGCGUAUCGACUUUGAAUAAGCAUGAUAGUAUUUUAAAGAUAAGAAAAGUGGAUUCAAAUGUAGUAUGAUUUAAAGUAUGGUUAAAAGAUAUGCGAAUAUGAGUAUAGUGAUUGUUUUUGAAAUCAUUAGGCAGUACCCUUCCCACCAGAUAGAGUGAUAUAAAUGAGAUGAGAUGAGAGGUUUUUGGGGCCCGUCUGAAUACACAUAGAGGCUUUGGGUCGUGUGUUUGGGCGCUUUUGCCUUUUGGGGGCAUAUGCAUGCGGUAUGAUGAUUACAGAGACACAAAUAUGAGAUACAGACAAAUAUUGAGCUAUAGAUGAUACAUAUGAGAUACAGGCAUUUGCGGCCCGUCUAAGUACAAACAGAGGUUUUGGGUCGUGUGCUUGGGCGCUUUUGUCCUUUGGGGACUAGAUUAUGGAUGCACAUAUAUGAUGAGAUAUGAUGAGAUAUGAGAUGGUAUUUCCCUGUCUAUCCGUGUAGCUCCGGGGCGUGACGGUACCCAGAUAGUACGUCAUUGCCUGUCCGUUGAGGUCCGGAUAUGAUGAGAUUAUUUCCCUGGGUACUUGUUUGUGAUGAUUUUCAUAUUUGUGUAUUUUAUAUGAUAUUGUGAUAUGAUUUCCAUAGUUAUUUAGUACGAUAUUAUAUAUGCUUUUCAUGGUUAGUAAUCUGAUUUAAAUGUUAAAUGAUUUAUUACUGGUUUCUCGCAUAUGGUUUGAUGAAAUCGUGUUUGGAAAUGAUAUGAUUAUUUCUUUUAAAGUAAGAAUUAAUUUUCAAAAACUACUAUCCACUCACUGAGUUUUAAACUCACCCCAUUUUUAUUAUAUUCCCCCCCCCCCACCAGGAGGUUGCAGGUAUACCAGACCGACCUAGCGACUGUAAAUAUAUAUUGAGUCUUGGCCACAUGAUGGUGUUAGAAGAUAUAAAUGUUUUUAUUAUGACAUCUUGGUUAUCUCGUUCUUUUGGGAUUGUAUAAUUUUGUUAUAUUAUUCUUUUGGGAUUAAGAAUUAACUGAGAUAUUAAUAUUAGUUAUAAUAUUAUCUUUUGAUACUCUUGAGAUAUCUUGAGUGAAACUCAUCAUUUUGGUUGAGGAUGUUGAUCACUGGAGUUUGUUGUAUAUUGAAUUAUAUUGGGAGUGCUUGUUUUACAUAUUUUCAGAUUGGGAGUGUUAUAUAUAUAUAUAUAUAGAAGCCUCUGCCGAAUUUUCGGCAGAAUCCUUACUAAUUAGAUUAUUAUCAAGUCCGUUUUGAUGAGACUAGAUUGUCUCACCCGGGGGGAUUCGGGGCGGGUCAUUUCAGCUUGGGUUUAUGGAUCUGCACUCAACAUGCAUCACGGGCUUAAUAUUCUUUAUUAGUGCCAAUUAAAUCAUGAGGGAGGGUUUCCACUCUUCAUGAACCUCACUCCAACAAAUAUGGUGCUAAGUGUUUAUCGUGCCAAAUAGUAAUAACCUUGCAUUGGGAAGACAGUUAUACCAGUGUAAUAUUUAGACAAUAUUAUUAUUAUUUGUUGAUAAAAAGUCAAAUCAUCCACAAAAAUUAAAGGGGAAGAGAAAGUAAAUUUGCCAAAUUAAGCCCAUGGAACAUGUUGAGACUUCAUCUUCAACCCAAGCUUGAAAGAAAAUUAGCUACUCAUAAUUGACCUAGAGGUAAAAUAGAAAUUUAUUAAAAUAUGUAGAAAAUACAAGACAGAGAAGGAAUUAUAGAAAAUGAGCUCAAAAAUGGAUUCAAGGGUGUCAAAUUAGGGGGGAGCCUCCUAUUUAUAGAUACAAUAAGUAAAUCACAGUCAUUGGAUUAAAACAAUUUGGACGCUCAGGAUUGUGACAUGUGACAAAUUCUAAUUGGAUAGAACACAUCAUCAGGGUUGUCAUUCCGUGUAUAUGCAUGUAUCAUACGCACAUUUUUCGGUCCACUAACAUACUGCCACAUCAUCAGUCAAUGCCACAUUAACAUUUUAGUCCAAUAGGAUCGUGAAACAUUAUUGGUCAAGCCACGUCAUCAGUCAACACCACUCAAUGCCACAUCAUUCGUCCAAUCGAAUGUUGCCACGUCAUCGAUCAAUGCCACAUCAUCGGUCAACGUCAACAGUCAAUGCCACGUCAUCAUACUGUAUAUGUGAAUAGUAUUGUGAACAGUACAAUGAAUAGUACCGUAUAUGUGAACAAUGUCGUUUAUCCUUUUAUACUCUUCCUAAGGUUUUUCGACUGUCCUGAGUUCAAAAUUGCUGUCCAUUUUGCUAUCUGAUCUCUCGUUCACUGUGAAAUGACUAUGAUGCCCCCUAAAAUACAUAAAAUACUUUAAUUAUAAUAAAACACACAUAAUUAAAUCACAAGGGACUUAAAUACAUAAAAGUAGAGAUGUUAGAGAGACAUAUAUUAGGCUAUUACUGCAGCCAAGAAUAUUGAGAUUGUUGAUGUUGUUAGCCUUCAAUAUUAUUUAGAGAAAAACUUGUAUUGUAAUCUCAUUAAUAUAGUGGAAGAUUGUAUCGGACUAUGGCCCCAUACUCUUUCUUGCUUUGGGUUUUCCACGUAAAAAUUUGUGUCUUUUGUAGUUGAUUUAUUAUUUUAGAUUCAGUUGAUUGAUUUUUUUUUUGCCUAUUAUUUAUGGUACACAUCCUAUUUUAAUAACACAAAGAGGAAAAGAGUUUUAUUUCCGCUUAAUUUGCAAUUGCUUGUGUGAGUCCUUUUCCCAACAAAUUCUUUAAGAAUUAAACUACUCAGUUCAGUUUCUGAUUGAUGUAGGACGGUUUAGUAGGAUAACCAGGGUAAUUUUCAGAGUCAUAACUUGGGCUACAAUUGUUCAUUUUUUUUUCAUAUAAUAUAUCAUUUCGAAACUUGUGACAAGAUGCCGUCGAACCAAUAAUUUUGUUUCUUUCCCAAUCUUUUUUCAAUUUUAAAAUAUUUUCCUAUUUUUUCUAUUACUUUCAAGAUUUUUAUCUCUUUUCAAAUAUCAUAUUUAAGUGCUUUUUGUUUUGGUUUCCUUAUUUAGAUUACGAGAAUUUUAUUAUAAAAUAAUAUUUCAAAUUUGUCUAUUUCGAUAAAUUAGCGAUAUUCAAGAUUAUUAUAAAAGGGGCCAAAAAAUUUGAUUUUGUUUGUUCAAACUUUUCCUAAUAAAAUUUCGUUAUUCAAAAAUCUAGUUUCUCUUAUCUUUCAAUCUUUAUAUUUCUACAUCGUCAGAGGCCUAUUAACUAAAGACUUUCCUUUAGAGGUAACUCCAUUAUUUUAUGGUAAACUAUAAGCCUCACAAUAUACUUGUGAUUUCUCGAAUUCUACUGUGUGUGCUGGUCAGUACUCGAUCAAUCACUUGCUAUCCGUACCAAACAAAAAUUGUAUUAAACAGGGGAUCCCCAAAAACUUGGCAAUUCACCCAUGCAUGUAGCCCUCGGUACACUAAUAAAAGCAUGAAUAAUUGCAGUCGUUGUCUUUGUGAUGAGUGUACAUUGUGACAUUAACUCGUGUUAACAGUACUUCUAAGCACGUCUGUGUCCAUGGCCCAUUAAUUGGGCUCAUUAUAUAUUAAUAUUAAUUCCUUUAUAUCCUUGUAAGAAUUCAUAUAUAUCGAAAUGAGCGACAUGGCAGCAGUAUCAUGAUUAAAUCCUGAAGAUCAAUCCGCAUUAUUUGUUUUCUUUUUUUCAUUGGGAAAUCUUCGUAGAGGAGCGGAAAUCAGUCUAAAGGAUAGUAUUUUGUGCACGCCUUGACGAAUUUUGUAAUCGUUGGUGGAUGAACAGUGUUGUAAAUAGUAUCUGAUAAACAAUAUCUAUGAACAGUGACAUAAACAGUAUCAAUAGCUAAUACUUAUGGAGUUCUUUUCUAUGUUGAAAUUGAUGUUUCGGCAGGUUUUGAAAUUCAAAGAAGCAAUAUUAAUUCGUAUUUCCAACACCAAAAACUUGGUAAUGCACCAUGCAUGUAGCCCUCGGUAAAUCAAUUAAAGCACGAAUAAUUGCAGCUUUCGUCUGUGCGAUGAGUGUACAUUGAUGACAUUAACUCGUGCUAAAAGUACUUCUAAAUACGUCUGUGGCCAGUGCCCAUGAAUUGGCUCAUUGUAAAUUAAUAUUGAUCCCUUUAUAUCCUUAUGAGAACCAAGAAACAUCAUUUAUUAAAAUGAGCGAUGUGGCAACAUAGCUAACCCAACAAAAUAUGAUAUAAUUAUUUCCUUAAUUUUCUGUUAAAUAGUAAAAACAAUGAACAAUCAUUGAAAUUGAAAUUGAAAUUGAAAUUAAUUGAGGUAAUUACUAUGUUAUUGUAAUUAUUGCAACAUCUCUUGCUGUCGUAAAACAAUGUCUAAAACAUAUAUUAUUGCAACAAUUAAACUUUCUAUUUUAUCAUUCCACGACCAUUUUCAGAAUAAAUAAAAAUUGCUUUCAAUCAUUAAACUCACUUGGCUUGCUGUGCUGUGACUGAUUAACUGGUAAGCUAACUCGCAAAUGAUAUUUUGCCACAUGUCUAUAUUGCGUAAUGGUAUGGGGUCGGGGGUGGGGGUGGCCCGGUGGGGAAACUCUUUUCUUAAAAGUUUAUUCAUUUUUUAUACUAAUCCAUUACAAGCAACAAUUAUGACGGCGAUGUAAUUGAUUAAUUAAUAUGGAAUGCUUUCAGCAGAAAGGAGUGAAAAGCGAUUAAGUAAUGAACAUAUAGAGACUGGAGGGCCUUUUUCUUCUUCUUCAUCCUUUUUUUUUUUCUUUUUUCUCCCUCUUUUGAAACUGUUAUUAUAAUUAAAAAGAACCGCCGAUUACUUCUCCAUUUUUCGCUCCACAUAUGAAGUCCUAGCCUCCGAGUCAUGUUACAGUUUCUAAAAUUUUAAAGAAGUGUUUGUUGUAACUUUUCGCAGAGUGUCACAAUCCUUUUUCUAUUUAUUAAAUAUCUUAAUUGAAUUUGUUACACACAUAUUAUUCUUGCUAAAAAGACCAAAAUAACAAUACAAUAAAAUUGCAUCCAUCACGCCAUGCCCAUUGCCCUGAAAGAGUCAGUAGUACAGACAAAACCCAUAAAACCAGCGAAACUUGAUAGCGUAAUUAAUAAUUUUAACAACAUAUAACAGGGAACUUAGAGGAUAUGCUUAUACAGAUUCAAAUAACGAAAAAGUUUUAAAAAAUUAGAAAAUUAACAAUAAUAACAUGACAGUAAUAUAACAAUGCCACGUAUGUUUGUGAGAAUUUAUACUGGUGGUCUUACUCAGUUAAUAAGAUAUUUAACGAACUAAUAUAUAACUCUUUUAAUAAUUACAGCUUUUUAAUGAUUAGUUGUGUAUAUGCUACAUUCUUUGAUAUAGCAAUUUGAAAUUUAGCUGUUGCCACAAAAUGUUAAUCUCUAGUGAUUUUUUGGCAUGAUGGACAAAAACAAAAUUAUGGAAAGGCUGCAAUUUGAAGCAACGAUCACAAAUAGUUCACAAAUGAAUAGAUUGAUCCACAUGAAUUGAGGAAACAAAAUGUCAAAACGAAGCAUAGGUUGCCAUUUCAAGCUACAAGGGCAAAUAGUUCAGAAAUGUGUUCCACGGGAAUUGCCUGAUCUUGUGCUUAAAGCAAACAUAAGGGCAUAAUUUUAUAUAGCAACCGACAAACUGAAAUUAGAUAAAUACUUUUUCCGUUUUUCCGUUAAUUUAUUAGAACUGCCUUUGAAAUCUCCCAUUAUCAUACAAAGUUACAAACCAUGUAUGUGCACUUGUCCUUUGGUUGCAUCUGUAGCCUUCUGUCAUCAAAUAUAUAUUAUCCAAGUCUCAAGUAAGGGCAUUUAAGUAAAUAAAGUUUGUAUUAGUUAAAGCAAAAAUAAUCUCUCCCAAAAUUCGGCGCUUGCAGCUUGCUUUCACUCAAUUCAAAUCCUAUAAAUGCCCCCAUUAAAUCGUUUCAAAUUCCAUCAACCAAACAUUCAAUCCUCAAACUAUUUAUCUAUUCCUCUCAUUCCUAUCUUCAAAUUAAGUUUUCAAGAAAAUGGCAAAAUCAAUGUCUUUGCGUAUUCUUUUAGUACUAAUAAUCUUGAUUCUCUUCUUUAGUUCAUCUUUAGCAAUUCCAGUGGUCACUUACAAUGUGAUCAGUUUGGGAGCCAAAUCGGAUGGCCGGAGUGACUCAACGAAAGCCUUUCUAGCUUCAUGGGCCAAAGCUUGUGGCUCAACUGCGGCCUCAACCAUUUACGUGCCACCUGGGAGGUACUUGCUGCACAAUGUUGUGUUUCAAGGCCAAUGCAGGAACAAUGACAUUACCACACGUAUUGAUGGGACUCUAGUGGCUCCAUCCGAUUAUCGUGUCAUUGGAGAUGCGGGAAACUGGAUUUUAUUUUAGCAUGUUAAUGGCGUUUAUAUUUAUGGUGGCAUCCUUGAUGGCCAAGGUGCUGGCUUGUGGGCUUGUAAACGAUCAGGCAAUAAUAAUUGCCCUAGCGGUGCCACGGUAAGUUGGAAGAUCGUUGCUUUUAAUUAUAGUCAUAAAUUAAGUGGUUUUUGGUUUUGGUUAUUCUCCUCAGAUUAAAAUAAUUAAUAACGUUCCUUCUUGUGUAAAUGAGCAGACACUGGGCUUUAGCAACUCAAACAACAUUCUGAUUAACGGACUAACAUCCCAAAAUAGCCAGAUGUUUCAUGUUGUCAUCAAUGGAUGUCACAAUGUGAAAGUACAAGGGGUGAGAGUCUCGGCCUCGGGAAACAGCCCUAACACCGAUGGCAUUCAUGUUCAAUUAUCAAGUGAUGUCACAAUUUUGAACGCUAGAAUUGGGACUGGAGAUGACUGUGUAUCAGUUGGCCCUGGCACCACCAAUUUAUGGAUUGAAAACGUUGCUUGUGGCCCUGGCCAUGGCAUCAGGUAGAAAAUAAAGAACAUGCAUGAUGAUUUAUUUAUAGCAUUUUUUUUUAUGUCAUAAUAUUUAGUGCUACUAUUGUGAAUUCGUUGCAGCAUUGGUAGCUUAGGCAAAGAGCUGCAUGAGGCUGGAGUGCAAAAUGUGACAGUAAAAAUUGUGACAUUUACAGGAACUGAAAAUGGAUUGAGGAUUAAGUCCUGGGGAAGACCAAGCACUGGAUUUGCUCGGAACAUUCUUUUCCAACAUGCUCUUAUGAAGAAUGUCGAUAAUCCCAUCGUAAUUGAUCAAAAUUACUGCCCGGACAACAAGAAUUGCCCUGGAAAGGUAUUUUAUUUAUCACAAGUUUAUAUGUGAGAAUGUUAGACGUUUAUGUGAAUAAAAUUUAAAUUAAUAAUUAUAUUUUUUAUAUUCAACAGUCAUCAGGGAUUAAAAUCAGUGAUGUAACAUACCAAGAUAUUCAUGGAGCAUCUGCAACGAAAAUUGCUGUAAGGUUUGAUUGUAGUCCAAAGUAUCCAUGCUCUGGCAUAAACUUGGAGGAUGUGAAGCUCAUUUACAAGAAUCAACCAGCUGAAGCAUCGUGUAGGAAUGCUGAUGGAUCGGCCUCUGGUUUUGUUCAGCCAAAUAGUUGCUUGAAAUUGUGAAAAAUAAAAUUAAUUCUUGCGUUAAAUUGCGUUUUUUUUUUUUUUCAUUUCCUUUUUAAUGAGCCUAGGAAUGUUCCAUGGGCCUAUCUGAGAAAACCCAUUGGGCUUCUUGGAGGAUGCUUAUACUAAUUGCCGUAUAAGACAAAAUCAAAACUUCACUCCUUUGUACUCAAAGAAAUGCAGUCAUAUGUUUUGGGUAACUAAUGUUUGAUCCGAAAUUCUGCCUAUUGAAACUAUUAAAAUUAUCAUUUCCUAUUAAAAUCAAAUUUGAAAUCGGGAGACGGCCUUUCACCCACCCACUCUGUUUGGGCGAUAGCCCAUUGCCCGGAUUGAGAGAUGGCUAUCGCCCAACCAUCGCUCAAAAAAAAUAAAAAAUUAAUGAAUUCGAUUUAAUGGAGUUUAUGGUAAAAAUUAGUUUUCAUCUUAUUGUCUAGUCUAAUAUAUAAUUUUACUUUUGUAUGUUAAUUUUUUUUAAUCGUAAAGUUAAAUGAUUAAAUAAUAAGUAACGUCGUGGUGAAUAUGAAAAGUAUUAAAGAUCAAAAGAAAUUCUCCUUUCCAAUCAAUAUCCUUUUUCUUUUAUCUUAGUAAUAUAUCAUUCAUUCAUCAUAUACAUGGGUAUGAUCGAAUAAGAAAUUAAUAUGAAACAACUGUCCAAAAUGAUAGGUAGCAUAUAAUUUAAACUGCAAGAUAUUUGAGAAGUGUAGUAAAUAUCUAAGAAUUAUGUAUCCUUCAGUGGCACAUAAUUUAAUUACUUAUUUAAGAAUUUAGAAGUAAUGUAUGUUUGGUAAAAUAGUAUUUAAAAAAUAAGCACAAUUAAAAUCAGCGUACUGGAUUUAAAUUUCAUGCAAACAGAGAAAUCUAAGAUCUAUCUAAGAAUUUGUUUUUUAACUAAAGUUACUAAUUAAGUAAACCAACAAUUGUUUUAUUUUUAAUACAUAGUUUAAUAAUUAUUAAAGUAAAUAAUAUGUUUUCUUAAUCUAGUUUCUCCACCGUUUCUCAUUUUCUCCGGACUCUUCAAUUCUCCCUCUUUUGCUUCAGUGUGAAAAAAUGCGGUCAUACUUUAGUCAAGAUUAGGUGGCAAGCUAGCAGUUAUCAAGCACAAGUAAAACAACGUACUAUACUAGACCAUGAAAAAUGAAACAGAAACAACAACAACAACAAUAAUAAUAAGGGUUUCUCUAUGAUGCUGUAAUUUUUUUACAGCAUCAAUAAUAUUUUUAAUUGUAUAUCAUUGGAUUUAAUCAAUGGUACACAAUAUUUGUAGUAAAAAAAUAAAAAUAAAAAUAAAAAUAAUGGUAACGGUUAACAAACGUGCAAGGGGUGGAGAAUUUUAUAAAAUAACUAUGACCACCCUUAGAGUUUGAAACAAUUUUACUUAAAUAGCAUAUUGUAUUUAAAAUUAAUUUUCAAUCCUCCUUUAAAUUUGAAAUGUGAUAAUCUUUUUUAAAUAAAUCUUCCAAAAUUUAUUACCAUUAAGUAUAAAAUAUAAUGGUAGGUUAUUUAACAUAAAUCAAAUAAAUAAGUUGCAAUUACAAAAUUUAUAUAUGAUAUAAUAGUAAUAAAUAACACAACUAAGUACAUAUACUUAAGUAAAUGUUAUAGUUACAUCAAUAAACUCAUUAUUGAGAUUGCUUGUAACAUAAAAAUUACUUGAUCACACAUGUUUUAAUAAAAUUUAAUAUCGUAUAUUAAAAUACUCAUUAUGUUAUAUAAUAUUAAGGGUCAUUGUAUAAUUGAUCAUGAAGUAUGUAUUAUUUUUAACACCCAUUUAACAUACUUAUUCUCUGAACUUUAUAUUUAUUUUACAAUUAAUAUCCUUACAUGGUAGGAAUUUUAAGUUUUAUAAGCCUAUAUAUUUUCAUUUUAUUUUCAAAUAUCACUUUGUUAAUUUCAUAAAAGUUAAAUCUAAUAUAUAUUCCUAAUGAGAUUUAGUUGAUGAAUCGUGAAAAAUUAUUUUAUUGAUAUCCUUUGAUUGUAAUUAUAAAAUUUUAUGUUAUUAAGAGUCAUUACUUUUGUUAUGAUAAUUAAUAGUGACAAUAAAUAAAAUAUUGCCUCCAAUAAUAUUUACGUGGGAAAAAAAUGAAAGAAAAUCAUUUGUAUUUUUAGAUUUUUAUUGACAUGGUAGGAAAUUAUCUUAGCCUUAUAAAAUUUAACUUUCACAAGCUUGUUUUCAUUUUAUUUUCAAAUGUCACUUUGUUAAUUUCAUAAAAGUUAAAUCUAACAUAUAUUCCUAAUUAACUUUAGUUUAUGAAUCAUUAAAGAUUAUUUUAUUGUUAUUCUUUGAUAGUAAUUAUAAAAUUUUUAUGCUACGAAGAGUCAUUACUUUUAUUAUGAUAAUUAAUAGUGACAAUAAAUAAAAUAUUACAUCAAAUAAUAUUUAAUGGACAAAAUGAGGAAAAAAAAUCAUUGUAUGUUUUUAUAUUUACAUUAUAAAGAUAUGGUUUGAGAUACUUUAACUUAAAAUUUUAGCACAAUAGUUGAGCCACUAAUAUCUCAUAGUCUAAUGGUUGAUAUUGAAAGUCAAAGCAACAUUUCAUAAUGUUAUAUCCUCCACCAUUGAAUUGCAUGAAAUAAAUAGUUUAAUUUUUUGAUAAAAAUUUAAAUCAAAGUAUUUCUCACUCUAUAGUUAUAUAGACAUAUAUAUUUUUCAAUAAUAAUUGGUGAAUAAAAUAUUUCUUAUUUGUUGUGACUCAUAUAGUAUUAUUAAUAAAACACAUAUAAAAUAGUUUAUUGCAAUGCUUUCUAUUAUCAUUAUUGUUUAGGCAUUAAUGGUUUGUAAUUAAAUUCAUACAUACAAUUAUUACAAGACUUUGUGUUAAUAACCUACUUGAUAUUAUAUUUUAUACUUAAUGGUAACUGAUUUUGAAGAUUUAUUUAAAGAGAUUAUCAUAUUNNNNNNNNNNNNNNNNNNNNNNNNNNNNNNNNNNNNNNNNNNNNNNNNNNNNNNNNNNNNNNNNNNNNNNNNNNNNNNNNNNNNNNNNNNNNNNNNNNNNUCUGCUAUCUGCGUUCACGCACAAAGAAAAAACUCUUCAUCUCACCAUUUUCAUCUCUUUGCAUCUCACCAGUUCCGCAUCUCAGUUACCAUAAGGAAGAAGUUAGAUCUAGAUCUAUAAACAGAGAUUUUGAUAAAAUUAGUACUGAUUAAUUAGUAAGUUAGUGACUCUCACUAUAUUCAAAUAAAAUUUUUAUUGUGUUCUAUAUAUUUAAAUGAUUAGAAUAUUUAAUUUAAAUUGUAAAAAUUCGUAAAUUUUUAUUUUUUAUAUAUUUAAAUUGUUAUGAAUUGUUAUGAUUUUUUUAAUUUAAAUGGUUGUUAAAUAAUGGAAUAGAUUAUAACAAUUUCUGAAUGUGUUUUAUGAACUUUAAAUUUUUAAAAUUAUGUUAGAUUUGACUUUAAAUCUUUGAAAUUGUAGUGAUGGAAUAAUAUUUUGUGUUAAAUUAAAUUUUUAAUUUUUGAAAUUAUGUUAGAUUUGUUUAAUUUUGUCCGCUUGCAAUUUAUUUGUUCACGCUAUCAUGAAGUGAUAUUAUAUAGGCAUCGAUGGUUUUUUAAUUAUUACAAAAUAUUAUUUUUUAAUUAUUUAACAAAAAUUGAUACAAAAUAUUAAUUUUGUAUGACUGAGAGAUACAUAGGGUUAAACAGGACGAGUAGAGAAAGGAACGAAUGAAAAAUAAGUGGAAUGAACAAAGUAAUUAACGAGAAUGAAUAGAGGGGACAAAGUGGAGAACGAGUAGUUGAGGAUGAGAAUAAGUGGAUCAGAUUUUAAAUAAUAAAGAUAUUUAAAAAUUUUUCAUUUUUUAUUAUAAUAUUUGUUGUCGGUCCCACAAAAAAAUUGGAUGAGAGCAGGCGUGAAAGAGCAUUUUUUUUCAUUUUUAUUCUUUAUUUUAAUAAUUGUUAUCGGUCCCACAAAAAAAGAAAAUUGAAUGAGGAAAGGCGUGAAACGGCAGCCAAUUUCUGUCGUCCCAUCGUCGUGCUUUCGUCUAUUUACCAUUUCUCGACAUUAUUUACAAAUUGUUCUUAUGUUUCACAGAAAAAUGAAACACUGUUCAUCAUACAAAAUUGCAUGACCGAAUCUUCAAUUUUUAUAAUUAUAAAAUAAUGGAUUAUGUGUAUGUUAAUGUUACGGAUAUGAUCAGAUCAUCAUAUAAGUUACUAGACGCAUUAACAAGAACAAGAUCUAAUGAGCUAAAAGUUUUUUUUUUAAAUUAAAUAAAUAAAGAGUAAAAGUAAAAAAAAAUGUUAUUUGCAAUCACUAAAAUGAAAACAGAGGAGCCCUGUUUUUCCUCUCGUUUCUCUUUCUCUCUUUUUCAAGUAGUAGAAAAUGAUAACAGAGUUUGAGAGCUCACUGCUUUCAUUAGUUGGAAAGUGUCGCCUAAAACACUUCCUCUGCUAGGUGGAAUUGUUGGCUUGAAGAGAAGAGUUCUUGUUACAAGCACAAAUUUUAGCUGUACAUUAUUUCCUUUUAAAUGCACCAUUGUUGCACAGAUUUGAACCCUAUGAUCAUUAGUUUUUUGUUUUGAUUUGGUUAGUUCGUGAUGACAAAUAAAUUAUUUUCAUCACAUUAUGGUAAAAAGUUGCCCUCUUUGUUACUUCCACAGCUAUUUAGUUUAAUAUUUUGUAAUAAGAUCACAAAGUGCAUGGGACCUAUUGUUCGGGUACUUAGCCUAAAAUGAAGAUCUAUUAAAAAUUUCCCUGAUGUCAUGAUAUAAAACAAUAAAAGGUACCAACUUCAGCUUAAAUUCAUAUAAAAUUAAACCUUACCACAUACUGUAUUGAAACAAAUUACUCAUCUUUAUUGGUAACAUCAUCACCUUCAUAAAAUAUAUGGUAUCGUACAAAGUUCUUGCGCUGGGUUCGGGCAUCUAACAACGAGGACACAGCAACCUAUUCGCUAGGUUAGAGACCAAAGAGCCAACAGCAAAUGUGCACGACGCAUGUCACUAUCAUGAAAACAACAUUCUUUUUCUUUUUUUUUUUCUCCUCAAUAAUUUCAGAUAUAAUAUUUUAACUAAGUUUGUAACACUGUUGAUUGAAAUUAUCAAGUACGAAUGUGUGUAGAUUUUAACAUGUGCACUCAUAAUUAUUAUUGUGCAGUUUUAGACUUAGUUGGGUAUUGAGGUGCUAAAACUUUUGCCGUAAGAAAAAAAAGUUUUAAGUAUAAAAUAAAAUUUAAUAGUAUCUAAUAAAUUUAGUUUUUUAAUAAUAUGUUGAGUACAUAAAAGCCCCAGGUCGGCCAUGCUACUAUUUUCACCCCGGCAUGGAUCACCUCAGCCAAAUGGUAUGAGCAGAACGCGGGAUAAACACGAGCCAACCAGAGACGAGUACCGGCCAGGGUAAUGUACCGACCAGAAUCAUAUACCGAGCCGACACCAAUUCCCCAAAAAAGCGGGAACACGAUCCCACAGAAUCACGGUAGUUGCGCUUUUCCCAGAACCGUUGUGGGAGAUGCGAGAUCCCACGUUUGCCCACAAUGUAGCAGUUAAAAUCCCAUGAGAGGCUACCACUACCCGAGAAAGGGGGGGAUGAAGGGUGAGUGAAAACGUGGGACAGCGGCUAUAAAAGAAGAAGAAACCAAUUAAGAAGGGGAGAGAAAAAUUGAGAGAGGGAAAACGCUGCCAAAUUGCAAUCAUGCCAUUUUCUGACAAGACUCCGAAUAAUUUAGAAACCAUUUUUAGAUCUAAAUUGCACUGUUUUCCCGUAAACACCUUGAGCUAACUUAGGCAUUGGAGGGUUUUCGCCGGCAAAACCACCGGCGACUCUGAUCCGUUUUUGGUGAACGCAGGUCUAGUAAGAGAAAGGAGGGUGAUUCCAACCUCAGAGGUUCGAGCAACAGUCGAUAACGUAAACGUUGGUGAAAGAAUCUGGUCGGUCAAAAGGCGAGCAGAUUUAAGCAUCAACAUUUUGGCGCCGUCUGUGGGGAGCUGGAUAAAAAGCUACCACCGAAUUAGUAGUUACCGGAGAAACAACGAACGAUUAGACAUGGAUUUGCCAAGGAAGGACGCUUUGAGGGAGGAUAACGAAUCGGGGGAGACAAGAACCCUUCGGGAAAUUGCAAAUGAAGCCCGAGAGAGGGUGAUGCAAGAUCGAUUGGAAUAGAUGGAGAAGCAAAUGGAGACUCUCGCUACCAUACUGAAUGAGCUGAGAGAUGAGCGGAGAAGGGAUUGCGAAAUCCCCGUGGGGAGAGAUGAUGUGGGAGCAGAACCCAACCUCCGGAGGCGUAGAGUCGAGGAGAUCCCUUCGCCGGUGGACCAACCUUAUGGGGUGCAUCCCCACAGAAGCACUGGUUGAGUUCCUGGAGAACAAAUAGAUGAAGGGAGGAACCAACCUCGCCCCAGGCGAGUACUGGAAGCUGAUGGCCGAGGAGCCAUUGCUGAUGAAGGAGAGUUAAGACAGCGGUUGCAGAAUGUCGAGCAGGAGCGAGAUCAGAUAGCUGCACGUGAUCCUGACCGUGAUGUAGAAUUGGAGGGAGAGGUGCGCAGAUUAGCGCAAGUGAUAAAGGAGAUACAGGGUAAGAGGAAGCCCCCGAGCUGGAGGAUAAUGCUAGAUGAAGAAUCUCCACUAUCAACUGAGAUCGUGGGUACCAUAAUCCCAAGAGAUUUCCGCUUCCCCGACCUCAAAUACUCCGAGCGAAGUGACCCGCUGGUGCACAUUGAGCGUUUCAACGACAUGAUAGGUGUGCAGGGGCUGACACCAGCUCAGAGGUGCAGGGUGUUCCCGUUGACAUUAGAGGGACGAGCCCGAGAAUGGUACCGCAAGCUGCCCCGAGGAAGUAUAAAGGGGUAUGAGCAGAUGUGCCAGGAGUUGGCCGAGUAGUUCCGAGGGGCAGUGGCCCCAGAGGACGACAUGAUGGAACUGAUGAGGAUGAAACAGGAGGAGCAUGAAUCCCUUCGAGAUUUUAUAAAACGAUAUCACCGAGCCGUGCUGGAUCUGGGAGCUUUUAAUCACCCGCAGGCGUUGAGGGGAUUAAAAGAAGGUGUAAGAAUCGGCCGACUGUGGUAUAACUUAAGAAGCCCCUUUGUACAGAAUUACUCAUCAAGGUAUGAGCAGGCGAGGCAAGAUAUAGAAAUCGAAGAGGAGAAAUCGGCAAGAAUAAAAAGUGAACAGUUGGACGAGCUGAGGCGAAAGGAAUGGAGAGCCCCGACCGGGAGCGGGUCGGGAAAACGAGCUGGAGAAUCUUCAGUGAUGGGCGGAAUAUCGGCUCGGUCCCGCCCUUACCCCAUAGCUCCGAGAUCACAGCAGUUCCAGCACAACCGGGCUCAACCUCCGCGUCCCCCAUUUCCGGAUCGGCAACGAGAAUUCCGGCAGAUGGCUGCCCACCCCUAUCACAACACUCCCAGAGCAUUCUAUGCAACCAAUUCCAGGACUAGUUGACCAGAUCAGUUAGCGACUGUGCCAGCCCGAGGUGAAAUUCAUGAUAGUCGAACAGUUCAGCUGGUAGACCAGAGCUUGGCGUAUAGACAGUAUACUCCAUUAAAGAUCUCCAUGGAGGAAUUGUAUGAGAGGAUCGAGGGACGAGGCCUGCUGUACCCUCCAGCCCCUAUAACAAAACCGGCUCACCGACGGGAUAAGAGCAAAUUCUGCAAAUUCCACGACACUCAUGGUCACACUAUCAGCUAAUGUCGUGACCUGAAAAUUCAGGUGGAGGAUUUGGUGAGAAACCGUUAUUUGGACGAAUAUGUAGAUGGAAUGUCCCCCGUCACUGAAUCACAAUACACGUGGGAUGAAGAGGCUGAGAUGGGCCUGGAACGUGAACAGCUGACUAUCCGUGUAAUAGCAGGGGGGCCAACAUUGGCUGGGGAUUCGAACAGGGCACGGAAGAACUAUGGGAGAUAUGCCCUGACUAGCAAAGAAGUGCUUUUCAAUUUGCCGGCAACCAAGAAGGCAAAAGUGCGGCAAGUUCCCAUUAUGUGGACAGAUGACGAUGAAGAGGGUAUCUUAUAUCCGCAUGAGGAUGCAUUGGUGAUCAAGGCAAUGGUGGCUGGUGCAGAAUUGCGACAAAUACUAGUAGACACAAGCAGCUCGGUUGACAUCCUGUUUAAGUCGGCUCUAGAUGAUAUGGGGAUUGCAGACUUGAAAUUGGAGCGGACAAAUACAUCUUUAAAGGGAUUUGGAGGGGGACGGUUAACUCCCAUGGGGAUCAUCGAACUCCCAAUUACUAUGGGGACGAAGCCAUUUGAAAGAACAAUGAUGCUGGAUUUUGUCGUGGUAGAGGAAAGAAGCCCUUACCAGAUGAUACUGGGGAGACCAUUCAUGAGGAUAAGCCAAUGCGUUGUAUCCACGCAUUACUUGGCACUGAAAUACAGAGUAAAUGGGGUGGUUGGCGUAGUAAAAGGCGACAAGAGGAUGGCAAGGAGUUGUUAUGCUACAGCGGCCAAGGAGACACUGCAGGUUACUUCUCUAGAUAAUCGAGGAGAGUCCAAAAAGGGCUGCCAAGAGCCUGUUGAGAAACUGGAGGAAGUUGCGGUAAGCAAAAGCAACCUGAGCAGAGUAGUGAAGAUCGGGUCAGGAUUGGUUGGGGCAGUAAAAGGCGAGCUGAUAAAUUGCUUACAGUCUCAUGCGGAUAUAUUCGCCUGAUCUCAUGAAGAUAUGCCCGGAAUUGAUCGCGGGGUAGCUUGCCACAAGUUGGCAAUCAAGAAGGGGGCAAGGCCGGUGAGACAGAAGAGGAGAUGCUUCAACCAGGAAAGGUACGAGGCCAUAAACGCCGAGGUGGAGAAGCUGUUGAAAGCAGGAUUUAUAAGGGAAGCCAAGUACCCAGAAUGGAUUUCAAAUGUAGUCCUGGUAAAAAAGGCCAACGGGAAGUGGAGAAUGUGUGUGGACUUCACGGACCUCAAUAAGGCAUGCCCAAAGGACAGCUUUUCCCUACCCAAAAUAGAUCAGCUGGUGGACUCAACAGUAGGUCACAGUCUGCUCAGUUUCAUGGAUGCCUUUUCUGGAUACAACCAGAUACCCAUGGAUGAGCAGGAUGAGGAAAGCACUGCCUUUAUAACUAACAUGGGUUUGUUUUGCUACAGGGUAAUGCCUUUCGGCCUAAAAAAUGCAGGAGCCGCCUAUCAAAGGUUGGUAAACAAGAUCUUCAAACCGCUGAUUGGACACACUAUGGAGGUAUAUGUGGAUGAUAUGAUUACAAAGUCCAAAGAGCCGAGGGAUCAUGUGAAGCAUCUAGAAAAGACCUUUGAAUUACUGAGGAAGUAUGAGAUGAAACUAAACCCGGAGAAAUGUGCAUUUGGGGUCAGCUCGGGCAAAUUUCUGGGAUUCCUGGUAAGCCACCGAGGGAUUGAGGCCAACCCCGAAAAAAUACGAGCGGUUACAGAUAUGAGAUCUCCGCAGACAGUUAAAGAGGUGCAGAGCCUUACAGGGAAGUUGGCAGCAUUGAACCGAUUCAACUCGAGGGCCACAGAUAAAUGCCACCCUUUCUUCCAAAUCAUAAAGAAAGGGAGAAAGAUGGAAUGGACAUCAGAGUGCGAGGAAGCAUUUGGGCAGCUGAAGGAAUAUCUGGCCUGUGCACCGUUACUGUCAACUCCGAGAGAGGGUGACCAGCUGCUUUUGUACUUGGCAAUCUCCAAGCGGGCUACCAGCUCGGUUUUAGUCAGGGAAGAAUAAGGGAAGCAACACCCGGUAUACUACACGAGCAAGGCCCUGGUGGACGCAGAAACCAGAUAUCCACUAAUGGAGAAGUGGGCGCUGGCUCUGAUAACGGCAGCACGCAAACUCCGACCAUAUUUCCAAGCCCACCAGAUCGUUGUGAUGACUGACCAGCCCCUUCGGCAAGUGCUUCAAAAACCAGAUGCGUCUGGUCGGUUAGUAAAAUGGUCCGUGGAGCUGAGCAAAUUUGACCUGUCCUACAGGCCCCGAGGAGCAAUCAAGGCCCAAAGCCUGGUAGAAUUUAUGGUAGACCGAGCUGAGCCAGGGGAAGGAGAUCGGGAGGAGCAACCGUUAGAGCAGGAGAAAACAAAGGGGAUGUGGUUGGUAAUGGUUGACGGAUCAUGUAGUGAGCAAGGAUCCGGAGCAGGGGUUGUAAUACGGAGCCCAGAAGGAUCCGAAAUAACGUAUGCAGUGAAGUUCGAAUUUCAGCUCGCAAACAACCAAGCUGAAUACGAAGCCUUUAUCACCGGGCUCGGACUCGCACACGCCUUAAAAGCGGAGAGGGUAGAAAUUCGAGCAGAUUCCCAAUUGGUAUGUAAUCAGCUCAAUGAUCAGUUCCAAGCAAGGGGAGAGAAGAUGGGCCUUUAUUUGAAGAAGGCGAAGCAGAUGGUCGGGCUUUUCCAAGAGGUGGAGGUAAAGCAGAUAUCCCGGAAUGAGAAUUACCGAGCGGAUAUGUUGGCUAGGAUGGCUGCAAUUGCAGACCCGAAAUUACCUAAGUCGGUUCCACUAGAGGUAAGGACCUCACCGAGCAUAGGGGAGGAAGUGGAGGUGAUGAGAGUAAGCACUAGAGAAUCCUGGAUGGACCCGAUUCACGCGUAUGUCCGCGACGGAGUUUUGCCUGAGGACAAAAGGCAAGCGAGAAAGUUAAAAUGCCGAGCAGCGAGGUACACGCUACUAGAUGAAGUGCUGUACCGCCGAGGGUUCACCUUGCCCCUUUUGCGAUGUGUGGAUGAUGAGGAGGCAGAUUAUGUACUAAGGGAGAUUCAUGAAGGAAUUUGCGGCAAUCACUCGGGAGCAAGAACUUUAGCCUUCAAGGCACUCCGGCAAGGGUACUUCUGGCCAACCAUGCACCAGGAUGCAAAAAAGAUGGCAAAAAACUGUAAAACGUGCCAAAGCUUCUCUGAGGUCCCCACACAACCCCCAGAAAAGCUGACCACUAUGACAUCCCCAUGGCCUUUUGCACAAUGGGGAAUCGACCUGAUUGGUCCGUUACCGAAAGGCCGAGGAGCGGCAACCCAUGCAAUUGUAGCAGUAGACUACUUCACCAAGUGGAUAGAGGUGGGGGUCCUUAGCCAAAUCACGGAGAGAAAGACAACGGAUUUUAUCUGGAAGAAUAUCAUCUGCAGAUACGGAAUCCCUUAUACCAUCAUCACCGAUAAUGGGAGGCAGUUUGACAACAACAACUUCAGAGAGUUUUGCCGAAACCUAGGGGUAGACCUGAAGUUCUUCACCCCCGCACACCCUCAGGCAAACGGACAAGUGGAAGCAGCCAACAAAGUGGUAAAGAAACUCCUGAAGACUAGACUGGGAGAGAAGAAAGGAGCUUGGGUCGAUGAGCUACCAGGGGUAUUGUGGGCUUACCGGACAACUCACAAAACCGCUACAGGGGAAACCCCGUUUGCCUUAGCUUUUGGUCAUGAGGCGGUAGUCCCCGCAGAAAUUGGAGUAGGAACACAUCGGACGGAAUACUUCAAUGAGGAGCAAAAUGGAGAGCAGAUCUGCUUGAGCCUGGACUUGCUGGAGGAGAAAAGGGAAGGGGCUUCGCAGAAAGUGGCCCAGUGUCAGCAAAGGGUCACGCGUUAUUACAACAAGAACGUACGCGUGAGGCAGUUCCGAACAGAAGAUUGGGUGCUCAGGAAGGUGAGCCAAAACACUAGGGAUCCCAACCAUGGAGCUCUUGGUCCGAAAUGGGAAGGCCCGUACAGGGUGAUAUGAGCAACUGGACCAGGAGCCUACAAGCUGGCGUAUCCAGACGGACGAGAGGUGAAGAGGUCGUGGAACGCCGAGCACUUGAAAAAGUACUUCCAGUAAGCAAAGUGCUCUAAUAGUUUUCAUUUUGACAAGUUAUUUCUGUUAUGAGCACGGUGAUUUGUGACACACACAUAUAUCCCACAUUUCUGUAACGCAUUCGAAAUUCAAUAAAGAUGAAUUCAGUAUGGAACCUUUCUGCUAACAAGCUCAUUAAAUGUUUACUAAGGCAAGUAAAUGCCUGUUUCUGCUCGGUCAACGAAAGACUAGCAGCUAAUCUACGAAAAUUCUACUAAGGCAAGUAAAUGCCUGCUUCUGCUCGGUCCACGAAAGACGAGCAGCUAAUCUACGAAAAUUCUACUAAGGCAAGUAAAUGUCUGCUUCUGCUCGGUCAAUGAAAGACCAACAGCUAAUCUACGAAAAAUCUACUAAGGCAAGUGAGUGCCUGCUUCUACUCGGUCAACGAAAGACCAGCAGCUAAUCUACGAAGGCAAGUGAGUGCCUGCUUCUGCUCGGUCAACAAAAGACCAGCAGCUAAUCCUACGAAAAUCCUACUAAGGCAUGUAAGUGCCUACUUCUGCUUAGUCAACGAAAGACCAGCAGCUAAAUUUAUGAGACUUUUACUAAGGCAAAUAUGUGUCUGCUCCUGCUCAGUCACCGAAGACCAGCAGGCAAUUUUGCAAAAAUUUUUACUAAGGCAAACGGAUGCCUAUUCCUGUUCGAUGCACUAAAGAACCAACAGGCAAAACCGGACAAGAAAGCCAAUAGAGAGCAUUUAAAAUUUUUUAUAAACGUUCAAAUGUUUACAAAGCAAAUGAAAAACUAGAGUCUUUACAAAAAUAGACCUAAGGAUUAGGAGGAUCAACGGCCUCAGUAGGUGAAGGGUCAGCUAUCUCGGGAGGUGGAAGAUUAGCAAUAUCGGGAGGAGGAGGCACGGACCCCUGCCCCACUUCAAAAACACGCUGCCCAGCUUCUCCCUCCUGCACCCCAUUCAAAGGAACCUCCACCUGCUCCUGCUCAUCCUGCUCCUUAUCUCCCUGGCCGGCCCCAGCCAUAUACCUCUCCACCCCAGAUUCCAGCUUGCUCAUGUCGAGCUCGGGGUAUUCUUCCUUGAGCAUAGACAUGAUGCACUUAUAGCUGAAAGCAACCCCGGAGUUAUACUCAGCAUCCAACCGAUCAUCCACAUCAGCGGAUUUGCCUUUCUCUUCAGCCAGCUGGUCACUCAGGGAUUUGAUCUCUCCCUCAAGGGCGGUCCUUAGAGUAUCUCUUUCACUUUAAGUAGCCUGAAGAUCGGACUUCAAAUCACCCAACUCACCCUCAAGCUUGGAGGAAAUAGACUCAGUAACCGCAACUUUCUCUUCAAGCUCUGUAAGCUGCUUGUUCAGCUCGGCCAGCUUCUCCUUGGACCGAUCAGCAGAUUCGGCUUUCUUUUUCAAUUCCUGGUUAUCAGCUUGAAGUUUCCUCUCAUGACGCGCGGACCCGGACUUGUAGCACGAGACCAUUGUGGCCAGCCUGAAGGAGACUCUUUGAACAGAAGCAGCUAACUUGGAGAGGUUCAUGCUCUCGAUGUCCUUCACCAUCUUGGGCCCAACCGAUUUUUUAUAAUCUUUCUGAUAUGGGCUCAGGUAGUCACCUUGAUCCCGAGAUGGAAGAGGAGAAGAUCGGUCCCCAGACUGCAAGCUGACCUCAGGACUCUUGUCAGAGGUUUUCUCCCCACCACUCUUACGGGGUGGGGGAGGGGGCAGAGCAGGGACAGGAGCCUUGGAGGGGCCGACACUGGUCUUCUUUGGAGGAGGAGGAGGGUUGCUGGAGUUGCUUGGAGCUCGACCACGCUUUCGGGACAGAGCGCUAAGAAUCUUGUUAUCCAUUCCGGCAGCUAUGUCCACCAAACCCGAACCAACCAGGGCUGUCGGUGACAGGAGAUCUUGGCAGGUAGAUGCGUUCACCAGAGCAGUUUCCACCUGGAGUAGAGGUCGGUCUUCAAGCCCCUUUAUCAAACCCCACGACUCUGAAAGAACAAACAAGGUUAAAGAACCCAAUAAGUAACAAGUCGAGAAAGAGUAUAGGCAAAAAAUGAACGACUUGGGGUGACAAAAUGUGUUGGAAGGUAAAUAUCACCACCCAACGAAUGAGCUACUGGACACCAAGCUCCCCCAGCAAAGAAGAAUUUGUUCUUCCAAUUUUUGCACGAGGAGGGGAAGCCGGUGAUUGGUUUCCUCUUCGCAGAGCUCGACAUGAAGUAAUACCAGCCUGCUUCCUUCGGGCUACUCCUCAACUGGUAUAGAUGCUUCACUUCAACGAGGGAGGGCUCCUCUGAUUCACACCUCUUCCACAACACAUACAUAGCCGAAAGAACCCUCCACCCAUUGGGAUGUAGCUAACCUGGGGCCAGGUGCAUACCACCCAAUAUCUUAGCAAAAUAACGUUGAAGGGGCAGCCGAGCUCCUAAUUUGAAGCUCUCCAGGUGCAUCGUCACAUACCCCCGCAGAGGCCGACUAGGGACGUCACCUUUUCUUGGAACUACCAGGAGAAUCUCCGCAGGAAUGUCGUAAAGGUUCCUCAACUUGAACAGAUCAGUUUGUGUGGUGGCACAAGCUGUGUAGUCAAUAGGGUAAGAAUCCGCCUCUACCCUAUGACCAAGGUGCCUCCUCUGAGGGGGUCCGCUCGGUCCGGAACUGCUCCCCUCAUCGUCACCAACUCCUUCAGGGACCCCAAUCCUACCAAAGCUGGGGUUCUCACCAGAGCCCGACGCAGGUCCACCUCUAUUCCCUACAAGCUCUAGUUCAGGGGAGGGAGAAACAGCCAAGGGGUGUGGAUACUCAAGGAUAUCCCUACCGUGGGAGGGACCUAUACUACGGGAGGGUCCUACACUACUAGAGGGGCGUAAAAAAUCGGUGGGUAUCGACAAGUUAAGGUCUGAAUCCCCUGUUUCCUCGUCACUCUCAUCAGCAAUCAACUUCCUUUUCCGCAUCGACAUAUCAAAAUCCCAAAAGAAAACAAAGCAAAACUCGAGUAUACGGACACAAAAGGGGCAGCACAGAACCCAACCAACAACAACCAGAGAAGAAAUUAAGAGCUAUACCUGGAAUAAGCGGGCACUGAUAGCGCGGCUGUGACAGAAGAACGCCCAGUAAAUGGAUACUCCGGACGCGGGAAGUAUAAAAAAAAAAAAAAAAAUUCACAGAGGGGGCUGGUUAACGGUGGAGAAACGGAUAAACAAAGCAAUGAGGAUUUCAACCUAGGGAUUUGAAGUGAAAAGGGGAAAAAUAGAAGCAUUUAAGUGAUGAGGAUGCCAGCUCACUCACUACAUAUCGAGGGUGGAUAGCCCGUCGUUUCAAAUUUCAAAUACGAAGAGUCUGGAGAUGCCACGUCACUAACCGUUACAAGAGGCCAAGAUAGAUGUAAGCCCAGAUAUGCAAUGGACAUGUUCACUUAGGCCCAUGCUCAAGUCGGAGUCUCCCUAGAAGAAAAAUAGUACAUCAGGUCAGGCCCGUCCCAAUAAAUAGAGGACCAGAUGAGAAGCUCCCCGGGUUGGUGAGAUUUGACCAUCAGUUUCUACUCUUAACUCAUUUCACUCGCCAGACCAGAAACUGGGGGACUGGUGUUGAGUACAUAAAAGCCCCAGGUCGGCCAUGCUACUAUUUCUAUCCCGGCAUGGAUCACCUCAGCCAAAUGGUAUGAGCAGAACGCGGGAUAAACACGAGACAACCAGAGACGAUUACCGGCCAGGGUAAUGUACUGACCAGAAUCAUAUACCGAGCUGACACCAAUUCCCCAAAAAAGCGGGAACACGAUCCCACAGAAUCACGGUAGUUGCGCUUUUCCCAGAACCGUUGUGGGAGAUGCGAGAUCCCAUGUUUGCCCACAAUGUAGCAGUAAAAAUCCCAUGAGGGGCUACCACUACCCGAGAAAGGGGGGGAUGAAAGGUGAGUGAAAACGUGGGACAGCGGCUAUAAAAGAAGAAGAAACCGAUGAAGAAGGGACAGAAAAAAUUGAGAGAGGGAAAACGCUGCCAAAUUGCAAUCAGGCCAUUUUCUUACAAACUCCGAACAAUUUAGAAACCAUUUUAAGAUCUAAAUUGCACUGUUUUCCCGUAAACGCCUUGAGCUAACUUAGGCAUCGGAGGGUUUACGCCGGCAAAACCACCGGCGUCUCUGAUCCGUUUUUAGUGAGCGCAGGUCUAUUGAGAGAAAGGAAGACGAUUCCAAUCCCAGUGGUUUGAGCAACAGCAGAUAACACAAGCGUUGGUGAAAGAAUCUGAUCAGUCAAAGGCGUGCAGAUUUGAGGAAUCUGGUCGGUCAAAAGGCGAGCAGAUUUAAGCAUCAACAAGCAUCAUGAAAUGUUCAAGACAUGCUGAUAUCAAUCAUGGAGGUUGUCUUUUUACGAUUAGAUGUGAGUCCAAAAUCAGGACCCACAAUGCACACAAUGUGUCAAUUGAUUUUAAGAAAAUCCAGACAGUCAAAUUUUUCGUUUUCGUUUUUAUUUUCUUUUUUCUUUUGUAUUUUAUUUUCGUUUUUCGUUUUUGUUGAAUUAAACAUGACUUUUGAAACUUAUGAUGUUAGAAACCCCAUGCCUUAACAUUAAGAAACAGAAAUUGGAAAAUAGAGGUUGUCAUAAGAUAAAUUAAUAUUCAUUAACAUUAUGAGUUUCUACGUGCGAAAAGAGACAGCAAUACUUUCGGCGCAUUGUAAGAGCUGCCACUAGCAAGCCCAAUGGGCGUAGUUUUACAAAAUCGAACAACCUUAGUACUAAGUAUAUUGAACGGCUUCUUAUGCCCUUUUUUUUUCAUUUUCUUUUUAAUUCUGCGUACUACUAACUAUAUAAUCAUGAUCGGCUUCCUAUGCCUUUUUUUUCCUACUCAAAUACUUUUCAUAACUCCAAGUCUUCAAGUCUUCAAGCAACUAUUUGGCAGAAUAAAUCCAGAGGCCGAUCCAUCAGCGUUGGCACAGGAAGCUUCAGCUGGUUGAUUCUUGUAAAUGAGCUUCACAUCCUCCAAGCUAAUUCCACUGCAUGGAUUCUUCGAACUGCAAUCGAGCUUUACUCCAACUUCCGUUGCCGAAGUUCCAUGAAUAUCUUGAUAUAUAACAUCACUGAUUUUAACCCCUGAAGCCUAUUGAACAAGGGAAAAAAAAAUUUAUUGAGUUUUAUUUUAUUCACAUCAACGUUCAAAUAAUUACAUUUACAAACUUUAGAUAAAUAAAUAUCGUACCUGUCCAGGGCAAUUGUUGUUGUCAGGGCAGUAAUUUUGAUCAAUUAUGAUUGGAUUAUCGACAUUGUUCAUAAGAGCAUGUUGGAAAAGAAUGUUCCUGGCAAAUCCAUUGCUUGGUCUCCCCCAGGACUUAAUCCUCACUCCAUUUUUAGUGCCCGUAAAUGUCACAGCUGUUACUGUCACAUUUUGCACUCCAGCCUCUUGUUGCUCUUUGCCUAAGCUGCCAAUGCUGCAACAAAAUUACAAUAUCCAAUUUAAUCAGCACUAAAUAUUUAUACCACCAAAAAUAAAGAGAAAAAAAAAUUAUUAUGCUUUUUAAUUUUACCUAAUACCAUGGCCAGGGCCACAAGCGACAUUCUCAAUCCAUAAAUUGGUGGCGCCUGGGCCAACUGAUACACAAUCAUCACCGGUCCCAAUUUUUGAGUCCAAAAUUGUGACAGCACUUGAUGAUUGAACGUGAAUGCCAUCGGUGUUGGGGCUGUCACCGGAGGCCGAAACUUUGACCCCUUGUACUUUCACAUGGUUGCAUCCGUUGAUGACAAUAUGAAAUUUCUGGCUAUCUACGGAUGCUAAUCCGUUAAUCACAACGUUGUUUGAGUUGCUAAAGCGAAGUGUCUGCUCAUGUAUAUACAAAAGAAGGAUUAUUUACUCUAAUAAUUAAAGUAUAAAGCCAAUCAAUAUGACAAGCCAAAAGGCACUUGAUUUAUGACUGGAUAUAGGAUGAUAUUUCAACUUAAUUACCGUAGCGCCACUGGGGCAAUUACUAUUGUCUGACUUUUUACAAGCCCACAAGCCAGCACCUUGGCCAUCAAGAACGCCGCCAUUAAUAGAAACCCCAUUAACAUGCUCAAAUAAAAUCCAGUUUUCGGCAUUUCCAAUAACAUGAUAAUCAGCUGGAGCCACCAGAGUCCCGUCAAUACGUAUGGUAAUAUCAUUGUUCUUGCAUUGGCCCUGAAACACAGCAUUGUGUAGUAAGUACCUCCCCGGUGGCACGUAAAUGGUUGCGGCCUCCGCCGAGCCACAGGAUUUAGCCCAUGCAGCAAGAAAGGAUUUUGCUGAGUCAGUCCGGCCAUCGGGUCUGGCUCCAAAGCUCAGCACAUUGUAACUCAAGGGAAUUGCUAAAGAUGAACUAAAGAAGAGAAUCAAAAGAAAUGUUAAAAAACUAAUAGGCAAAGACGUUGAUGUUGACAUUGUUUCAAAGCUUAAAUUUACUGAUAGAAAUGAGAGAAAUAGAUUUGAGAUGUUGAGGAGUUGGUGUUAAGUUGAAAAGAUUUAAAUGGGUAUUUAUAGGAUUUGAAUGAACUGUAGAAAUGGCAAUAGCACUAACAGUGAAUGCAAUCUGCGCCGAAUUUUGGGAGUGAUUUUUGCGUUAACUAAUGCGAUCUUAAUUUACUACCCUUUAACCGAAAUUUGGAUGAUGUUUGAUGACAGAAGCAUCAAAUUCAUACAAAAGACAAGUGCAUAUCUAUAUCUGGUUUGGUAAGAUGGGAGAUUUCAAAGGUAGUUAAUAAAUUAACAGAAAAAAGUGCUUAUCCAUUUUCUGCUUUUCUGCUGCUAUCUAAAAUUAUGCCCGUAUGUUGCUUUUUUGAGAGAAUAAAUUAGACACAAAAUAAAUAUAUAAUAUUCAAAGUUCAGCUCUAGUUACAUAUGGAAAAUGAAUCCGGAGCGCAGUUCCACCAACAUCAACUAUUGAUUUUUAAGAAAAAUAUUAAAAAGCCACGCGAAAAAAUGAAAAUUUCAAUGAAAGUGGAUAAAAUGCGUUGCGAAUAUGGGUUAUGCAGCAAGACACAUCAGUGCUGACAUUUUUUAUACUAGAUUAAUGAAAUGUCAUAAAGUUUCAAAGAAAACAAAUAUUUUUUCUUAUUUUAUCAAAGAUUAUUCAAGUGGGAAGCAGUUUCAGACUUUCAGUCCACCGUGUGCAUUUUCGUUAAUGAUAUUAUUAUUUUCUUUUUAUUUAUUAUAACUAGCCGUAAUUUUGCUACUUUCGAAAUGGAUAUUUGACAUAAGUUCAACCUUUUUUUAUUUCUUUUGUUACAAUUUUGAUGCAUAUUACUGUUUGACUUGUUUCAAUUACUCAGAUUAAGCAAACAAUCAAGCCACAUUACUAGGUUAUCAAGAAAGAGCAGUUACCAGUUAGGUCCCUCUGCACGCCAAAUUCAACACCGAAGGGAUAAAUCCUAUGUCUCAGGUCAAAGACGUGACUUAUUUUAGUCAAUUGCUUUUUUAUUAAUCAAAAUUUAGCAGAAGUUAAUUAAUCGACUACAAGUUCACCACAUGUGGAUUUCAACUGCCCAACUGAAAAAAGGUUUAUGAGUGUUGACCAAAUGAUUUUUUUAUACAUUACUAGUUGUUUAAGGGAUUUAGUUUCGCAUGGUACCAUUAAUUCUUAAGAGUUAUUAGCUAACCCACUGGUAACUUCUAUUGAUGGUAUCAUUUUAAUAUUUUUAUUAAAAAGAGUUUGGAUUGUUGUGCGCGGAAUGGAAGUUUGGGAAGAAAACUCCUGAUAUUAUAUUAUCAUUUUAAUAUUCUUAUUGUUUUAAGUAUUUACGACAUCAAUUUAUGGUAAUAUUUUGCAGCAUUGGGAGUUUGGGGAAAGAUUUGAGUGAAGCUGGGGGGCAAAAUGUGACAUUUAUAGGUACACAAAAUGGACUAAGAAUAAAGUCAUGGAGGAGACCAAGCAGUGGUUUUGCCAGAAAUAUCCUUUUCCAACAUGCAGUCAUGAAGAAUGUCCAAAAUCCCAUCUUUAUUGAUCAAAAUUAUUGCCGUAAUAACGAAGGAUGCCCUGGCAAGGUGAGAUAUCAAAAGGAUAUUUAAUUAAACUUAAGUAACAUAUUGUAUUAUUGCAAUACACAUACCAAUUAGUGAUGUAAUUGGUGAUGUAACAAGUUUCAGGGAUUAGUGAUGUAACAUACCAGGAUAUCCAUGGAACAUCAGCAACAGAAGUACCUGUAAAUUUUGAUUGUAGUUCAAAGAACCCAUGCUCAAGGAUAAAAUUAGAAGACGUCAAGCUUACGUAUAAAAAUCAACCGGCGGAAGCAUCCUGUAUGCUGAUGGAUCUGCCUCUGGAUUAGUUCAGCCCACAAGUUGCUUGUAGUUGUCAAAAGCAUUUAUGCUUGUAAUAGCAUAGGGUUUAUUUGUUCCUUGAGCCUGUGGUGUUGCCAUCAGCAUUACUAUUGUAAAAAAUUUCAUUAACUAUUUUGGAUAUUCUUGUCACCAUAUUUAAUUGGUUCUAAAUUAAAUAUGAUUACUUUCUUUAAAUUGUGAAAUAUUGAGAUUUUGCAUUUUGAUUGGCUACAGAUGUUGCUUUUUUUUUUUUUUUUUUAAUGGUUCUCGAGUGAAAGUAAAAGUUGUUGAAGGAAGAAACAGAAUAAUCCUGAUAAUUAAAAAUAUUGGAAAUCUCAAUUUUAAAAUCCAAAAAUUGGAAUAGAAUAGCCGUUUAUAUUUUUUUCGAGAAACACUUAGAUGCGACAACUGCAAUAAAAUUUUUUAAUAAAUGUUUGACAUGUGUUUCAAGUGAAUUUUAUCUUUCUAUUAUGAUUAAUCAACUCCUGAAAAAGAAAAUAUAUAAAUGUUAUUGGAUGGGCACAUCGAUAACUGAGGUGCACCCUCCCAAUGUAAGUACACUCUGUCAAACUUUAAAAUUUUGAAAAGGGAAAAAGUCACUAACACCCCCAAUGUUUGUUUAAAUAAUCAAACAGAUGCUUUUAGUUUCAUAAAUAGUCACCGAAAUCCCCUUAAUUUCAUAAAUGAUUAUUAUACCCUUUUAUUAUAACAUCUCAAAUAAAUAUAAAUUUAGUAAUAAGAUAAAAGGUAAUAAAUAAAUAUCAUAUGAUACAAAUUAAAUAUUCUAAUAAGUAUAAUUAUUAAAAUAACAUGUAUAAUGAAAAUUAUUUUUAAUAUUAAGUUAUUAUUAGUCUAUCCCAACAGAUUUUAUUAAUUAAAAUAUAUGAAUCCAAAAAUUGACUUUAAGAUUUAUAGUAAUAUAGAGAUAAUUAAAAACUAUAUUGUCAAUAAAAUAAUAUAAAUUUUAUAAAUAACUGUGAAUGUUAGUAUAAUUAUUUUAAUAUUAUUAUAAUGUCAAAUAUAUUUUAUUAUUAUGAAAAGAAUAUGACAGAUUAAUAAUGUUAGAAUAACUUUUCUAACAUUCAAAAUAUUUUAAAAAAUUUAUCUUAUUUUAUAUAUUUAUCAUACAUGUUUAUUUAAAGUCAAUUAUUGAGUUGCUGUAAUUAAGUAUUUAAUAGUUAAAAAAGAGUCUAUGCAACAAUUUAUGAUAUUAAGGAGAUUUGUUUAAUCAUUUAAGUAAACUUUAGGGGUGUGGAUGCCUUUCCCCUUGAUUUUUGACUUGUUAAAUUUUUAAUUUUUUUAAAAAGCAACCUUCCUAAAGUGAGAAAUUUAUUAAAUAAAGAAGAAAGAGAAAAAUAGUUUAGAGGAUAGAGUGAGCCUUACCUCUUAAAAAUUACCAUCGUUCUAGAAUAAGAAAAUAUACAUAAAAUAUAAUAGAAAAAAUAUAUAUUAAUAUAAAAUAACCAUCCUAAAUGAAACAAGCCAAUUAACUGAAUCUAUAAUUGGAGAAGCCAUCAGUCUAUAAAGAAAGAAACUUCCGAAUGACCAUAGGAGGAUCUCCCAAAUUCGCAAGACAAUCAGUAACACUGUAAUUCUUCCUAGAAGUGUGAUAACAUUGGAACAACAUGGGAGAAUAAAUUAAGUUUUGCAGUUGAUCAAGGGGCAGGCGAAGACAAUGAACAACAACCAAAUAGCUACAUUCUAACCAAAGCCAAAAACAAAUUAAUUAUAUAAUCGCUCCCCCCAAUUGGCAUGUAGAGGCUUAUAUACCUUGUGGUUUUAGCUCCACGCUUUAUCUUUAUUGAGUCCGAGCGUUUAGAUCAACCCCAUGUGUGUCAUGGGAGUAGAAUUUGUCAUUGUUGUGAGUAGAUCUCUUCUUCCAUGAAGAAAUUAAAUUUUUCAGGUGGAUAGCCAUAAGCUUUCAGAUGGGCACUAACAAAGCAAGUCUUUGACGGACUUCUUGUGCGACUUUGAAUAGAUUUCUAUUUGGCCGUUCAACAUAAUCAACAAUUACGGUACACCCCUGCCCUUAAUGUAAGGUUUUAAAAGAGUAGUGUAAUAAUUUAUAAUUACAUCAAACACCCGGCAAAAACAUGUAAUGAGGUAGGUUUAACCUAAAUUAAUUUUUAGCCCCCUACUGCUACGAAAUUCGAAUUAAAGUGACAGUUAAGUGAAAUUGUUUAAAAAUUGAACUACUCGGUUCAAUUUCUUAUUGAUGUAGGACGGUUGAGUGGGAUAAGUAGGGUACUUUCCUGAGGUCAUAAUUUGGGCUACAUGUAUCCCUUUUUUUACAUAUAAUAUACCGUUUCGAAAUUUAUGACAAGAUGAACCAAACCCAAAAUUAUCUUCUAGUUCUGCCCUGCCGUCAAACCAAUAAUUGUGAACAAAAAAGUUGAAAUAAUUAGUAAAAUAGUCAUUUGAUUUUUUGUUUGAAUGUUACAUAAAUGAGGUUGAACUGAUGCAUGGUUAUAUAUAAUAUCAAGGUUUGCUUUCUUUAUCCAUACUAAUUUCUUUGAAUUCUUAUUAAUUAAUAAGGAAUCUUCCGUUCAAAACUUUAAACUUCAAUUUAUAAUUUGAGGCAUUAUUUUUUAUGUGUUAACUUAUGAAUUAUGUCUGUUACUUUCGUAUUAAGAUUUAUCCAUUGUUAAUUUAUUAAUUAUGAUUAUCAAUUUUCAAGCAUAAUUUAGGUUUUUGUAUAUGAUUGAAUUAGAUGGUGUAAUAUAUAAUUUUUUUGGUAUUUUCAUUCAUUUAAGAUUUGAAUAGCAUUUACUUUAUUUUUAGAGCAAUAUUUUUUUUUAUAUACAUUUUGGCAACCCCAAAUCAAAAUCUUGGUUCCGGCCUAGUCUCACGGAAUCCCCCACCCCCAAACAAGCAAAGAAUUCAUGAAUACACAGUAAAAUUAUAUCAUCACCCCUUUUAGCCUAUCGCAUGAACAACGAGUUGAUGCCAGGAUGAACCGUUCAAUUCAUCAUAUUUUUGUGUUUGGGCAAGUUUUAUAUGUAGCGAUUAAAGGAGAAGAGAUGAGGAGUAUGCACGCUUUGUGCAAUUGGUAUAGGAAUUUAGAGAAACGACAAUGCUCAAAUGCCAAAUAUGUUUUAUCACUUUAUUUUUCACGACCUGAGAAACGUGAUGCACUAAUGAAAACCAAAUCAGCAAUGAAUAUUAUUGGGUUGAACAUUACUAUAAUCUGAUCACAAGCAGUUUUAGCAUCGAGUUUAAACUCACCUGCUCUGCAUUUUUGUUCACAAAUAAAAGAGAGCUUGUUGCGAUUCGUGCAUGAUAAUAUUCUGCCCUAGAUAGAGACAAAAGGUUGGCUUUUUGUAUCGCUUCCCCACAUACAGCGCCAAAUGUUGAUGCCAAAAUCCAGAUGAGUCGGUUAGUGACUCGAUCUCCGAUCCUUGCAUCAACAUUAAAUUUGUUUGGUGGGAAGUUGCUGGUCGAUCUCCAAGAAAAUCCUCCGACUAUGAUCAGAACAUUCAUGAGCUGUUGAUCAGUGAACACCAUGAGCACAUAAUUGAUGACCAGAUAACCAAUAAGCAAAUGAUCUAUGAGCAGAUAACCCGCAAGCCUACAAGCACAAAGAACAGUCAGGGCGCGCCAGAAGUUUUUCCGGUGAAAACCCUCCAACAUUCAAGUCAGCGAUUUGGGUCUACUUGGAAAAACCCAUACCAUAAUUCACGUGGCUUAAUUAUGAUUGCUUUAAACAAAAAGCUUUUAAGUAAAUUCAAAGGAAAAGAAUUGAAAAUAAUUAAUCUUAAAGAAAUAAUAAGCGAAAGAGAAAUUUUCCAGUGGUAGAGAGAGAAAAAGAUCCAAUGGGUUUAGUCACCCACAAAGAGAGAAAGAAAAAAAAAAGAAUCCACUCCUAGUAUUCUUUUUCCCAAGAUUUUUAUAGGAAAUUAUAGCGGUUUUUAUCCUCUUCCCUAUAAUUCCCAUGACAACUACUAAUUUUCAAUCUCACUAAGAAUAUGGUCCCUAAUAUUUUGGGGAAAAUAAGUGAUAUUUGUUUUGACUGAGUCGUACUUCCUAGUAACAUCCUGGUCGAGAUGAUCUGGUCGAGGUCAUCAAAUAAUCUCCUGGUCGAGGUGAUGUGGUCGAGAUGACCAAAUAACAUCCUGGUCAAGGUGAUGUGCUCGAGAUGACCAAAUAACAUCCUGGUCGAGGUGAUGUGCUCAAGGUCACCAAACAACAUCCUGGUCCAGGUGUUGCUCACUUUUUACUUAGAGGAGAGCAUGAUAAUGUAUGAGCAAACACCCUAUCUUGGUCACCUUAUUUUAUUCCCCAAACACCAGUCUCUUAGUUUUUAGUAUUGAGAGUGAAACGAAACAAGACUGGAAACUAUAAAGUUUAUAGUUUUUUACAAACUUAAAACCUUAAGCAGCUUAUUUUGCUUCCCUUGCUUCCCUUGCUGACCAUACCAUGGUUGAGCAUGUAUCAUUAGUUUAAAGUUUUAUGCCUUAUCUAGAGCAAGUUUCAAGACUUUUAACCUUACAUUGACUUAAGCAAUUUUAAGCUACUCUUAUUAGUUUAAGGUCUUAUGCCUUACCUAAAAUAGGCUUUAAGGCCUCUAACCUUGCACUUGCUUAAGGUCUUAUGCCUUACCCAGAAUAGGCUUUAAGGCUUCUAAUCUUGUAUUGACUUAAGCAACUUUAAACAAUUCCUGUCAAUUUAAGGAUUUAUACCUUACCUAGAGCAGGUUUAAAGGCUUUUAAUCUUCUAUUGAUUCUCUUUGCUUUUUCUAAUGCCUUAUAAAAUAUUAAUAAAUUUCAUUUAUAAACUUGGCUUCUCAACGCUAGCCUAGCUCUCCUUUCGUAGAUCAUUCUCAUAUUGAGCAACUUUCAAGAAAUCAAGUUAACUAACUAAUACCGUUAGCCCUAAUAUAAGCACAAUCAAUUUAAUGAAUAUAAGGUAUCCUCAUCUCACAUAGCAGGACUUAGAGAAAUAAUUAAAUUUUUAUUGAAAAAACUGCUUGUACAUAUAACUUUUGACCUGUUUUGAUUCCUGCAAAUGUGUGCCUUCAAUGUGCUCUUAUUUGAGGUUUUUGCUUUAAAUCCUUAAAUAUGGAUUUGCUCUGCAAACUGAUCAGCUAUAAUAGACCAUCAAAAAUUUAAUUUCUGACCUAUAACUUAUAACUUGUCCAGAAAAUAGCUCAGCAUUUACAACUUGUGCUUUAGCUAUUUAUAUAUGUUUGGGCCUUUGAUGGAUAAACAGCCUUGGUGUUUUAUUACCAUCUAUAAUAUUUGGUUAGCAAUAUUAUUAAAGACCUUUGCUAAAGGUACAGAGCAACAUUUACUAAUACUAUGGAUAUUGAAAUUUAUAUAUAAAAUAAAUCAUAUUAUGUAAAAUAUGUAGUCAACAAAUGAAUGGUAACAUAAAAGUUUAAGCAAAGUCAUAUCACUAUAUCAAGGAGAUAUGAUCUCAUGCUAACCCAAGUUCUAUCAAUCCUUUGGUCAAGCACGCUGUGUGCCAAUAUAUGACUAUGCUAUAUAUUCUAUAAUAUGUAAUCUUAACUAUUUUCUAUUAAUGACUUAAUAAGUCAAAACCCCAUCCAUCAAAUUUUUGAAGUCAAGUAGUGGAUUUAAAGGAUAAAUAUAAAACUGAGGUUUUAGAACAAAUGCACCUCAGAUUGUGCUUUGCAUUAUUUCAUUGGUACUUCAUUAAACAAAUCCCGAGCUUGACUCUACUUUGCUCCCUUCUUAGAAUUAUUCUUGUAGUACUGGAUUUUAGUCCUUGGCUCCUAGACAGUGUUCUUUUGAGCGUCACUCCCUUCAAUUUCAAUUGCUACCUUUGCUUUUCAAUCCAAUUAAUCUCACCAUCGUGAGUGUUCUUCAGUAGAUUCCUGAGCUUGUUCCUUAGAAUUUGAGGCUGCGAAAUUUUUUCAAUUUUGUCAGUUAUUUCGUCGAACAUUUGUUGUGUGUGAUCUCGUAUCACCACUUUUAACAAAUAUCCUCUGACACUUGUUUCCAAAAUCGUAAAAAACCAUAUCUCUGCACCAAAUUAGUAGCCAAAUCUUUAUUUUAAAAGAAUUAAUAUAUAGCAAAUAUGCCAAAACCGUGGCACAAUCCAAUUGUGAGUCUUGCAUUUAUAAAGUUAUUAGAUCAUGUGCAUGUGCCAUCAUGUUUAAAGUAACUAAGAUCUUAAUUUGUCUAAGCUUGAAAUAUGUGCAGAAUUUUAUGGCAAGCACAUGAUCUGGAGAGAAGUUUGACUAUAAAGCAACUAGCAUUGGAAUUCAACAUUUCUCAAAUUCAUGCUUCUCAACCAAUUUCUAAUUAUUAUGAAAGUUAAAUUUCUCAAGUCGGUGUCAUGUGAAUAUGCAAGUUUACCAAUACGGAAACAAAUUCAAACUAUACAAAGGCUGUGGCAUGUGUAAUUGAUCAUUCAAAUGCACUAUAUCAGACACAAAGAUGAGUAAAUUGAAAGUAAUCACAUCAAUUUAAUAGAAAAUACAAGCAGAAAUGAAAAUUGUGAGAUAGAUUUUACCGAUCUCAAGUUCAUGAAUGUCAACAUUGGUUUAAUUUUUACUGAUUUGAUUCAUUUCUUUUUCACGUGAAUCCAAAAUAAAAGAGAGCUUGUUGCGAUUCGUGCAUGAUAAUAUUCUGCCCUAGAUAGAGACAAAAGGUUGGCUUUUUGUAUCGAUUCCCCACAUACAGCGCCAAAUGUUGAUGCCAAAAUCUGGAUGAGUUGGUUAGUGACUUGAUCUCUGAUCCUUGCAUCAACAUUAAAUUUGUUUGGUUGGAAGUUGCUGGUCGAACUCCAAGAAGAUCCUCCGAUUAUGAGCAGAACAUUCAUGAGCUGUUGAUCAAUGAGCACCAUGAGCACAUAAUUGAUGAGCAGAUAACCAAUAAGCAAAUGAUCCAUGAGAGGAUAACCCGCAAGCCUGCGAGCGCAAAGAACAGUUAGGGGGCGCCAGAAGUUUUUUCGGCAAAAACCCUCCAACGCUCAAGUCAGCGAUUUGGGUCUACUUGGAAAAACCCUUACCACAAUUCACGUGGCUUAAUUAUGAUUGCUUUAAACAAAAAGCUUUUAAGUAAAUUCAAAGGAAAAGAAUUAAAAAUAAUUAAUCUUAAAGAAAUCAUAAGCGAAAGAGAAAUUUUCCAAUAGUAGAGAGAGAAACAUAUCCAAUGGGUUUAGUCGCCCAGAGAGAUAGGGAGAGAAAAAAGAAUCCUCUUCUAGUAUUCUUUUGCCCAAGAUUUUUAUAGGAAAUUAUAGUGGUUUUUAUCCUCUUCCCUAUAAUUCUCAAAAAAACUACUAAUUUUCAACCCACUAACAAUAUGGUCCCUAAUAUUUCGUGGAAAAUAAGUGAUAUUUGUUUUGACUGAGUCGUACUUCCUAGUAACAUCCUGGUCGAGAUGAUCUGCUCGAGGUCAUCAAAUAAUCUCCUGGUCGAGGUGCUGUGGUCGAGAUGACCAAAUAACAUCCUGGUCGAGGUGAUAUGCUCGAGAUGACCAAAUAAUAUCCUGGUCGAGGUGAUGUCCUCGAGGUCACCAAACAACAUCCUGGUCGAGGUGAUGUGCUCGAGAUGACCAAAUAAUAUCCUGGUCGAGGUGAUGUCCUCGAGGUCACCAAACAACAUCCUGGUCGAGGUGUUGCUCACUUUUUACUUAGAGGAGAGCACGAUAAUGUAUGAGCAAACACCCUAUCUUGGUCACCUUAUUUUAUUCCCUAAACACCUAUCUUGAUAAAUUAGUAAUAUUUAAGGUUUUUAUAAAAGGGGCCCAUAAACCUAAUUUUAUUAUAAAAGUACUUCUAAGCAUGUCUGUGUCCAUUGCCCAUGAAUUGGGCUCAUUAUAUAUUGAUAUUAAUUCCUUUAUAUCCUUGUGAGAACUGAAAACCUCACAUAUAUCAAAAUGAGCGACAUGGCAGCAGUGUCGUCAUUAAAUCUUGGAGAUUAAUCCACAUUAUUUGUAUUUUUUUUCCAUCGAGAUAUCCUCCUAGAGAAGCGGAAAUUAUCUAAAGGAUAGUGUGCUUUGUGCACUCCUUGAUGAAUAUGGUUGCUGGUGGAUGAACAGUGUCUGUGAAUAGGGACGUAAACAGUAUCAACAACUACUACUUAUGGAGUUCUUUUCUUCAUGUUGAGAUUGAUGGUUCGAUAGAUUUUGGAAUUCAAAGAUGCAAUAUUGACUCAUAUUUCCAACACCAAAAACUUGGCAAUGCACCCAUGCAUGUAGCCCUCGGUACACCAAUUAAAGCAUGAAUAAUUGCAACAUUUGUCUGUGUGAUGAGUGUACAUUGCUGACAUUAACUCGUGCUAAAAGUACUUCUAAAUACGCCUGUGGCCAUUGUAAUGUUGAUUUCUUUAUAUCCUUAUAAGAACUGAGAACCAUCAUAUACUAAAAUGAGUGAUGUGGCAACAUAGCUAGCCUAACAAAAUAUGAUACAAUAAUUUCCUCAAUUUUGUGUUAAAUAGUAAAAAAGAACGAACAAUCAUUGAAAUUUAAAUUGAAAUUGAAAUUGAGGUAAUUACUAUGUUAUUGUGCUAUUCAAAAUAAAAAUGUCUUACAUAUCUUUUUAUCAUGAAGAUUUUAGAAUAUGUCUCAUGUUGUAAUAAAACCAUAUCUAAAACAUAUAUUAUUGCAACAAUUAAACUUUAUAUUUUAUCAUUACACGAUCAUUUUCAGAAUAAAUAAAAAUUGUUUUCUAUCAUUGAACUCACAUGGCUUGCUGUGAUUGAUUGACUUGUAAGCUAACUCGUAAAUGAUAUUUUGCAUGUGGAAGCCCCCCCAACCCCCUUGCAUGGGAUGCAUGAAGAACGUAAUCGUAUGGGGUCGGGGGAACUCUUUUUGUAACACCUCAAUUCCACUAACAACGUAUUAUGGUGAAAUUGAAGGGAAACUGCAUUUCAUCAUUCUCAUUUAUAAAACCUUCAAAAUAAUACCCAACAGCAAAUGUUCUAAACCUCAAAAAGAAUAAUGAAAUAACGUAUUCUCAAAUAAAUAUCAUCCCAAAGGAAGCUAAAAUAUUCAUAACUUGUUAACGUAAUAUUAUUCCCCAAAAGGAGCCGAGCUCUUAUUCUUCCUAUUAAGACCAUAAGCUCAAAUUAUCUAACUCUAUCUGCAAAGAUGUGGUAACGAGGGGUGAGCCGUCAACUCAGUAAGUAUUUCAUGCACAAUACUAAAAAUCAUUAAAAUAUAAUUGAUUGAAUUUUGUAAAUAUGCAUAAUAAUAAGGAAAAUUACCUUUGUAAAUCAUCAUUUAGCAAAAAUAAAUCACAAUAAAGUCAUGCAAAUACUUUGAACAUAACAAUAACAUUUGAAACACAUAAAACAUAAUUAGCUUAUGCCACAUAGUAUCACCUGUAGACCCGGUGACACGACCAUAUAACAUUAUUCAGGGUACUAUACCUCGCAGGAAUUAUUAACAUUAACAUCAUAUGUGCACAAAAUCCGGCUAGCCUUCUAUAACAUAACAUAAUAUAACAUCACCAUGGACAAUGAGCCAAAUCAUUUAAAUUUAUCCUUGAAUUUUUAAUCAUUUGUAAGCUUCCAUAAAUUACAUUUAAAUAAUUGAUAAUUAUUUCAAAGUAUUUGACUUAAAAAUAUUUUAAUAAAGGUUUCCAUUUUUAAGACAAUUUAUUACACAAGUAUUUAAUAAAUAAAGUAUUGUUGUACAUAAUUUUAAAAAAAAAGAUUUUUACUUAACAAAAUAUUAUAGUAGAGUUAAACAAAUCAGUUUCAUAUACUUUUCAUUCAACAUGAUACAUUUUAUUAGUGAAAUAUAUGUAUCAUACAUGAAUCUACUUACGUCGAUCCUCAGCAAUAAAAAAAUAGUAACCUCAACCACAAGCUUACUCUCGUCCUAAAACAUCAAGACAUAUUCUUAUCAAUAUUAUUACUCAUUUUGACCUUGAUAUAAAUCUAACAUGAUCAAGUCUAAUCAUAAGCACUAAAUCAUCAAAGCUAUCUAAACCUGACCAUCCUAUACAUGCUGAUUUUUACCAAGCUAAUCAUAUGUUGGAAAAUUGUAAAACUUAUAAAAAGAAACUAUAAACGUGUGUAGCAUUUCAUAUAAAAAUUCAAAAAAAAUGAAUAAAAGUCAGAAACAUAAUGCAAAAGAAUUUUACAUGUAAAUAUCCACACUGUCCAACAAUGAUAAAAACAAAGGUUGCCAAAUUAGAAAAUUUGUAAAAUAGUUAAUAAAACUCAUGGAAAUUAGACCACUUGAGUUUACAAUAGUAGAAAUAUCAAGAAACAAUACAUCAAAUUUCUAGAAUUUUUCAAGAUGUAAAACUGUUUUAAACAAACUUAUAUUAAGAGACCAGUAAACCUAUCCAGAAACUUUUAGGUUUGUGUUUUGCACUUCAAAAAUUCAUAACUUAAUGUUAACUCAAUGAAGAUUAGUCAAAUAAACUUUAAAUCAUAGAGGAUUCACAAUAUUAUAUGAAUAUAAUUUUAUAAGUCAUUAUAAAACCUUUUAAUAAGCCAACCCAAUUUUACCAUCAGCCAUUGCAAUUUUGGAAUGCAAUCUCCAAAAUUACAGCAGCUCAACAUAACGAUUUUUAAUAAUUUUUAUACUCAACCAAAAAUUAUGAAAUUAAACAUAUGGUAAAUAGAUAUAAUGAGGAUUAGACAAAGAAAUCAACAUUAUAUUUAGAGAUCAUUUGUGUAGUCAGAAAUAUCCAUGAAUGCAAACAUGCUGCUGAAAAUUAGAAUUUUCCCGCACCACUGUUCAAAUUCUGAAAAUUCACAAUAAAUUGGUUACUUGGAAUCUCUUUCCACAAAAUACAUCAUUGAAAACCUAAAAUUCGUGCAGAAAUUAAAUAAAAAAUAAAGGAAAAAUAGUAAUCAAAUCACACUGCUCAUGCCUCAUGAUGCCUAUCUAGUUAUUUAUGAUAAAGAGAACAAGUAUUAGAGAGUAUGCAUUAAAGAAAGAUAAAUGCCUCAAAAUUUCUUUCAAAUUGCAUAAAAGAAAACCUUAGAAUUCUUUGCUUUUAUAUGUUUCUUUGAUUAAAGAGUUUUAAAUUGUAGUGAUAUAUGAAGAGUUGAAGUUUAAUAAAAAUAUUGCUUUUAUAAAAAAAUUUAUAUGAUAAAGAUAAUAAUCCCUUAUAAUUUAUUUUUUAAAAAUAAAUAAAAAGAAAAAGAAUUAUACCUUAUCUCAAUUAAUGCUAAUUAAAAUAAAUUCACACAAAUAAAAGACAAAAAAUUAAAUAGAUAAACAUAAAUAAAUUCAAACAAACAAGGGACUAGUGUUACACUUUUGUUAAAAGUUUAUUCUUUUUUAUGCUAAUCUAUUACAAGCAAUGACUAUGACGGCGAUAUAAUUGAUUAAUUAAUAUGGAAUGAGCAGAAAGGAGAGAAAAGCAAUUAAGCAAUGAACAUCUAGAGACUAGAGGGCCUUUUUCUUCUUCUUCCUCCGCUUCCCCCCGCACACCCCCCCCCCCCCCCCAAACUGCAGUCAUAAUUAAAAAGAACCGCCGAUUACUUCUCCAUUUUUCGCUCCACAUAUGAAGUCCUAGGCUCCAAGUCAUGUUGCACCUUCUAAAAUUUUAAAGAAGUGUUUGUUAUAACUUUUCGCAGAGUGUCACAAUUCUUUUUCUAAAUAAUUAAAAUAUAUUAAUUGAAUUUGUUACAUAAAUAUUAUUCUUGCUAAAAAGAACAAAAUAACAAUACAACAAACUUGCACCCAUCAUGCCAUGCUCUGAAGAGUCAACAGUGUAGACAAUGUUGGGAUUAUAUGCUCUUUUAAAGCGUAUUAAUUUAUUUUUUGAUUAAUAAAAUAUUUGAGAUAUUUUCAAUUGCAUAAAUAUAUAUUGAAUAAGGUCCGUUUAAUCAUAUUAUAUGUAUUUAUGUGAUCAUCAUAUGGAUUCACAGAAGACAUAAAUACAAGUUAUCUUAUGAUUAAAUAAAUUUACUUCGCAGUUGAUAAAUAAAGUUGGGCGCUCUAUUUAUGUUUAGACUAUAGUAAAUUCAUUGAAUGAUUUGUCUUAAUCGUAUAUGAAUUUACUGAUGUAGUUUGACUACAUUGAGCUGGAUCACAUAUGAGAUUUAAUUAACCUUGAAAUGAUUGUCAGACUUAUUAAAUCUUGUAGGCUUUGAUUUUACUGUAAUCUUAAUCUUGAGUUAGUUAUGAUUUCAUGAUUGUAAUUGUUAUUCCAUUUGAGUUACCAAUGGGCACGACACAUACUUGUGGUCAAGAUUACCCGGUAUCUUGGUGGGAGCAAUUAUGAGUAUUGGAGUUAUAUAUUAACAAUAUAGAAUUUGUAUAACACAUCUCUUGAUGGGUUUUCGGCACUUGAUCAUAGAAUUCUCUGGCCAGAGUGUGUCAACAUAUUUAGUAUGUUGAAAAUGAUCAUUAGAGAAAACCAGUACGUAUCAAGGAACAAGAUGCAAUUAAAUCGAAUGGAUAGUUGAGAUAUCGAUUUAAUUAACGAUGUGGUACAAAGGAUUAUGUAGUAAAGAAAUUAAUGUGGCUUCGGAUGAAUUAUUAUUCGAACAUACAAUUAUGGAGGUCAAUUCCAAUCUUAUAGUGGAGUAGAGUUGGAAUUAAAUGAUUAGACUUGUUUAAUUACAGGAUUAAUUGUUGUAGCCAUUAUUGUAUGUUCCCAAAUGAUCCUCGGGUUAGCUCAUUUAAUUGACUGCGCCACUACUGGAUUAAUAAGCAAGAAAACUAGCUAUUUAGGUCAAAAGCCUAAAUAUAUCAUUUAGUGGGAGGCUCCAUUUAAUAUACUUGUAUCUAAGGGACUUUAUGUUAUUUUACAAGAUGACCCCCCUAUAGAAAAAGCAAGUAAUGUGGCUUUUGAUUUUCAUUAUUUAGAGCCUAGGCUUUCACUAAAGGGAGAUAUAAAAAGGCUUAUUUUCUUUAAAGAAAAGUGAGAGCAGUACUUUAUAUAGAUCAAAGAAAAAGAUUUUUCUCUCUAUUGUUGAGAGAAAAAUUUUCUCGUGCUAGUUGUUUUGGUAGUGAUAAAGGCGCCCACACGUCAAGUACAAAUCAAACCUGAGUCAUAACUUGGAAGAUCAUUGGUGACAGUUUGUGAUCUAACUAGCGUGGUGGUGAUGGAUCGUGAUCUAACAGGCGUGGGGGUGACGGAUUGUGAUCUGGAGCCUAAAUCACUUCAGCGAAAAAAGCCAAAUCGAAUUUUCAAGGUACGAUUUCUGGAUUAUAUAUUCUUAUAUAUUGUAUGAGAGCGAUCCUAAAAAGUUUUUUAAAAAAAUUAAAAAAACUCAUUUUUCUCCAACAAUUGGCAUCAAAGCCAUCUCAUAUUAAUAUAUAAGAAUAUUGUAUGAAAUCAAUCUUGAAAUUUAUGUAUUAGAGUGGCAUAAUUUAUUCAGAUAUAUAUUAUUUGUUUAAUAUAUGAAUAAAACAUGUUUUGUUUUGUCUUAAUUCAUGGUUAGAUUCUUUGCUGUAUUUUUCCUUUGGAUCUGUAACAAGAGGGGUGGUUUAUUAUCACCAUAUUUCCCUCUUGAUUUAGUUACAUGUCAUUCAUUAAUUAUGAAUCUUAUUAUAUUGUUUGUAAUUUGCAAAUGCUUAAAUAAUAUUGGAUAUCAUCUAGAUAAUAUUAUAGGAAGCAUGCAAUUAACAAUAUGUAUGUUUUAAAAAAGGUAAAACCAAUUUUAAAAUAUUGAGUGGGAGAGGGAAAAUUCAAUAUAAUUUUUCCCACGGGCUCCAUUGUUAGUUCAAUAAUAAAAUUAUAUAUAUACCUCAACUUCAUGAUAUGGUGAUACUCCCUACGGAGGGUAUAUAUAUUAGAUAUUUUAUUUGAUGAACUUCUUCAAAGAUAAAUUGAAAUAUUUUUAAUCAAUUGUUCAUCCCAACGGUGACUAUUGAUAUGAAAAAUACGUAGAUUGAAACAAUGGUUAUACACUCAACUAAAAAUUGUUAUUAAACGAAGCUCUGUUAACAAAUUUAGGCCCAAAGGGAUAACUAUAAUCCAAUGGAUAAUUGGGUCUAGUAAGUGUAGACAUGACUUCCCCAACGGAUAGCUUGUCAAAGCGGUACUAGAUUAUCGUUACAAUAAAUUAAAAUGCAUUUAUGGUUUUUUUUCAUUUUUUUCAUUUAUUGUGAAUAUUGUUUCAAAGUAUUUAUGCAUGUCUAUUUUGUUUUUCAGAAAAUUUCUUCCAUCAACCCAUUAUUAAUUAUCCUUGUUAAAAAUGAACUCACUGGCGAAAAUUAUUUAGAUUGGAAACGCAAUCUAUUUAAUAUUCUCACUGCUAAAGGCUGCAAAUAUGUGUUGACCCAGCCAUGCCCUCUAGAACCAACGUUAUACGAUUAUAGAAAUCAGAGGGAGCCUUAUGAGAAAUGGUACGAAGCCAACACAAUGGCUAAGCGCUAUAUAUUAGCUUUGAUUUCUGUGGAACUGCAUAAGAAACAUCGGAGCAUGGAAACAACCACUGAAAUAAUGGCUAGUCUUCAGCAGAUGUUUGGGCAAAAUACUCAUUUUGCCAAAGAAGCAGCAUUAAAACGUAUUACGGAUACUAAGAUGGAAGAAGGUACAAGAGUUCGUGAUCAUGUCCUCAAAAUGAUGGACUAUUUGAAUGAGGUAGAGAUUCAUAGUGUUCAAAUCAAUGAUAAAUCAAAUAUUAACAUGGUGAUUGAAUUUUUACCUGAUACAUUCAAAGAGUUUAAGGUCAGCUAUAUCUUAAACAAUAAAUAUAUGACCUUAAUUGAAUUAAUGCACAAACUACAUGCUAUAGAAGAAUUUUAUCAUAGCAGAAAACUUCCUGAAAAAGGAUUCUCUUCGAGGCUUAAGUUGAAAGAGAAGAAUGAGCAAGAAAGAGUUGGGAUCGGCAAACUGUCCACUAAAAGAAGUGGCAAGCCAAAAGGCAAGUGUUAUAAUUGUGGACAGAAGGGUCACUGGAAGAAAGAUUAUCCUGAGAUUAUUAAAAUCAGGUAAAGGAAAUCUUUAAGCUUCCUAAUUAGUUCAAAUUUCUAUUGAUUCAUACAAUAGUGAAUUCUGAGAUAACUAAUCUUAUUUGUAAUUCAUUUAUUUGGUUUUCAGGAAACCAAGAGAUUAAGUGAAGAAAGCUUCAAACAGCAGUUGAGGAUAUGCUAGUUUAUAUCAAUUGAAAGGAUAGAUCAAUUUUACAAGACUUUAGUUUUGAUAUUUGUAUUUAUUUUUCCAAAUAUUAGAGGAAUUUAAUUUCGGUGGCUUGUUUUAAUAAACAGGAGUACACUGUUAUUUUUGGAUCCUCUAUUUAUUACUUAUUUUGGUUAUUUAUAAAGACAAUUUAUAUCAUAUAAGUCCAUUGAUCUAUUCCAAGCAAGAUAUAAUGAUAAAGAGUAUAUGCAUUUAUCUAAGAAAAGAAAUGUUUCUUCUAACCAAAAUCACCUCUGAUAUUUAUGCUUAAGUCAUAUAAACUAUAAUAAGAUUUUAAGAAAAUGAUUAAUGAUAAGAUUGAUCAUUGUAACUCUGUAAAUCUUAUUUAGAAAAGCAAUAUGACGAGGAUGCUCUUUUUGAGCUAAAAGCAUAACAUUGUAUUGGAUGAUUUAGCGCAUACAAAUGUAUACAGAUUAAUCAGUUUACAUGUUAUAAGAGGUUAUGAGUAUUCUAUCAAUCUUGUUGAUGAAUAUUCAUUUUAUUUAUGUUUGUCUAAAUGUGUCAUGAUUCCAUUGCUUUUGAAAUUCAAAAGAGUACGUGGAUAAGACAGAAGCAAUUAGACAGGAACGUAAAAGAACUUCGAUAUGAUCGAAACAAAAAAUAUCUCUAUGGAGAAUUCAAGCACUAUUUGGUUGUCAAAGAACACUAUGAUGGAGGUGUUAAACAAUGCAGCAAAGUAGUGGCAUCAUUGAAGAAAAUUCCAUAAAUCAACAUUCAAAAGGUUUGAGUUUUCUCUUACAAGUCAAAAGUGCAGAGUGUUUAUUUUAAGGACAAAGCCAAAUUGCCUAGCCACCAUGAUGAGAAAUUAUUCAUCCGUAAAGUGCCAAAAAUUGAGAUGAAGAAUAUGGUUGGAUCAAUGGAGAAUUUUCAAAAGAGCUUCAAGGCAUCAUUAUAUCUAAUUAUGAAUUGGAAACGGAAGAGAAAGCAAAUUAUUUCAAAAAAGUCUACCCUUGAGGACAACGGUAUUUUCAAGGGGGAAGGAAUGAUACAAACUCUUAAAAUAAUUAAAAGUAUUUAUUUAAUUUUAUGGUAUUAAUUAAUUUUGAACUAGUCAAAAGUAGUUGCACUUAUUUUGUGGAACUACAUGAAAGUAGCGGAGCAUUAUGUGAGAAAAUUACCUAUUAAUAAACCAUAGGUAAUUUUCCAUUUCUAGGUAAUAUAUAUGUUUGUGAAUAGAAUUUUAUUUUAAUUAAAUGAUAAAUAUUAUCUUAAUCACUAACAAAUAAAAUAUUAAACAUGUAAAUAUACAUAUUAAUUUAGAUUUAUGUGUAAUAAAUAUUGAAAUAUUAUUUAAACUUCACCAACACAUAUUAACAGUGAUCUCUUUUUAUUAUUUAUAAUUGGAACAAUACAAUUUUAAUUUCUUAGCGUUAUAUUUAUUAAUCUACUAAAUUUUUGGUGAGAAAGAAAGAAUAUUAUUAAAAAUAAUAUUCAAUUAUGUUAGUAUUAAACAAUAGUUUAAAAAAUAUAUAAUUUUAGAUAUAUUGUAACUUUUUUGUAAUCUUUAAAUAGAUUGGUCUGAUAGCCUGUUAAUUUUAAAUUAUUAAAAUUAAAAUAUUGCACUAACUGGCUUCUAAUUUUAUAAGCCAUUGAUUAAAUCCAACAGUUCAUAUUUAUGCGACUAUUAAUACUUAACAGCAUCAUAGCAUGACCCUUGUAUUGUAAUUCUUUUUCUUUUUUCUGAAAGUAACUGAAUUAUUGUUUGACCCACAAUUUUAGAAAAUGCCUAAUAAGAAUAUUGAAAUUCCUAAAUUCUUAAUGACCAUAUCUUCAAAACACAGAUAGUGGUUUUGGGUCGGAAUAGAGCGGGCAAAAUUUGACACAACUCGAUUACUCGACACGAACACGACAUAAAUAAAUGAGCAUGGGUCGUCAAAUUUAACACGAUUAUUAAAUGGGUCGGGUCUGGGUCGACACAAUUUUUUUCCGUGUUGGGCUAGGGUUAAAAUUCUUGACCCAUUUACCCAAUCAAUGACCCGAUUAUAUUUUUUAUUUUAAAAUAAUUUACAGGUUCUUGUCAUCAAAACUUAAAUAUUAGAGAUGAUUUUCUCUUUUAUUUUUAUUCUUUAAAAAGAUGAAUAUAAACAUAGUGUUUUAUUUAUAAAUUUUAAAUACAUUUAGAGAUUCAAGAGUGUAAAUGCGUAAAAUAUUGGUAGACAUGUAUAUUUUAUAAUAUUGAUAUAUAAUAUUAUUUACUUACAUAUAAUUAAAACCUCAAUAGUGUAAAUGUGUAAUAUUUUGGUAGAUAUGCAUAUUUUAUAAUAUCGAUAAAUAAUGUAUGUAUGUAUGUAUGUAUGUAUGUAUGUAUGUAUGACAGUGUGUAAAUAUUUGAUGUAACUUUUGUUUAAUAUAUAGAUAUUAAGUGGGUUAUUGGGUAACCCAAUUAUUUUUCCGUGUCAGGUUUGGGUCUCAAUAUUUUGACACGAUUAUUAAAUGGGUCGGGUUUGGGUCAAGCUAAAUUUAACACGACCCGAAGCUAACACGACACGAAUACGAUUCGAUGACCCGUUUUGCCAGCUCUAGGUCGGAAGGCUAAAUUCAUAAAUAAAGUUUCCCUUGUUUCCGAAAAUUUCAAAGUUCAGCUCUAGUUACAUAUGGAAAAUGAAUCCGGAGCGCAGUUCCAUCAACAUCAACUAUUGAUUUUUAAGAAAAAAAAAUAAAGUUGAAAAGGCAUGUGAAAAAAUGAAAAUUUCAAUGAAAGUGGAUAAAAUGCGAUGCGACUAUGGGUUACAUAGCAAGAUACAUCAGUGCUGACAAUUUUUUUUUUUUACUAAAUUGAUGGAAAUAUCAUAAAGUUUCAAAGAAAACAAAUAUGUUUUCUCAUUUUAUCAAGAUUAUUCAGAUGGGAAGCAGUUUCAGACUUUCAGUCCACCGUGUGCAUUUUCGUUAAUGGUAUUAUUAUUUUCUUUUUAUUUAUUAUAAUUAGCCGCAAUUUUGCUACUUUCGAAAUGGAUAUUUGACAUAAGUUCGACCUUUUUUUUAUUUCUUUUGUUACAAUUUUGAUGCAUAUUACUGUUUGACUUGUUUCAAAUUACUCGGAUUAAGCAAACAAUCAAGCCACAUUACUAGGUUAUCAAGAAAGCGUAGUCACCAGUUAGGUCUCAAGUCAAAGACGUGACUUAUUUUAGUCAUUUGCUUUUUGUUAAACAGAAUUUAGGGGAAGUUAAUUAAUCGAUAACAAGUUCACCACAUGGGGAUUUCUUCUACAACUGCUCAACUGAAAAAAGGUUUACGACUGUUGACCAAAUGAUUUUUUUAUGCAUUACUAGUCAUUUAAGGAAUUUAGUUUCGCAUAGUACCAUUAAUUGUUAAGAGUUAUUAGCUAACCCACCGGUAACUUCUAUUGAUGGUAUCACCACAAAGUUUGUUUUAUAAUUAAUUAAAUAGGUAUACGAUGAGCUCGACAGCAAUUUGUUUUUUUAUUUUUCAGAAAAGAUUGUUUUACUAAAAAAAUGUAAUAUAGAACAAAAGAAGAUUAGACAAUCGGGGGUGUAAUGAACCCUAAUUAAAGAUAGUUACCAUAGAAUUAGCUAAUUAAUGAAGUGAUAAAGGAGAUAAAACUGAUCGACUAACAGUCAAAAUUAUGUUGAUAUAUGCUACCAUCCUUAUAAAAGAAAUGGUAUUUAGAACCAUAUCAUACCAUUUCUUAUAUAAAGUUUAAAAAAAAUAAAAGUCUAUAAUGAAUUAGAAAUCUCACCCAUGAAACUCAAAUUAUCACCCAGUAUUAUUACUCGUACUCGACUAACCACAGUUGCAAACAUUCAAAGUCAGUGGUGUUGUGCCAAGGGAGCCAAACAAUUCCCCCCACCCGCCACCUUUUUGUACAUUAUAAUCAAAUUAAAGAUCUCACCUUAAUGGUACAUGUGGCAUAUAAAAUUUAGUUUAGAUGAAUUACGAAUCUCAGCCACACAUGUAAAUUGAUAAAUUACAUUACUGUGAAUGUUAGUAUAAUUAUUUUAAUAUUAUUAUAAUGUAAAAUAUAUUUUAUUAUUAUUAAAAGAAUAUGAUAGAUUAAUAAUGUUAGAAUAAUUUUUCUAACAUUCAAAAUAUUUUAAAAAUUUUAUCUUAUUUUAUAAAUUAUAUGAUUUUAGGUUUAAUUUAUAUUUAUCAUACAUGUUUAUUUAAAGUCAAUUAUUGAGUUGUUUUAAUUAAGUAUAUAAUAGUUCAAAAAGAGUCUAUGUAACAAUUUAUGAUAUUAAGGGGAUAUGUUUGAUCAUUUAAGUAGACCUUAGGGGUGUGGAUGCCUUUCCCCUUGAUUUUUGGCUUGUUAAAUUUUUAAUUUUUUUUAAAGCAACCUUGCUAAAGUGAGAAAUCUAUUAAAUUAAGAAGAAAGAGAAAAAUAUUUUAGAGGAUAUAGUGAGCCUUACCUCUUAAAAAGUACCACAUCGUUCUAGAAUAAGAAAAUAUACAUAAAAUAUAAUAGAAAAAAGUACAUUAAUGUAAAAUAACCAUCCUAAAUGAAACAAGCCAAUUAAUAGAAUCUAUAAUUGGAGAAGCCAUCAGUCUAUAAAGAAAGAAACUUCCGAAUGACCAUAGGAGGAUCUCCCAAAUUCGCAAGACAAUCAGUAACACUGUAAUUCUUCCUAGAAGUGUGAUAACAUUGGAACAACAAGGGAGAAUAAAUUAAGUUUUGCAGUUGAUCAAGGGGCAGGCGAAGACAAUGAACAACAACCAAAUAGCUACAUUCUAACCAAAGCCAAAAACAAAUUAAUUAUAUAAUCGCUCCCCCCGAUUGGUAUGUAGAGGCUUAUAUACCUUGUGGUUUUCGCUCCACGCUUUAUCUUUAUUGAGUUCGAGCAUUUAGAUCAACCCCAUGCGUGUUAUGGGAGUAGAAUUUGUCAUUAUUGUGAGUAGAUCUUUUCUUCCAUGAAGAAAUUAAAAUUUUCAGGUGGAUAGCCAUAAGCUUUCAGAUGGGCACUAACAAAGCAAGUUAGUUAAUAAUUUAUAAUUACAUCAACAUCGGGGAAAAACAAGUAAUGAGGUAGGUUAAACCUAAAUUACUUUUUAACCCCCUACCAGCACAACAUUCGAGUUAAAGUGACCAGUUAAGUAAAAUUGUGUUGGGUUUAUCUCUUUUGGGUGGCCAAAACCCAAUUUUCAUUCAUUUAAGUAUUUAAAUAAUUAAAGAAAGAUUGAGGGGCUAAGUGAAGUUUUACAAUAAAAUUCAGUUUGUAGGACGUGGCUGUAGAAGAGUAAGUGGAGGCGCGGCAGGCGCCUGAUACAAAAAGAAAAAGCACAGAAAGACGAGAGAAGAAAAGCAAGAACAGUGGCUGACUUUUACAAUUUGGGGGUAAGAUUUUUAAUCUUUGUUUAGACGAUCAGAAGGCGAAAUGAACUCCGUUUUCUCCUAAAUUUUAAGGGUAAGUUCCUGGCAUCGCCCUCUACAAUCUUACUGGUCUUGAUUUUUAUUUUAUUCUCUCAUUGGCUAUUAUUUGAGAUACUCACUUGUUAGAGAGACAUAUAUUAAGAUGUUACUGUAAACCAACAAUAUUGAGAUUUUUUAUAUUGUUAGCCUCAAGUAUUAUCCAGAGAAGAAUUUGUACUUGUAAUUCCAUUAAUAUAGUGGAAGACUAUCAGACUACGGUCCCGUGAUUUUUCCAACUUUGGGUUUCCACGUAAAAAUUUGUGUCUCUUGUGAUUGAUUUAUUGCUUUGGAUUUUGUUGGUUUAUUUUUCUGCCUAUUUAUUUGUGAUACACAUCCUAUUUUAAUCGCAUAAAGAGGGAAAUAGUUUUAUUUUCACUUAAUUUACAACUGCUUGUGUGAGUCCCUUUCCUAAUAAAGUGUCUCGGAGUUUCAGGUUUUGUAUUUUUAUUACUUGUGUGGUUUAGAUGGAGAAGUCCUUGGCAUGCAAGAUUAAAUUAAAGUCAUGGAAUUAUAGUAUUUGAAAGUCUAGGAUUGAAGAUUUGUUGUACAUGAAAGACUUACAUGAACCCAUUAAAGGUAAAGAAGCUAGACACGCCGAUUUAGAUAAUAAGAAAUAGGCUCAAUUAAACCAGAAGGUCGUGAGUACUAUUAGAUCAUGGAUUGAUCAGAGUGUGUACCAUCAUGUCGUGAAGGAAUCCAGGGUUGAUGUUCUUUGGAGAAAAUUAGAGAUGAUUUAUGAGCAGUCGAUAGCAUAGAACAAAGCCAAUUUGAUGAAAAUGUUUGUUAAUUUGAAACACAAGAAAGGGCGUAGUAUAACUGAACACACUAGCGAGUUUUAGGGCUUGGUUGAUCAAUUGACUACUAUGAAAAUUAUAUGAGAUAAUGAGUUACAAGGAUUGUUGUUACUUAGUUCUUUACCUGACAGUUGGAAGAUAUUAGUGGUGUCAGUGAAUAAAUCAAAGCUGAACAGGAAAUUAACCUUGGAUAUAGUUACAGAUAGGCUGUGGAAUGAAGAAUCUAAAAAAAAAAAAGUGUUGAAUGUUGUGCAAAUUUUAUUGAACUCACAACUGCACGAAUCUGUUGUAGAACAGAUCAACUGUGACAAGUGUCAAUCCCACGAGGAGGUGGAUUUUAAUUGCGUGCAGAGUUAAUUUUCUAUGUAGGUGGUUGGAUUUGCGUUGAAAGUGAUUUAGACAUUCCUAAAAUUUAAAUUAGAAAGGCGGGAACAACUUAAGGUGAAAACUAUUAAAAUGAAGCGCUUGGGUCUCUAGAUCUGCACUCAACAUGUAUCAUGGGCUUAAUAUUCCUUAUUAGUGCCAAUUAAAUCAUGAGGGGGGUUUCCACUCCUCAUGAACCUCACUCCAAUAAAUAUGGUGCUAAGUGCUUAUCGUGCCAAAUAGUAAUAACCUUGCACUGGGAAGGCGGUUAUACCAGUGUAAUAUUUAGACAAUAUUAUUAUUAUUUGUCGACAAAAAGUCAAAUCAUCCACAAAAAUUAAAGGGGAAGAGAAAGUAAAUUUACCAAAUUAAGCCCAUGGAACAUGUUGAGACUUCAUCUUCAACCCAAGCUUGAAAGAAAAUUAGCUACUCAUAAUUGACCUAGGGGUAAAAUGGAAAUUUAUUAAAAUACGUAGAAAAUACAAGAUAGAGAAGGAAUUACAGAAAAUGAGCUCAAAAAUGGAUUCAGUGGUGUCAAAUUAGGGGGGGAGCCCCCUAUUUAUAGAUACAAUAAGUAAAUCAUGGUCAUCGAAUUAAAAUAAUUUGGACGCUCAGGAUUGCGACACGUGACAAGUUUUGAUUGGAUAGAACACAUCAUCAGGGUAGUCAUUCCGUGUAUAUGCAUGUAUCGUACGCACAUUUUUUCGAUCCACUAACAUACUGCCACAUCACCAGUAAAUGCUACAUUAACAUUUUAGUCCAAUAGAAUCGUGAUACAUUAUUAGUCAAGCCACGUCAUCAGUCAACACCACUCAAUGCCAUAUCAUUCGUCCAAUCGAAUGCUGCCACAUCAUCGAUCAAUGCCACAUCAUCUGUCAGUGCCGCGUCAAUAGUCAAUGUCACGUCAUCGUACCGUAUAUGUGAAUAGUGUCGUGAACAGUAUAAUGAAUAGUACCGUAUAUGUGAACAAUGUCGUUUAUUCUUUUAUAUUCCUCCUAAGGUUUUUCGACUGUCCUGAGUUCAAAAUUACUGUCCAUUUUUCUAUCUGAUCUCUCGUCACUGUGAAAUGACUAUGAUGCCCCCUAAAAUACAUAAAAUACUUAAUUAUAAUAAAACACACAUAAUUAAAUCACAAGGGACUUAAAUACAUAAAAAUAGAGAUGUCAGAGAGACAUAUAUUAGGCUAUUACUGCAGCCAAGAAUAUUGAGAUUCUUGAUGUUGUUAGCCUCCAAUAUUAUUUAGAGAAAAACUUGUGCUGUAAUCUCAUUAAUAUAAUGGAAGAUUGUAUCGGACUAUGGCCCCGUACUCUUUCUUGCUUUGGGUUUUUCACGUAAAAAUUUGUGUCUCUUGUAGUUGAUUUAUUGUUUUAGAUUUAGUUGACUAUUUUUUUUGCUUAUUAUUUAUGGUACACAUCCUAUUUUAAUAACACAGAGAGGGAAAGAGUUUUAUUUUCGCUUAAUUUACAAUUGCUUGUGUGAGUCCUUUUCCCAACAAAUUGUUUAAGAAUUAAACUACUCAGUUCAGUUUCUGAUUGAUGUAGGACGGUUUAGUAGGAUAACCAGGGUACUUUUCAGAGUCAUAACUUGGGCUACAAUUGUCCAUUUUUUUUCGUAUAAUAUAUCAUUUCGAAACUUGUGACAAGAUGCUGUCGAACCAAUAAUUUUGUUUCUUUCCCAAUCUUUUUUCAAUUUUAAAAUAUUUUUGCCUAUUUUUUCUAUUACUUUCAAGAUUUUUAUCUCUUUUCAAAUAUCAUAUUUAGGUGCUUUUUGUUUUGGUUUUCUUAUUUAGAUUACGAGAAUUUUAUUAUAAAAUAAUAUUUUAAAUUUGUCCAUUUCAAUAAAUUAGCAAUAUUCAAGAUUAUUAUAAAAGGGGCAAAUUGAUUUUGUUCGUUCAAACUUUUCCUAAUAAAAUUUCGUUAUUCAAAAAUCUAGUUUCUCUUAUCUUUCAAUCUUUAUAUUUCUACAACGUCAGAGGCCUAUUAACUAAAGACUUUCCUUUAGAGGUAACUCCAUUAUUUUAUGGUAAACUAUAAGCCUCACAAUAUACUUGUGAUUUCUCGAAUUCCACUGUGUGUGCUGGUCAGUACUCGAUCAAUCACUUGCUAUCCGUACCAAACAAAAAUUGCAUUAAACAGGGGAGCCCCAAAAACUUGGCAAUUUACCCAUGCAUGUAGCCCUCGGUACACUAAUAAAAGCAUGAAUAAUUGCAGUCGUUGUCUUUGUGAUGAGUGUACAUUGUGACAUUAACUCGUGUUAACAGUACUUCUAAGCACGUCUGUGUCCAUUGCCCAUUAAUUGGGCUCAUUAUAUAUUAAUAUUAAUUCCUUUAUAUCCUUGUAAGAACUCAUAUAUAUCGAAAUGAGCGACAUGGCAGCAGUAUCAUGAUUAAAUCCUGAAGAUCAAUCCGCAUUAUUUGUUUUCUUUUUUUCAUUGGGAAAUCUUCAUAGAGGAGCGGAAAUCGGUCUAAAGGAUAGUAUUUUGUGCACGCCUUGACAAAUUUUGUAGUUGUUGGUGGAUGAACAGUAUUGUAAAUAGUAUCUGAUGAACAAUAUCUGUGAACAGUGAUAUAAACAGUAUCAAUAGCUACUACUUAUGGAGUUCUUUUCUAUGUUGAAAUUGAUGUUUCGGCAGGUUUUGAAAUUCAAAGAAGCAAUAUUAAUUCGUAUUUCCAACACCAAAAACUUGGUAAUGCACCAUGCAUGUAGCCCUCGGUACAUCAAUUAAAGCACGAAUAAUUGCAGCAUUCGUCUGUGCGAUGAGUGUACAUUGAUGACAUUAACUCGUGCUAAAAGUACUUCUAAAUACGUCUGUGGCCAGUGCCCAUGAAUUGGCUCAUUGUAUAUUAAUAUUGAUCCCUUUAUAUCCUUAUGAGAACCAAGAAACAUCAUUUAUUAAAAUGAGCGAUGUGGCAACAUAGCUAACCCAACAAAAUAUGAUAUAAUUAUUUCCUCAAUUUUCUGUUAAAUAGUAAAAACAACGAACAAUCAUUGAAAUUGAAAUUGAAAUUAAUUGAGGUAAUUACUAAGUUAUUGUGCUAUUCAAAAUAAAAAUGUCCUACAUACCUUUUUACCAUGAAGAUUUUAGAAUACGUCUCUUGCUGUCGUAAAACAAUGUCUAAAACAUAUAUUAUUGCAACAAUUAAACUUUCUAUUUUAUCAUUACACGACCAUUUUCAGAAUAAAUAAAAAUUGUUUUCUAUCAUUAAACUCACUUGGCUUGCUGUGCUGUGACUGAUUAACUGGUAAGCUAACUCGCAAAUGAUAUUUUGCCACAGGGAAGCACCCCCCCAACCCCCUCUCAUUCUUGCCAUAUCUCAAGCAAGUAGGUCUAUAUUACGUAAUGGUAUGGGGUCGGGGGUGGGGGUGGCCCGGGUGGGGAAACUCUUUUCUUAAAAGUUUAUUCAUUUUUUAUACUAAUCCAUUACAAGCAACAAUUAUGACGGCGAUGUAAUUGAUUAAUUAAUAUGGAAUGCUUUUAGCAGAAAGGAGUGAAAAGCAAUUAAGUAAUGAACAUCUAGAGACUGGAGGGCCUUUUUCUUCUUCUUCAUCCUUUUUUUUUUUUCUUUUUUCUCCCUCUUUUGAAACUGUUGUUAUAAUUAAAAAGAACCGCCGAUUACUUCUCCAUUUUUCGCUCCACAUAUGAAGUCCUAGCCUCCGAGUCAUGUUGCAGCUUCUAAAAUUUUAAAGAAGUGUUUGUUGUAACUUUUCGCAGAGUGUCACAAUUCUUUUUCUAUUUAUUAAGUAUCUUAGAUCAUCUUAAGUACUCUAGCAGAGUUAAUAUUUUUGUGGACGGUUGAUAUAAAUUGAAAACAAUGAGUGUAAAAUUGAACAAAUUUAAACUUUUUUGGUAUUUUUGAUAACAAAAUAUUCUUUGGAUGGAUGAUUGAUAAUUUUCCAAAAAAGAAUAUGUGUUAUGUGUCCUAAAAUAAGUUUAUAUAAUUAUUUCUUAAAAUUUGAGGAAGUGUAUGCUAAAUCUUUUAAUUUCGCCAGACCACGCAAUGUCACAUGUUCUUUUCCCUAAUAAACAAAAUAUUUAUUUAAAAAAAUCAAUUAAACAUAGACACAUACUAUAUGAGACACAAACCUAAGACCUAGGUCUUGGUAAGGUUGCCUACUAACCAGAGGAGCUAGACCUUAGUAUGUAAUAAUGAAAACAUGUUAAUUGAAUUUGUUACACACACAAACACACACAUAUUCUUGCUAAAAAUGCAACAAAAUAACAACACAAUAAAAUUAUACCCAUCAUGUAAUCCAGGGUUGGCUUUAAGGGAUUCGGGGCCUUAGGCAAAUUUCUUUUUAGGUCUUUGUACAUUGAACAACAUCAACUUUUGAAGGAUAUAUAAAAUAACUUAAAAUUUAAAUUCUUUUGGAUUACACAAGCCAUAUACCAAUAUAAAAAUUAAAAAUAAAUUAAAUUUGUAAAAGAAAAGAAUAAUAAUAAUUUAAAAUAAAUAAUGAAGAAUAGCACAUAGAAGUUGUCCAGUUGAGAUGAAUAUGAUGAUUAGUUGAUAGCAAUAUAUUUCUUAGAGAAUAAUUUUCUUUGUAGAGAACAACGAAAGAAAUAUUUUAUCUAACAUUAUUGUUGAUUCAAUGUCUAAUAGUUUUGAGGUUUUUAAUAGAGUUUAAAGGAAUACNNNNNNNNNNNNNNNNNNNNNNNNNNNNNNNNNNNNNNNNNNNNNNNNNNNNNNNNNNNNNNNNNNNNNNNNNNNNNNNNNNNNNNNNNNNNNNNNNNNNNNNNNNNNNNNNNNNNNNNNNNNNNNNNNNNNNNNNNNNNNNNNNNNNNNNNNNNNNNNNNNNNNNNNNNNNNNNNNNNNNNNNNNNNNNNAAAUGGGAGUAAUAAUAGGAACACAUCUAAAAGUUAGGCUUUCUUAUAUACAUAACUUAAAUAAAAUCUUUGAAAUCUUAGAAGAAUAAUUAUUUAUUAGCGUAUUAAUUAAACAAAUGUCAAAUAUUGGGCAUCUCUAAAAUUUGGGGCCUUAGGAGACCACCUAGUGGGCUUAGUGCUAAAGCCGUCUCCAAUGCAUGCCCUAAAAGAGUCAAGAGUACAAACAAAACCAAUAAAACCAACAAAACUUAAUAGUGAAUACCAUAGAGAGAUCAGCAGAUACGUGGCAUUGUUAUACAGAACUACAACAGUUAAGACUGUCCUUUGGACCAGUAGUCCGCAAGUUCGGGUUUCCAGCCAAUAUACCUCUGAGAUUAAAAACUUUGAAACAUUUUCAUCGGGUUAUACAACCCAAAACAGACUUUCUUUUAGUCUAAAACAGGGUAGCCUUUAGAAUUGAACCGCGUAAUGGGCAGAUCUUCUUGGGCUGUCUGAACAGCUGUGAUCAUUGAAGAAUAAGUAAAUGAGAGCCUAGGAGGCUCUUUGGGAGCACUGGGAGGUGGUUUAAAAGUCAUUCUGACUGUGCCAUCUUGUCUUCAUUCAAACAUGGUUUCAGAUGUCUGAAUUGGAGCUGUAUUAUUAUGGAACUGUUCAUAGUUGGAGAUCCAUUCAAGAGGCAUUAGCUUGAUGAGCUCAUGUCGGGGAAUUUGUCUUGGGAUCUGGAUGAUUGUGGGGAUUUGGUCAGAUUCAGCUAACACCAUGAGGGUGUCAGAGUGGUGUUCUGGAGUGGGUAGAUCUAAGGCAUGAUUUUGAAGCCGAUAGACCAGUUGAUGAUGGAGGGUGGCAAUUUUAGCAGAGGAAAUUUAUUCUGCACCUUGGAUUUGGACUUGAACUUUCAAGGUUGUGGGUAAGUUGGGAUCUUGGAGAGAAAGGUUGAAGUUUGGGUAAAAGGUGAGUAAAACACUGCCUGCAUGAAGAGUUGUGAGGACAGUGCCAAUAACAGCAUCUUGGUACUGUUUAAACCGGGUAUCAAGCAGAGCAAUUCGAGCUGUGACCGGUAACCCUUUUCUUCCAUGAAGGGUAAGGAUGAGGCGGAUGCCUUCAAGAUGGAGAUGGGUAUAACCGUCUCGUUUCCAAUUGGAAAGCAGUUCUGAGGGUAUUUCCAGAGUGACAUAUUGCUUAGCAGAGGUUGCUUGAAGAGCACAUUGAUCUAGGCGAGAAGACUGGAUAUAUUCUUUAGGGUGAGGCCGUCUGGUAGAGAUGAGGGUGCGAAUGCUGCGAGUAAAGGAACUGGGGCGUUUGUACAGCUGGUAAGGGCUUAUGAGAGGGUAGGACGACUCACUGAUUUGGGCGGAUUCAGGAAUGUAAGAAUAUUCUACAAGGUUUUCAAUCUUAUUGGUGGUAUGAGAAGUGCGGGAUUUGGGCAAAGAAAGAGUAACAGGAUUGGAAGGAGUUAAAGAUGAAGGAGAAGCCAUGAAGAUGAAAUACUCUCUGCUCCUGAAGGUUAGAGAUCAAAACAAAAAAAAAAAGACUUAAAUUAUACCAUUUUGAGCAUAAAAACUGAACUUUAGAAAACAACAUGGUUUCAAGGACGAGCAUGGCUCUGAUACCAUAGAGAGAUCAGCAGAUACGUGGCGUUGUUAUACCAGAACUACAACAGUUAAGACUGUCAUUUGGACCAGUAGUCCGCAAGUUCGGGUUUCCAGCCGAUAUACCUCUGAGAUUAAAAACUUUGAAACAUUUUCAUCAGGUUAUACAACCCAAAACAGACCUUUUAGUCUAAAACAGGGUACCAAACCAAAUAAGAAACGAUCAAAAGUUUUCUAAUGCACAGGAUCCUUGCAAAAGGCAAGUGCAGAGUAUACUUCCUUAAGUUUUCAAAAUGAACAAAUUUAAUUCUUUAUUUGUUUGCAGAGUAUACUUCCAUUUUUCGCUCCACAUAUGAAGUCCUAGCCUCCGAGUCAUGUUACAGUUUCUAAAAUUUUAAAGAAGUGUUUGUUGUAACUUUUCGCAGAGUGUCACAAUCUUUUUUCUAUUUAUUAAAUAUCUUAAUUGAAUUUGUUACACACAUAUUAUUCUUGCUAAAAAGACCAAAAUAACAAUACAAUAAAAUUGCAUCCAUCACGCCAUGCCCAUUGCCCUGAAAGAGUCAGUAGUACAGACAAAACCCAUAAAACCAGCGAAACUUGAUAGCGUAAUUAAUAAUUUUAACAACAUAUAACAGGGAACUUAGAGGAUAUGCUUAUACAGAUUCAAAUAACGAAAAAGUUUUAAAAAAUUAGAAAAUUAACAAUAAUAACAUGACGGUAAUAUAAAAAUGCCACGUAUGUUUGUGAGAAUUUAUACUGGUGGUCUUACUCAGUUAAUAAGAUAUUUAACGAACUAAUAUAUAACUCUUUUAAUAAUUACAGCUUUUUAAUGAUUAGUUGUGUAUAUGCUACAUUCUUUGAUAUACCAAUUUGAAAUUUAGCUCCGUUAACUAUGUGUGCUAUAUUUUGGCUAGCUGUUGCCACAAAAUGUUAAUCUCUAGUGAUUUUUUGGUAUGAUGGACAAAAACAAAAUUAUGGAAAGGCUGCAAUUUGAAGCAACGAUCACAAAUAGUUCACAAAUGAAUAGAUUGAUCCACAUGAAUUGAGGAAACAAAAUGUCAAAACGAAGCAUAGGUUGCCAUUUCAAGCUACAAGGGCAAAUAGUUCAGAAAUGUGUUCCACGGGAAUUGCCUGAUCUUGUGCUUAAAGCAAACAUAAGGGCAUAAUUUUAUAUAGCAACCGACAAGCUGAAAAUAGAUAAAUACUUUUCCGUUUUUCUGUUAAUUUAAUAGAACUGCCUUUGAAAUCUCCCAUUGUCAUACAAAGUUACAAACCAUGUAUGUGCACUUGUCCUUUGUUUGCAUCUGUAGCCUUCUGUCGUCAAAUAUAUAUUAUCCAAGUCUCAAGUAAGGGCAUUUAAGUAAAUAAAGUUUGUAUUAGUUAAAGCAAAAAUAAUCUCUCCCAAAAUUCGGCGCUUGCAGCUUGCUUUCACUCAAUUCAAAUCCUAUAAAUGCCCCCAUUAAAUCGUUUCAAAUUCCAUCAACUAAACAUUCAAUCCUCAAACUAUUUAUCUAUUCCUCUCAUUCCUAUCUUCAAAUUAAGUUUUCAAGAAAAUGGCAAAAUCAAUGUCUUUGCAUAUUCUUUUAGUACUAAUAUUCUUGAUUCUCUUCUUUAGUUCAUCUUUAGCAAUUCCAGUGGUCACUUACAAUGUGAUCAGUUUGGGAGCCAAAUCUGAUGGCCGGAGUGACUCAACGAAAGCCUUUCUAGCUGCAUGGGCUAAAGCUUGUGGCUCAACUGCGGCCUCAACCAUUUACGUGCCACCUGGGAGGUACUUGCUGCACAAUGUUGUGUUUCAAGGCCAAUGCAGGAACAAUGACAUUACCAUACGUAUUGAUGGGACUCUAGUGGCUCCAUCCGAUUAUCGUGUCAUUGGAGAUGCGGCAAACUGGAUUUUAUUUGAGCACGUUAAUGGCGUUUAUAUUUAUGGUGGCAUCCUUGAUGGCCAAGGUGCUCGCUUGUGGGCUUGUAAACGAUCAGGCAAUAAUAAUUGCUACUAUUGUGAAUUCGUUGCAGCAUUGGUAGCUUAGGCAAAGAGCUGCAUGAGGGCUGGAGUGCAAAAUGUGACAGUAAAAACUGUCACAUUUACAGGAACUGAAAAUGGAUUGAGGAUUAAGUCCUGGGGAAGACCAAGCACUGGAUUUGCUCGGAACAUUCUUUUCCAACAUGCUCUUAUGAAGAAUGUCGAUAAUCCCAUCGUAAUUGAUCAAAAUUACUGCCCCGACAACAAGAAUUGCCCUGGAAAGGUAUUUUAUUUAUCACAAGUUUGUAUGUGAGAAUGUUAGCGUUUAUGUGAAUAAAAUUCAAAUUAAUAAUUAUAUUUUUUAUAUUCAACAGUCAUCAGGGGUUAAAAUCAGUGAUGUAACAUACCAAGAUAUUCAUGGAGCAUCUGCAACGGAAAUUUCUGUAAAGUUUGAUUGUAGUCCAAAGUAUCCAUGCUCUGGCAUAAACUUGGAGGAUGUGAAGCUCAUUUACAAGAAUCAACCAGCUGAAGCAUCGUGUAGGAAUACUGAUUGAUCGGCCUCUGGUUUUGUUCAGCCAAAUAGUUGCUUGAAAUUGUGAAAAAUAAAAUUAAUUCUUGCGUUAAAUUGCGUUUUUUUUUAAUUUUUCAUUUCCUUUUUAAUGAGCCUAGGAAUUUUCCAUGGGCCUUUUCUGAGAAAACCCAUUGGGCUUCUUGGAGGAUGCUUACACUAAUUGCCGUAUAAGACAAAAUCAAAACUGCACUCUUUUGUACUCACAGAAAUGGAGUCAUAUAUUUUGGGUAACAUUAUCUUAUUGCAGUACUAAUGUUUGUUCCGAAAUUCUGCCUAUUGAAACUAUUAAAAUUAACAUUUUCUAUUAAAAUCAAAUUGAAAUCGGGGAACGGCCUUUCACCACCAACUCUGUUUGGGCGAUAGCCCAUUGCCCGGAUUGAGAGAUGGCUAUCGCCCAACCAUCGCUGGAAAAAAAUAAAAAAAUCAAUGAAUUCGAUUUAAUGGAUUUUAUGGUAAAAAUUAUUUUUCAUCUUAUUGUCGAGUCUGAUUUAUAAUGUUACUUUUGUACGUUAAAAUGUUUUUUAAUCGUAAAGUUAAAUGAUUAAAUAAUAAGUAACGUCGUGGUGAAUAUGAAAAGUAUUAAAGAACAAAAGAAAUUCUCCUUUCCAAUCAAAUAUCCUUUUUCUUUUAUCUUAGUAAUAUAUCAUUCAUUCAUCAUAUACAUGGGUAUGAUCGAAUAAGAAAUUAAUAUGAAACAACUGUCCAAAAUGAUAGGUAGCAUAUAAUUUAAACCGCAAGAUAUUUAAGAAGUGCAGUAAAUAUAUAAGAAUUAUGUAUCCUUCAGUGGCACAUAAUUUAAUUACUUAUUUAAGAAUUUAGAAGUAAUGUAUGUUUGGUAAAAUAGUAUUUAAAAAAUAAGCACAAUUAAAAUCAGCGUACUGGAUUUAAAUUUCAUGCAAACAGAGAAAUCUAAGAUCUAUCUAAGAAUUUGUUUUUUAACUAAAGUUACUAAUUAAGUAAACCAACAAUUGUUUUAUUUUUAAUACAUAGUUUAAUAAUUAUUAAAGUAAAUAAUAUGUUUUCUUAAUCUAAUUUCUCCACCGUUUCUCAUUUUCUCCGGACUCUUCAAUUCGCCCUCUUUUGCUUUAGUUUGAAAAAAUCCGGUCAUACUUUUAGUCAAGAUUAGGUGGCAAGCUAGCAGUUAUCAAGCACAAGUAAAACAACGUACUAUACUAGACCAUGAAAAAUGAAACAGAAACAACAACAACAAUAAUAAUAAGAGGAAUAAAAUAAAACGAAAUAUAAAAUAUAACAACUACGUAAGCAUAAAGACCAACUCGAGCCACAAUAAACUUUCUGUUUGAUCAUUACACGAUCAUUUUCAACAUAAAUAAAAGCUUAAGAAAGGAGGGAAAUUAUUAGCCAUCCACUAAAAAUAUUUCGUUAUUAAAAAUACUACAAAAACUUGAAUUUAUUUGAUUUAACUCUUCUUGUUUCUAGUUUGUAUCAGUUAUCCACUAAAAUGUUAAGUUAUUAUAAUUGAUGGCAUCACAACGAUAAUUUAAAGAUUUAACAUACUAAAUUCAUAAAUGAAAUAAUAUUUUAAGAUAUAAAAAUUAAAAUAAAAACUAUUUUUAUCUAAUCCUUCAUACUUCAUAUACCUCAAAUGACACAUUAUAACAUAAAAUAAACUUUUUAUUGCAAAUCAAAGAAUAAAAUCAACGAUGAGCAAGAAUAAAAACAAUUAGACCUAACUUCAUCUUCUUCUAAUUAUGAAGGAUUUGGUAAGAACGAAGGACAGCGCCAGAAAUUCCAGCAUCAAACAUUCAUCGAAGUGGGGCAUGUUCAUCAUAGCCACUGCUGCUGCUGCCCGUCACUGCCUAUUCUGUCGGCCUUACGGACAGUUGCGACCUCCCAAAGACUCCUGAAUGGGCGACCUUCAAAGUCCAAGGCAAGUUAUUGUCAAUUAUCACAAGUGGUUGAAGGAUUUGGUGGGAAAGGAUAUUGGCAAAUGAAGGAUUUGGCACAAAUUGUAUAUUUAUUUCGUGAAUACUAAAAUUUAGAGAGAUAUGACAAGGAAGAAGAUGGCAAGAUGUUUUACAUUUUAUUUUUGUUUUUAAUUUAAUUAAGUUAAAAAUGGUAAAAUAGUCGUUUUGCUUAGAUCAUCUUAAGUACUCUAGCAGAGUUAAUAUUUUUGUGGACGGUUGAUAUAAAUUGAAAACAAUGAGUGUAAAAUUGAACAAAUUUAAACUUUUUUGGUAUUUUUGACAACAAAAUAUUCUUUGGAUGGAUGAUUGAUAAUUUUCCAAAAAAGAAUAUAUGUGUUAUGUGUCCUAAAAUAAGUUUAUAUAACUAUUUCUUAAAAUUUGAGGAAGUGUAUGCUAAAUUUUUUAAUUUCGCCAGACCACGCAAUAUCACAUGUUCUUUUCCCUAAUAAACAAAAUAUUUAUUUAAAAAAAUCAAUUAAACAUAGACACAUACUAUAUGAGACACAAACCUAAGACCUAGGUCUUGGUAAGGUUGCCUACUAACCAAAGGAGCUAGACCUUAGUAUGUAAUAAUGAAAACAUGUUAAUUGAAUUUGUUACACACACAAACACACACAUAUUCUUGCUAAAAAUGCAACAAAAUAACAACACAAUAAAAUUAUACCCAUCAUGUAAUCCAGGGUUGGCUUUAAGGGAUUCGGGGCCUUAGGCGAAUUUCUUUUUAGGUCUUUGUACAUUGAACAUCAACUUUUGAAGGAUAUAUAAAAUAACUUAAAAUUUAAAU
rnacentral:lncRNA from 1 species